rnacentral:lncRNA from 1 species
AAUCCCAUUACAAAAGAAAUGGUGAUUUCUGAUGAACCUAGUGAAGUAAAGAUCCAGAGACCUGCAAUGACUGGGCAACCUGUUGUCUCCAUCGAAGUAGACAGGCAAAGAAACAGGCUUCGCUCAGCAGAGGCAAUGGCUGAGGCCAGAGCUGCAGCUGAACAUGGUGAUCUAUCAAAUGCCGUCUCUCUCCUGGAGAGCUGCCGUAGGGCUUUGUCCGAGACAGUCUCUGCUCGGGCUUGUGACAAGUUGUGCAUUGCGUUAUGUGCUGAGUUGAAGGAGAUGCAAGAAAGGAUGGCAAGCCGUCGCAUAUACGAGUCAUCUGGAAGGGCUUAUGUUUUAUCAGGUUUGAGUUCUCACUCGUGGCAGAGAGCAACCGCACGAGGUGAUUCCACUGAUAGUUCAAGUCUUGUGCAAGCUUACCAAACGCCAUCAAUGGUUGACAUGGUGACCAGGUCUCAAACCAUGAUCUUGGGGAAUCGUCCUCCGUCUCAACGAAAACUCCGUCAAGCUCAGUCAUUUCCCGGCCGGCCGCAGCCGAGGUAAUGGUUAUGAUUGGUCUUUGAAAAUUCUCCUCACCCUACAUUCACAUAUUCUAUAUCCAUGGACCUUUCCGUUUUAAGUUUUUAUUUGUUUUCUGUUUUGUGAUUUGGGGUAUAAACUGAAGAGAGAAAGAGCUAAGGUGCAAUGGUUUUACAUGGUAAUGGUGGGUAUAUAUACUUGAAUUGCUAUGUAAAUGAAUAAAAAAAAAAAUUGGGGGCGAGCUGAGUUGAAAAAGGAAAAAAAUGGUGAAAAGGAAAAAGAGGGAGUAGGGGGUUUACAUAGUUUGAUUCUGGGAUAAUGUAUAUAUCCUGAAGUGGGUGUUUUUUGUAUUUGAGAAGAGGGGGUAUAAAUAGUGUAAUUGUGGGGAUACUUGGGGCGAAUUCUCCAACUAUAUAUAUCAUUGGUAUAACUGCUUUUUUAUUUUUUAUUUUUCCAAACAAAAUUAUGAUCAAUCUUGUUUUGACAAAGCACGCUCAGACGGAAUUGGUGCUGAAUUUCAUGUCUGAUUUGUCAAGUUUUAUGCAAAAAUGAAUCUUUUGUUAAAUCCAACAACGCGGCAAAAGUUAUUAAGACUGAUGAAAUGCAGGUUGAAAAUUUUUGUCUUAUAUUUCAUCCAAAGCUUGAAACUUUGAGGCAUCAUAUUUUUGGGUAAAAAAGGCACCCGUUGCCGCAACAAAACAAAGCAACAAAAAGAAUAAUCUGAAUGCGUCCGAUUGUAUAUCAACAAGGCUUGGAAUCCCUGUGCCACCAGCCCAAUGAGUCCAUGACCACCAUUCAAUGGAUUGCCUCCUAAGUUGUGGAUUUUGUUGAUGAUGCGUACUCAAUAUCAGACAAGAGCUCCCAAAUCCGAAUAGAUAAGAACAAUGUAAGAUACUUGAUUUGAAGAAUAGGAGCCGUCAAUUUUUCAUAAAAUGGGGACAAAUCGACUGAUUUAAUAAAUUCCUUGAAAUUUAAGGAGAAACGUUAAACAUGAAAUUUGGAGAACCCACGUUGAUGGACGCUGAAAUACUAUUCAUUCAAAGAUGCCCCAGGAAGAAUUAUAUUAUAAUUAUAGGUACCUUAACCUUAUUUCAAAAUUUUAUUGUGAAUAUUUCUAUAUUAGUUUUUGAUAUUUUUUUUGGCAUUAUAGUAAAUAAUUAAAAUUUAUUUCUCAAAGAUAACUAAUCUAUUUGAAUUAAGAUAUAUUCAAAACCCUCAUCUUAAUAUUCAAAAAUUACUUUUUUUUCUAUUGAGAUAAAAAUUAAUUGAUAAAUAUACAUUUACAGAGUGCUUGGAAUACAAAGUUUAUAUUACAACAUGUGAUAUCGAUAUAAACCCUCAUUAAGCACUGAUUAAUUAAAUUAUCAACGAUUCCUAGGAGAUAUUGUUGGAAGAAAGAAACUUGGAACUUGGAAGUGCCGAUAUUUCCAUCGUAACGAUACAUCGUCGUCCUGUGUCAGUGUCUCCCCUUCUCAUGGUAUUAACCUUUUCACUAACAACAUCAAUGAGCUAUUUAAUUAAAUAAAGUCAAGACUAAUCAUAGAAUAUUAUCUUUAAUCAGACGGAUAAUAAUCUGUCACGCCCAUAUAAAAAAAGAAAAAAAAAAAAAAAGGAAAACGGUUGGCAGGUAUGCACAUAUCGAGUAUUGGACUGCCACGUGAUCCCCUGCAUUAAGUAUGGGGGCGCCACCUCGUCAUCAGUGCAUGGAGACCCCAUUUCUAAUGCGCUUCAUUUCAUUCAUUCGAUUGCCCACAUUUUCUGUUUUUGCAUCUGGUAACACGAGUACUUUAACUAAGCUACAGAACUACAGAAGUGCUUAAAUGCAAGAAGCUGCUUUAUUUAUUUAUUUAUUUUUUUUAAGUGCUUCAGUAGCUGAGAGGAGACAGCGUAGCAUUAGCAUUGCUGUUGGAGACACGUACACGCUGACAACAGCAAAAAAACAAAACAAAGAAAAGAAAAGAGAAGCUGUCACUUCUGUUUAGGUACGCCAUUCUCGCCGUCUUUUUAUAAACUAUUUCUAUUUCCAAGUGCUUUUAUGUUUAACUUGUUGCAUUUUUUUCAGUAAAAGUUUGUACACAGUCUUUAAUUGGCAUUUUACUAAAUUGAGCAGAGACCAGUUUUUUAGUUUUGACUGGCAUUGUACUAAAUUAAGGAGGAGGAGAUUCAUUAGUUUCAAUGAUCGAUGGUUAACGGCUGGUCUGCGGACGAACCCCACGUCAUUGAUCAUCACCAUCUGAUCUAAAAAAUACAGCACGCGGUAGUUUGAUGGUCAGAAGGUGGUCCCCAUCUUCGUCGCACCGGGGCCCACAUGAUGCAAUGUUCAGUGUCUGUUCCGGGCAGCCGACACCCACUCAGGUGGGGUCAACUUUCAGCGUUACGUUUGAAACUCUACUCUACAAAAAAUGUAACAUAUGGCUUUGAUUUGAAGACAAGUUUUUGUAGCCGUUGCCCCGUUUUGGAUUUUAUAGAAAUUAUUCCCUUUUUUGUUUAUGAUUUUUGUUUUGAAAAAAAAUUUCCUUUUCUAAGACAGAACCAUGUAGGAAAAUUUAUGAGCUUUUAAUUUUAAGCAGUGAUUUUAGCUACUAGAAUGGUUGAGGAGUCUCUGUCAGGUGUGCAAAUGGGUUGCUUUCAAUGAAAGUGCUGAUUUAUUUAUCUAAUUAUUGCUAGCGAAAUCCAAUGACCCUUUUGAUUAUUUUUCAUCAACUCAUCAAUCUCUUUCUGUUUUAUUCAGCAUUGUCCUUUAUAGACUUUUUAUCCUUUUAAUAGUUAUCAGUUUAUCUUCUGGGUAUGAUUGCUUUACUUGGUUCUGCAUUUUUUGUCAAGAAUUUGAGGAGUUUUGACUAAAUGGGUAUGUCAUUUUAGUGCUUUUUAUUUAAUUUUCUCUAUUGAACUCUGGCUUUGGAUUCUUUUUUGUUCUAGAAAUUGUUGAUGAAAUUGCAUUAAGUGCAUGACUCUUGUCGACAAUCUUAGUGAACUGUGUGAUUCGUUUUGAGGGGUCAUUAGUUUAUAAAAGAACUUGCAGCCCAGCUGAGCUUCUGUCUUAAUUGCUUCAUGUAACUAAACUGCAUGCUGUUGCAACUUGUAUUGAAAUACUGUACAUGUGCCUGCUUCUUUGGACAGACAAUAGUGCAUUUAUGACUUUUGGUUAUGUAUCAUUAUCUUACAGAGUGCAGCUAGCUCACAACAGUUGAUUGCUAAUAAGAGUACCAUAAAUGGUUGCUAAUGUAGAACCCUUUAUAGUAGUAGACUAGUUGUUUUAUCUUUCUACAUUGGGUACUUUGUACUGUAAAUUGAAUAAGAUUGGAAGCUUCCCUUGUUUGUUGGCCAACCCAGAAGUUUUCAAUUCCUAAUCCCUCCAAUUUCAUUUACAUUGUUUUCUUGGUUUUUUAAUGCAUUUGAAAUGUUCUUGAAAUAUCACAAUCUUAACUCUUGGUCUGAUAGCAGGAGACCUUUAUUCAAUUGAACUUGAGUUUCCUCCCCUGUAAAUUUGUAAUUUGUCUUAAAUAUUGUCAAACAUCUUUGUUUGUUAACACCGUUCUAUUGAUCUACAGUGAAAUUUUUCCACCAUGUUUUCAGGUUCUUGUAUAUGCUUUUUAUUUAUUUAUUUUUAGGUUUCUUCAUUGGAUCGUCCAUGUUUUCCGGACCUGGAUUUUCAUAUUUUUAAAUCUAGUGGUUCCUAUCUGCCUCUUGUUUUGCAUAUGCUCAAAGCUUUUGUUGUUGUAUGUUUUGGGCAGAUUGGCAGAUCUAAGAACAAAAGAGUCUGAAGAGUAGACUUCUGGUUACCAAUGAAGGUUAUUAUUCUCCUUUCUUAUUAUCUCUCAAUAUGUUUUGGAAUUUUUUUUUAUCAUAAUGCUCUUUUAAAUGAUUCUCCCAAUAAGUUUGAGUUUUUGACUGCUUUAAACUAUGUUAUUCACUUUGUAAUUAUUUCUGGGAAUUACUCAUGAUUGUUGUUCAUAUGGCUUACCAGAUAGAAUUAUAUAUCUGCAAAAUUUACCGGAUGGGAAUUAUGUAUUUUUGUUAUAAGGAGUGAUAGAAUCAGGAGGAACUAAAAUAUUUAGUCUAAUGCUUCAUUUACAGUUGCAAAUUCAAUGAGGAUUGAGUGUCUCUAUAUUUCUCUCAUCAAUACUUGUUUGCUCGCAUUUUGUUGUCUUAUCACAAGUUUGGAAUUACUUGGAGAACUACUGCUUAUAUUCUUUUGUCAAUAUCUAAUCUCAAAAGCUUGUAAAUGACAUGAUCCACCAUAUUAUUUAUGAAAUCUAGUAAAUCAAUUGAUCUUCUCAAAGAUCAAAGUGCUGAUGUCACACGAUAAGAGUGAGAGGGGGGGAUCUGUCGGAUUUUAAAUAAAUGUUGUUUUGUUAUUGUAGGAUUAAUUCUGGAAUUUAAACAUUCGAUUAACUGGCCUUUUCUUUCUCUCCAGUGUCUGCAUUUGCAUAAAUGAAGCUCCAAGUGAAAGUUACCUUUGCUUGUCUCAUUGGUUUGAUCUGGAUUCAGCGAAGUAUUUGUGGUUGGUAUUAAUGUUUGUGAUGUUUUGAUUUUCUAUAUCUACUUUUCUGUCCCAUAACAAAAUUAUAGGACAUAGUAUAUACACCCAAGGGUGGCUGGGAUAAGGUAUGGCAAAGCCUGUUAUCUUGCUCGACACAAUUCGUAUGCAAUGAACCUUUAGAAAAUGUCUGCUUGGAGAAGUUAGGAAAAUUGCAAAACCCAAGGGUGCUUUUGACAUCCCCAAGUCAACAACUUACUGCAGAUAAGAUUUUCUGUUUGUGCAAUGUACAAAGGAAUUGCACCAUAAUUGCUACUAUUUAAAUAAUAGCUGCGAAGCUCUCAUUUUGGUUGUUUACUAUGUGGCAGAUAAACUUUCUGAGAGAUCAGGGCAAAAAAAUUGGAAGUGCACCUGUUCUUCAUCAUUGCAAGGAGACCAGAGUAAUAUUCUGAAAUUGAACUGCUCUAGAUCCUGUGAUUGCAGUCCUGGUAUGCUGCUGAUUUUAUGGUAUAAUCAUCCAGAAUUUUUAAAUUGCUAUUAGCAUUUUUUUUUUGGGGAUAAAAUGAUUCAAUAGUGCAUGAUCUCGUUACCUGUUAAUAGUUUACUUCACCUAAAUAUAUGUUCACUUUAGUGGCAGGAAAAUAUUUAGGAGAUGGAACGAAAAAUAAGUUCCAGGGAAGUCUAUGUAGCUAUGUGCUAACCUGGAUAAACGCAGAAUAUUCACGAUUCUAAAAACCCUUAUCUAGAGUAUACAAGGCCAUUUUUCUCAUAUUUGACGGUUAAACAAUAAGGGUUUCUUGAUAUCUCUGUCAGUAUAAUGACUAUAAAAGUAAAUAAAACCUCAUCCAUUUUUUAGUCAAUUUCCAACUAGAAAGUAGGAUUGAAUAAUUUAGAGUCCUUGACAUACUAUUUUUAAAAUAUUCAUUUUGGAAUCACUAGUUGUCAGAUUUUUUUAUUCUUCAGGAAAGACCACUUGACACUCUAAUGUAUUCCACUUACACACUCUCACCCCAACCCGUUGUUUCUUUCUUUUAUUAUUAUUACUAUUUUUAAAGAAUGAAAAGAACCCUGUACGUAAAGUCAUGAUGUUUGAUGCUGUACAUUCAUCUUUUUAUUUGAGAGUAAAUUUUGUUGAAUGACUUAGGAAUACCUCAUGCCAAGGCUUUAUGUGUCUGCAAACAUUUAUGUACAUCAUGUUUGAAUGAUAUGAAAGACUGACUGCAUUAGUCAUCUAUGUAGCAGUUGGAGGAUCAAGUGAACGUAAAUGGACAUGUAUAUGUGCUGCUGAUGGAUUACCUAAAGUAGCAGCUAACAGCUAUGAUACCACCUGUUUUGCUAGCUGCACCUGCACGUCAGGUACCUUUUCCUUUAUUACUCCUUACAGAAAUAAUAUCUUUGAACAAUUCAAUAGGUCUUAGUGGUAAUAUAUUUUAUUGACGCAUUUACAUUGACCGUUUAGUUUCAAAAUAAUCAUUUGUUUUUUUCAAGCAGAUUGCUUUAUUAGGACUACUUGUUCUAAGGAAUCAUGAAUAAUCAAAGAUUUGAUAUCUUCUAGUAUUGGUUUAAUAUUAAAUCAAUGGCUGGAUAAAAAAAGAACCAGAUUGUUAGGCUUUUUUGGAUAGAAUUUUUGGUAACAUAUAGUAUGAAUUCAGAAAUAUUGCCCCAAUGAUUAAAAAUCAUGCAGUUUAUGUAUACAUGAUACUUAUGUUUUAUCUAUUAGAUUAUUAUUCAUUUUCUGAUGUUCAAAUGAUAGAGUUCAGGAGCUUACCAGUGGCAUUCAAUUGCUUAACAGGUUCUGUCAGCGGCGUGAAAGCUUCAGGGAAGCACAUUUCAAGUAAAGUUGUUGUGAUCGUUCUAUUACUAUGUGUAAUACUCACAACAAUUGCAUUUCUCAUGCUGGUACUAUGCUACGUCUAUCGAAAGGGCAAGUUCCAUCUCCGAUCAUCUGUUAUUUCUUCGGAUAAAGAAAGUUGCAACAGUGCUACCAACUUAAUAAGUCACAGGAUUACAUCAGUUCCUGAAACUAGAGUUGAGGUUGUCUCCCCUAUUGAUCUUGCGACAGGUAAAUGGGCUAAUACAAAUGGUUAUAACCUCUAUCCAUGACGAAAUUAAGUUGUUUAUCUGAAAUGACCUAUCAGUUGCUAAUCAUUCCUUAGGUUUACUAAUUCUGAAAAGCUGAAUGCAUAUAUUGUACUAUUUGCACACAGUACUAACAUAUUUUCAUCUUCCCUCCACCCCCAACUUGGACUUGAUAAAUUUCUGUAAUUCUGUAUUUUCUAUUUUCCAGGCUGUUUCCUGAAGACUACAUUUUGUAGGAGCAAAACAUGGACUAUACAUGGAACGAUUAUCCGAUUCUCAUACUCUGCUUUGGAACAUGCAACAGAUAAAUUCUCUGGUUCCAAUAUUGUAGGACAAGGGGGAAGUAGCUAUGUGUAUCGAGGUCAACUCACAGAUGGUAGAAUUGUGGCGGUUAAGCGAUUCAAAACUCAGGGAGGGCCUAAUGCUGACUCUGUCUUUUUAACGGAGGUACAAUGUCAACUUGACAGAGGGUUUCAUGUGUUGUUUAAAUUUUAGCCUUUUCUCUCUUCAUUUAUUUCUCAAAAUAAAUAAGGUAAAAAAACCAAAAAAAAAUCCCCUUGACACUGGAGCCACUGAAAAUUUGUUGUUCUCCUCAGGUUGAUAUGUUAUCAAGACUUCAUCAUUGUCAUGUGGUGCCGUUGGUUGGCUACUGUUCGGAGUUCCGUGGGAAACAUGCUAUGAGGCUACUGGUAUUUGAGUUCAUGCCUAAUGGUAAUCUGAGGGAUUGUUUGGACGGGGUGUUGGUAGAGGGCAUGAACUGGGAUACUCGUGUAGCAAUUGCAAUUGGAGCUGCUAGGGGUUUGGAGUAUCUACAUGAAGCAGCUGCACCAAGAAUUUUGCACAGAGACAUCAAAUCUUCAAAUAUACUUCUUGAUGAGAAUUUGAAUGCAAAAGUAAGAAUCUUGAUUUCUCUAAAUCUCCAUAAAAAGUAUUAAAUUCGAGUGAAGCAGCGCCGGGGGGCGGGGGNNNNNNNNNNNNNNNNNNNNNNNNNNNNNNNNNNNNNNNNNNNNNNNNNNNNNNNNNNNNNNNNNNNNNNNNNNNNNNNNNNNNNNNNNNNNNNNNNNNNNNNNNNNNNNNNNNNNNNNNNNNNNNNNNNNNNNNNNNNNNNNNNNNNNNNNNNNNNNNNNNNNNNNNNNNNNNNNNNNNNNNNNNNNNNNNNNNNNNNNNNNNNNNNNNNNNNNNNNNNNNNNNNNNNNNNNNNNNNNNNNNNNNNNNNNNNNNNNNNNNNNNNNNNNNNNNNNNNNNNNNNNNNNNNNNNNNNNNNNNNNNNNNNNNNNNNNNNNNNNNNNNNNNNNNNNNNNNNNNNNNNNNNNNNNNNNNNNNNNNNNNNNNNNNNNNNNNNNNNNNNNNNNNNNNNNNNNNNNNNNNNNNNNNNNNNNNNNNNNNNNNNNNNNNNNNNNNNNNNNNNNNNNNNNNNNNNNNNNNNNNNNNNNNNNNNNNNNNNNNNNNNNNNNNNNNNNNNNNNNNNNNNNNNNNNNNNNNNNNNNNNNNNNNNNNNNNNNNNNNNNNNNNNNNNNNNNNNNNNNNNNNNNNNNNNNNNNNNNNNNNNNNNNNNNNNNNNNNNNNNNNNNNNNNNNNNNNNNNNNNNNNNNNNNNNNNNNNNNNNNNNNNNNNNNNNNNNNNNNNNNNNNNNNNNNNNNNNNNNNNNNNNNNNNNNNNNNNNNNNNNNNNNNNNNNNNNNNNNNNNNNNNNNNNNNNNNNNNNNNNNNNNNNNNNNNNNNNNNNNNNNNNNNNNNNNNNNNNNNNNNNNNNNNNNNNNNNNNNNNNNNNNNNNNNNNNNNNNNNNNNNNNNNNNNNNNNNNNNNNNNNNNNNNNNNNNNNNNNNNNNNNNNNNNNNNNNNNNNNNNNNNNNNNNNNNNNNNNNNNNNNNNNNNNNNNNNNNNNNNNNNNNNNNNNNNNNNNNNNNNNNNNNNNNNNNNNNNNNNNNNNNNNNNNNNNNNNNNNNNNNNNNNNNNNNNNNNNNNNNNNNNNNNNNNNNNNNNNNNNNNNNNNNNNNNNNNNNNNNNNNNNNNNNNNNNNNNNNNNNNNNNNNNNNNNNNNNNNNNNNNNNNNNNNNNNNNNNNNNNNNNNNNNNNNNNNNNNNNNNNNNNNNNNNNNNNNNNNNNNNNNNNNNNNNNNNNNNNNNNNNNNNNNNNNNNNNNNNNNNNNNNNNNNNNNNNNNNNNNNNNNNNNNNNNNNNNNNNNNNNNNNNNNNNNNNNNNNNNNNNNNNNNNNNNNNNNNNNNNNNNNNNNNNNNNNNNNNNNNNNNNNNNNNNNNNNNNNNNNNNNNNNNNNNNNNNNNNNNNNNNNNNNNNNNNNNNNNNNNNNNNNNNNNNNNNNNNNNNNNNNNNNNNNNNNNNNNNNNNNNNNNNNNNNNNNNNNNNNNNNNNNNNNNNNNNNNNNNNNNNNNNNNNNNNNNNNNNNNNNNNNNNNNNNNNNNNNNNNNNNNNNNNNNNNNNNNNNNNNNNNNNNNNNNNNNNNNNNNNNNNNNNNNNNNNNNNNNNNNNNNNNNNNNNNNNNNNNNNNNNNNNNNNNNNNNNNNNNNNNNNNNNNNNNNNNNNNNNNNNNNNNNNNNNNNNNNNNNNNNNNNNNNNNNNNNNNNNNNNNNNNNNNNNNNNNNNNNNNNNNNNNNNNNNNNNNNNNNNNNNNNNNNNNNNNNNNNNNNNNNNNNNNNNNNNNNNNNNNNNNNNNNNNNNNNNNNNNNNNNNNNNNNNNNNNNNNNNNNNNNNNNNNNNNNNNNNNNNNNNNNNNNNNNNNNNNNNNNNNNNNNNNNNNNNNNNNNNNNNNNNNNNNNNNNNNNNNNNNNNGGGGGGGGUGGGGUCAAAAAGUGGAGUUGACCGUGCAUAUGGUUGAAUUAGUAAUACAUCUAUAAUUUCAAUGUUCAUAAAUUUAUAUUCUUAUUUAGCAUAGAUAUUUAUUUAAUUAUUAAACAUGUGCAGAUAACUGAUCUUGGUAUGGCUAAACGUUUAAAAGCUGAUGGCCUUCCCAGUUGUUCCAGUUCUCCAGCAAGAAUGCAGGGAACAUUUGGCUAUUUUGCACCAGAGUAUGCUAUGGUUGGAAGAGCGUCUCUCAUGUCAGAUGUUUUCAGUUUUGGGGUAGUUCUACUUGAACUUAUUACUGGUCGGCAACCAAUCCAUAGAUCAAUUACCAAAGGGGAAGAAAGCCUUGUUCUGUGGGUAAAGUCCAUCAUAACUGAUGCUUCUAUUUGUCAAAGCUUCCUUGUAAGCUGAUUUAAUAAUUAAUUAUUGGGCAAUCACCUAAACUUUUAUGUUCAUUAUAGACUAAGAUCAUGCCUCUUAGCUUAUAAUUACUCUGACAUCCAGCUUAUGAUUUCAUCAGAAUGCACACACAUUGGUAUAAAACACAUUGCACUUAUGCAAACUAGGUGAAGUGUCUUGUCAGUCCCAAUUUCUAGUUUCUACUGCUUACAAGUUUCAGAGCUGCAUUCUCAUAAUCAAGAUUGUGUGGCUUUGAUUUUGCAGACUGCGACUGGUAUAUAUCUAGAUCAUAUUUGACAAAAUGUGGAUAUGAUUUGUGUGUAUCUCGUCUUGUGUAGGCAACCCCUCGUUUACAGGACAGUGGAACAGUGAUAUCUGAGUUGCCUGAUCCACGCUUAAAAGGGGAUUUUCCCAAAGAAGAGAUGCAGAUUAUGGCUUACCUUGCAAAGGAGUGCCUACAGUUGGACCCUGAUGCUCGACCAACCAUGAGUGAGGUUGUGCAAAUCCUCUCAACCAUAGCACCGGAUAAGUCCAGAAGAAGAAACAUUUCUCUGAAUCUCUUUCAGGUAAUUACCAUGUUACUAAGUAGUUUUAUGUACUUUCAGUUGACAUCCACCCUGAAAAUCAAUUGCAACGUGUGCAUGUCGCUUCACACUCUUGAGACUCCAUUAAGGAAUUUUAUAAAUGCCCUGUUGAGGAACUACUAGUGACUGCCUGUGUUAUUUCCAGUUCUUGAGAAAUUGGAUGGUUAACCAGUGUUUAUUCCAUGGUAUUCGGACUACUUUAUGAAGUCUGAGCUUCAACCGCAACUCAUUCCCAAGAGUUUCUAAAGAAUUGUCAUGUGCUUCAAUAUCAGAUGGGGAGUAUUACUUGCUCCAUUGAAUGCUACAAUAUGGCAUUUAAAACUUUUUUAAUCUAGUCGUUCCACUUUCUGUGACCCUUUCUAAAAUAUUAACAAAAUAAAAUAGUUAUUUGCUUUUUUUAUCUUCUUACAGUAGUUAACCAUGAAGAGAUUUAGGUGUAGCACUUAUCUCACUUGCUCACUGUUUAGUCAUAUUUCACUCAAACUUGAAAAAAGAUGUGUGGAUUUACGCUGUUGGUAAUUUUUCUAGAUAUUUUCAGCCGGUGGCAGGGAGAAGGAACCAUCCAUAGAAAGACCAGACAAUCUAUUUGAGACACUCAUUGAAUCAGAAGAGUUGAAGAAGGCAACAUCUUUUGGGUCACCUAGGUGCUCACAGGCAGUAGACACUGACAUUACUCUUAAUACCAGAAGCAAUAGUAAGGAAGAAGAUACAGUUUCAACUGAGUACAUGGAGAAGCUGCUCCUUCUGACCUCAGAAGUUAGGAGUAGUCGUGCCCCAGACAUUGAAACAGUGGACUUAACUGAGCCUCGGUUUGAAUCGUUCUGCAUGAAAAAUGUUAAUUCCCCCUGACAAAAUAUCCCACAUGUGCGAAGGACUCUGGAAAAGAGUAACUAUUUAUUCGGUCCAGAAUAAAUUCCUUUGGUGUAAAAAUUUGUUUUGGUUUCUUGGUGCUGCUCUAGGCUGGAGGAGGUUAUCUAAUUAUUUUAGAGGAAGCAAAGAGGUUUUUCAGAGGACUUGCUCCAUUUGAUUCAUUUUUCUGAUGCAUGAAAAAAUUAUAUCAAAGGUUGUUUUUAUAUUUGAUCAUUUCCUUUUCUUUGUUGUUGUAUAUAUGUUCGUGUUUGUACAGUAAGUCAUUUAUAAUGUCAAAUUUCAAACUAGUUACUGUCAAAAAACAUUAUGUUUCAAUGUGCAAGUAUUUGAUUCAUUUAUUUAUUUUGGAAUUAAGGCAUAGUUGAGCUGAGUUGAGGGUUACUCAAGUUUUAACGAGCUUGAGAAGCAAGUGUGGACAUGAUCUUCUUGAACUCCAAAAACAGGAAAAAACCGCAUCCGUUUUAUGAAAUUGUGGAGGCUUUUAGACUCUAUGGAUCGGCAACGUGGAAGCAACUGAAUGCUUCCAAUUAUGAGAGUUUAUAUCAUGCCUUGUUAUGAGCUGAUGGCAAAUAUUAAAUGAUCCUUUCUUUUUAUCGCCAGUACUUCAAAAGUAGCCGUCCGCAAGUCUACUACGUGUACCUUUUACAAUCCUGAAGCCUCUCUUUGAAUGGCAGAUGAGAAUUGACUUGGAAGACAGGAAGGUGCAACUUUUGGACAUGAUAGUAAGUUAUUUACUGAGACAACCCCAACAGCCUCUCUCUUAUGCAGAAGCAAGUCUCUUGUUGCCUGUCAUUUUGAGCAGCUGUUUUAAGCUUUUUGGACCAGUAAUGGACCCUCCUCCUCCGCCAAGCACGCCACUACUGCCGCCUGCACGCCCUGCCGCACCCAGCAGAGGGUUCUUAGACUCAUGGUAAGAUGUCCAUUUCACUUUUAUUUUUAUUUUUUCCUUUUUUUCAUAUUUGCAUCAAUGAAAUCGCAGCAAAGUUUGGAUAUGACAAUGAUUAUGCACUUCUUUUUUCCAUGUACUCUUUUGUACACAUCGUGUAGUUUGUGGUUUCUGAGCUGCUGCGGGUUGUUCAGAUGCUGCUGCCCUCCACUCUUUGAGCCCGGGCCUUCCCCUUCCUAAAGCUUCAUCUGAUGACUGGCCCCUGCUGGUUUUUAAGUGUUUCUGUGAAGGAAUUAGUGAAUGAAAGUUUGCAGAAAUUUUAAUCUUAAGUUUGCAGAAAUUUUAGUUUCUUCUGAAUUGACCAUAGAAUCAUGUUAAGUACAUUCAAUGAUAUUCAUAUCCUUGUAAUUCCAUUGUACUAUUUGUGGCAUUGAUUCUUCUUCUUUAUUUCAUUUAUCUUCAUCAACUCCUGAGAACCUGCAAGAUUUUUCUCAUAACCACUUACAGCUUUCUUAAUUGGCAUUCAGCAGGAGGCAGGAUUGCUGUGCUUUGUUUCACUUCUUAGUUAAAAGAAAUGAAAAAAUCCGCUGAGCUAUCCCAGUCUCCGAGAUGAUAUCAAGAUUCAUGAAUUUGUAUGCUGAAACCAAAUAGCACUGGAGCAAGUAGCGAUUUCAAAAUGGUACACGUGUACCUAUUAUAUAUAAGUCAAAAGAAAAAGCAUGUGCAAUAGCCUAGCAGUACAUCUUCAUUUAUAAGCAAACUAAGAAAACGAUAUGCAGUCCGUAAACUACAUUAUCAAAUACCAAACACGACUCGCUUAAUUUUUACAACAGGGUUAAAGUUGUAUGUCAUGUCGUGUAAAAGCUUAGUAAGUAGACGACAUAUAGUACCCUUGUCAAAUAUAAGGGGGUAUUUCGGUAUUUUCAAUUUAUUAUUGCGUUAUAAGUUAAAAUCAUUACACAGGAAUUAUUUCUCAUAAUACAGGGGUUUUUAAUUAAAUAUACCUUAAAAGUAGUGUAUUUAGUUAAAUAUACCUCAUGCUUAAAAAUUAUCUAAGUAUGCCUUUUUAUAUGGUACAUUGUCUAAAAUAUCCCUAAAGAAAAAUAUAAAACACACACACAACUCACAACACUCUUUGCUUCUCACAUAUUUAUCACCUAUACAAAAACUCACACCACACUCAAAAUCACUCACAAACAGCUAAUGCAUUGAGAUUUUUGUUUGCAGCUGGGUGUAUUAUUCAUCCCAUGAAUAAGGUAUUUGAAACUUUUUUUAUUUUAUUUUGGGCUAUCUAUUCAAUUUGUUGACAUUAUAUUAUUUUUAGGGUUUUGUUUGGUUUGUGAUAAACACUAAAGCAACUCAUAUGUUCAUUACAUUUGCAUCAUAUGACUGUUAUUUGAUGGAUUUUAUAACUACAUUCGUUAAAAUAUGAAGUUGUUGUCAAAUUUUUUUUCUGCACCCGACAUACACAACAGCAGUCGUGUAUGUAUGUAUUUACACGACUGUAGUCGUGAAAAUGUGCAAAAAAAUUCAAUUAUUAUGACACCUUAUCAUUCUAUUGGUUCAAAAAAUAUAUAUUUUUCACUAUAUAUAUCAUUUUAUUAUUACUAGACUAUAGUUGUGUGUGUUAAUAAAUUACACGACUACUAUGAACCUUAUAUACUUGUUAUUUUUUGUUGUUUUAAUUUUUUUAAUAUCUUUCAUAUUUAGUGAUAAAUUUCUACCUUUUUGUUUCGCAGAUGAAUAAACAUGUUUGUGUAGUUUUCUAAGAACAAGUAUUGAAGGGAGGCGACUAGAGGCUUAUAAAAUAUGGACCAAGUGUUUGGGUUAAAUAUGCCAAAAAUUUAUGAUGAAUGUUAAACAACUUCUAUUGUAUUACAAUUUAUUUACGAUUUCAAUAACUAUUGGAUUUGUGUUAUUUGAUAGGCAACCAGACUAUAGUUAGUUUCAUUUAUUUGAAAUUUGGUAUGUUUAAAAUCUAUAUUGAUUGUGUCAUCAAUAUAAUGAAUGAUUGAAAAGAGUUUUUAUUCUGUGCACAUACCCGAGUACAAUCGUGUAUUUUGGCUGUUACAGAACUGGCCAUGUUUAUUUCUAAACACUCGACUACAGUCGUGUAUCUGUGCAAAUACCCGACUGUCACAGAGAGCUUGUUAUAUUUAUUUCUAAAUACUCGACUACAGUCGUGUAUCUGUGCAAAUACCCAACUGCAGUCGAGUAUUUUGUCACAGAGCUUAUUAUGUUUAUUUCUAAAUACCCGACCGCAGUCGUGUAUCUGUGCAAAUACAUGACUGCAGUCGAGUAUUUUGUCAUAGCUUAUUAUGUUUAUUUCCAAAUACCCAGUAUCUGUGCAAAUACUCGACUGCAGUCGUGUAUUUUCUUACAGUGUAUUCUCUGUGCAUAUAUUGUGCAAACUAUCUUAUCUAUCAUUAAUAUAAAUAACAAAGAAAUAAAAUAUAUUAAUGAUGUCAAUUGUCUUUAAUGACAUCAAAUAUCAACAACAUCUUCAUUACAACUAUUAUAUCUCAUAAUCCAAAAAAUGACACUACAAAGUUUUUUUUCCAUGACCUAUGCCCAAAUAAUUUUACAGCCAAAGCUUGUCAAAAUUGUGUAACAUGAUCUUGUUGGCAGUAUGAAUUGACAUCAAGUCCAUGGGCUAGGACCUCCAAGUACCGCAACAAAAAUACUCCACAGUCACCACUAAAAAAAUUCAUAUAACAGCUGCAGCAACAGCAAAAUAUUUAUGAUAAUUAUGAUUCUAAUUGCAAUCAAACUCAGUGUAACAAUACAACAACACGACAUCUUUAGAUUAUACUGUCUAUUGGACUGAGUAGCUAGAGACAUUAAGGUUUAUCCUGUUUUCUAUUGCAUUGGUACCGUGUACAUAAGAAUAAUUGUGUGACCACUUUAUUAAGCAUUUUAUAGGGUAUUUGGUCUUUCUAACAUCAUAAGUCGGUCUUUUGAAUGAGUUUUACCAAUUUUUUUUGAUGAAAUCUCUCUUCACAGACGAAGUAAGUUGAGAAGAAAGUCUGCUAUUCACCUUGUAUAAAAUCUAUGAAGUCACUCAGCCCCAUAUAUGGCCACCGUGCAUAUCGGUUAUGAACUAUAAUUGAGUGUUAUAUUGCUAAGCUAAGGCUUGGUGUGUAGGUUUAUAAGUAUUCGGACUCCCGUACCUUACAAGCCAUUUUUUUGGAUGAAUUCUACCCGAUGUGUGUGCAAAACAAAUUAGACGAUAAUUAAUCAGAAAAUAAAUAUGUUUAAUCAAUUACUAGUCUAAUCGAGUGAAGCCUUAUUAUUUGACUUUUGCAAGAGAUGAAAAUUAAUGCAGGGUAAAAGACAGGCAUAAACCUAAUCAAGUGAAGUCUUGUCAUCUGACUUUUGCGAGAAAAUUUUUUUUAAAAAAAUUUAUAUGAAUCUGCUGUACGGCCAAGGCGGAUGUACGGUAUUUGACUUUCUAAAAGUACCUGGAGGCGGAGACGCUGAAGUAGAGUGAGGAAAUUGCAGCUACUGAUUUGUAGAGAGGUGAGAGUCUGUAGAAGAAUUGUUGUAAAAUGACAGAAAUUUAUAAAAUGGAGGAGGAGAAAUCCAGAAGAACAGGCUGAAGGAGAAGCUGCUCAUGAAAAAAAAUUAGGGAUUUUGUUACAUGAUUGAUUGUGGUAGUUUGGUUGACUUAAGUUUUUUAUUAGGAUAAUUUCGUAACUAUAUAUUAGAAAAGGCAUAAAGCGAUAUACGAGAAAUUUUUGAGUACGGAGGUAUUUUUAGAUAAAUACCCUUUUUUUGGGGUAUACCACGGACAAAUCCCUGCAUAAUACAAUACUUCAUAUGUCGAAAAUAUAUAUGUAUAUAUAACUCACAGGGCAAGUGAGCGUUUCAAGUGAGAGUUUCGCGAGAUGUUUUGAGAAAGUUAUUACAGGAAGAAGAAGCAAAACAAAGAGAAUGGCAGCAAAGCCUAGUACUACAACAACUGCAAAAGCCACGUACUCUCCGAUUGACCCUACCAGAAAAACUCGCCCACCCAUUUUUUCUGGCUCCGAUGUGGACUGGCUCCGACCCGACUCCCGUGGCUUUCACCAGUGCAGACCCGCCUGUAAGCUCACCCUUUUUUCUAUUUUGCUAAUAUCUCUAUUUUUUUUUUUUUUGGGUUUCCUUUUUGAGCUCUCUAUUGGGCAAAAUAGGAACUUGUGUGACGUUUGAUCAGGCUUUGAAUGUUGGUCCUUCCCCCCCCCCCCCCCUUAUUAAUGUUUUUAAUUAUAUUUAUAAAAAAAUUGCAUCUUUGGGUUGCUCUUUAAGUUCAUGUAUUCUAGCAUGUUUGUUUAGUUUAUAUGAAAUUUUAAUUUUAUUGCCUUGGUCUUUACUAUUGUCCUGUUAGUAAUUCCAUGAACUUGGAGACAAGAAAUGUGAACUUUUUGCCUUGAAAACUAAAUGAUGAAUCUUUAAUAUGUAGUGGAGUAUUGAUCAAGAUUUGCAUUGAAUACAUCCCCGUUCCACUUUGAAAGUGUUCGUAUUUCGUGAUGUUUUGUUGUUACUUGCAGUUUUCCGCACUGGCGCUGUGAAUUCAGCAUCGGGUUCUGCUUAUGCUGAAUUUGGAAACACCAAGGUGAUUGUGUCCGUGUGAGUAUGUUCCGAACCUUUUUUAACAGUCAUGUCUGCCUUGAUGUCUGGCUUUCUCUAUAUUUGGAGAUGGGAUUUAUAUUCUCUCUUGAUUUAGCUAGAAACGGUUCUUCUGUACGUUGACAGUAUUUCUCUGCUAUUUUCUACUUCUGCUUCUGUGGUAUACGUAUACCUCAAGCAAUUUGAGAUGAUCGUGAAUUGAGUUUAUCUCAAAUGUACUUGGUUUUUAUUUGAUCAGAUUUGGGCCUAGAGAAAGUAAGAAAGCAAUGAUGUAUAGCAAUAUAGGUCGAUUGAAUUGUAAUGUUAGCUAUACAACUUUUGCUACCCCUGUUCGUGGACAGGUACAUGCGACACCCAUUUAUGAAUAUAAAAAAUUCUUUUGCUUGUUUUCUUCUUAUUAUCUGAUGUAAACUAUGGAAUGCUAGGGAUCGGACCACAAAGAUUUUUCCUCUAUGCUUCACAAAGCUUUGGAAGGUGCAAUAAUAUUGGAAACAUUCCCUAAGACAACCGUGGAUGUAUUUGCAUUGGUUUUGGAAUCUGGAGGCAGUAAGUUUACAGUUUUCAAUAAUGACUCCAUCAAUUUGGAACUUUCACCUGAAGAAUUUUCGUUCAAGAAAAAAAAAUUAAAGAAACCAAAAAAGUGGGAAAAAAAAGUGACGAAAAAUAUUGUUAAGGAAUUUAAGUUUGGCUUCAUGUUUUCUUAUGUCAAGCUGCAACGACAAUUUUGACUGUUUUUGCUAAUCACUUACAUUUCCUUUUUCCCUGAUGUAUGAGAAUCUUAUUUCUAUGUAGUCCAAGCUAUUGAUUUAUUGAACUUUCUGUUUUUCUCUAAUGUUUUCUGUACCUCAAUCAUUUUCAGUAUUAGUCAACCAAGAAUAUUAAACUUCUAAUGAUAAAUUAUGAAAUUGAAAAUAAACUGUAGCUCACAUUAGUUCGUCUAGUAAGUCAAACUAUCUUUCGACGGGCAAUAGUCAUCAUUUUGUGAAAUGAUUGGGCCAAAUAUGGAAAGGAAGUAGCCUUAGGAAAUUAAGUGGCCAUUCAAGGAAUGGAGGACAUAAAGCAUGAUAAUUCUUUCAUUCUCUAUAGCAGUGCUUUUAUAGUUUCUGUUAAAUCCUGGCUAUUGCCAGGCAUAAGAUUUCUUGUUAAGCAAGUUGAUGAGCUCGAUACUCUUUGGUUUGCUGUAGGUGAUCUCCCUGUGGUGAUAUCAUGUGCUAGUGUCGCCCUGGCAGAUGCGGGCAUUAUGAUGUAUGACCUCGUUGCCUCUGUUUCUGUGGUAUGAAUCUUGUACAGAUAUGGAUCUUCCUCUUUCUAUUUGCAUUUUCAGUAUGUUGUUUGUCUUAUAAAAUAUCAAUCUUAUUGCUUAAAUGAUUUCACUUCAUGCGGAACUUUUGCUCAUUUUCUGGUUCUUUAUUUGUGUUCACAUGCCAUUUCAUAUAUUUUUUGGUGCCUAGUCUUGCCUAGGGAAGAAUCUUCUUAUUGAUCCAGUGCUGGAGGAGGAAAGCUACCAAGACGGAAGUUUAAUGAUAGCUUGUAUGCCUUCUCGUUAUGAAGUCACUCAAUUGACGGUUACUGGGGAAUGGUCAACCCCUCAUUUUAAUGAGGUACAGUAAUGAGCUUUGUCAUAUCAACUGUUUUCUUCAUCAAAACCUUGAGCGUUGGUGGUGGCAUUUCUAUGUGAAAAUGUAUCUUUGUUUAGAAGUUCAUUUAUAGCCAAUAUUACUGCAUACAAAUUAAGUUGGUAAUAUCAAUAUGCUAAUGAAUAAUGAUCCUUCACAAUUUCUCGGAAAACUUCAGAUAAAUUCUAAAUCAUGAAUGCUCAUAUGUUUCCAUGAGCUAGGAUUUGAAUGGUGCCUAAAGAUCUAACUUUGCUUUUGCUUGCAGGCAAUGCAGUUUUGCCUCGAUGCAUCUGCUAAGCUUGGAAAAAUCAUGAGAUCAUGCUUGAAAGAAGCAGCUUCUGACGAGCAAGAAUAGGAAGAAAGCUCCUCCCCCUCCCCCCUCCCCCUCUUUUUUUAUAAGUUAAUGUGAUAGAGGUCGACUGUUCAGAUAUCGAUGCUCUUCUCUUCUUUUUCUGUUUUUCAGAAAAAGAGCUUGAACAAAUUUUGUGAGAAUUUUAUGAUAGAAUUCGGCUUUCCAAUUUUGAUGAUUGUAUAUUCGUUUUACUUCUAUUAAAUUUCCGCUUUAGAAACGGUAAAACAAUUGCAGAGAUUCAAGGUAAAUAACCAGAGCGUUUCAACCAGAAAAUGACUACCACUCGGCUGUCCCUUUGAACUCAAUUCCAUGACUAAAAUUGCAACGUUGAAACGAAAGUAUAAGACAAAUUUAUCUUUUUUCCUUUUUAGAAAAACAUGUGUUACUUUUCCAUGAGCAUGCAUCUAUCUAACGUAGUUAAAAUGUAAAGCUCUUAGAGUAUAUUUGCAAAAAUGUGAACAAAUCCGCAUUUAAUUACUUGAUCUUGUUUUAAUUCUGAACCUGGAUUUCUUUAAUAAAUGUAAUGUACCUAUUUUUUUUUUUGUUUAUGAGAUAAUAUUAAUAAAUGUACUUUAAAAGCAAGGAUAUGCACUCUUUCAUAUGGGAUUUUCUUCUGAUCUUAAAGUAUUACAAAUCAAUGAAGGAAUUCGAAAAGGAAAGAAACAGAGGAGAUCAAAACAAAAGUAAUGCAUAACUUGUUACAGCUUUAGCUGUGACAGAGAGUCCGUAAGUCCUCGGUUUCUCUCCUUUUUCUCUUUUCUAUAACAGAACUUGUGUGCCUUUUCAGUUAAGAAACUUAACAUCUUCAUAUGAAUAUAGGCAUAUUUAAUUCGAUUUUAAUAACCAAAAAAAAAACAAGACUUAAAGAGUUCAUGGGCAUAUGAAAAUAUCUGUUCAACUAUCAGUUAAGUGAAGAAAACUAUUGAUCACUCACAUGUUCUGUUCUUACAACUCCUAAAACUUUUGGCCUUACAAGAAGGCAUGGUCUCUAAAAGGGAACAUGUUCAGACUCACUCUAUAUAUAAACUUUCACUUCUACUCACAUGGCUCUCAGUGAAAGAAGCCAUUAAAGUCCCUUCUCGUUCUUCAUUUUAUUUAUAGAUAUUGAGACAUCUAACCCACAAUGCUUGGCUUUUGGUAAAGCAAGAUGUGUAAGGUCAUUGGUCACUUCCAUGUUUUGGUAUAUAACAUUAAGUGAUGUAUGUCUACAAGCUUCUUCCUUUUUGCUUUUGUAGAGUUCAGGAUGAUCUUGAAGAAAGUGGAACUGAUAAGAUAAUGCAGAAGCAAAGAGGUGAAAUGGUUCAAAUGCCUAAACCACAAAGCUCCAAGAAAGCAAGUGAGGCUUCCAUUGAGAACAAAGGAAAAUCUUUGAAAGCUAAAGUACGUGGCAGAGUAUUUUCUGAGGACUAUGAGAAGGUGAAGAAGCACAUAAUACUUUAUCCUAACGGCAAAACCAUUCGCCUAUGGAGCAAGAUAUUCUUAGUAGCAUGUUUAGUUUCUGUGUUUUUGGAUCCUUUGUUUUUCUACUUGCCAAUCGUAAGACGGGAAGAAAUGUGCAUAGAUAAUGGAGUAAGAACUCUUGAAACUACACUUACCAUCAUCAGAAUUUUAGCUGAUGUAUUUUAUGUGAUUCAAAUUUUUGUUUGUUUUCGUACUGCUUAUGUUGCACCUUCUUCUCGAGUUUUCGGGAGAGGAGAGUUUGUUGUAGAACCUUCAAAGAUUGCAUCAAGGUGCCUACAAAGAGGGUUCUGGCUAGACUUCAUUGCCGCAUUGCCUCUACCUCAAGUAAGUCAUCAAAAUUUUUUACAAUAUGACGGUACUUAAUGUUUUAGUGAGUGAAAAGUAAUGUAUUUAAUGAAUGUAUCUUUCAAUUACAGGUCUUAAUAUGGGUUGUUGUACCCAAUCUUGAGAUUCCAGCAGUUACAAUGACAGUUAGCAUUCUUCGGAUUCUCAUCCUAUUUCAGUACCUCCCAAGAGUUUUUCUUAUAUUUCCUCUCACAUCAAAGAUCGUUGAGGCCACCGGCGUUGUGACACAAAAAGCAUGGGCAGCAGCUGCAUACAACCUUCUGCUUUACAUGUUAGCUAGCCAUGUCUGUACUUAAGAGUCAUUUUUUAAUUAUAUCAAGCAUUGAGAUGGUUUGUUCAAUAAGCUGAAUAACUACAAUUUUUUUCUUUUUAUUUCCCUUCUUCUAAUGAAGGUUUCAGGAGCUUGCUGGUAUCUGCUAUCAGUUGAGAGACAAGAAGCUUGCUGGAGAAGUGCUUGCAACCUUGAGAAGCCACUCUGUGAGCUAGGAUUCUUUGACUGCCGCAGGCUUGAAGACCCUCAAAGGAUUAAUUGGUUCAAAUCAAGCAAUGUUUCAAACAUAUGCCAGGACGGCUAUAAUGGACCUGAUAUCAAUAUUGGUUUCUAUCAGUUUGGUAUUUAUACUGAUGCUGCCUUAAACAAUGUUACUGGCUCCUCAAUCCUCAACAAAUACUUCUACUGUUUCUGGUGGGGCUUAAGGAACCUGAGGUAAGUUUUAAAGUGCAUCUCAAUAAUCUCCGAUUCACUAGUACUAGGUAUAUCAUUUCUGAAGAAAUCAAAUGAUGCCAGUCUCUUUAUCUUCAAUGAGUGCAGCUCCUUGGGACAAAAUCUUGCAACAAGCACUUACAUUGGUGAAAUACUUUUCACCAUCGUUAUUGCAACUCUAGGACUGGUUCUUUUUUCAUUGCUCAUUGGGAAUAUGCAAGUAAGUCCUUCAAAUGAUGUCUUCUAAUGUCUGAUUAAUCAACAUCUUCAGUACUAUUCAGAAGGAGUUAUAGAAUUAGCACACGCUUGCUUUAUUGUUGGCAAAGUUGUUUACAGGGUCGUUGCUGUAAUUUUCCAUUUACUUGAAUUAUAAGUCAUUAACAUUUUACUUCCAGAGAUACCUGCAAUCUACAACCAUUAGAAUGGAAGAAUGGAGGAUCAAGAGGACUGAUACAGAACAAUGGAUGCAUCACAGGCAGCUGCCUCCAGAACUGAGGCAUUCAGUUAGGAAAUUCGAUCAAUACAAGUGGGUGGCCACUAGAGGAGUUGAUGAAGAAGCCAUUCUCCAUGAACUUCCAUUUGAUUUACGGAGAGAAAUCAAGCGCCACCUUUGCCUCAACCUAGUCAGACGGGUAAGUUCUUUGAUCUUAUAUCAUUUUUUAUUUAUAAAAUUCUUAUGGGUGUUUGCAUAUUCUUUUCUAGAUUUUAACCCCUUAAAAAUUUAGUUUAUCGGAUUCACUGCCGAGUUAAAUUUUUACUUAGCAAUGAAUUAAUGAUCCAGAUUUAUUUUUUAUUUUUAUCUUUCUCAAUCUUUUCCCUAACAAUCAUUGACUCCCUUACCCUAAAAUUUACCUUCAAAACUUUCAGCCCCUUCGGAUUUUCAACCCUCGCUCCGCUCCUGACAGUAGGAAGAUAUAUUAUGAUGCUGAAAAGUUACCCAUUUUAACAAUAAUUUCCAGGUUCCAUUGUUCCAUCAAAUGGAUGAAACAAUACUAGACGUAAUAUGCGAGAGGCUAAAACCUGUGUUAGGAACCAAAGGCAUGUUCCUUGUGCGGGAAGGUGAUCCUGUGCAACAAAUGCUGUUCAUAGUCCGAGGACAACUGGAUUCCUACACCACAAAUGGUGGCCAUUUUGGAUUCUUCAACUCAAGCCGGAUUGGCCCUGGUGAUUUCUGCGGCGAGGAGUUGCUGACGUGGGCCCUCGACCCGCGGCCAACUGUCAUUCUUCCAUCAUCUACACGCUCUGUCAAGGCUAUAACUGAAGUAGAGGCAUUUACACUUACUGCUGAGGACUUGACAUUUGUAGCUUCACAGUUUAGGAGACUGCAUAGCAAGCAACUUAGGCACAAGUUCAGGCAUCAUUCACAUCAUUGGAGAACGUGGGCAGCAUGUUUUAUUCAAGCUGCGUGGCGCAGGCAUAAGAACUUGAAAGAAACAGCUAAAUUGAAGAGUGGAUCAGAGCCCGGACAGCCAUCAGGUACUGGUUCAUUUUGGGACCACUAUGCUGAGAGUUUGAUUGCUAGAACUAGUAGUGGAAGUUUCAAGCAAGCUGCUGGCCCAAGUUCGGAUGUUGUGUACUCAUCAUUGCAAAAGCUUGGAGAGCCUGGCUUUAAGGAGUGAAGUAAAAAGCCUCCUACAAGAUUGAACGAGUAAUGAUUUAGUGGAUGACAUUACUGAUGUCACAAUGAGCGACACUGUCACGUGGCGCUAUCUAAUUAAUUCAUAAUUUUAAUAUUUUUUGUAAAAAAUUAUAUAAUUAUACUAUAUAUUCACUUGUUCAUCAUAUAAUGGACGAGAUUGCUCUUUUGAUUAUUUAUGAAAUUAGCCAUGUGUAAUAUGUUUAAAAUUUUAACACCAUUGAGUUUUAUGAUAAAUGUUAAGAGCACCAAUGAAACAGUUUUACUUUCGGACUUCUGUUUUCCCGUACUAUAUUUUCUGGCUGGCUCAAAAGUUCAGUGGCCCGUUGGCCUUUGCUUGAAAAAGAGAGGGAGAAAGCCUUUCAGAGUGGAGCUUUUGACACCCCUCUAAAAUUCUUAUUGCACCCCUUUGAAAUUUAUUUUCUUAAAAUACCUUAGUUUUAUUGAUAAAAUACAAACCCAUAUAUUAAAUUAAUCAUCUUCCCAUAUUAUUUUCCUCUAAAAAAAUAUUUAUUUUAAGUUUUUAUUUUUAAAAUACAUACAAAUUAUAAUAUCUUAAGUUAUUUUCUUUUAUUAUAUAAUUUCUAUCGUCAUGACUCUAAACUUAUAUAAUUAAAAAAAUUAAUUAGGGUGUAAACUUUUUCAAAAUUUUUAAUUUAUUUAAUUGUUUAAUUGAAUUCCCCCUGUAAAAUAAGAAAUGAAUUAAAUCUUGUUUAGUUAUUUAGGCAUUCUCAAUUAAAAAAGGAGUUUUAUGAGAUAUUUUCAGGGAUAUCAAAAGGUCUACUCAACCGUUAAUCAGUAGGCUUGAACUUGAUUUUGAUCUUCUACAAUUAUGGGUUCACUUGAGCUUAAACAUUAGGGUGGUGAUCGGUGAUACUAUUCCCUGCAUUUUGUGUAAUAAUAUUAAAAUACAAAAAGCAUUAGUAAUCUACACACGCACACACACGUAUAUUCGUACAGCUUUUUCAUUCCUUUGUAUCUCUAGUAAUGGUAAUGUGUGUGUGCGUGUGUGUAUAAUUCUACAAAACAAACUUUCACCCAUCUUCUCCGUUCGUUGAUUUUGAAUUUCUUAAUUACAGUGAUGAGUAAUUAUUUAGUUUUGAGCUAUUUGAAUUACUAAUUUGUAAUAGAAAUUGCUACGGCGACCAUGAAUUAAUCAUCCACGUUUUGGGUUAAGGGGAGCUUGAAAAGUCCGUAGUAAAUAAUAAUGUGUAAAUGGGCACAAGCCGAAACAAUCCAUGUAUAGGGUUGUUUAAUAAUGGAGAAGGGUGAUUGAUGCCCGACGUCAGCACAUUAUAAUUUAUAAUCCACGUUUUGUUCAUUUCUCAUUAUUGAACCUUGACCUAGUUUUGUCAAAAACAUCAUCCACUUUCCAAGCAAAGCGUUGUCAAACCUUCAAGUAGGAUUCCCUUUCUUUCAACCAUUGAAAAAAUAUUGGGACGAACUAAAAUCUUGGACAUUUCAAUUAUUAAUAUCUAACGGAUUUUUUUUAAAAAAAUUUAUAUGAAUUCAUGAAGUUUAAAAAAUAUAUAUAUAACCAUAUAUAUUUGUCUCAUUCAUAAAAUCAUAUACAUUUGUUUCCUUAUCACGAAAUUACUUUGAAAUACAUUCAGCUUCUUUACUCAUUUUUUUAUUACAGAGGAAGAUUCCAAUUUCCUAAUUAUAUCACUAAUCUCUUUAUUGUUUUCAUAAUACCUAAUAGCCCUAUAAUACUAUAAUUUUACAGCAUUGCUCUUAUUUUUAAAUAUAGUUUUAUUCUUAUUUAUUAUAUAUUAAAUAAAUCAUAUAAAUUGAUAUUAAAAUAAAAAUUUAAAUACAGAAAUAAGAAACAUAGGUUUUUGCUAUGAGCAAAAAAUUAUUUUUCUUAUAAUUUUUGUUAUUUUAAUACAUAUUUUAUAUUUACAAAAUCAAAUAUCCAACAAAUGAUCUAUUUAUCCUUUCUUUCCUUUAAUUUUUUUUUAUGUUAAGACGAUUAUUAAAUUUAUAAAGACAUUAAAGAAAUAAAUAAUACAUAUCCAUUUCAAUAGGGGAACCGGCAGCAAUCUCCCUUUUCGAAAUUUUCUUUUCGUGAUUUUCUGUAGUUUUCCAUCAUUCAGAUAUUAUAUUACGUUUACGUGUGGGUCACAAAAUGCAUGCAUGUGACGUGAGCAACAGACCUGUGAUCAUCUUCUUGGGGUCGUCGGGGGGUCCCUCACACAUGAAUCCAGUCUGUUUUAAUGAACAAAUUAAUGCUCUUGAUUAAUGCUCACACAAGCCUUGUCCAGUGCUUUUAAUUAAUUCAAACCAUAGGUACACUCCUACCAUAACUCAUGAUUUUUUUUUUUUUUUUUUUCCCCACUUUGGAAUUGUUACAAUGAUAAAUCUAUGAAUCUAUUGCCAGAAAGUUUAAAUUUUUACGUUUAUACCACAUCCCAAUGAUCUACAAAGAAUAAUUCAGAAAUGAUCUGCGCUAUGUGUGUGUGUAUAUAUAUAUAUAUAUAUGCACACUCUCUGGCUAAUAUUUAAGAAGUUAUUAAUCUAUGAUUGGCCAUAAAUUAAUCUAAACGUCUCUUAUGGAUUUGUUGCUUGUUUUCAUUACUAUUUAGAGAUUAAAAAUAAAGAAUGGUCUCGUGCAUACACUUCUUCCUCGUCACUUGUUCGGGAUUAGGCAGCAAGGCAUUAAUAGUAGCAAGCUGGUUGCAAAGCGAGAUCUCGCUGGCCGGUCGGAUUAGAUAUCUAUAAUAGCUAAUACAUCACAAAAUUUUCAAAGUAAUCCUCGUGAUUAUGAUAUUUACGAUGAUGGCUUUCAACAAAGCACUCAGAACUUUUCAAAUUAAGGAUCCAAUUAGGAAAAAGAAAAGAAGAUUAAUUGGAUUGUGUAAAGCAAAAGACUCGCACCGUCACAGGACAAGAAGACAAUAGUUAGGUUGCGGAGACUGACCGUUUUGCAUCUAAUUAGCCCGUGCUUGUGAAUUGAAGAAUAUGGUGACCAUUAAUUUGUUUUUAUCCUCCCUUUUUCCAAUUUACAACAAUCCAUUCAAUGAAAUAAUGGGUUUGUGUAUGGCGUUAACAAGUUUUGUUCUACUGAAAUAGGGACGUGUGUUUAUGGAGGUUGGGUCUUUGUUAUGAAAUAAAAAUUGUAAUACAAAUUAAUUAUUGUGACAAUUAUUAUUAUGAUUUUAAUUUGGCAGAGAGUUUUUUUUUUUUUUCAAAUCUAGAAUAUAUGCGUGCCUCCUGCGAAAUCAUAUAUAUUGUUAUUUAAAAUUUUGAAUUGGAUAAUCUGAUUAAGUGUUAUUCUAUGCAUUUUGGCGAAGCAUUUUCAAUUAUUUCCACUCGGUUCUCCAAAUUAAACAACUAAAUGAUUUUGUCAAUUGGGUCCAAAAAAGAGCUAAGUUCCAUAUGUGUGUGUGCGUGCGCAUGAUAUAUGCCCAAUGAACAUAUAAUAUCAUGCUUUUUCAUGCCUGAAAAGGAACAUCUCUAUCAUUUUCCAGCUACUAAUUAACGUAAUCUUGUACUAAACGAAUCCUUAUCCACCUUCCAUCACCCCCAUGAGGCUGCCACGAGAAACUAUGAAGAUGCUUUCACAAGGAUCAAUUUAUGUAAGCACUUCUUACAAGGCAGAUAUUUUUUAAACCAUUGCCAACAAUCAAAAGCUCUCUCUAGAUAAGAUCACCUCCCCAAACUCAACAAUUUUAUAUAUACUAUUUCAGAAAAAAUUAAAAAAAAAAACUGAAAAUUUCUUUCGGCCUUAUUAGCAGCAGAUCCCAAGUGAGAACACCAGGUGCAUUAGUGCAAAUAUCAUUGCUUCCAAGCUGUCAUGGGAUUUUCUUCAAAGCAAAAGUCAAUGGAGUUCGGUGGUGACAGCUACUCACGUUUUAACUAAAAUAAUUUCAUAAUGCAGAAUGCUGUGGAAAUAAUAAAAAGUCAAAAAGUGUCGCCAUUAAAGCUAGCUUAGCUUGUUCAUUUUUCAGUAGGAUGAGGAAAUAGAGAAAGAGAGCGAGCAACGUGUCAUUAAAAGAACCAAUAGGUGCUUGUUCUGUUCUGUUUACUCGACUCUCACGUGACUGAUUGAAGAAUAUAGAAAGGAUUGUAUUUUUAAUGGUUUACUUUUAAUUUGUUUACCCCAAAUUGAUGUUCAUCUACUUUUGCUAGUUAUUGGAAGAACGCCAGCUUCAUAAUCAUACGGUUGGUUGUUGUGAGGAAUUUUUCUUUCCUAUUUUAAUCAUAUCAUGAUUGCAAUGUGACUAUGUAUAAGGAAUCGCCUUCGAUGUCGAUCAACUUUUCAAAUUUUUUUAAAUUUUUAAUUAAGAUAAUACUUGCCAUAUAUCAUGUCAAAAGUGCAUCAUAAUAAAAAUGAAAUUAUUAUUUUUAUAUAUUAAACUAUUUAGUAUUCCAAUAUCACAUUGAACCCUAAUUAAUAUAUAUUCGAGCUGAGUAGGAUCAGUAGGGUGGUAAAACUCUCCCAAUGGAUAUAUAACACAGUUGAAUUCACAAGACUCAAACCAAUGAUGUUGAUUAAAUUAGAACAACUUCAUACUAGCUGAUCUACGCGCUUGUUGGUUUAAAAAAAUAAUAUUUAGCUAAUUAAACUCCACAUAACAUCUCUUUCAAAUUUGGUGUAGGUAAGGAUUGGAUUUCCACUAGUGACAAAAAAUUGAUAGAUUUCCCAGUUAUUAAUUGAGGUGAAGUUCUCUCUCAAGGAAAUAAUUUUUUUUUUUUGGAGAUAAAUACUGGUCUCGAUAAAUUAGCCGCUAUACUCAUUAUCUUUGGGUAAAUUAAGAUGAUCGAGACAAAUUUUCAAUUGUAAUGUAAAUAGAUUGUAUUGUCAUAUUUUUAAGUAGAAAAACUAGACCCAUAUUUUAUAGAAGUAACAAUAUUUUUUUCUCAAAUUACAUUCAUAUUUUUUAACAAUACAAUGAUUGAUUCAAUGUUAUUAUACUUAUGCAUUUGAAACUGAUUUUCAAUUUGUAGGAGCUAAUUAGUACAAUUAAUACAAUCUCUUGUGUUGAAAACACAGACUAAAUCCUAGUCACAUGGGUGGGGAAGAAAUUAAAUUAUCUUCAGCCUAAAAAUUAAAAAAUUUUAAUUUUCAAUUUGCAUUUAUGUUAUUUAAAAUUUCCCUUUUUUUUGGAUUUGUUUCCCAAUAGAGAACCCCUCUUUAAAGUUAAAAAUGGGAUAAUUCACACAACAAUCUAAUAAAAUUUCAGCACAACAGUUUCUAAAGAUUUUGUUACAAUUAUUACUAGAUAAUUUUUCCCCUAAUCACAUUAAAUUUAAGGCUUCUUAGUUAAUCCGUAAAGAAAAAACACACACACACAGGGCCAUCAGCUCCGUGCACCAUCAUCGGUUGCAGGCACACGUAGCCAAAAGAUUCCAUAGGCAUGCACCGUAUCUAAUGCAGUCAACUCCUCGGAUCUUUACAAAUAAAACAAGUGAAUAAAUCAUUAAGACAUCAAAAGUACAGUCCAUGGACACUGCAUUAAACAAUAACAGAAACUGAAGCAUCUUCUUCUCUCUUCUGUUUAUACGUACCUUCUCUUCUUUUCUUUUUGAUACACUCAUUUGGUCCUGUCUUUAUGUCUUUAUUUAUAGUCCCAUAAAUUAUUCAAUAUUUUUUUCCUUCUACAAAUUGAUCAUCAACAAUAAUUAAAACCCCUUAAUUAUUUAAUUCUUUUUGCUGUCUUUUUCACAAAAUAUAUUCUGAGUCUCUUAGACCGAGUCUCGUACAUAUUUUAUAUGACUGCAAUUCGCAAAACUCAUCAUUAUUUUUUAGGCGGGUUUCACAAGGAGUCUCAUCACAUCCUAACAAUGGAAACUUUUCAUUGAACUCGCAUUGCAACUUCCCAUUUCAGUUUCGUUUGUGCAAGCAAGUCCUGAUCAAAUGUUAUUUCUUAGUCUUUGAUUAUAAGAAAAGAUAACAAGAUUUUGAGAUUCUGGGUUAGGUCUGUAAUGUUGAUUACGUGUGAUGUGAUAUAAUAAUGAUGCUUUAUAGUCUUUACACAUUUCUUCUUCAGCUGAUAUCUUGACUUUAAAAAACGUAUUAACCUCUGAUGCAGAUUUAAAGUAGUAUUUAUAGUAAUUAGUCACAACUCACAUGUUUGACCUGUCCUUUUUCUCCUGAAAAGGUGGGAUGCUCUAUUGUUCUUUAUACAAAGCUUCAUGUACAAGUUGAGCUUUCUUUUUCUGUUCACAAGAUUCCUGAUGAAAGCAGCCAUUGGUGGAAUUUUUUUUUUUGAAGUUUUUGUGGCUCUACUGCUAAAGAGCUCUUGCCUAGUCAAUUUUACUUGAUUUUGUGGUGCACUAUAUAGAACCCUUUUGCCUGUUUGUACUGCAGAUCAAAUCGUUUCGUUUGAAGCAGCAUCAUGGGUUACAAUAAUUCAAGAUCUGUCAGGUUAGUUAGUCCCUUCAGUAUUCUUCUAAGUUUUUGUUAUGUUCAGUUUAGAAAAUUAAAAAAAAAAAAUGUUAUGCGUAGUAACAAAUUUAAUAUUUUGCAUACAAAUUUUCAGAUUUCAAGAUGAUCUUGAAUUAUCAGAAAAGUCCCCUGCAAUGAAUGGAGACGGUGUGAUUAAGUUCAAAUACAAGUUUGAUGGGAAGCAAGUACCCGAGAAGGAGGUAUCCGGGAAGCCUGUAAAAUCCUUGAAAGCUAAAGUACUGUCAAGAGUCUUCUCUGAGGAUUAUGAGAGAGUAAAGAAGAAGAUAUUGGAUCCUCGAGGGCCAGCAAUUCGUCGAUGGAAUAAGAUCUUUUUAGUAGCAUGUUUAGUUUCUUUGUUUGUGGAUCCUCUGUUCUUUUACUUGCCGGUAGUUAGACAUGAAGUGUGCAUAGAUAUCGGGAUUCCCUUGGAAGUGAUUCUCACUAUUAUAAGAACACUGGGUGAUGCCUUUUACAUAAUUCAGAUAUACAUUAGAUUUCGUACAGCUUAUGUAGCGCCUUCUUCUCGUGUUUUUGGGAGAGGUGAGCUUGUUAUAGAUCCUUCAAAAAUUGCAUCAAGGUACCUGAAGAAGGGCUUCUGGAUUGACUUCGUUGCUGCCUUGCCCCUUCCUCAGGUUUGUCACAAGAACUCUAUAUUGCCUUUAAGAUGUUAAUUUAUGGGGCUUAAUUCUUUUCCUUACUUAAAUUUCAGGUUUUGAUUUGGUUCAUUAUCCCCAAUCUUAGGGGCUCGACAAUGAGAAACACGAAAAAUGUCCUUCGUUUCAUCAUCAUUUUUCAGUACCUUCCCAGACUCUUUCUUAUAUUCCCACUCUCACAACAAAUUAUUAAUGCCACUGGUGUUGUGACAGAAACUGCUUGGGCAGGGGCUGCUUAUAACCUUGUACUCUUCAUGUUGGCAAGCCAUGUAAGUAUCAAGAAAUUCAUAUUAAUCGAAUUGUUAAGUGAACGGAGGAUUAGAUUUCAAAGAAUGCUAAUGUCUGUUACAUACUAUGGUUGUUAGAUGGGUAAAAGGAAGGAGAAAAUUUAAGAAAUUGUUGCGAAAACUUAGCAUAGUAAAUUGAUAGUAAUAAGAUGUUGCAAUCUGCAGUUGAUUACUGAUAACUCCAUCCUGGUUACUUUCUUCUUUGAAAUAGGUUUUAGGAGCUUGUUGGUACCUUCUUUCAAUUGAACGGCAAGAAGCAUGCUGGAGAAGUGUCUGCAAUAGUGAGAAGCCAUCAUGUCAAUAUGGAUAUUUUGAUUGCCACAAGGUUGAAGAUCCUAAUAGGGAGUCCUGGUUCAAGUUCAGCAACAUCACAAGCCUUUGUGAUCCGAACAACGUAAGCUCCUACAAGUUUGGUAUUUAUGCUGAUGCAGUUACAUUUGAUGUCACAACAGCACCUUUCUUCAACAAGUACUUUUACUGUCUCUGGUGGGGCUUGAAGAAUCUGAGGUAAGGUUAAAUCUUUCUUUUUCUUGCCAGUCAAUUGAGCAUAAUGUUGUUUAUCACAAGCUUAAUAGAUAUAGUACACAAUAUCGAUCAUUCCCAAUGGAAUGCCUAAUAUAGAUUCUAAUGUUCUGUUUCACCAAUAAGUGCAGUUCUCUAGGACAAAAUCUUGCCACAAGCACUUACGUUGGAGAAAUAAUUUUUGCCAUCAUUAUUGCAACUCUCGGAUUAGUUCUCUUUGCAUUGCUCAUUGGGAAUAUGCAAGUAAGCAUUUCUCACAAUGCCUUCGAAUCUAUCAUUUCUUUUGCAGUCAUUAAUGGUUGAACAUGUCACUUCAGAGAAGUUGAAUGCAGCAUGUAUGGAAUAUGUCUUGAAACAAAAAGCUCGAGAUAAUAUCCCAAUCAUUUUCAUUGCUAUGGUUUGACUAUGUUAUUUCAACCAGUAUAUAAUUCUGGUUGUGCAUUUCACUCGCAGACUUACCUCCAGUCGACAACUAUCAGAUUAGAAGAAUGGAGAAUCAAGAGAACCGAUACAGAACAAUGGAUGCAUCACAGGCAGCUACCUCCAGAAUUAAGGCAAUCUGUUAGAAAAUAUGAUCAGUACAAAUGGGUAGCCACUAGAGGUGUUGAUGAAGAAGUUCUUCUAAAAGGGCUUCCCACGGAUCUCAGGAGAGACAUUAAGCGCCAUAUCUGUCUUGAUCUUGUCCGACGAGUAAGCCAAUGCUUCAUUUUCACUAUGAUACAUGUCCUAACCCAGUUGUAGAAUUUGAUGUCGAUGGAGUGACAAUGCCAGCAUGAUAUAAUAAUUACGUAAUAUGGUGAACAGGUUCCAUUGUUUGAUCAAAUGGAUGAAAGAAUGCUUGAUGCAAUAUGUGAGAGGCUUAAGCCUGCCUUGUGCACUGAAGGCACGUUUCUUGUACGUGAAGGUGACCCCGUCAAUGAAAUGCUAUUCAUAAUCCGAGGGCACCUAGAUUCUUACACCACUAAUGGUGGCCGCACUGGAUUCUUCAAUUCGUGCCGUAUUGGCCCAGGUGAUUUCUGUGGCGAGGAACUGCUGACAUGGGCUUUAGACCCUCGCCCAAGUGUCAUUCUUCCAUCAUCUACUCGUACAGUCAAAUCCAUAUCCGAAGUUGAGGCUUUUGCUUUACGAGCAGAUGACUUGAAGUUUGUAGCAUCACAAUUUCGAAGAUUGCAUAGUAAGCAACUUAGACACAAGUUCAGAUUCUACUCACACCAAUGGAGAACAUGGGCUGCGUGCUUCAUUCAAGCAGCUUGGCGCCGGUAUAAAAAACGAAAAGAAGCAGCUGAACUAAGGGCUAAAGAGAACAUUCCUGCUGAGCCUGAUUCUCCCCAGCCUCCUUCAGGCUUAUCAAUUUAUGCAGCUAGAUUGAGUGCUAGCACUAGAAGGGCCAAUAAACAUUCCAGGUCUGAUUCUGGUGUCGUCACCACAUUGCAGAAACCGGCAGAGCCAGAUUUUUCUGUAGAUGAAGAAUGAAUGUUAACACACAAAUUGAGAUGGGGUUUGUGAUUCAUUUGUUCAUUGAUAUACAUUUGAAGUCAUAACUGGCAAAUAUUUUUGGCUUGUAACAUGCAUCUUUGUUCUUUUUAUUAGAAAUGAUGCAUAUAGUAGCUGAAAAAAUGCAAAGAAAAUAGUUACGACAAUGUAUUGUGGAAAAAUUAAAAUCAUACAUUGCAUGUUAUCAAAAUGUGAAGUCAAUCACAGCAAAUUUCAACUGCAUAUGCUUCUGCCUACGCCAAUAUGUGAGACAUUGGAGUAGAAUGGAUAAACAACGAGAGCUAGGCAUUGUUUGCUUUUUUGGGCUUGCAAUGCCCUGAAUAUUCGCUGGAGUGGAGCUAUUCAACUCUCACCUUUUAUCUCAUCAAAUAAUUGCAGACUUUGUCAAAAAAAUAAAUAAAUGUAUAUAUAUAUAUAAAUGUUCUAGUCAUGAAUUUUAAAAUGCGGGAAAGUGCAGAAAAACUUUAAAACCGCAUGGUUUUAAAGGCUUAAAAUUGUAAGUCUUUAAAGUUAUGCUGUUUUAAAAAUUUUUCAAACUUUUCCGUAUUUUAAAAUUCAUGACCAGAAAACAAAUGGAGUCUGAUAGGAUUAGUAACCGGGGCUGAAUUGCUCUGCUAGGUAUUCACUGGCUAGCAAGCCCACCAACAUUUAUAAAGCCCACGAAGUUGCAACCCAAGCUUCACUUUCAUGGGCCACCUGGGCAAAGUAGCGGGGGUUACCACCCCUGCCAGUAUUUAGCGGUGAGAAGUCUCGUAAACGACUCCCCCAAUCUUAGCGGGGUAGAGAUUUAACUGUAUGGUAGCUUCAGAUUUUCAGAUGAUGCUAUUACAGAGUUAAUUUACAAAAUUUGAGUAGAUUUCUAAUUUUAUAUAUCGGUAAAUUAUAAAUAAGGUAACACUUGGCAGAACAAUAUCACUUUCAUGCGGACCAAAAUGCUCCAAAAGAGGUUAAAGGUGCACGCGAUUUGUUCAAAUGUUAUGUCAUUUGCAAAAGCGUGUAGGGGAUACAGGAACAUGAAGUUUGAUCGGCUAAAAACGGUGCCUCAGGAAACUCGACUAAACACGAUGAGCUACGCCAUGCAGAAGCAGAAAGUCAAGAAGCUUUAACAAAAGCUAUACUUAUGAUUAAUUAGCAGUUACUAACAAUUUGGACCAUUGUGAACAUACAAACUUGUAAAAGUGAUUUUAUUAGGGAAAAAAAAACCAAAAAUAUAAGAAAUAAAAAGUGAUUCUUGCAUAGCUUUUGGAGCGUAAUCUUUGACCGGGUGCCGUUGAUUAAAGACAAGAAAAUUGUCGUUAUGCUAAUUCAACUAAUUAAACUUCUAACAUUGUUCUCCUUUUGGUGAUCAAUUUUAGGGAGAUUAAAGCACAAGCAAUUGCUUUUGCAUACACCAUGUGAAAGCAGCAAUUUCUUUUCCAAGCAAAUUCGGUGAAAAGCAAAAUGAGGAAUUCAAAGGGUUUAAUUACUAAUUAAUCUGUAAUACUAAUUGGUAGGAUGUAUACAAAAUAGAACGCACUAUACAUGACAUGUGUGAAACACCAACUUGUAUUAAAGAAAAGCAAAGUACAAGUUUUCUUCAUAAUUUAUUCUUUUUAGGGUUUGUAAUUUUACGUGUUGUAGUUAGUAAUUAUACAUGCAAUUGGGGCCAUAGACACAUUGAUGGCAUGAAACAUAAAAUUCUCUCUAAAAGAGGAACAAUAUAAGUAAAAGAGAAACAAAAUUUGGCCUUGGAAACUUUAUGAGAGUCCCACAUUCAUGCUUUCACCAUAACAUUGCACUUGUCGAAGUGUCAUAAGCCAUUCUUUUUGGGGUGGGCUCAGUCAUUGUUUGUGGAUCCAUUUUGACUAAUGGCCUCUUUGGGUUGUUUUGAUUUGAAGUAGUCUUGAAAAUAGUAAGUAUAGUUUUUGCGUUAAAAGUGAGAGUUAGAACAACCCUUUCAACUGAAUUUUCAAAGUGAAAAAGAAACAAAAGGAGGAAACAAUCAUAUAAAAGAAGUUUAAGUACUCUUGAAUUUAUGUACCUUACGGGUCGUUUUGGUUGUCUUUAAUUAGUUAUUAUUAAUUAGCAUUGGAUAAGACACUUGAAUUGAGUUAAGAAAGCCAAAUUCAAUGGAACAAAUCUCUCAACACCUUCAAUUAUGUCAUUGACCACUGACAAUUAGUUGCCCAACAAAGAGGGAAGAAUUAAAAAGAAAAAGGUAGAAUGAGAUUAAUGAGUGGUUGAUGACCUAAUCCCCUAUAAUCAAGAAAUUAUGUCUCCCUAAUAAUCCAAAACUUAACUGUAAUACCCUUUUGAAAAUUUUCUUACGAGAAAAUUGAUUGAAGCAUUAUCAUAUUAUCGACUAGAUUUUAAGGAAAAAAAAAAGGAAAAAGAUAGUAAUAUUUCUUAAAUUACCUCAAAAUUUGGCAAGCUCAAGUGGCCAACCCAUAAACAUUUUCAUUUUUUGUUCCACAAAAUAAUUUUAGCCUCAAAUUGGAAUGCUGAGUUCUGAAACAACUAACUAUAUGCAAACCAUUAACUUUUCAAAAAUGCUUAUGUAAUCCACAUGAAGUUAGUGACUCAAAAAUACCUUUAAUUUAGUUGCAUAGUACGUAGGAUUGCACUUUGUAAAUUUAGUCAUUGAAACAUUCAAAAACUUGCCACCCUUUUGUCAAAGACAUAAUCAAGUUCUUUUAGCCUAUCAUGCAGAGCCAUAAAAAUGGAAAUUUUUGACACUAAAGAUGAUGAUAAUAAUUAGUUUAGAUGGGUGUGGCCCUUAAUACAGAAUUUUGAACAAGAUGAUUGGACAUUGCAACUAUAAUUAUCCUUUCUUAAUUGCUAUGUCACGAUAUUUCCCUGGAAGAAUAACAAAAAUCAAAUUCCAAAUGCUCUCUUCAAUCUCAUCAUGAUGAUCAAGCCCCACACUGGCUCAUGCUGUCAUGUGAUAAAUAUAAGAAAGUCCAAUAUCAAAGUUGAUAAUUUAAGGGCAUAAUCAUGGUGAUUAGUUGCACAUUUUUCUUUUGUACUUAGACUUGUAAGCUUAAUUUGUUAGAAACUAGUUGGACUAGGGUGCUAAACCACUUCUGUUUAUUUGUAUGAAAAAUAGUUCGAAUCUCUCUUACACCUCAAUGGAGUGAAAUUUCCUCUCAAAUAUUUAAAAGUACAUUCAAUUUAUUCGAGACCUAAUGUCAGAUUAUAUUAUAACAGAAUCGAUCUAGAGAGUCUUGUCAAUUUUUUUGCAAUAUACUGAAUAAGAAGAAAAAGAAAAAGAAAACUUUAUAUUUCAACGUUGAACUUUCUUUUUCAUGGCUUCUUUGGAUCAUUCUUAAUAUCUUUUUACUUGUCAUAAGAUUUCAAAAUUUCUCUUUCUCCUUCUCGGUAAUCAAACCACCUAAUAUAUUCAAACGUCAAAAUAUAAUCAUGGUCAUGGAGGUAACAAUAAUCAUUCAUGUGAGGACCAAGAACCAUUAAAAUGGAUUUGUUAAUUCUCACUUAUCAUCUAUAUAACAAUAUGAUAUAUUAUAAACCCAUUGUCAUAAGAAGCCUCGAGUCGGCCACCAACCAAUUAAUGCAUGUGAGCAUGAUGGAGGUCUUUCAUUUUCUUCCACGCAGAGGGGUUUAGGUUUAUUUUAUUUACUAGAUUGUUAAAUUAUCAUCAACAAAGAAGAUAAUGAUGGCAAAUGAUUUUGAUGAGGGUAUAUUCUCAUAAUUUAGAUUCAAAUGAGACAUUUUAGUCAAGGGUAGUUGCAAUUAUAUUACGGAUUAUUCAAUUUGAAUGAGACCAAGGAAGCAGGAGACAAGUCUUUCAAGGUUUAGGGGAGCAAAAGCACUUAUUAUCUCAUGUUCUUGUGUCCAAUCUCUCUUCUUUAAAAUAUGCGAAAGGUUGAAUUAAGCAAUUCAAAACAAGGAAAGCAGUAGAAUUAGAUCAAUAGUCUGCAAUAAUGAUUGAAUCAAUAAGAAAUUUAAUCACAUAGAGUUAAAAGCUUAAUCAACUUAGUCAACAUAUCGAUCGGUCACAAAGAAAGAAAAAUAUUUUUUAAAAAUAAAGAAAGACUAGAAGGUUUAAUCACAUGAUUAAUGUGAUUAAUUGACUGCUUUUACCUUUUUUCUACUUUGUCACUCCAUACGGACUGUGUGCAGAUUUCUCUAUAACUCUACAUUUACGAUAAUUUUUCCUUCACCCACAUCUAGAUAUGUCGCAAAUUUAGUUACUUGAUUUUUUGUUCGUUAUAAUGAAAAGUAUUCCGAGAUCAAACUCCAAGAUAGAUUUGUCAAUGUAUCAAUUAAUAAAGGCAUAGUGCUAGCCGACCCUGUUAGGGAUGAUUAGUUGAAACAGCUGAAGUGUUCCCACAGGACUUUGGGGUCGUCAUGAGGAUAAGAUUAGAUGAAUUAAUUAUCAGAUACAGCAGCAAAAGGUUAUUAUUAGUAACCUUUAUUGUUCUCUUUAGCUUCAUGCAAAAUAACUUUAAACUUACCUGCCUCUCGUGAAGGCUAGUAGUUCAAAUUACCAAAUAGAUAAUGCUAACAAUUUGUCAGUAGCUGGAUUCACAUGUAACAUGUAUCAGAUGAAUUAACGACAAGCAACUAUAUUAUUCAAAGAAAGGGUUUUGCAUUGUUUUGAUGUUGAAAUAGAAGAAAGUGACAUGACGUGAGAAAAUAACGUGACAUUCAUUCUUUUUGUGGACACUGGACAAAUUAGAAGUCGGUGGUGAAUUUGUAUUUUAGAUUUUUUUUUAAAAAAAACAACUUUUGUUUGUCAAAAGUUGAAAACCACUAGACCUUCUUGGUUAAUUUAAUGCUUCAAAUUCCUUUUGAGCCAUUGUUGACUCUUCUCUUUGUGUAACUAUUCCAAUUAUCAUUAUUGUAAGAUUGCAUGUGAAGAAAAUGUUGAAUGCUUAAUGCAAUGAUGGGUUUAUACGUGAAUAAUUAUGUGUUUUGAAUUGUCAUAUAAAAUUAAAUUUAUUUAAAAAUGAUUUAUUAAGUUUUUUCUGAUAAUUUGAUUUUUUAUAUAUCUGAUAGGUGGUGGGUUUUUAAUGUGUAAAGAUUUAAGGUAAUUUUAUUUUAUGAUGAAUUAAAAUAUGAAUACCUAAAGGUUCCUGUAUUACAUGUAACUUUCUAGGUUAUAGUUCCUGUAUUACAUGUAACUUUCUAUUUUUUUUUUUUUUUUGACAUCCUAUCAUCAUAGAGUUCAGGGAGAAAAUUAAAGGAUUUUCUAGGAAACAUGUUGAUUUAAAAGUCAAACCACUCAGCUCAAGAGAGUAAUCUGUCAUAGAGAUUCUAGUACGCUUUCCAUAUUUGAUUAUUGAUUUUUGGUGAUAUACACAAUAUGAUUAUUCCUGAGAUAUAUAAUUAUGCUGCUAUUUUCAAUGAAAAAACUUACUAAGACAAUCUAAAUCAAGUUUCUCUAGCCAGUGAGUCUUUAUCCCAGUGGUGAACCUCAACUUUCACAGUUAAGUAUGAUUGUGAGGGUAGGGGUUCGAGUUUUCAUGGAUUCAAACUCCCUCAAUUAAGCAUUAUGCAUGAUUGUGUGGAGUUAUUUGCAAGUCUUUCUCCCUUGCGAAAUACGAGUGGAGUGGAGACGUCCCUCGUUUGUGAAGGUUAUUUGUCUGGACAAGUACUUCAUAACAUUUAAUAUAAUAUUGUAGGUCUCAGUUAUCUGUCUUAUUGUAAAUAUCAUUGUACUGUCUACUAUAAUAGCAGUUGUAAAUAUCUAAUGUAAUUCAGUAGAUCUGAUGUAAUUCAGUAAUCUGAUGUGUAAUCAAUAUUAAAAAAAAAAAUCAAAUUUCUCUUAUGUGACAAUGAGAUUUCUACCUCACAAAUAUUAGAGUAAAAUAGAGAUAAGAUAAUUAUCUCUAGUCAAUUCAAAUAUUAUAGUAAAAUAAAGAGAAGAUAAUUAUCUCUAGUCAAUAAAUUGUGGGGGUAGAAGAGUCCUAGCAUUUGUUAGUACUCGAGCAGGUGCCUCUAAACGUUUAAUGGCAUAGAUUACCAAUGGCCUCCUAGCCCAUUGGCAGCUUAAUUAACUAAGUUAAAAAUUCUAAUGAAUUACCCUUAGUUUAGUCUAAGUUUUAUCAAGGGACUAUUUGUUUUUUGACUUAAUAGCUUAAUUCACUUAAUUUCAAUUAGUUAAGUUAUUAAAUCUGUUUGUUUUUUCAACUUAAUGAAAAUUUAGUCACUAAGUUAUUAAGUCAAUUUUUUUAGCAUUUUACUUAAUCUAAAAUGUCUUAAUGAUAUUAUUAGAAAAUAUUCUCUAAAAUUUCUCUAUCUAAUUAAUUAAUUUUCAUCCUUACCUAAAUAAAAUUUAAUAAUUAACAUUAUUUUUUUUGAAGAAUAAUUAACAUUAUUACCCAUUUCUAUAACUUGUAAUAAUAUAGUGGUAGACUUUUUUAUCUUUUUAUUUUCUUCAAAUUAGUAUUAGUUAUCUUCAUAAUUUUUUAUGAAUAUUUUUCAUAUAAAACAUCAUAAACUAUAAUAAAAUUCAUUAACAUAUACUAAUUUAGAAUAUAAAUGGUUGUAUUCAAUUGAACAUGAUUUAUUUUAUAAUAAUAUAUGAUCUUAUUUAAGCUCUUUGAGAUGUUUACUAUUUGUUUAGUAUUAUAAUUUAUAGGGAUAUUAUCAAUUUACUAUCAAAGUUUUACUGACAUAUCAUGUCAGUACCAAGGUUUACCGAAAAGUGCAUUUGACUACCAAAGGUUUGCGCGGUUAUCAUUUUACUACGAAUCCGUUAACAACGUUAAAAAAUUGUUGAUGUGUUGCUAAUGUAAUAAGGGCAUAAAAGCCAUUUCCGGAUAUAAGGGCAUUAAAGACAUUUUGAGUUGAAGCAAAACGCAGCGUUUUGACAGAAUAUUUAAGCUAAACCCCCUAUCUCAUUCUAAAACCUCCGUCUCCGAUCUAUCUCCCUGGCAGCUGAGUGACAGCCAACUCCACUAGUGAGUUGUUGACUCUGCCUUUUUAUUCACUUAUUGUUCAUUAAUUUUUCAUUAAUUAAAUUGUUAUUGUUUUUUUUUGUGAAUAAUACUUGAAUUUCAUAGAUUAUAAUAAUAAUUUUGUAGCAUAAUUUUUUGUUAAUGUGUUCUUUGUCGUUGUCCAUGGUACUGACAUUAUAAUUUUGUUAAUUUUGUUAAUUUUUUGUUAAUUCUGUUAUUGUUGGAGAUCUAGCUUUGAGAAUUUUUCCUUAUUUAUUGUGGAUCUUGUUACCAGUAUAAGAAUUUAUGUUAUUGUUUGCUUUUUAUAAUUAAGUUGUGAAUUGUGUUAUGUUCAUAUUACUAGAAUUACCGUUACCAAUUUUUGUUCACUGGUUGCUUUUUGCAGAUCAUGUUCCCAGUAUAACUACAUAUAAUCUACAAAGGCAAGAAUCAUUGUAAAGGGUUGAUUGAACCAAAUGAAUGUAGUCUGCUGUAACUGAAGAAUGAGGUGGUAGAAGAAUGAGGUGGUGAAGAUUACAAGUGAAGACGGGUUAACCACUCCUGAAAGUGUGCAAUUACUUGUCACCAGCCCAAGGAAUAAUGUGGAAGUUAUUGUAGAUACUGAUGCAAUGUUGUGGAUUAUGUUCACGGCACAUGACACAUUACAAGUGCCAGUAUUUAAAGUUAGUGUGUUGCCAACCCUACGUCCUGAUUUAGAACUUGGUGGGGUGAUACAAUCCCUGCUACAUGCCUUAGGAGUUCAGCUAUCUGCAGAGCAAGUUGCAUAGGUAAAUGAAAGUGUAAAUGAACCGUUAUCUAGGCCUAGAGGCAUUUAUGGGCCACAAACAAACCUUGCUGAGAAUGUUGGGUGUAAGACUGAUGCUGAUGAAGAUGAAUCACCUUCCAAGAGUGAAGGCAGAGAUGUUAGGAAUGAGAAUGUUCAGUAGAAUGUUGAUGACAACGACGAUGAUGAUUGGUUGUCAGAUUUUGAGAAGGAAUUUGCUGCUGAUGGUAGUCGUAUAAAUCACUAAAACAUAGCUGAGAAUGCAAGAGUUAUGGAUGAUGGGGGAUCUAGCUCUGACGAUGAAUCAAUUAAUGCAUAUCCUCAAUUUUUUACGAAUACAUCUGACUCAAAUUUUGAUUUGGGCACUACUCAAUUGAAAGAUUAUAUUGAAGUACAUAUGUAUAAGCCAAGGCAUGAUGGUAAACAUAGGCUGACGUUAGGAGACGUGUUUGAUGAUGUUGACCACUUUAGGAAGGUGUUGGGUAAAGUGAUGGUGGAUAAAAGCUUUGAAAUUACAAAGGUGUACAAUGACCGUAGGAGAUUUUACGGUAAAUGCAAGACUGAUGGCUGUCCAUAGUAUGUAGUGGGAGGUAAAAUUAGGGGUAAGGGUGGAUUUGUAAUUAAAGAGUUGCAGAAUAAGCAUAAUUGCAAACAGACCGAAAUGUCAGUGAAUAUGACCAGCAAAUGGAUAAUAGAGAAAAUAAAGAGCAAAGUGGAUCCCCAUGUGAAGAUUUUUGUUCUUCACGAGUUUAUGCAAGAGACAUUUGGUGUGAGGAUAGGGAAUUUGAAGCUGUAUAGAGCUAGAGAGAGGGCAAAGACAGACAUUCAUGGAGACUAUGCAAGGGGCUAUGAGGAUCUCUUUCAAUAUGCUGCAGUGAUUCUGAAGUAUGAUCCAGGUGCAAUUUGCAAAGUACUUUGCGAUGCAGUAACUAGGCCAGAAAAAGUGUUAUUUCAGAGAUUUUUUAUAGCAUUUCCAGCCCAAAGAAAGGCGCUUCAUAAUGGUUGUAGGCCAUACAUUGGGUUAGACGGAUGUCAUUUGAAAUCAAAGUAUAGUGGAGUUCUAUUAAUUGUUGUAAAUAUGAAUGCUAAUAAUGGAAUGGUUCCCUUAGCAAUAGCAGUGUGUGAGAUAGAGAACACUGAAACUUGAACAUGGUUUUUAGAAAUUCUGCAUUCGUAUUUCGAUAAUGGAUCAGAUCAUAUUACCUUUUACAGCGAUAGGCAAAAGGGUUUGUUGGGAGCAAUUAGGAAUACAUGGCCGACUGCAUUUCCUAGGCCAUGUGCUAGACAUAUAUAUUCUAACUUCUCUAAAGAUCAUCAUGGAGUUACUUUGAGGAAUCUAUUUUGGAGAGCUGUCAAUAGCACUAAUAAGUUUAACCAUGCAGCUGCAAUGGAAAAGUUGAAAAAAGAGAAGUUAGAGGCAUGGCAGUGGUUGGAGAGAGAACUUGGUGGGUUUACUUGGCCAAGAUAUGAGUAUGACAAUAAUUGCAAAGUAGAUCGCACAAGUAAUAACACUUCGGAGUGCUUCAACAGCUGGAUCUUACCCCAUAGAAAGAAGCCUUGCCUGACUAUGCUUGAAGAAAUCCGAUGCAUGUUUAUGACACUAUUCACAUAAAGAAUAAAAGAAGCACAAUCUUGGUCCAAUAUUCCACCUCGAGUGAAAAAUGAAUUAGAUGAUGCUUAUGAGACCGAAAGCAAGAUGACUGCAAUGGCUUCUGGUGAUCUUCACUUUCAGGUAUAAAUCUAAAAUAUUUUUGUUUUCAAAUAUAUUUUUAUAUAGUUGAACUGUGAGUAUAUCGAGUUUAGAGUAAAACACAUAUUUAUAAUUGCUUGAAAUUACAAUCUAAAUUCACUUGUAGUAGAAAAAGAGUUAUAUGUAUAAUAUAUGUUUUUUUUUUUAAAUUCUAUUGCUCUCAGGUUAAAGACAAGAGUUAUUAUCUAGCGAGGAGGUUCAUCGUUGAUCUGGUGAGCAGGUCCUGCGACUGUGGUCAUCGGGAACUAUCCGGACUCCUCUAUGCUCAUGUUAUGGCUGCAAUUAGUCAUGCAAGACACACAACAAAAGAGUACCUGCCAAAAUACUUCACGAAACAAGCAUAUUUGAACACUUAGUCUGUGAUGUUUAAACCAAUUCCUGAUAAGGUUACUUGGGACCUGUGUGAUAGACCAAAACUUUCUCCGCCUGAGAUUACUAAGAAGAUUGGAAGGCCGAAGAAGUCAAAGAAGAGGGCAGCCACUGAGCCAGUGAAAAAAAACAGAUCAUUCUAUGUAUGCUGCUCUUUUUGGGAUGAACCACGAUGUCCGAAAGUGCGCAUUGAGGCCAUCAAUAGCAAACAAAUAAGAGCUCAGAAUCAGGUAUCAAUGUAUUACUUUUUUAAUUAUUUUUGUGUAUACCGAGCUUAAUUCUUUAUUAAUUUUUGUUGAAUAUGUAAUUUUAAAUAGGGUCUUAGUGGGCCCGGAGAAAGUUCUAAUGCAGGAACCACUUCGAAGAGAAGAAAAAGAAUGGUAAAUGUUGGUUUGAAUAUGGAAUAAUUUUUAGUUUGUUGUAGUUUUGCAUAAUUUUUUUUUAUGUUUAUAUAUUUCAAUUUAAAUAGGCUGUGAGUAGUCCAGACGAGAGGUUUACGCAUAGCAAGGGAAAAGGAGGUAACAGGGGUCGAGGUAGCAGAGUAAGAGGAGGUGACAGAGGAAGAGGAAUGGCAACUAGAGGUAGGGGUCGAGGUAGUAGAGCAAGAAGAGGUACUGUGGUGUUUUUUGAUAUUGUUAUAAUUUUCCGAAUGCUUCAUAGAUACUGAAGUUAUAUAUAUAUAUUUGUGCAGGCCGAUAUGAAGCUGACAAUCUUUCUCCAAAUCCAACUCAAGGCUCACAAGCUUCACAGAUCAUAGAUGGUUAGCAAAGUGUUAUUGUUAGGAUAUUAUGUAUCUGAAAUGCACAAACUGUCACUAGUGCAUUAGGCUGCUGUGGUGUUUUUUUAAAUGCACAAAUUAUUAUUAGUGUAUUAGGCUGUUGUGGUGUUUGUUGAUUGCACAAACUAUUAUUAGUGCAUUAGGCUGCUGUGGUGUUUUUUGAAUUCACAAACUGAUAGUUCUGCGAAUAGGCAUUUCAAGCACAAACUCUUAUUUUCACCAUUGAUAAUGGAAGUACUUUAGAUUACUUUUGACUUUGCUUANNNNNNNNNNNNNNNNNNNNNNNNNNNNNNNNNNNNNNNNNNNNNNNNNNNNNNNNNNNNNNNNNNNNNNNNNNNNNNNNNNNNNNNNNNNNNNNNNNNNNNNNNNNNNNNNNNNNNNNNNNNNNNNNNNNNNNNNNNNNNNNNNNNNNNNNNNNNNNNNNNNNNNNNNNNNNNNNNNNNNNNNNNNNNNNNNNNNNNNNNNNNNNNNNNNNNNNNNNNNNNNNNNNNNNNNNNNNNNNNNNNNNNNNNNNNNNNNNNNNNNNNNNNNNNNNNNNNNNNNNNNNNNNNNNNNNNNNNNNNNNNNNNNNNNNNNNNNNNNNNNNNNNNNNNNNNNNNNNNNNNNNNNNNNNNNNNNNNNNNNNNNNNNNNNNNNNNNNNNNNNNNNNNNNNNNNNNNNNNNNNNNNNNNNNNNNNNNNNNNNNNNNNNNNNNNNCAUAACUAGAUGUGCUGUUACGCAUUUCUAAAUCUUCUUUUGCUGCCUAUUGCCAAAAAUUACACUUUUUAUACCUGCAUAUCUAAAAUAAUUUGUUAUGAUUUUCCGACGUAGUAGAUACCAUAGCACAUGCAUGUACUCCACAGUUGCAAUAUUUAGGAUUGCAGGUUACUUCUGCAGGUUUCUUAGCUCGACCCCUAAAACUAAUGCUUGUGUGGCUACUGGAGGCCAUUGUUCUUUUUGAAUUUAUAUGUGUGAAGGGUGAAAAAUUGUUUGGUUUUGACUGAAGAUAGGAAAGAGAUGGAUAUUGUGUUUUCAAUGAAUUCAAGUAUUUGUUGUGCCUUAUUCUUGUUGUUUUUGUAUGACAAAAGUGUUUAAAUUUCAGUACUUUUGGUGUGAGGUUGCUAGUGUUUAGUCUGAGGUUGCAGAUAUUUACUAUGGGGUUGCUGGUGUGUUUCAGAAUUGCAGGUGUUUAGUAUCAGGCUACUGUUGAUAUAGGGUUGAAAUGAGGCCACUGGUGUGUUUGAAAUAGGGUUGUUAGUGUUUAAGUGAGGUUGCUAGUGUGUUUGAAAUAAGAUUGUUGUUGCUGAGAUGGGGUUGUUAGUAUUCAAGUGAGGUUGCUGGGGUGUUUCAAACGGGUUGAUGAAAUGGUUUGAAAUAAGAUUGUGUUUGAAAUAAGUGUGUUUAUAAGGCUACUGUGUUGAUUAUGACUGUGAGGCUGCUGGUGUUGAUGAAAUGGUUUGCUAAUAUGUUUGUAAGCCUNNNNNNNNNNNNNNNNNNNNNNNNNNNNNNNNNNNNNNNNNNNNNNNNNNNNNNNNNNNNNNNNNNNNNNNNNNNNNNNNNNNNNNNNNNNNNNNNNNNNNNNNNNNNNNNNNNNNNNNNNNNNNNNNNNNNNNNNNNNNNNNNNNNNNNNNNNNNNNNNNNNNNNNNNNNNNNNNNNNNNNNNNNNNNNNNNNNNNNNNNNNNNNNNNNNNNNNNNNNNNNNNNNNNNNNNNNNNNNNNNNNNNNNNNNNNNNNNNNNNNNNNNNNNNNNNNNNNNNNNNNNNNNNNNNNNNNNNNNNNNNNNNNNNNNNNNNNNNNNNNNNNNNNNNNNNNNNNNNNNNNNNNNNNNNNNNNNNNNNNNNNNNNNNNNNNNNNNNNNNNNNNNNNNNNNNNNNNNNNNNNNNNNNNNNNNNNNNNNNNNNNNNNNNNNNNNNNNNNNNNNNNNNNNNNNNNNNNNNNNNNNNNNNNNNNNNNNNNNNNNNNNNNNNNNNNNNNNNNNNNNNNNNNNNNNNNNNNNNNNNNNNNNNNNNNNNNNNNNNNNNNNNNNNNNNNNNNNNNNNNNNNNNNNNNNNNNNNNNNNNNNNNNNNNNNNNNNNNNNNNNNNNNNNNNNNNNNNNNNNNNNNNNNNNNNNNNNNNNNNNNNNNNNNNNNNNNNNNNNNNNNNNNNNNNNNNNNNNNNNNNNNNNNNNNNNNNNNNNNNNNNNNNNNNNNNNNNNNNNNNNNNNNNNNNNNNNNNNNNNNNNNNNNNNNNNNNNNNNNNNNNNNNNNNNNNNNNNNNNNNNNNNNNNNNNNNNNNNNNNNNNNNNNNNNNNNNNNNNNNNNNNNNNNNNNNNNNNNNNNNNNNNNNNNNNNNNNNNNNNNNNNNNNNNNNNNNNNNNNNNNNNNNNNNNNNNNNNNNNNNNNNNNNNNNNNNNNNNNNNNNNNNNNNNNNNNNNNNNNNNNNNNNNNNNNNNNNNNNNNNNNNNNNNNNNNNNNNNNNNNNNNNNNNNNNNNNNNNNNNNNNNNNNNNNNNNNNNNNNNNNNNNNNNNNNNNNNNNNNNNNNNNNNNNNNNNNNNNNNNNNNNNNNNNNNNNNNNNNNNNNNNNNNNNNNNNNNNNNNNNNNNNNNNNNNNNNNNNNNNNNNNNNNNNNNNNNNNNNNNNNNNNNNNNNNNNNNNNNNNNNNNNNNNNNNNNNNNNNNNNNNNNNNNNNNNNNNNNNNNNNNNNNNNNNNNNNNNNNNNNNNNNNNNNNNNNNNNNNNNNNNNNNNNNNNNNNNNNNNNNNNNNNNNNNNNNNNNNNNNNNNNNNNNNNNNNNNNNNNNNNNNNNNNNNNNNNNNNNNNNNNNNNNNNNNNNNNNNNNNNNNNNNNNNNNNNNNNNNNNNNNNNNNNNNNNNNNNNNNNNNNNNNNNNNNNNNNNNNNNNNNNNNNNNNNNNNNNNNNNNNNNNNNNNNNNNNNNNNNNNNNNNNNNNNNNNNNNNNNNNNNNNNNNNNNNNNNNNNNNNNNNNNNNNNNNNNNNNNNNNNNNNNNNNNNNNNNNNNNNNNNNNNNNNNNNNNNNNNNNNNNNNNNNNNNNNNNNNNNNNNNNNNNNNNNNNNNNNNNNNNNNNNNNNNNNNNNNNNNNNNNNNNNNNNNNNNNNNNNNNNNNNNNNNNNNNNNNNNNNNNNNNNNNNNNNNNNNNNNNNNNNNNNNNNNNNNNNNNNNNNNNNNNNNNNNNNNNNNNNNNNNNNNNNNNNNNNNNNNNNNNNNNNNNNNNNNNNNNNNNNNNNNNNNNNNNNNNNNNNNNNNNNNNNNNNNNNNNNNNNNNNNNNNNNNNNNNNNNNNNNNNNNNNNNNNNNNNNNNNNNNNNNNNNNNNNNNNNNNNNNNNNNNNNNNNNNNNNNNNNNNNNNNNNNNNNNNNNNNNNNNNNNNNNNNNNNNNNNNNNNNNNNNNNNNNNNNNNNNNNNNNNNNNNNNNNNNNNNNNNNNNNNNNNNNNNNNNNNNNNNNNNNNNNNNNNNNNNNNNNNNNNNNNNNNNNNNNNNNNNNNNNNNNNNNNNNNNNNNNNNNNNNNNNNNNNNNNNNNNNNNNNNNNNNNNNNNNNNNNNNNNNNNNNNNNNNNNNNNNNNNNNNNNNNNNNNNNNNNNNNNNNNNNNNNNNNNNNNNNNNNNNNNNNNNNNNNNNNNNNNNNNNNNNNNNNNNNNNNNNNNNNNNNNNNNNNNNNNNNNNNNNNNNNNNNNNNNNNNNNNNNNNNNNNNNNNNNNNNNNNNNNNNNNNNNNNNNNNNNNNNNNNNNNNNNNNNNNNNNNNNNNNNNNNNNNNNNNNNNNNNNNNNNNNNNNNNNNNNNNNNNNNNNNNNNNNNNNNNNNNNNNNNNNNNNNNNNNNNNNNNNNNNNNNNNNNNNNNNNNNNNNNNNNNNNNNNNNNNNNNNNNNNNNNNNNNNNNNNNNNNNNNNNNNNNNNNNNNNNNNNNNNNNNNNNNNNNNNNNNNNNNNNNNNNNNNNNNNNNNNNNNNNNNNNNNNNNNNNNNNNNNNNNNNNNNNNNNNNNNNNNNNNNNNNNNNNNNNNNNNNNNNNNNNNNNNNNNNNNNNNNNNNNNNNNNNNNNNNNNNNNNNNNNNNNNNNNNNNNNNNNNNNNNNNNNNNNNNNNNNNNNNNNNNNNNNNNNNNNNNNNNNNNNNNNNNNNNNNNNNNNNNNNNNNNNNNNNNNNNNNNNNNNNNNNNNNNNNNNNNNNNNNNNNNNNNNNNNNNNNNNNNNNNNNNNNNNNNNNNNNNNNNNNNNNNNNNNNNNNNNNNNNNNNNNNNNNNNNNNNNNNNNNNNNNNNNNNNNNNNNNNNNNNNNNNNNNNNNNNNNNNNNNNNNNNNNNNNNNNNNNNNNNNNNNNNNNNNNNNNNNNNNNNNNNNNNNNNNNNNNNNNNNNNNNNNNNNNNNNNNNNNNNNNNNNNNNNNNNNNNNNNNNNNNNNNNNNNNNNNNNNNNNNNNNNNNNNNNNNNNNNNNNNNNNNNNNNNNNNNNNNNNNNNNNNNNNNNNNNNNNNNNNNNNNNNNNNNNNNNNNNNNNNNNNNNNNNNNNNNNNNNNNNNNNNNNNNNNNNNNNNNNNNNNNNNNNNNNNNNNNNNNNNNNNNNNNNNNNNNNNNNNNNNNNNNNNNNNNNNNNNNNNNNNNNNNNNNNNNNNNNNNNNNNNNNNNNNNNNNNNNNNNNNNNNNNNNNNNNNNNNNNNNNNNNNNNNNNNNNNNNNNNNNNNNNNNNNNNNNNNNNNNNNNNNNNNNNNNNNNNNNNNNNNNNNNNNNNNNNNNNNNNNNNNNNNNNNNNNNNNNNNNNNNNNNNNNNNNNNNNNNNNNNNNNNNNNNNNNNNNNNNNNNNNNNNNNNNNNNNNNNNNNNNNNNNNNNNNNNNNNNNNNNNNNNNNNNNNNNNNNNNNNNNNNNNNNNNNNNNNNNNNNNNNNNNNNNNNNNNNNNNNNNNNNNNNNNNNNNNNNNNNNNNNNNNNNNNNNNNNNNNNNNNNNNNNNNNNNNNNNNNNNNNNNNNNNNNNNNNNNNNNNNNNNNNNNNNNNNNNNNNNNNNNNNNNNNNNNNNNNNNNNNNNNNNNNNNNNNNNNNNNNNNNNNNNNNNNNNNNNNNNNNNNNNNNNNNNNNNNNNNNNNNNNNNNNNNNNNNNNNNNNNNNNNNNNNNNNNNNNNNNNNNNNNNNNNNNNNNNNNNNNNNNNNNNNNNNNNNNNNNNNNNNNNNNNNNNNNNNNNNNNNNNNNNNNNNNNNNNNNNNNNNNNNNNNNNNNNNNNNNNNNNNNNNNNNNNNNNNNNNNNNNNNNNNNNNNNNNNNNNNNNNNNNNNNNNNNNNNNNNNNNNNNNNNNNNNNNNNNNNNNNNNNNNNNNNNNNNNNNNNNNNNNNNNNNNNNNNNNNNNNNNNNNNNNNNNNNNNNNNNNNNNNNNNNNNNNNNNNNNNNNNNNNNNNNNNNNNNNNNNNNNNNNNNNNNNNNNNNNNNNNNNNNNNNNNNNNNNNNNNNNNNNNNNNNNNNNNNNNNNNNNNNNNNNNNNNNNNNNNNNNNNNNNNNNNNNNNNNNNNNNNNNNNNNNNNNNNNNNNNNNNNNNNNNNNNNNNNNNNNNNNNNNNNNNNNNNNNNNNNNNNNNNNNNNNNNNNNNNNNNNNNNNNNNNNNNNNNNNNNNNNNNNNNNNNNNNNNNNNNNNNNNNNNNNNNNNNNNNNNNNNNNNNNNNNNNNNNNNNNNNNNNNNNNNNNNNNNNNNNNNNNNNNNNNNNNNNNNNNNNNNNNNNNNNNNNNNNNNNNNNNNNNNNNNNNNNNNNNNNNNNNNNNNNNNNNNNNNNNNNNNNNNNNNNNNNNNNNNNNNNNNNNNNNNNNNNNNNNNNNNNNNNNNNNNNNNNNNNNNNNNNNNNNNNNNNNNNNNNNNNNNNNNNNNNNNNNNNNNNNNNNNNNNNNNNNNNNNNNNNNNNNNNNNNNNNNNNNNNNNNNNNNNNNNNNNNNNNNNNNNNNNNNNNNNNNNNNNNNNNNNNNNNNNNNNNNNNNNNNNNNNNNNNNNNNNNNNNNNNNNNNNNNNNNNNNNNNNNNNNNNNNNNNNNNNNNNNNNNNNNNNNNNNNNNNNNNNNNNNNNNNNNNNNNNNNNNNNNNNNNNNNNNNNNNNNNNNNNNNNNNNNNNNNNNNNNNNNNNNNNNNNNNNNNNNNNNNNNNNNNNNNNNNNNNNNNNNNNNNNNNNNNNNNNNNNNNNNNNNNNNNNNNNNNNNNNNNNNNNNNNNNNNNNNNNNNNNNNNNNNNNNNNNNNNNNNNNNNNNNNNNNNNNNNNNNNNNNNNNNNNNNNNNNNNNNNNNNNNNNNNNNNNNNNNNNNNNNNNNNNNNNNNNNNNNNNNNNNNNNNNNNNNNNNNNNNNNNNNNNNNNNNNNNNNNNNNNNNNNNNNNNNNNNNNNNNNNNNNNNNNNNNNNNNNNNNNNNNNNNNNNNNNNNNNNNNNNNNNNNNNNNNNNNNNNNNNNNNNNNNNNNNNNNNNNNNNNNNNNNNNNNNNNNNNNNNNNNNNNNNNNNNNNNNNNNNNNNNNNNNNNNNNNNNNNNNNNNNNNNNNNNNNNNNNNNNNNNNNNNNNNNNNNNNNNNNNNNNNNNNNNNNNNNNNNNNNNNNNNNNNNNNNNNNNNNNNNNNNNNNNNNNNNNNNNNNNNNNNNNNNNNNNNNNNNNNNNNNNNNNNNNNNNNNNNNNNNNNNNNNNNNNNNNNNNNNNNNNNNNNNNNNNNNNNNNNNNNNNNNNNNNNNNNNNNNNNNNNNNNNNNNNNNNNNNNNNNNNNNNNNNNNNNNNNNNNNNNNNNNNNNNNNNNNNNNNNNNNNNNNNNNNNNNNNNNNNNNNNNNNNNNNNNNNNNNNNNNNNNNNNNNNNNNNNNNNNNNNNNNNNNNNNNNNNNNNNNNNNNNNNNNNNNNNNNNNNNNNNNNNNNNNNNNNNNNNNNNNNNNNNNNNNNNNNNNNNNNNNNNNNNNNNNNNNNNNNNNNNNNNNNNNNNNNNNNNNNNNNNNNNNNNNNNNNNNNNNNNNNNNNNNNNNNNNNNNNNNNNNNNNNNNNNNNNNNNNNNNNNNNNNNNNNNNNNNNNNNNNNNNNNNNNNNNNNNNNNNNNNNNNNNNNNNNNNNNNNNNNNNNNNNNNNNNNNNNNNNNNNNNNNNNNNNNNNNNNNNNNNNNNNNNNNNNNNNNNNNNNNNNNNNNNNNNNNNNNNNNNNNNNNNNNNNNNNNNNNNNNNNNNNNNNNNNNNNNNNNNNNNNNNNNNNNNNNNNNNNNNNNNNNNNNNNNNNNNNNNNNNNNNNNNNNNNNNNNNNNNNNNNNNNNNNNNNNNNNNNNNNNNNNNNNNNNNNNNNNNNNNNNNNNNNNNNNNNNNNNNNNNNNNNNNNNNNNNNNNNNNNNNNNNNNNNNNNNNNNNNNNNNNNNNNNNNNNNNNNNNNNNNNNNNNNNNNNNNNNNNNNNNNNNNNNNNNNNNNNNNNNNNNNNNNNNNNNNNNNNNNNNNNNNNNNNNNNNNNNNNNNNNNNNNNNNNNNNNNNNNNNNNNNNNNNNNNNNNNNNNNNNNNNNNNNNNNNNNNNNNNNNNNNNNNNNNNNNNNNNNNNNNNNNNNNNNNNNNNNNNNNNNNNNNNNNNNNNNNNNNNNNNNNNNNNNNNNNNNNNNNNNNNNNNNNNNNNNNNNNNNNNNNNNNNNNNNNNNNNNNNNNNNNNNNNNNNNNNNNNNNNNNNNNNNNNNNNNNNNNNNNNNNNNNNNNNNNNNNNNNNNNNNNNNNNNNNNNNNNNNNNNNNNNNNNNNNNNNNNNNNNNNNNNNNNNNNNNNNNNNNNNNNNNNNNNNNNNNNNNNNNNNNNNNNNNNNNNNNNNNNNNNNNNNNNNNNNNNNNNNNNNNNNNNNNNNNNNNNNNNNNNNNNNNNNNNNNNNNNNNNNNNNNNNNNNNNNNNNNNNNNNNNNNNNNNNNNNNNNNNNNNNNNNNNNNNNNNNNNNNNNNNNNNNNNNNNNNNNNNNNNNNNNNNNNNNNNNNNNNNNNNNNNNNNNNNNNNNNNNNNNNNNNNNNNNNNNNNNNNNNNNNNNNNNNNNNNNNNNNNNNNNNNNNNNNNNNNNNNNNNNNNNNNNNNNNNNNNNNNNNNNNNNNNNNNNNNNNNNNNNNNNNNNNNNNNNNNNNNNNNNNNNNNNNNNNNNNNNNNNNNNNNNNNNNNNNNNNNNNNNNNNNNNNNNNNNNNNNNNNNNNNNNNNNNNNNNNNNNNNNNNNNNNNNNNNNNNNNNNNNNNNNNNNNNNNNNNNNNNNNNNNNNNNNNNNNNNNNNNNNNNNNNNNNNNNNNNNNNNNNNNNNNNNNNNNNNNNNNNNNNNNNNNNNNNNNNNNNNNNNNNNNNNNNNNNNNNNNNNNNNNNNNNNNNNNNNNNNNNNNNNNNNNNNNNNNNNNNNNNNNNNNNNNNNNNNNNNNNNNNNNNNNNNNNNNNNNNNNNNNNNNNNNNNNNNNNNNNNNNNNNNNNNNNNNNNNNNNNNNNNNNNNNNNNNNNNNNNNNNNNNNNNNNNNNNNNNNNNNNNNNNNNNNNNNNNNNNNNNNNNNNNNNNNNNNNNNNNNNNNNNNNNNNNNNNNNNNNNNNNNNNNNNNNNNNNNNNNNNNNNNNNNNNNNNNNNNNNNNNNNNNNNNNNNNNNNNNNNNNNNNNNNNNNNNNNNNNNNNNNNNNNNNNNNNNNNNNNNNNNNNNNNNNNNNNNNNNNNNNNNNNNNNNNNNNNNNNNNNNNNNNNNNNNNNNNNNNNNNNNNNNNNNNNNNNNNNNNNNNNNNNNNNNNNNNNNNNNNNNNNNNNNNNNNNNNNNNNNNNNNNNNNNNNNNNNNNNNNNNNNNNNNNNNNNNNNNNNNNNNNNNNNNNNNNNNNNNNNNNNNNNNNNNNNNNNNNNNNNNNNNNNNNNNNNNNNNNNNNNNNNNNNNNNNNNNNNNNNNNNNNNNNNNNNNNNNNNNNNNNNNNNNNNNNNNNNNNNNNNNNNNNNNNNNNNNNNNNNNNNNNNNNNNNNNNNNNNNNNNNNNNNNNNNNNNNNNNNNNNNNNNNNNNNNNNNNNNNNNNNNNNNNNNNNNNNNNNNNNNNNNNNNNNNNNNNNNNNNNNNNNNNNNNNNNNNNNNNNNNNNNNNNNNNNNNNNNNNNNNNNNNNNNNNNNNNNNNNNNNNNNNNNNNNNNNNNNNNNNNNNNNNNNNNNNNNNNNNNNNNNNNNNNNNNNNNNNNNNNNNNNNNNNNNNNNNNNNNNNNNNNNNNNNNNNNNNNNNNNNNNNNNNNNNNNNNNNNNNNNNNNNNNNNNNNNNNNNNNNNNNNNNNNNNNNNNNNNNNNNNNNNNNNNNNNNNNNNNNNNNNNNNNNNNNNNNNNNNNNNNNNNNNNNNNNNNNNNNNNNNNNNNNNNNNNNNNNNNNNNNNNNNNNNNNNNNNNNNNNNNNNNNNNNNNNNNNNNNNNNNNNNNNNNNNNNNNNNNNNNNNNNNNNNNNNNNNNNNNNNNNNNNNNNNNNNNNNNNNNNNNNNNNNNNNNNNNNNNNNNNNNNNNNNNNNNNNNNNNNNNNNNNNNNNNNNNNNNNNNNNNNNNNNNNNNNNNNNNNNNNNNNNNNNNNNNNNNNNNNNNNNNNNNNNNNNNNNNNNNNNNNNNNNNNNNNNNNNNNNNNNNNNNNNNNNNNNNNNNNNNNNNNNNNNNNNNNNNNNNNNNNNNNNNNNNNNNNNNNNNNNNNNNNNNNNNNNNNNNNNNNNNNNNNNNNNNNNNNNNNNNNNNNNNNNNNNNNNNNNNNNNNNNNNNNNNNNNNNNNNNNNNNNNNNNNNNNNNNNNNNNNNNNNNNNNNNNNNNNNNNNNNNNNNNNNNNNNNNNNNNNNNNNNNNNNNNNNNNNNNNNNNNNNNNNNNNNNNNNNNNNNNNNNNNNNNNNNNNNNNNNNNNNNNNNNNNNNNNNNNNNNNNNNNNNNNNNNNNNNNNNNNNNNNNNNNNNNNNNNNNNNNNNNNNNNNNNNNNNNNNNNNNNNNNNNNNNNNNNNNNNNNNNNNNNNNNNNNNNNNNNNNNNNNNNNNNNNNNNNNNNNNNNNNNNNNNNNNNNNNNNNNNNNNNNNNNNNNNNNNNNNNNNNNNNNNNNNNNNNNNNNNNNNNNNNNNNNNNNNNNNNNNNNNNNNNNNNNNNNNNNNNNNNNNNNNNNNNNNNNNNNNNNNNNNNNNNNNNNNNNNNNNNNNNNNNNNNNNNNNNNNNNNNNNNNNNNNNNNNNNNNNNNNNNNNNNNNNNNNNNNNNNNNNNNNNNNNNNNNNNNNNNNNNNNNNNNNNNNNNNNNNNNNNNNNNNNNNNNNNNNNNNNNNNNNNNNNNNNNNNNNNNNNNNNNNNNNNNNNNNNNNNNNNNNNNNNNNNNNNNNNNNNNNNNNNNNNNNNNNNNNNNNNNNNNNNNNNNNNNNNNNNNNNNNNNNNNNNNNNNNNNNNNNNNNNNNNNNNNNNNNNNNNNNNNNNNNNNNNNNNNNNNNNNNNNNNNNNNNNNNNNNNNNNNNNNNNNNNNNNNNNNNNNNNNNNNNNNNNNNNNNNNNNNNNNNNNNNNNNNNNNNNNNNNNNNNNNNNNNNNNNNNNNNNNNNNNNNNNNNNNNNNNNNNNNNNNNNNNNNNNNNNNNNNNNNNNNNNNNNNNNNNNNNNNNNNNNNNNNNNNNNNNNNNNNNNNNNNNNNNNNNNNNNNNNNNNNNNUUGAAUUUAUAUGUGUGAAGGGUGAAAAAUUGUUUGGUUUUGACUGAAGAUAGGAAAGAGAUGGAUAUUGUGUUUUCAAUGAAUUCAAGUAUUUGUUGUGCCUUAUUCUUGUUGUUUUUGUAUGACAAAAGUGUUUAAAUUUCAGUACUUUUGGUGUGAGGUUGCUAGUGUUUAGUCUGAGGUUGCAGAUAUUUACUAUGGGGUUGCUGGUGUGUUUCAGAAUUGCAGGUGUUUAGUAUCAGGCUACUGUUGAUAUAGGGUUGAAAUGAGGCCACUGGUGUGUUUGAAAUAGGGUUGUUAGUGUUUAAGUGAGGUUGCUAGUGUGUUUGAAAUAAGAUUGUUGUUGCUGAGAUGGGGUUGUUAGUAUUCAAGUGAGGUUGCUGGGGUGUUUCAAACGGGUUUGUUAGUGUGUUUAUAAGGCUACUGUGUUGAUUAUGACUGUGAGGCUGCUGGUGUUGAUGAAAUGGUUUGCUAAUAUGUUUGUAAGCCUAUAAAUUCUAGCUUUUAUAAGCCAAGAAAAUAGUUGUUUUUGGUUCUAACGGCUAUUUUCUUGGGCAUUUCUUGUAAUUUUUGCUUCUGUUGUUUCUUUCUUUUCAAAGGGUAAAAUUGUUUUUACGUUCCUGGGGGCAGAAUCGUCUUUUAACAUUAUUUCCGUUGAGCACUAACGUUUUAUUAAUGGAUUGGUAGUAAAAUGAUAACCGCGCAAACCUUUGGUAGUAAAAUGCACUUUUCGGCAAACCUUGAUACUGACAUGAUAUGUCAAUAAAACUUUGGUAGUAAAUUGAUAAUAUCCCUAAUUUAUAAUGACACAAAUAUAGAAGUGCUAGUUUCCAAAUUCUUUUAAGUUAAAAAGACAAACAACUAAAUAUUUGUUUUUAGCAAUUCAGACUAAAGAAAACCAAAUAUAUCAUCCAGAUUCAAAACUUUAGUUCUAUUCAGAUUCAGACUAAUUCAAGUUUAUUUAGAUUUCAGAUAAAAAAACAAACGCCACCUAAAUUUUUCUUGUUGCUAGUAGUUUGUAAUAUUUUCUUUUUCUCAUUUUUAUUUUCAAAUAAAAUGAGGUAAGGACUUAUGAUUAAAUUAGAAUGACGGUUGCAAAACUAGGAUUAUAGUGCGUUGUAGGCCCUAGUAUAAAAACAACAAUAUUAGGAGGGUUGUAACAUUAAAAUAAAAAAAAGGUUAGAAUUCUUUGUCAGAUAAGCAUAUUAACCUUUAAUUUUGACGUGUGCGUAUUGUUGUCAUACCCAGUCAAAAUAUUUUAUCUUAUUAUUAUUAUAUUUUAUAUUUCACUCAGAAUGAAAAUUUAGAUUAGAAGAGAAUCUUGGUCCAACUUUAAAAAAAAUUCAAAUAAAUUCGUAGAUAAUAUCCCUUCUCAAUUCUUCUUUGAUGAAAGAAUAAUAAAUUGAUUCCUUUAAUUUGUUAUUAUUAUUAUUAUUUUUAAAGAGAAUCGAUAUUAAGUAAUUGGGCCUUUAACUGCCGACCAAAUUCAACAAGGCAUGCAAGGCACCCAAAUUUUUUGGAGAAUUUACAGGCAUGAAUCUGUACCUUUUGACUGCUUUAUAGGUACAUACAUUUUCGGUCUUUGAUCUUCUUUUAUUAUCAUUAAUUUUCACUUGUGAAUUUUUUGAGGCAUCAGAAUUUGAACACAUCACUAUAUGAUGGUUUCUAGCGUUUUAAAACUAUGUAAUAAAAGUCAAGAAAGCAACAUGUACAUGCAUGAUUCCAGGUGCGCUUUCAAAUGACGGUGGGAGAAAAGCCAAAAGCUUUUGUGAAAAAUGUAAUGAAACCACGACUUGGUUGAUCCACACAAAUCAAAAAGCACUUCUAGACAGACCCUUUUGGCAAGAAUAUUCCAAUGAACUUAUGAACUUAUUGUGCGUAUAUAAUUAUAUAAAAUUUAAGGGAUACAUAUUCAUAUUUUGCCCUACAAGAAAAGCAAAGCUAGCUAGAAGUUUGAAGAAAUUUUCAGAAGUGUUAUUUUUUUUAAGGGUGUCUGCUGUGUGAAGGAAAGUUCAUUAAGUUUUUGUCCGGUUCGGUGAACCAUCUUAAUUAAUUAUUCUCUAGCUACAACUGUAAAUAUCAUGAAGUGGAUUCGGGAGGCUAAGGCCAAUAGAUGUGAUGAGAAUUUUAGUGGUAAUGUGACUCUUAUUAAAGUGUGAAAGUGAUGUGCAUUUUAUACAUAAUCUGAACAUAUAAAAACCAAACAAGAUUUGUAUGUGUAUGUCAAGACAAUUUGACAAUGGUCCUUGUCAAUGCCCCCAUUCUCAGGUUUUAUAAAAAACACACAAACUUCCCCUACUACGAGAGAAGGCGUCGAACUUAACGUGGGUGUGCCUUUUUGUCUCAAUAUUCUAGCAUAUUCGUGGUGCUUCUAUGUGUGUACCAGCUUAGUUUUAAUCUUAUAUAAACUAUUCUAUUAAUGAAAUUCAAGGUAAAUUUCGAUUGAAUAUGUGCAACCAACCUCUGACAGUAAAACAUAUUGAUCAAGUUAAUUUUAAUAAUUGGGCGAUUCUAUAUAGUAAUCUAGCAAAUUGAAUUCAAGAUACUUGAGUUUACAACUUUCUUCAAGUUCAUGUUUCAUGGUUGACGGGUUAAAUACAUGCAUAAGAAAAAAAAAAAGCCCUGUCCCUUGUAGAAGCAUAUUUCCACGCCAUGUUCAGCCGAUUUUUGGGUUGUACUAUUAGUAUAUGUAUUUUAACUCCAAAUAGAUCCCGUAUUAUAAUUUAUAUGUAGAUUGUAAAACUACAAUAAACCCCCCCCAAAAAAAAAGUGGUUAUUGUUAAAAUAAUAUUAUGUUGCAGUAGAUAACAUUAUAUUACUCAAAUUUGCAUUUUAUAAAUUUGUUAAGUUAGAAAUUUUCUCGCAUCCAUGCAUAUAGAAAUGCUAUCAUUUGAACUAACCCAUCUUGUAAUUACCUGUUACUGGUUCUAGUGACAAAUGUUUUUGGGAAUAAUGAGAAUCGUAAUGAUUGUAAAAAUAUAAAUUAUCAUCAUCACAAAAGGAAAAUUAAAAAACCAAAAAGUGACGGCUCAUGCAAAUUUGUUUUUGACGGGUGCGGAUCAAAUCAAAAAGGGGAUUAUAAAGAAGUAAGGUGAGCGAUGUUCCUUAGAAUAGGGACAAGACAUGAUCUCAAGAGCAGUAAUUGUUCUGUUAGUGGGAAAGAAACUAAAAACCACAGGAACCACAAUAUCUUAUCACAAUCGCAAACAUUGAUAGUGGGAUAAAAGAAUUUAAUUAAGUGGAUUGGAAGAUCAGUUCUUUAUGAGUAGGAAUCCCACAAAAUUUUUGAAAGUGGAAAUCAAUCAUAUUAUGAGUUCAAAUAAUUUAUGGAAGGAUAAUUUUUAACCCACUUGAAAUAAAUUAAUAUUUUGUAUCACACAUUCAAUAAAAUUGACUCGUUGUACCGCGCUCUUAAUUUUGUUAUUUUCUCAAUUAAAUUUAAUAAUGGAGGGAUAAAAUUAGAAGUUCGUUUCUUAAAUUAAUUUUAAUGGAAAUUCUCUUUAUUGCAAUUGAAAUAAAAAUCUUAAAAAUUUAAAGGAAAAUAAUAAUGGUGACAGUGUACAUGUAACAAGAAGUUUUUUUUUAUUACAAUUGAAAUAAAAACUUUUAAAAAAUUAAAUGAGCUUAAAUUUAUUUUUUAAAAAAAAGGCAUGUGCUCUAUAAUGAACCUUUUAUUGGAGGGUAUUAACAUAAAUAUAAAAUAUUGGACUGGGCUUUGUGCAAUUAAACUUAUUUGAAUUCAUAUAGAGAGGUAUUUUCUGUCAUUCAAUCAAAAGUCAAACGGAGCCUUUAGAAAUAAUUGAAAAAUUAACGAAAUUAAGAGCGCGGUGCAACGACUCAGAUCUUUUGGAGACAUCGUACAAAAUAUCAAUUCAUUUGGGGGUAGGUUAAAAUUUUCCCUUUAUGGAAAUACAGGCAUUUUCAUGUAAUUAACAACAACCCAACUAAGAAGGCUGCCAAGGAAAACAUAGAUCUGUAUCGUUCCUUAGCUUCCACUAAGAUCGUGAAAUAAUUAUGGAUCAAUGAAAUGACACUAAGCAAGCAAUCGUUGACUAAUUAAAUAUUUCUUUUUUGCCUUUUUCUUUGGUAGGCUUGGCUAAUUAAUUAUUUCACUUGGAAUUAAGCUUGGAGUGAUUGCACCUAGACAUCCUAAUAAGAUUGUUUAUGUUGUUUAAAAUAUGUUUGUACUCCUAAAUAAUUACCAACUAACUUUCGUGUUUUUUAGAAUUAUUCAAAACACCCCGGUUGUAACUUUCAUAAUUGUUCGAUUGAACUUUUCAAGAGUAUUACUACAUGAUAAAACUUUUUAAAAAAAAAGUGAAAAAUAGAGAAUAAUUAAAGUAAAUUCUAGUGAAAACAAAGAUAUUAACUCUAGGUAAUAUAUAUGUAUCAGAAUGGCACAUCAGGAAUUGAAACCGCAUAAGUAACAACUUGUUACUUAUCCAAGUGCUAGUACGUUGAGAGAGAGAUAAGAUAGACGGUACUAAAAACAGAGGGCCGGUUUGUAUUGUUAUCAUUUUUUGGGUGAGGCAAGAAUUUUCUUUUACACAUGGGUGGCCAUUUUCAAUCAAUUUCUGCCACCCCUACUCUUUAUCAUUAUUAUUCCUUUGUGCUCAAAGUAAACAAUAUUUCCAAAUUUGUAGAAGCCAAUUUGGCCACGGUACUUUUUACGUGUUAUUUUGUGGCUGGCUGAAUUGAUGAAACAAGAACCUUCUUGGAUGGUGUAUGCUUCCAUUUUUUUUUCUUUUUUUUUGUGGUUUCCAAAUAUAUAAUUAAUUACCGAAAAUUAUUACGUGCACUUCUCGAUCAAAGAAGCGUCACUAUGUUUUCUUCUGUGUGGCUUAUCGGUGUCAGAUUAUUGGUUUCCAUAAUUUCUUAAAUAAAACAUUUUAAAAUAAGAGGAUUGUUUUCCCUUAUUUGAAAACUACUCAUUGGCUGGGAGGUAAAGCCCUGUCCGCCUACCACGUGGACAGUUAACUCAAGUCACAGCAUGUAUAAUAAUAUGAUGAAAAAUGUAUUAUUUAAAGACGGAUUCAAAUUCCAUAGAUGGGUACAAAUGUCAAAUUUAUUAUUAUAAAUAUUAAUAAAUUGUAAUAAGUUUAAAUAUCUGUUCAUGAUUUUUCCCCCCCUGUUUUUCAGACUUAUGUCAUUAUAUUCGGUCACAGUAAAUAAGAAAUAAAUGUACGUAUAUACAAAUAUUUUUGUCUUAUGUAUGAUAUUUCAUAAAAAGAAAAUAAUAAAAAUGAAUCUGGAAAGUUAUGGGUGUAGGAAAAAAAAAAAAAAACCUGAAGCUUUUGCAUUGGGAAGAGAAGGUAAUAAAGGGAGAUCGGGUCGGGUGAUGGCGUGACCUGAAACAUCUUUUUACAGAAAUUGCAACCAAAAGUUGUAACACUCUUCCCCCACCCCCCAUUUCUCUCACUGCUAAUGCUAUCUCUCCGCCUGCUUACCCAUCUUCUUCAUUUACUCUCAACUCUUAACACAACUUGCUCUCAAAGCUGUAAAUUUAAUGACUAAAUAUAAAUUGUUCAAAAAUAUUUUACUUAGAGCCCAGAAAUUUAUUGCGACAAUCAUGAUGGUCAAUUCAUUUUUUUUUCCUGUGAAGAGGAGAGACAAAGAGUAGGAUCUAAUUCCCAACAGGAGGAUGAUAAACUUUCCGUAGAAGCGUCCUGUUGUUGAGGAAUGGUAGAUGGGAAAGAUCCCAGAGUGCCCUUGAACUACAGAUCAAUCAUAAUAAAUAAUAUAAGAAAAGAAAUGGAUUCUCCACCAGCGAGAAAAAAAAAAUAGUGUAGGCCUCUUCAUUUUCUUCUCAUGCGGACAAACUGUUAAGUCUUGCAAUUUAAUAGAAUUAGUGCAGACUGUUAUUAAAUCGUACGACUUAACAGUAUGUUCGCAAUAAAAAAAUAUGAGGGCGUCUGCACUUAAAAAUAAUUUUUUAUAUACAUAAUUAUUUUCAAGUACAGGUGUCUUCAUAUUUUUUUAAUACGGACAUGUUCGUAAACCGUGUAAUUUAAGAUUUAAGAGAGUUAAAAACCCUAUAUGCUUUAAACUUUUAAUACAACUUUAUUCAUUUUUUUAGAUAAGAAUACAAUUUCAAGUCCAUUACAAACAUUUAAAUCGUUUAUAGAUCAUUGAUACCGUCAUGAUGAGUAGGCAGGGGCGAAGUCAAAAAAUUAACUCAGUGCCUGGCAACAUGAUAACCCACUUCUUAUACGGGAGAAAAUUAUGGUGCAAUGGUGGUACCGUGCCACCGUUGCAUCCAGCCAUUAAAUUCCAAUAGAUCUAUCCAUUUAAGUGAAUCUAACAGCUGGAUGCAACAGUGGUACCGUACCACCGUUGCACCGUAGCCGGACCCUCUUAUACGAUCACAUAGCGGGGGAAAAAAUAUUAUUUCAUUAUUAUUUUAGUCUACGUAACUCAAGAGAAAAACAAAAUUUUGACAGCAACUGUAUAAAAGCAAUACAACAUCUAUCAUUUUAGCUGGUGUGGUUUAGGAAAAACAAUAUAAUAAUAAAAACUAGAGGCAAUUCUGUAAACUAAUAAUGUAAUGUCAUAAACGAAAUUAUAGUGAUUGAACAAAAAAAUAUUUUCCUUGACUCUUUUGAAUAGAUUUCGCCCCUUUCGAGUAGGGAGGAAAAAUCAGUACACAGAAAUACAAUUUAUCCGAUACAAAAGUAUGAUUACAUCAUUUUUAAUUUUUUUAUGGGUUAAUAAAAUCUAUGCGCCUGAAUAUUUACGUAUCACCAAAUAAUAACAAAGUUUAUCAAUUUAAAUCAAAUAGCUUCACAAAUUGAUAAACCUUUCAAAACGAUCGGAACAGAGAUUAGGGAAUUAUUUGAUACAAAUAAAUAGAAUAUAUUUUUAAUUUAAAUAUGAUCAAAUUUCGGGGACCCAUAUGUUAUUAUCGAUCUCAGAAGGUGUCAAGUAGCAUUCUGGUAACCUCCUCCUCCAAUUUGUCCGACCGACCAAUCAGAGGAAACUUAUGGAUGAGGAUAAGUGGCAGUGAACAUGUCUAAUUAAUAAUUUAUAAUAUUUGCCCCGUGGAUCAACAGUAAUUAAAUAUGUUAAUUAUCAUAUGAAUUGCGACUUGACUCGAAGUAUUGUCAAUUUUAGAAAGAGAUUGAUAAUGCAGGACCAUUGAUUUGCUUCUUUGACAAAUCUUGUUGCAUUAGGCGAUCAGCUGAUGAUAAACGGCUAACAGUUCCCUCAAUCUAUAUACAUAACACGUUUGGUUAAUUAUCAUUUAAAUGAUUCAAUCAAUCAAUUCCAAAAGCACUUAGAAUACUUCUUGGUCAUUAUUAAACAUCUAAAUUUCUUCCUGCACUUUGAAUGGUUAACUUAAAAGCGGCCGCCAUGGAAUAAAUUAUUGAUGCCUUGAAUGUAACCUUCCGCCGCUUCUUUAGGGGGUGGGAAAAAAUACCGUAAGAAUACGGAUAUAAUCAUUUGUAUGACGUCACAGGGUACGUAUAUAAUACAAACACUGUUUAAUACAACAUCCUCCACUAUUUGUUGAAAGCCUCUUUUUUUUUUUUUGGUCACUCACCCAAAGUUCAAUUUUGUGUUGCUAAACUUCAAGUAUUACAGUUGUGUAUAAAUAAUAAAUAUUAUAAACUGAGAAAUAUGAAUGAAAACUUGGGGGUUAGUAGCGAAAAAUUUCGAAAACAUAAGUUUCCCUCAACUUAAAAUUCAAUAGCGGAGGAGUGUUGUAUCAAACAAUGCUAUAUUGUAGUCAAAGUUGACUUUAGUGCUAAGUUCGGCUUGGUGUUGAUGCUAACCUUUUACAAAAAUGCAAUUAGUAGUUAUUGGAUAAAGAUAUAUAAAUAAAUAAAUUUUACCCAUAUAUUAUUAUAAAUGCACGCAUGGUAUAAGAAUAUUAUCAAAAAGUGAGCACAACUCAAACUUAGCGUUUAAUCUAAAUUUACUCAAGUCACUCUCAAAAUUAUCUUAACAUCUCCAAUGCAUUUAUAAAAAGUCUUUAUCUAGUGCAAAUGUUUAUAAUAUUUUGGACUAAAUCGUAGUGAAUAAAUAUGUUUUAAUACUAAAAGUACCACGGUGUGACUCAAAUUCACAUUUUCGUUCGUAAAGUUGUCCAUUUAAGUAUUUUCUUCAAUAUCUCUCGUUAACAGAUUUACUUUUACAGAUGCAUGAAUGAUAAAAUUUGAAUUCAAACAACUGAAAUAAGGUAAGUACAUAAAUAAAUAAUGUGGCUUUAAUUGAAUUAAUUAAGGAGGGGCAGGAGGGGGGUUGGAGUCUUGGAGACAGAAGGGUUUGGUCCAGCGGAGAGUGAGAAUGUGGUAAAAUGGAGGCAUUUUGUAUUUUUUUGUAAUUAAAAUAAACAAAAAUGUUUCCUGUUCAUACAGCACAUUUGUCUACUCAAGUGGGGCUGUUGAGGGUGCAGUGGAGAUGGGUCAUCGGGCAUUACCUUCUCUUCAUGUGAACUUGUUGCCUAUACGUACAAAAUACUACGUAUACCGUAAUAAGGUCUCAUAUACAUGCAUGCAUAAAUAUACAAUAGCUUUUUGAUGUGUGCGUUCGCACAUCAUAAAAAUCAAAUUUGAUACUAGAUAUUGUUUUGGAACUAUGAAUUAAUGAUGUUUUAUAAGUAACUAGAGAUAGUAGAAGUAUCAACCUCAAAUUUACAUAUUAAAAUAUAGAAACAUUUUCACUGGAAAAAAGACUCGAGGCACAAAAAUAUACACAUGCAAUAUGACAUGCACUAUUCCUCCUCUCCCAUUUCUGAUUCCACGUGCUGCCAUGCACUAUAAAUUUUAAAAAUAUUUUUAUGCUACGUAUACACUGAUUACGAUACGGAUGAAAAAUGAUGUAGAUUGAAUCUUUGGAAAAUGAAGAAAGGAGGGAGAAAAAAAAAAUUACCAGCGCCACUUACGAUAUCUUCAUCACGUACAUUCUAUUUAAAUUAAUUUAUUUUAGAUAUCAAAUGAUAAAACCCUAAAUUUCCAAUACACGAUUCGUCAAUCAAAACCAUAAAUAGAAUUAAGCAGUAUAACUAAGAAGUUUUUUAUAAUAUUUUUACUAUUGAGAAUUGUUAACACACAAACACACAGAGUGGUGAAUCUAGAAAAAUAAUUUACUGGAAGCUAGAUUACAUAAUAAAAAAUUUUAAAAUUAAAACUUAAAUGCAUAAAAUAUUUAAUAAUACAUUUAUAAUUCUCUAGACGUAUUUUUAAGAAUAAAAAAAAUUGUGAUGGUGACCUCUCAUUAUUUUUAAUUAUAGUGUAGGUUUUUAUAAUUUUAAAAGUUAAAAUUUAAAGUUUGUGAGUAUAUAAAUUUAUAGGAUCAAUUUUAAUAAAUUUAAUGGGAGCUAAUUAGAAAUCUUAAAUAUUUUUCUUUUAUUUUUAGAAUUUUUUUUUAGCCAGCGGGGGCUACUACCCCCACUGGUCACAUACUGCAUCUGUCCCUGAACACACAUACAUACAUAUCAUAUUUGUACGUAUAGGAUCAGGAUGAACACGAUAUGUAUCGUCCAGAUUAUGUCAAAAUUUGUUGCCUUUAAAAAAUUUUCAGCAGACCCAAGUGCUUUCAGUAGAUUUAAAAAAUUAUAGUAAAUUUACUACCAAUACGUUGUGUCUACGGUCUACCUUGUAAUGGAAGCGACAUUAUGGUAACAGAAGCUGAAAUCAUCUUAUUUUGGUCUAACACGACAUCCAGCAUUUUAUUUUAUUGUCCUUUUAGAUAAAAAAAAAAAAAUAUGGCUUAAUUUGUGUGAAACGAACAGAGACAUUUUGACCGGAUAUAGUUAUCUCUGAAAAUGUGAAGUCUUUGAAGGAACCUGAAGUGAAAUGUCACAUUACAAUGAGCAUCUUCUCAGAACUUAAGGUUAUUAGCGGCAACAUAUUUUUGACAUUCUUUAUCGACGAUGCAUGUACUACUAGUUCCAUAAAAAAAAAAUUGAAUUGAAACGAAUAAUAGUUUAGACAUACUUGUAUUAAUUCUUAGUUCUCGCUUGAUGUCGUUUUUAAGGGAGGAUUCCUGCACUUUAAUAUUGUAAAUUCGUUUCAAAUUUUAAUCCUGUAUAUAUAUAUAUAUGUUCUAAUUUAGAAUUUUAAAGUGCGUGAACGUUUAGAAAAAUACAUAAAAUGUACGGUUUAAGCACUUUAAAUUUUAAACCUUUAAAAUUUCACAGUUUUAAAAUUUUUCUUGACUUUUCUUACAUUUUAAAAUCUUGAACUAUAUUUAAUUUUAAUUAAAAAAUAAAAAUCUUUUAACAAAUAAAUAUUAAUAUUCCUAGAAUAUGAACCAACAAUUUUUCUUUUUCUUUCAAGAGAAGAGAAGUAUCUUUUAACAUUUUAAAGUUUAAAAAGAAAAAAAAUAAAGUACCUUUUAUCUUUUAGUCAACUGUAUGGAUUAUGGAUGUACUUUUUUUUUUUAAUUGACUAAGUUCAUUUAGAAUCUAAAUACAUGCAAUAAAUUCAUUUAGGAUGUAAAUACAUACAUUUAUAGUUCAGUUCAUAUAUCUAUUGAAACCAACUCAAAAUUUGAUGUCAAUAAUAUUUAGAGAAAUAAUUGCAAUUGAAAUUGCAAUAAUAAUAAUAAUAAUAAUAAUAAUAAUAAUAAAUAAUUUGUGUAUGUCCGUACAUGUGUUGGACGGUUUAGACCUUACCCUUUUUUUUUUUUUUGUUUGAAGCGCGGUUUAGACCUUACUUAUGCGUGCUAAUGUACGCCCGCUCUACCGUUAUAUAUGCAGACCCCAUGAAGCCAAAACUCUCAAUAAACUUUGCAGGUGACUUCAAAAAAAAAAAAGAAGAGAGAAAAAAAACAGUGAGGAUAUUUGUUCAUAGUUUCUUUGGUUGUGAGAAAAACAAAUGGAAAUGGAGAUGGAGAUGGAGAUGGAGAUGGAAAUGAAUAACCAAUCAAAAUUCAACAGGAUUUGUGUGUUCUGUGGAAGCAGUGCUGGAAAGAAAAGCACUUACAAAGAUGCUGCCAUUGAGCUUGGCAAAGAACUUGUAAUGAAUUCUUCUCUGAUUUUUCUGCUCUGUUUUACUUUAUUUCCUCUGUUUUAAGUGUCUUUAGAGAUAGUCUUCACUGGUUUUGGUUUCUUUUUCUGCUUUCUUCAUGAAAGUUUCUAUUUUCGCGCUUCUGCUACUCUUCAAUGGUUCUGUUUUGGGUUUUAUUUUCAGAGUUCAAUUAAGAAGUUUUUCUUUUCUUUUUUAAAAAUUUCUCUGCUUUCUGUUUUGUUUUUAUUUGUUCUAUUUCUCCUGUUUCUUUUCAUGUUCUCAUAUUGUUUGAGGCUAUCAACUAGGGUUCUUCUUGAUAGGGAUUUCAGUUCCAAGUUCUGUUUAUGACUUUCUACUCAGUUCGUAUUUGUUUUUUAGAUCUAAGCCAAAUGAACUUAAUGGAUACUUUUAGCUUAUCUCCUUGCAGAAUUGCUUUUUAUAUAUUAGUAUUUGUUUCUUCAACACCAAUAACUUGUUUGGUUUUCAUAUGCUUAGUUCCCACUAGCUGCAUUUGACAUACUAGUCCACGUCACAUAUGGGUACCAAUAGUCAUGUUUUUAAUCAUAUUUAUCAGUUAAAUAUCAUUUUCUAACUUUUCCCCCACUUCAAAGGUUGCAAGAAAUAUUGAUCUUGUUUAUGGAGGAGGGAGUGUUGGUUUGAUGGGUUUGAUUUCUCAAGCUGUUUAUGAUGGUGGGCGCCACGUCAUUGGGUAUGUAGAUAUAUCAUCGUCGCAUUUCUCAUUCUUUUUGCUUACAAUGUGUUGGCUCCUUUAAUAGUACUACUCAAAUGUACCGAAAAGGAAAAUAGAUCUUUUGAGAUUUGACAACCAAAUUUAGUGAGCUUUUGGUCCAUUCAGUUUUAAUUACUUGAUCUGUCUCUCAACUAAUAUUUGCAUUUUAUUGUCUGCAGAGUUAUUCCGAAGACCCUAAUGCCUAGAGAGGUAUGUUAAUAAUGCUUUAAGAAAGAACUUAAAGAAAGAAAUCAAGACAGUAUCUACUACUUUUUCUCUCUACAAUACAUCUAUUUUUUAUUUAUUUAUUUAUUUAUUUUUCAUAUUGUGGUAGCUACUUGUACAUGAAUUGCUACCUCAGCUUUGUUAUCUUCAAGUAUCAAUUUCACACGUCUCGAUUGGGAUUCAUGUUGUUUCGAAGUGGGACUACAUCUUUGAUUGGUUCUAAAAUUAUCUUGCUUUCACAUAUUUUUCUUUUUUCUUCUGAUGAACACAACUUGCCCAUCAAUUUAAUCCAACCACCCAUCUGGGCUGCACCUUUUGGUCACUAUCUUUUAAUUUGAUGACCACAGGCAAGAUUCCUACGAUAUGUCCCAAUUCCAUCCAUGUUACUUUUCAAUUUUUGUUCUCUUUCCGGGUACAAUACCAUGAUAUCAGGUUUUAUGAUAAUGUAUAUACAUGAAUAUUUCUUGUAUUUGAGCCCACUUCCUCUGCUGCACGCAUCAUUAAAGUUUUUCUGUGCAAAAAAUUUAGUGUCUUUUUGUGCAUGUAUUUUGUAUUCAUUUGGAUUCUACAUUUUGCAGAUUACUGGAGAAACAGUAGGGGAAGUGAAGCCAGUAGCUGAUAUGCACCAAAGGAAAGCAGAAAUGGCUAAACAUUCCGAUGCUUUUAUUGCUUUGCCUGGUUGGUACCUUUAUGCCAUAAUGCCCUUUCCUUUCUCAAGGUCAACCAGUCAAACAAGUUGACAUGAGUAGUUAGACUAAACAUCAAAACACCUUUUUAUCCUUCUGUUAUUUCUUGCUGCAUAUUUUACUACGUUGGUAGAGCUAGUGAAAGCAACUGCUUCCGGCUUGAACAGUGACUACUGAAGCUUCUGACUUCUGACAUGAAAAUUUGGCUUUUUGGUCGGCCUAAUUUGUGUGGUAAAUAUGAAUUUUAUUUCUGCACGCUUUAACAAGUGAAGAAAAAUGAUAGAAAAAGCUGGUAAACUUUUUUAUUAAAAAAUAAAUAUAUGGUCCCAAGCCAGCACUCAUUACCUGCAGAUGGUAACAGCUCCUUUUUGCCAAAGUUUUAUUGAGUGUUCUGAAGGAAUUUGAACAUAGUUGGGUGAUGGGGUUUACUUUCAUCAUGAAACCAAAAGUUGGGCUUUAAUGGGCUGGCCCAAACUUUCAUUUAAAUGGGCUAAACUGAAGAUAGGCUUGUUGGGCUUUUCAUUUGCAGCUAGCAACUUGUGCCUUGUGCAUUUUCUGUAAUGCUUUAGCGAAAGUGGGCAUUGUGUGAAUCUUUCAUUUCAUGUCACAUAUUAGUCAUUAGAACUGAUUGAUUAAAACUGCAAUUUGUCAUGCAUAUGAAGGUGGUUAUGGAACACUUGAAGAGCUGCUGGAAGUGAUAACCUGGGCUCAACUGGGCAUCCACGACAAGCCGGUAAAGGCAGCUUAAUGCUUGCAGUGUUUGCAAAACCAAACUUUGAAGGAACAUGUAUGCAGAUUAAAUUUUGAUGUCGUUUAAUGAUUUUUCAGGUAGGAUUGCUGAAUGUAGAUGGAUAUUACAACUCCUUAUUGACAUUCAUUGACAAAGCAGUGGAGGAAGGCUUCAUUAGUCCCAACGCUCGCCAUAUCAUAGUCUCUGCCCCUAAUGCAAAAGAACUAAUGAACAAAAUGGAGGUAAAAUCACUUUUACCAUAACUUUACAAAUCUUGUGUACAUUAUUAAAGUUUCAAUCAAUAAUCAUAUCAUCAUCAUUUUCCCGUCUUCAGGAAUAUUUUCCGCAGCAUGAGAGGGUCGCCUCCAAGCUAAGUUGGGAGAAUGAACAAUUCGGGCUCAACCCAAAAUGUGAUAUCUCAAGGUGAUCAUGAUGAUCAGGAAACUGAAGCAUUUGAAGACAAAUGCCACCGCAACUAAUUUUAGACAGACCAAGACAUUCCUGAGAUGGGAUUUUUCUUUUCUUUUCUUUUUGUAAUAUCUUUCUUAAUUAUUGUAAACAACAAAAUGUUGACCUCAGAAUUUGAAGCUUGAGUUUUAUUUCAAGCAGAAGUAGAUUCUGCAGAAACUUUCUGCUGCUAUGAUUUUGUUAAAUUCUAUACUUACAGUUACAUGCCAUCAUUUGAUUGUGGCAAAUGAUAAUGCUAUCUAAUAUAACCUGACUGAGUGAAUGAAUUUUUUUUUUUUAAAAAAAAAAAAUUAUGGAUUGAAAAAAAAAAAAUAGAUCCUAGUUCUUUCUUCUUCCUGCAUGGAUUGAAAAAAAAAAAAAAAAAAAAAAAAGAAUCGAGAAUUUCAGGUUCAACCUGGAGAAUGUAACAAAGUUUCAAACAAGAUUUUGACUCAAUUAAUUCUUGAAAGUAGAAAUACAAUGAGAUUUUGUUUCUCUAGUUGAAGAUCUUACAUUGAUGAAACCCAUGAAAGAUUUACAUCCAUAACAACGCAUCUCUAACCAUUUGCAAUUGUUAAUUGUUCUAAUUCUCGGAGGUUCGGUAACCACUAAGUCGGUACUAUAUAAUACAUGAAAAUAAAAAUAACAAAUUAAGAAUGGACAUGUUUGUUUCAUCAAGAAUUAAUACUCUUAUGUAGUAUUGGGUAGGAUGAUUGUUCGAUUUUGUGUUUCCUGCACUUAAGACAAAGAAAAUUAUUAUAAUUACUUCACUUGAUGCCUAAAACAAGAUUUUUAGGCACUAAUUAAUCAAUUAAUUAUAUGAAUUGCUGAGCGAGAAAAAUGAAUGUUACCAGCCAGGAACGUGUUUCCACGCCACAAAGCAAUACAAGUUUCACAUUCACGAGACAAUCAUCUGCCGGGAUUUGGAUUCUGAUGAUCGUUUCGAUAGACGACUCGACAUUUGGAGUACCUGGCCAAAGCCGAACACUGCUGCCAUUUUGGUUGCUUCAAGAAAGAAAGAGACUUGUCAAAGAAUUUCAAGUUCUUGAGAGAAGAGAAAAAAGAAAAGGAGACGCUUCUUGAAUCUUGAUUAUCGACUGGCCGAAUAAAAAGCAGAAGCUGAGAUAAUAAGCUGAGUUGAGUGAGUAUAGAAAAAAGAGAGUAUAAGUGGAGGGAAGGUUUCAUUUCAGUUUUUCGGUUAUAUAACUGCCGUCUCCAUUCUUGGUUCUUGAAUUCUGAAUGUUGAAACGAAAUAUGGGCUUUUAUAAAAUAUUGGGCCUAACCGGAGCCUGCCUAGAAGGAUUAUGAUGAAAAACCAAGCAGCAAGUAAAUGGUACCAGCGCACUUUCUCUAAACAAAGAAAUUUCAAACUUUGUGAAGAAAAGAACAAUUCAAAAGGUUGGCGCCACCCCCUCCCAAAAAAAAAAAAAAUACACUGCGAUUUAGCAACUUGCACUUGUGCAUUUUCUGUAAAUGCUUUAGCAAAAUUUGGUCAUUGUCAAUCUUUUAUUUCAGGUCACAUAAUAUUCACUAACAGUGUUUCAAUUAAAACUUCAGGAUUUGUUUUGUGUAUGAAGAUGGUUAUGGUACUCUUUGCAAAUAAAAGAAAUUAUUGAAAAUUAACAUAUACGACAUGUCAUUAUACGUAAUUACGGGAAGACGGCAUGGCAAUGUUAUUUACUCUGAAGUAGGACGCGUCGGAUCGAAGUUGAAUAACCGCUAACUAACUCGGCGGGCCCACCGUUUAACUUAUUUAUUAAACGGAAUUCAAGGCGGGCCCUACAGUCCAAAAGUAAUGCGGGGCUAUUAGAUAGCAUUGGGCUCAUGACAAGAAAGCCACACAGAGAAGAUCCAGAAACUUAGCCCAGACUCCAAUAGGAAAAAUCAGUUCAAAGAAAAUGGACAGAUUUGUAGAUGGGCAGAUAAAUAAUAUAUACGUUAGAGAGAUUACUUGGUCGAAAUAUUUAAGCUGAUAAAUAAUAUAUAUGCACAUAUUCAGCUUGAAAGCUUAGGUUAUCAAGACGUUUCUAAGGUAAUUGAUUUCGAUGUCAAGCCACGUGAUAUGGUGGCCUCAUAAUGGGCUGAUACGAUUGUACUAAACCUUCGUUCAAUCAAUUUGGAAUCUUAAUGAAAAAGUUUGGUCAAAUGAUGAAACUAUGAAGACACAUUUUCACAGUAUUAGGUCCAAAAUCUUUAAAUAAUCUUACUUUUUACCUCACAAGCUUUGUAUCUUGAAUGCCUCUACUUAGGGUUUUCAUACGAUUAUUUCUCAUAUAUCAUUUUCUUACGUGUACGACUAUAUAUAUUAAAUCAGUAGCACUUGUUGCGAUACGUAACCUAAGAUCCAUGCAAGUGAAGGGAGUAGCAUGAUUCUAAACCUUCAUUAAAAAGUUCAGUUAUAAUUUUUUAUUUUUUUAGGAGUGCUGCUAAAUGGUCAAAAAAAUAGAGAAGAACGAUAAAGACGACAACAUGUGCUACUGUUUCAUACCCUCUUCUCUCUCUUACUUUUGGAUGUUAGCAGUAUUCAAUUAAUAAUGAAAAAUAGCCAAAAGUUAAGGAAUUUUGAGGCUUAUCAAUUUUAAAAUAGAUAUCAUCUUACAACGGCACUCCCCUCAAAGUGAGAUAUGCAUAGUCAUGCUGUUUAAAAAAAAAAGAGUCAUUUUGUGACGAACAGAGUCGCCGAUGACGAUCACACCGAUGAUAUGUUAUCUCAUUGAUGAUCAACUAAUGAUCUCUUAUUAAAAAAUAAUAAUAAUAAUCUUGUAGUCAACAGAGCCAUUGCCACCAGCCGAUAAUAUUAUUGUCAAAGUUCCCAUUUAACUUUUUCUCUCACUCAUACAUAAUCAAUUUUUCGUAUCAAUUUUUUGUCAAAUAGUUAAAAAAAUCAAUUAUGUGAUUUAUGAUAAUUUUGGAAUCAUUAAGGUAUAAAUAGUUAAAUAGGUUUUAAUAUACUGUAUUUCUAUAAUGAUAAUUCUAUGCUAUGAGAGGAUAAUAUUUUUUAGCAUUGAUAAGGCUCAAAUUAUCUUUUUUUUUGGUCAUUUAUUAUUAUUAUUUAAUAUUACUAAUGGCCAAAAGUAAGAGAGAGAAGGGAGCAUGAAACAGCAGUACAUAAGUUGCCGUUUCUAUCGUCAUUUUCUUUUUCUUUUUUUUUUUGCCAUUUAACAUUUUUCUUUUUUCAAUCAUGUACUAAUCUUAUCGUAUUCUUAUUGUGCAUAAAAUAUACAUUUUACAAGGAAAACAAGAAUGUGCAAACUAUUUUUCUAAAAAUAUUUUUUUCCACACGUACAGACACAAAUAAAAAAAAAAAAUUGAACCAAUUCUUUCAAUCUCUUGAUUUCAUAACAAAGGCCUAACCAAUAUUGAGUGAUCUUUCGUGAAUCACGUAACCAUAUACUUUAGUUAAUUAAUAAUAUAAGAUUCGCCUUUAUUUUUUACAUUCUAUCAACUAACGAUCUCAAUUCCAUAUAUUAAAAAAUGACUUCUUCUUGACAUUUUGGGCAAAAAUUCAAUCCAUAAUUUUCUUAUAUAGCAACCCAGCACAUGGUUUAACUAUAUUGUCACACUACAGUACCGAAACUACAUUUUAGGAAUGAAAUAUUUUGUUUAAUUUGUUCAUCAUAGUAUAAACCAACAACAACAAUAAUUUCAUUUAUGGAUCGCUUCAUAUGAUCAAAAGCCAAAACUAAAUAGGCAAAUCAUGCAGCAAGGGUCAGCAAAUUAUUAAAAAGUCCUGCAAGAAUAUAAUAGUUAAUCAACUUGGAAUUUUUGGCUCUCUUUAAUUUCAAGGAGCUGUGGCUAGAAACCAUGCGAAAUAUUGCCUAUAGAAAAUUAAUCCAUUAGGCAUCCCUCCACUUAUAGGACACUAAUAAAGACCAAAAUCUUCACAUUGACUCGGUUUUUAAUUAGGAUAAAGUAUACAAAUAUUAACUCAUAUAUAGAUAUAUUUAUGGAAAGAAGAGUUGCACAUGAAUGCAACUCAUACCGAGAUUUGAUCAUUGAUUCAUCAUUAUUUUCGUUAAUUGUUUGGUCAUAAAAGACUAGAAUUGGAUUGCAUCUUGGCUUAGGUGGCUUCCACUAGAUCUGAUUUUCUGGCAUCGUCAGAGCUCAACGGCCCGUCAAAUCUGACACCUGGCCGGAGUCAAAAGUGUCAAACCAUCUAGGUGCACUUGAUCUUGCAAAUUAGUUUAGCAUCAAAGGUUGACUUUUCUUAGGGUUUAGGGUUUUGACCUUAACAUGCAUCGUCCUAUUAUUAUUAUAAUUAAGGGAAGAAUGUUUAGUUUUGACUCUGAAUUCUGAAAAUGUGUUUGAGUAUAGGGCUUUGCAUGUUCAUGGCACAUGCACAUGCACGUGUGUGAGCUCCUACACGCAUGCUCAGAAAGGCAUGUGACGUUUGCAUAUGACGAAUUGAAUGCUCUCUUUCUAUAUUUUGGGAACAUCUAUUUUCUUUUUAUGUGAUAUAAUUCAGGAUGUAUCUAAAAGACCUUUUAGCACUAUAUAUCAGAUUUAUCACAUUACAAUCUACUAGAUGAUAGUUUGAGGUAUCAUCAAGCAUGGUUCAAAAAUUCAUACAUAAUGCACAGACGAGACGUACGCCACACUGAUUUGAUUGGAAGAAGAGUUUUUACAACAUGACCAAUAACUCAAGUGAUCAACAAUUAUCAACUUCAAUAAAAAUAAAAUGCCUUCUUUAUCUAUUUGAUCCGUUUAAUUGCUGCUAAAUACUGUUAGUAAACUUGUUUUCAUGAUGAUAUAUUUUUUUUUUUUGUCUUAACCACGAGAUAUUCUGGGGAGGGCCCCAACUGUCGGAGGCACCUUUAAGGUCGUACCACAACCCAAACUAGAAGUCUCCGCUCGAACCGGGAGGCACAUGUUCUCCCAACACAGACGAUUUCCCUGCGACUCGAACUGGGGAGCAAAUCCAGUCAAGCCACUUAAGGAGACUCCAUUGCCAGUGGAGCCAACACUUUGUUGGUUUUUCAUGAUGAUUUUAGGCAUCACUAAAAGAUCCGUUUAAUUUUAUUUUUUAAAUACUUAUUUACUUAUGUAGCAAAUAGAACAAUAAAAAAAUAAGCCCUCUCCCAAAAGACUUUUCAAAUGGAGAUGAGUUUAAUUAUUUUAAUUAAUUUCUUCUCUCACCAAAUUUAAUUAUGCUCCAUUUUUUAAAUAAUGUACUUAUUGUACUUCCCUCUCUUCAAUAAUAAUGAUAUUGAAAAUACUAUAACAUUAUUUGAAAAAGGAGAAGUCACUCUUCAAUAUUAAAGAGAGAGAAGAAUAAUCUCAAUUGAAGAAUUUCAUUUAAAGAGCUUAUUGGAACCCAUGUAGUGCCUUCAAUAAUAAAAAAAAAUUAAAUGUUUUGGUGAUGCUUUAAAAUUUUCAAUAAUUUUUACUCUUCGAGUAAUCUCUUUUGAAUUUAAUCAUCUUUAGUCAAUGGAGAGAGAGUUUAUGAAAUGGGUCGAAAUGGGCUUUUAUCAUUCAUUGUAGUGAAAAGAAAAUGAUAGCCCCUAUUAAUGAGUAGCGCAAUUAAUUAAUAUUCACAAUUCAUAACAAAAGUUAUGAGAACUAUAAUUAUGCCUAAUUGAAGUUAACCUAAAAGUCAAAAGUAAUUUGCCUUGGUACUGUUAUAAUCUUUCAAGUUGUUGGUCAUGUGCUGACUUUCAUUUCAAAACAAUAAAUUACCACUUAAAUGUUAGACUUUAUGGUUAUGUAUGAACAAGCAUCAGCAUCAAGCUCAUAAUCCAAUUUUGGUAUCUAGCUAGCAUAUAUGAAAACACCCGCUAAUGGAUUUAUUGACUAUGGGUCCCCCACUGCCCAACAUGCAUGUCGUAUUGGGGACUAACAGUGACAAAUUCUUUCGUUAAUCGGAACAAUUUUAAAUGCAUAUUCACUUACAAGUUAUAUCCACACAUCAAUUAUAUUCGAUAUUUUUUUGGAAAAUUUUAACCUAUCCCCAAAUAAAUUGACAUUUUGCACCGCGUCCCCAAUAAAUUUGACUUGUUGCACCGCACCCCAAAUUCCGUUAUUUUUUUAGUUAAGCUUUACGGUGGAGGUGUAAAAUUGGAAGUUCAUUCCUUAAAUUAAUUUUAAUAGGAAUUCUCUUUAUUUCAAUUGAAAUAAAAAUCUUUAAAAAAUUAAAGGAAAAUUAAUAGUGGUGACAAUGUACAUGUAACAAGAAUUUUUUUUAUUGCAAUUAAAAUAAAAAUCUUAAAAAAUUAAAGGAAAAAUAAUAGUGGUGACAAAUGUACAUAUAACAAGAAAAUUUUUUAUUGCAAUUGAAAUAAAAAUCUUUAAAAAAUUAAAGAAAAAAUAAUAGUGAUGACAAUAUACAUGUAACAAGAAAAUUUUUUUAUUGCAAUUGAAAAAAAAGCCUUAAAAAAUUAAAUGAGCUAAAAAUUUUGUUUUUUUUCAUAUAGAGGGGCAUUUUUGUCAUUCAAUUAAAAGUUAGACGGAGCCAUUAGAAAUAACUGAAAAAUUAACGGAAUUGUGGGCGCAGUGCAACACGUCAAUUUUUUUGAGUGCGCGGUGCAAAAUGUUAAUUUAUUUGGGGGUAUGUUAAAAUUUUCAUUUUUUUUUUGUUUUCCGUGAGUUAAUCAAAAAGUUAGGAUGCUAAAAGUUGUUAACUUGUUAAGUUCAAAAUAAUUAAAAAAAAAAGUAAUAAGUUAAAAGUAAGCGUGCUGAGUUUAAUAGUUUAAUCCAUAGACAAGAAAUUAGGUUUGAAACUGAACUGCCGUCUUUUACUAUGAUUAUAAUUUAUACGCCAUGCUUAGGAAUCACACAUUGUACCCUGUUGGAGGGUCUAAUUCUAGAAUUGAGUUACUGCUUAAUAAUUGCUUAUAGGUGUUACGUGAGAUAGCCCAUCACUGUAUUUUACGUUUUGAAUUUGACCAUGUAUGGAAUCUUGAACAGUGAAGUUUUAAUACAAGUUAUGCCAAAAAUUAAGUAUUACAAGUUGGCUAGUUAAUUAAGCACCGAAAUUAGUAUAUGGCAUGACCUUGAAAAUCUCUUUAUAAAUUAGAAGCAGCAAUGCCCAAAGAGGCCAUGAUUCAAAGUCAAUGUACUCUUAAUUUGGCUACCACCCUCCUUUGUCUGUAUAAUGAUCUUUUUUAAUAAAAUUUUCUGAAUAUAUUAAAAAAAAAGUCAAUGUAAUCUUAUUAGAACUUUUCUUAGUAAAAUUUCGUUUUAUUUUUUAUUUUAACCCCAGAGUUUUUUAAAAAUAUAAACCAAUAAGAUAGUAAACAAAAUAUUGUUGGUUAAAAUUAAAAUAUUUUGUGCAACAGAAAAUCAUUAGAUCAUGACUCUUAUAGAGUAUAUAAAAUUAUUGUAGUUUAACAAUUAUAUCUUAACUAUUUCAUAAGUGAAAUUUUUUACUGAAUCAUCAAGUUUCAAUUAUUGAAUCCGUGAUCGAUAGUCUUUUAGGUUAUAACUCAAGUUCAAUAAGUGUGGGCACAUUUUAUAUUCUCAACAAAAUACAAAAUAAUUCAAUAACUAAUUACUAAAAAUUAGAAUAGAUAUUUCCUAAAAUUUCUGGUUUCACAUGUUCGCUUUUUUUUUUUUUCUCUCCUUAAAGAUAGCAAUAGCAUAUUCUUUUCUCUUAAUCUAAUUGAAUUAUUCAUUAAUUAGCAAGUACAUCCUUAUUAAUUAUUUGAUCACUUAAUAAUUUUCUCAAGCCUAAACUUUUCGUUCUUCCUGCUGGCUAGCUUCUGAAGGCUAAUGGCAACUCACCCGAAAAAAAAAUGACUUGUAAAGAAAAUAACAGAAUUUGUGUUCAUACUUUCUUUUUCGUAUAUUUUUUCUUCAACAAGCAACCAAACCCACUUAAAAAUCUUGAUCAGUUAUCCCUUCUGCAAGCAAAUUUAGUCAUGGGUAAUGGAUUUCUUGAAAUACAACUUGCCUAAGUUUGGCAAAAAGCCAUUAACAAAGUUUUCUGUAAUGUUCAUCUGGGUAUACCUACAUGCAUAGUCAAAGCCUGGCGACAUAUAUUAAGUAUUUUUAAUUUUUUCUGUGUACAUAGCAUCUCUUUUAUACACUUAUACUCAAUCUUCUUCAACCCUAAUACAAAUGAAACUUCCCUUCUCUGCAACUCCAUGCGGUGGCCGCUUGUCAGCCAAUAACAAUAUUCUUUUGUUUGUGAACACAGGCUGCUAUUAUUAUUGCUUCAUUUGCUGAACAAGAAAAGGCCUAUUGUUUCUUAAUUUCUUUGUGUUCAUUUUCUUUACAUACAAGGUAAUGCAUGCCAAUAGCUUAUGAUUUGUUUCAUUUUUUUCGGUUAUAAUGUUCUUUGGACAGAUUAUCUUGAUCUGGGGAAUCGUGUUUGGGUUUAAUUUGGGUUUGACAAUAAAGUUUCAAAGAUCAUGUCUUCUUUAUUAGGUUAAUCAUAUAUUAUAAUCACUUUGUGUUCUUAAGUAACAAAAGAAAUUAUGAUUUGGCAACAUCUACUUUAAAAUUACUAUUUCGUUUUGAGAGAAUGCAUAUAAAACCAAAAACCCAUCCGGGGUUUUAAACAUGGGCUGUGCCAAAAACGCGAGGGUAGCCCGUUUAUGCGGCAGCAAAGCCGGCUUUUAAGUGGUGUCUUAAGGGAGGUUUAUGUUUAUAAAUGUAUGAAAAAAUUGUAGAGUGAUAAUGAAGGGGAACGCGUAAAUUCAACAAAUUAUUAAAAUAUUUACACUCUAUUAAUAUAAACGUUUAGCCCCAUGUGACCCUUUGAUGCAUUUCUCAUGGGGUGCUUCACCUUCACAUUAUACUACUGCUACCUUUUCUUUUUUAUAUAAAUGCUCUUGCACAGGAUCCAUUGUCUUCAAACUUCACCACACAAAAUUUUCUUUUAUUCAUUUUCAAGUUAAUAGCUAAACUUGACCUCUUCUGGUUGGUGUUAAGUUUAUAUCCUUUCAAGUUUCUUGUUUUAAGCUUUAUUUUUAGUGCUAAUCAAUUUGUUUGUUUUUUAUGUAGGGUGACAAUUUUUUUAAUCUAUAAAAUGGGCUUAAUUCGGAGUCCAAGUAUGAGAAGUGGGGAUUACUUGGAAGGGAUGCUAAGUGAUUAUGUUGGAGGAAAGGGCAAGCUAAAAGUACACAAGAGUGCUUCAUCGCGGCUUGUGACAGUUCUCACUUGCCUGCAAUUCGCCUUUGCAGUUUACGCAACAUUUCUUCUGUACUACAUGAGUCCGGCAGUGGAUUUGCGAACCAAACCGGACUUCACUUGGGCUACAAGGAUUGCGAGAAACUGGAGACAAUUCAUCAUCACGCCCCACGUUUUGAAUCACUACCAGGAAGCUGCUUCUCUUGUCAAAGCUGAAAUCCCUCCCCUGCUGACUCCAACAGAGGUCUGUGAGCAUGAGAAAAUAGAUUUCUUGCAGAAGAAGUCAAAUGACGCGCAAAUGAUCAAGGUGAAGACAGAGUUGUAUAAAGAGAUUUUGGACUUUCAGAGCAAGUCCAUUGGCACUGAGACUCUAAAUGAGCUUAUGGCAAUGAAAUCUAAGUGGGAUUUGAAGGGUCCAAAUAGACCAAAAGUGACAGUAAUUUUAAACCACUUCAAAAGAAAAACACUUUGUGCACAGCUUGAUUCAUUGCUUCAACAAACCCUUCCAUUUCAACAUGUUUGGGUGCUUUCAUUUGGGAGCCCAAAUGAGCUCUCGUUGAAGAGAAUAGUAAAUAGCUACAAUGAUUCCAGAAUCAGCUUCAUUAGCUCAAGCUAUGAUUUCAAGUACUAUGGCAGAUUCCAAAUGGCUUUACAAACUGAAGCUGAUCUUGUAUAUAUCGUUGACGAUGACAUGAUUCCGGGCAGAAAAAUGCUACAAAUUUUGUCACAUGUAGCAGGCACUGAGAAGUACAAGAAUUCAGUUUUGGGCAGCAUUGGAAGGAUUUUGCCUUUUAGGCAAAAAGAUUUUACCUUCCCAAGUUAUAGAAAAUUUCGAUCAAAGGAGGCUGGGCUAUACUUGCCUGACCCUGCUUAUGAUAUCACAGUUGAUAAAAUUGUUCAGGUUGAUUUUCUUUCUAGCUCUUGGUUUCUCUCAGCAGAGCUCGUGAAGACACUUUUUAUCGAGACACCAUUCACUUUCAUGACUGGAGAAGAUCUUCAUCUCAGGUAUCUUUAUCGUGAACGAAAUCCUAACUCAUUUUUUUUUCAUUUUAAUCUUUGUCAUUCAGCAUAAUACAUAUUUUUACAAGUUCAUGAAUCAUGUAAUUAGUAUUAAAACAAGGGUUUACCAAAGCAGGCAUUUGAGUUAUUUUUAAAAUUGUAAAGCAUUGAGUAAGCUUAAAGGGAGGCUGUUUCUGAUCUCAUUAGCAUUGCUUUGACCAAAACAAAAUGAGAACUUUUAUUGGGUUGUUCACCUGUUCAUUAAUAUAUAUGCAAUUUAAUUAUAUAAUUUUGAGUCGGUAAUAACAAAAAACCAAUUUUUUUCAUUAUCAAGUUUAAUUUGAUUGCCUUAGGUCGAUAUUGAUUUUAUCCGACAGUUCAUCAUUUGUUAAGAUGGUUCAUCGUUAGUUAACUAAUUAAUUUAGGCAAUGGAUUGAGUUGAAGUUGACUCAGAGAGCAUUCAGCAUUCAUGUACUAUAAAAUUCAAAUUAACCAGUGUCUGACUUUAAUAAAAUUCCCGCAGAAGAAUCUUUUAGCACGAGCUAUUUUUAUUAUUAAUUUGGAAGAUGUCACUACGAUAUUUUUCAGAUAAAGCAUGGGUGCCCUGCAUCUUGUUUCCUUUAAUAUCAACUCUGUAUCUCCAAUUUUGUCUGCUGUAAAUUGUUUACUUUCAAAUUACACACAUUCAAUUUUGGUAGAGGAAGCCAAACAACUUUGUUGGAAAGAGAGCUCACUUUUUGAGAUUCCUUGUAGCAUUAUGUGUUCUAUGUGCCCGUUUCUGAGAUAUGGUUCACAUGAAUUAAAUUUUUAUACCAUUGCUGAAUUGAAAUGGAAAUACGACAUAACAUUAAGUAUAAUUAGUAAUUCAAGACUGUUCUGACUUUUAAAUUCAUAAAAAAUUGCAGCUAUCAGCUUCAGAAAUACAGAAAUGCAGGCUCAUUUGUUCUUCCAGUUGAUCCUAAUGACAAGGCAACAUGGGGUGACAGUGAGCACAGACUUGCUUAUGUAUCCGAAACCACAGUAAUCUUCAAGGACGUUGUUCAAGUUCGCGACGACCAAUGGUGGAAAGCUCUUUCUACCGGUUACAUUACUCAAUGGGCUGCAAUGUAUCCUCAAAAGAUUGAUGCACUCUUCUAUGCUCAUUCUGUUGAUGAAGUUCGCGCGCUGGCACCAUUGCUCGAAAAAUUCAGGUCUACUGUUGGCAAGAAGGCUUACAUUGUAGUCUCAGGAGGGAACUUUUGCCCUUGCGAAGAUGCUGCAAGUGCACUCAAUUGGCCUAAGUUGGUUUGCAAAGAGAGAAGGUUCAAGAUAUUUGAUUUGACAAUUGGUGCUCUAUCGGGUGUCUCAAACUCGGAGGUGCCAGUGGUGCAAGCUGUGUUCUCUAGCAUGAAGGGAUUGAUCAAAAUUCACAACCCCAGCGUCGUGAUCACGGUUGCUGACAUUGAUUCUAAUGUGAAGAAAGCUUUGAAGAUGGCAACCGAAACAAAGUCAAAUGGCACAACGUUGGUUCUUUUGCCAAGACCAUCUAUUACAAAAGUUCUUUGGAUGGCUGAUCUAAGAUCCGCAGCAUUGCCAAGUAAGCAUCAAUCAUUUUUUUCAAUAAUGCAAUAAUAAUACUGGUAACUUUUUGUAUUAAUGCAUUUUUGUUUAGCUUAAACCAAGUACUCAACAGUUUAGUGUAAUGCAGAUUGGAACCGGAUGCGAAUUUCUGUCAACAUAGUUACUCAAAACCGCGUACAUUCCUUGACAAGGCUUCUCAAAUCUCUCAGCAAUGCCUACUAUCUUGGUGAUGAGGUUCCUAUCAGCUUUAACAUGGACAGUAAAGUUGACGAAGCAACUAUUAAACUUGUAAGCACUUUUGACUGGCCUCAUGGUCCUAAAACUCUCCGAAGGAGAAUCAUCCAGGGUGGCCUAAUUCGAGCAGUCAGUGAAAGCUGGUACCCUGCAUCUGAUGACGAUUUUGGCCUGCUCCUCGAAGAUGACAUCGAAGUCUCUCCAUACUUCUACUUAUGGAUCAAAUACGCUCUCUUGGCAUACCACUACGAUCCUCAAAUUUCACUCCCGGAACUCUCUUCGAUCUCUCUUUACACUCCUAGAAUAGUUGAAGUGGUGAAAGAAAGGCCUAAAUGGAAUGCAACUGAAUUUUUCAAGCACAUUCAUCCAAACACACCAUAUCUCCACCAGCUACCCUGCAGUUGGGGAGCUGUCUUCUUCCCCAAGCAAUGGAGAGAAUUCUAUGUUUACAUGCACAUGAGGUUCACCGAAGACGCAAAAGCAAACCCAGUUCAGAUUCCCAAAUCCAGGACAAAUGGUUGGCAAGCUUCCUGGAAAAAGUUCCUGAUAGACAUGAUGUAUCUUCGAGGCUAUGUCAGUCUCUAUCCGAAUUUCCCAAACCAGGCAAGUUUUUCGACUAACCACAUGGAACCAGGGGCUCAUAUCAGCUCAAAAGAUAACGUCGUUAGGCAUGACAAGUCAGAUUUUGAGGUGCCACUGUUGCAAGAUGAUUUCAAAGCGUUGUUGCCAAAUGGAAAGCUCCCUCCAGGUUCAAAACUGCCAUCACUAAACUUGUUCAACCAGCCUAUUUCUCUAAGGGGUCUCAAGGCUGCUGGUGCCAAGCUCGGUCAAGAUGUGCUAAGAUGUGACAACGCUACGGAGAUUGUGAUGGUUGACCAUCAAACAGGUCUCCCAUCGCGGUGCUCGAAAUUCUGAAAACAUUUGAACAGUGAUUAUUGAUUAUUAUUAAUUCUUUGUUUCUUUCAAAUGAUAUAUUACUUUAAUUGUAAUUUUUGGUCCUUGCUUUAGUUUGUUGAUACAUAUGAUUGUUGGAGAGGAGGAGAAGAAGAAUUUGCUAAGUAGUUAUCAAUCAAUAUUGCCAAAAUUGGCUCUCAUAAUUGUCUAUUAAAGAAAAAGAAUUAAACAAUUGUACUUUGCUCUCUUAAAAUCUUUAGUUAGGCACAUAAUUAAGCACUCGUUAUAUUAAUGCUGCAGGUGGCGGGAAUACAACAAAAUAAAAUUGACUAAUAACCUAAAGAGUCAAACUAACAUCUUUGGUGCAUGUCAAUAUCAUAUGUAAAUGAAGCAUCAUGAAGUAAAUUUUAGUGGUUUGAUUUUUGAUACACGCGUGACUAAUCACCAAAAGCUAAUUAUUGUUCUAUUUACCGGCAAGGAGCUUAUGGUUAUGGUUAAACGUCUAAGAAUAGAUUGAUGGGUGUAAUAAGCAAAUCGCAUAACAAAAAACAAAAAAAAAAAAGAGCAAAACUGAUAUGGUGAUAACAAUGGGAUGAAAUUUUAUAAUACUGAAUCAUUUAUCUCUUUUUUGAGUCUUCGGUAAGGUCUCAUUUUAUUUUUGUUGGUGGCCAAUCACUGUUCAUUUGUGAUCAUCGUGGUGGUGUGUGCCCAUAUUCUAUUUAAUAUUUAUGUGUUGUCACUAAUAUCAACACACAUGACUAUUGAGUAUAAAAUUAAAAAUAAUGAUGACCCAAUGGUAAAAAGUUCGAUGAAUAAUACUAAGUUGAAACUUAAUCACUGUCCAUUUGUGAUCAUGAUAGCGACGUAACAACGUUGCUUAAUUGCUAUUGUAUGUGGUAGAAACUACAAACAAAUGAUCCAAUGAUAGAAAGCAAAUAUAAGUUGUAUAUUAAGUGCAAACAUUACUAAAAUUCAAAAGACAUAGGAAUUUACAUAUAAAUCUAAACUCAUUAUAUAUAUAUAUAUUUUUUUUUUCUUUUUUUAAUGCGACACACUAGUAAGUUAUACGAUUUAAUGGAGUUAAUUUUCAGUACAAUAUAAAGUCGUGCAGUUCAAAAGUAUUAGAAAUUGACUCUAUUAAAACACAUGUUAAAAUGUGAAAUUAAGAUCCUCUCCUGAUAUGAGCGCUGAUAAUUUUUUAAUGAUCAUGUGUCAUGUGUAUUUAAGUGAUAAUAUAUGGGUAGAAUUUAAUUUUUUCAUUUUAUUCAUUUAUUAACUGCCAAUCACCCAUGUGUAUUUUUGCUCAGGAGGAGAUUAGAUCAUGAGAGAAUCUUAAUCCUAAAAUGUGUAUCCACAUAAAAAAAAAAAAAAUGGGGUGCCUACAUUGAAAAAAGACUAUAGGUACAUUUGGGAAUGGGGUCCUGUAACUUUAAACUACAACUGCUGUGAAAAAAAAAUGUAAUUAUGAAAUAAAAGUUAAUAAUAUGUAGUAAAUAUAAAUUUUAAAUAAUAUUUUGAUAAAAUUGUUAAAGGAUUAAAAAAAAUUUCAUGAUACAAGUAAGAAAUUAUAUCAAUGUAGCUUUUAAGGUACAGCAGUUAGCAUUUACCAAAUAUUUUAGUACUGUAACUUGAAAACUACAACUGUCCAAUCUCAAUUUCAAACACUACCUAUGUAGAUAUGUGCGUAUGUGUGUGUCUCUCUCUUUAUAUAUAUUAAAAAGGAAUUUCCCAUGUCUUAUACGAGAAAACGAGUGAGGUCUAAGAAGAUUCAAAUUCUUUGGUCCAUUAAAAGUCUGUCAAUAUCAUAAAUGAUGAAAUUAAAAAAUUAUGUUCUAGACAAUGUACAAAUUUUUGAAAUUUUAUACCAAGAUUUUCAAAAUACUAAAAGUUGUAAUAAUUCUUGUAGAAAAUAUGUAAGUGUAUAAAAUUCUCGGACGAGGUAGAUAGAAUUAUUUCAAGAUUUACAGAGAACAAAGUGCUUCUGCGCUAGACUGCUAGUCAAUCCACCAAAUGACAAACGUCAACGUUGCAAGCACAUCAAGUCUCCCAACGUACGUAGUGUAUAGGUAUAAUAUAAUCGAGCUAAUUUAUCAAAUCUAUUUUAAUGUAUAAAAAAAUAAAAAAGGGGGGGUCAGAUUAGAUUAUAAUAUAGUACGAUUUUUUUUUUUUCGUUUUUCAAUCAAUUUCAAUAAUAUUCUUUCUGCCUGUUAACAAACCUCGAAAUUAGAUUGCUAAGUUAGUAAAAGUAGUUAUCUGCCAGAUGGCAAAGAUGACUAGAUGAGUCAAUUAUAGUGAUAUAAUCAUAUUAUUUAAGAAUUAAGUAUCGUUGUAACAAAACAAAUGAAACUUAAAGAAAAAUAAUAUAUGCGAUGUUACAAAUAUAUUUUUUUUAUAAUAUAGGUGAUGUUUUAUGUGUGUGUAUAAAUCUUUUUAAAAUAUAUAUGAACAUCAAAUUAAAAUUAGAAUUCCAUGAAUAUACAUCUCAUUUCUUUAGCGUGAGUAUCCUUUUAUCUGUGAUAUUAUGGCUUCCAAUUUUACUUUCAUUUCUCUAGGCUUAUCCUUAUCUCUAGUUGAGUGUUGUAAUCAAACUAUAUCGUUACUGUUGUUAUAGAUUAUUUUUCACACUAAAUAUUGCCACAUGGCGUUGAUUUAUUUUGAUACCAAAUAAUAAUUAAAUAGGUUUUGUAUCAUAUUUUAUCAAAAGGUUAAAGCAAAAGAAUACAAAUUCAUUUUAAAAUAAAGAAUUCUUUUUUGGAAUAUUAGAAUUAAAGUCAAUGAUAAAUUAGAAAUGGGUCGUGUAAUCUUAAAAACCUAUUACGAACAAAAAAUAAUGAUAUGCUUACAAACUUAUAAUGAUACUUAACUUUUUAAUAUUAUUGUUAAUGAAAUAAUCUCUUGGCACCAAUUAAUGAAUGACUUCCAAAGAGUCUAAUUUUAGGAAACAUAUCAUUACUAUUUAUUCAUAAGCUUUUAAAAUGACACAACCCAUCUCUGAUUUAUUAUUGACUUAAAUACUAAUUUUUUUCAAAAAUCAAGAAUAUUUCGAAAACAGUUAUCAAUUUUCAAAUACGAUAAUGAUAUGCGUACCCACAGUUAGUUAUUACUACAAUUAGUACACCAUCAUUAUAAGAUAAAAAAAUUUCAUCACAAGACAAAAGAAAAUUUCAUCAUUAGACAAUUUUUUUAUUGUACAUAAAUCAUUGUUCUUUCAAACAAUGUUUAAUUUUCCUUUUGAUUUUCUUUCAAAGAAUGUUUCCCACUCCGAGUCUGCUUUGUGCUUUUGCAAUAAAUUGUUGAAAACGAUAAAGAUCAUGGUCUAAUUUCACGAAAGCCAACAUUAAAAUAAUAAUAUUGUCCAGCCAUUUAUUAUUUUCCUUAAAAAACCAUUUAUUGCUAUUUAAAUAUUGAAGUCAUUUAUUAUUUGGGAUUUGAAAAACAGUCUACUUUUUCUGACCCCAUAAAAAAUUAAAAAGAAAAAGAAUAUUCCUAACCAGCCCAGUUUUAUUUAUUGCCAUAAUAAUAAUGCUUUAUUUGUACCAACAUUUGUUUGCCAUAAAGCGGUCUCUUGAUCAAGAAACUAAUAAAUAAAUAUAGAUGUAGAAAGAGAAAAACUUUUGAGACUCCCGUAGGAAUAUCUUUUACGUGGCACACAAUGAUUGGGCCACAAAACUGGUGAACAAACUUGCCCGUACCACUAUCAAAACUUACCUGCAAAUUCAAAAAUAAAGGCGGGGCAAUAUCGUCCGAUUAAAAAAUUACAAAAACAAAAGUUUUGAUUUGAGUUUCAAUUCCAGCCCACUACACACAACUACAAUAAAACAACACACACCAGGUGUCUCUCUUCUUUAUUCUCUCCUCUUCUCUCUCUCUCUGAUCUCUCACCAACAGAAACCUUUUUUUAUCAAAACACCGUCGUUUCGCUCUCUCAAGAUCGACGCGAAAGCUCGUGAGUAUUAAUUACGAAACCAAAGCUCUCUCAUUUCUUUUUUCGUCGAAUUUUUUUCUGAAAUUUUACUGAUUACUGUAAUUGAUAAGUUCGAUAACGAGAAUUAUGUAAUGUGAUUUGUUCUUGCUUUUGAUUGUUAAUUACGCAUUGUUUCGGAACCGUCUGUAUUGAUGUAUGAUACUGAGAUCGCACCAGCAGCAGUUAUUUUUGCGUUUUUUUCAAAAUUGAAAAUCGAAUGAAAUUUUACUGUUUAAACAGAUCAACUUUGAAAUGCUGUAAUUUAGUGUUUCAAUAGCCUAAUUUUGUUCACUGUUAGUAGUUUAGUGUGUGUUUGGCUUUGAGUGGUUUCAUAGUUACUUGGACUGCAUCUUAAAUACUGUAUUUAUAGCUACAUCAUCGACAAUAGUUUUGUUGUGUAGUUCAUUUUUAUGAACUGUGUUUGUUUUUGAGGAUAUUAUGAAGAUUCCUUUGGGGAAAAAAAAAAAAAAACUGUUGUUAAAUGUAUUUAUCGUCACUCUUGCUGUUUUCUGGUGUCCUGAGAUUGUUAUAUAGCAAGACUAAUAAUACUUGUAUAAGUUUUUAUUCUCUUUGUUAGGCUAGGCGACGGUUUGAAACUGCUUUUUACAAAUUAUUGUCUAAUUGAUCUUUUAUACACAUGCGCAUGCGUAAAACACAGGUUAUAUGUAUUGUGAUUUUUGGAGAAACUACAUGUUGUAUAUUGAGGAAACUUAUGAUUUUUGUUCAAAUGUGCUUAGUGCUUACUUGUUACCCUUAUUAUGAAUGUAUCUUUUUUAUCAGGGUUCAUGCGUCAUCGCGGAGCCUACUUACCUGCUUGAAGCAGAGAAUGAGAUUUUCGCUUCAGGAGGUGCUUGAGGAGGUGUUUUAUUUUCCUGGACAUCUGACCUUUUGAAUUGAGUGUAUUAAUAAAUGGGCACAUCACAUCGCAGGUUUAAAAUACUUCUAUGCUAAUAAUAGUUUUUGCUUGUAUAUUCUUUUCGUCUCCUCAAAUUUGCAUUCAAAAACCUCUGUUUUAUUGUGGUGAGUUUGCCAACAUUUUCUUAUUUAUUUAUUUUUUUCCCUUCCAUUCCAGUGGUUUCCUUAAAAAAACAAAUGAUGGUGGCAGGCUUAUUAUCACAACAUUUAUAGGAGUUCUCAUUGGAUAUUUUGUUGGUAGAUCAUUUCAAUCAGUUUCCUUCAGUAAGGUAUAUUGGCCUCCAUUGGUUUAUACCUAUGCUGCAGUUGGAAACUAUCAUCCAUUUUGAUUUGUUAUUGGCUCUUGCAGAUUCAUCUUCCAACAAGCAUUAGUACAUCGUUUGACAUCGCUGGUAAAGAAGAAAACAUAAAUCAGAUUAGCGAAUCUCCUUUUUCUAAUGGGUCAAGUCCGAGGGUAAUAGUCUUUUCAAUAUGUUCUUAUUCUUGAUUUGCUUAUGGUUUGAACCAAAGAUUUACCUCCUUCCACAAUGUCGUGAUUCAGUACAUGUCUUUUGUCAUUCCUUUUAUCAUUUACAACAACAAUUCAAUAAAAAUCCAACUUUGUUAACGAGUUUUGGUUCUUGACUGAAACCUUGAACAUUAUUAUGCUAUAUGAAAAGCAUGUAUUCUGUUAGAAAAAAGGUACUCAGAUUGUUUAUCCUUAAGUUUUAGGCAAAUAAAGAACUUUUUUUCAGUUGCAAUUUUUCUAAUAAGUUUUAAUUAUUGACUAGGUCAUCUGCUUUUAUAUUCCCAAGAAUUGUGUUUCUAAGGAUCUUCCUUGGGCAGAUUUAUUACACCACAAAUUAUUCCCAGAUUCUAAUUUUUACUUCUGCUGUUUAAUUUUCCAUUAUUGUGUUGUAUGCCAAAUAAAUAUACACUAAAAGCAAUAAUCCAAUUGUUUACCCUUAAAAUUUUUAAGCCAAUAAGGAUGCUUUUGUUCUCUGAUAAUUUAUAUUGGGUAGAUUUUGUUUAUGGCUUUGAGGCUCAUUAUGUCGCUGCAGAAGUUUAGUUCAGUCUAAUUAUUUGCUUGUCUUUCUUUGUUGUCCCCUAGCAUGAUUCAACAAAGCCUCUGGUCAGAGUUAUUAUCUCCAAAAAUUGUUGUCAUAUACCGAUUUAAGCUUAAAAUAAUACUGAUUCAAAAUCCCCUCUCAUGAUUCCUACUUGCACAAUUUUGUAUUAUAUACCAAUCAAAACCCAAACUAAUUAAUACUUAAUAUUUUUUAAUUUUUAAACUCAUGGACUACAAAGCAAACUUUUGUUCAGUGGUAAUUUCUCCUUAGCAGGUUUUUUCUCGUCUACCUCUUUUUGGAUGUUUUAAAUUUCAAUAUGGCUGCUGCUUUAAUAAAGCCAUAUAUUUGUCAGCUUAAAAAAUAAACUUAAGUUUGAUAAUUUGUUUGUGUCUUUAUCCACUGGACGGCAGAUAUAUGUUUCAACAAAUCCUCGUGGGGCGGAGUUACUACCUCCAGGAAUUGUUGUGUCAGAAUCCGAUUUUUUCUUGCGUAGAUUGUGGGGUGAACCCAGUGAGGUAUGAUAUAUAAUUGUAUGAAAAUAUCAAUGCUUGCUUUGGGACUUUUAAUGACUUAAUAUCUUAUCAAUAUGAUAGCCGACUGGCAUUAGCUGGAACUCUGGACAUUAUUGAUCCUGUUUUUAGUGCAGCUUAAAAACAGGAAUUAUUUUUCUUGUGUUAUGGUAUAUGUAUGGUACCAGUGAUGGCUUGAGACCAUAUGCAUGCAUACUAUGCAUAUUUUGAAUUGCAGGAAUCAGUAAAUUAUGCAUUUUAAGGGACUCAAUUAUGAGUACCCUAUAGGUCCAUUUGCAUGGACAGCCAAGAUCUAAGAAGCCUUAGUAAUGCCACAUGGAGGAUACAGUUUCCAGUUCAUUAUUUCUGAUUCAUUUAGAUUAAAAUUUGAUAAUUCCAUUUAACACUUAGUGGGAUGAAUUAGUAAAUGUAAUCUUAUGUUAGGUUCCUUCCCCUCCACCCCCCUCUUUUAAAUUUUGGUGCUCAAAUUGCAUUUCAGACAUAUGUGAGCAUGUUGACAGUGACGGCCGGAUUGAAGAAUUUCCUAGUUGAACUUCUUUAUUGAUUAUUCGUGUGGAUUAACUUUCUAGUUUCUGGGAAUCUUCUCAUGUUAAAUUCCCUGAAAUCUGCAGGAUCUAAAGAAAAAGCCGAAGUACUUGCUAACAAUAACUGUCGGUUUGAAUCAGAAGAAAAAUAUUGAUAGAAUGGUGAAAAAGGUUUUGUACUGAUGAAUGCUCAUCCUUUCUUCCCGUUUUCUUCUUCUUUUUGUUUCUUUGAAUUAUGAUUUUUACUUUUGCGCUGCUGAGAUUUGUGCUGUUAUAAAUUGUGGUAGUUUUCUGAGGAUUUUCAAAUUAUGCUUUUUCACUACGAUGGACAAACAAGUCAAUGGGACGAAUUUGAGUGGUCAAAGAGUGCAAUCCAUGUCAGCAUAAGGAGACAAACAAAAUGGUUAGGUUAAAGGCCUUACAUGUUGUACUGAAUUCCAAUCAAGCUAAUCCUUUGCUGAAUCAUUUGAGAUUCAGGUGAUAUAUCUUCAACCCACUGUUGUUUUUAUAUUGUAUAUGUUCUGCAGGUGGUAUGCAAAAAGGUUUUUGCAUCCUGAUGUUGUGGCUGCUUAUGAAUAUAUUUUUAUCUGGGAUGAAGACCUUGGAGUUGAACACUUCAAUGGGGACAAGUAAGGUCUUUUUAGCAGUUAUGGUUUCUGGUCAAAUUUAACCGUUAUAUGUUUCUUUCUAAUUUUCUCUGGAUGAAUAACCAGGUACAUGGAGUUGGUUAAAAAACAUGGUCUAGACAUCUCUCAGCCGGGUCUUGAGCCCAAUAAUGGAUUGACAUGGCAGAUGACAAAAAGGAGGGGUGACCAAGAGGUUCACAAGUAGGCUUUAUAGCUCUCUUUGCGUGUAUUUCUAAUAUUAAUAUGGCGGAUGGGUGUUGCUGGACUAUUCUUUUUAUAUCAGUUUUUAAUGUGUCAUGUCUCAAUUCGUGAACAGGGUUACAGAAGAGAAACCAGGGUGGUGUAGUGACCCACAUUUGCCUCCAUGUGCUGCGUAUGCUCUCCAUCUCUCCCUUCUCUCCUCUCUUUCUCUCUGCUGCUUGUGAGAUGUUGCCAAAGAACACUUGUGAACUCUGACAUAUCUAGGGAUUUUUAUGCCGAACACUUGAAGCGUAACCUUUGUGAUAGCUUAAACAUUUCCUACUAGGCAUUGUAUUAACCAUUAUGCAUAAUUUUAUCAUUUAACAGAUCAUCUUUAGAUUGAGAACUCAAAUUUGAUAGGGAGUUGUGGUCUAGUUGUGUUUUGUCAAAAAGCCAACUGCACAUAUUAUUUAAAUGUAGGGUAAGGUAGGCACAGAGAAUAAGUAGUAAAAAUUUCAUGAGGAAUCCAAAUUUAUUGAAAGAAUUUGUUUAUAACUGCAUUCACUUGUCAACCUUUUAUAUGAUUAGUGCAAAAGAUGUAUGUGCCCCCCAACAAUUAAGGAAUCUUUUCAAGUACAAUUUAUCUUUCAUAUAUAUAAUGUCUCUUGCUUUCUUUCAGCUUUGUGGAAAUUAUGGCCCCUGUAUUUUCUCGGGAAGCUUGGCGUUGUGUGUGGCAUAUGAUUCAGGUAUUUUGAUUGAUAUGAGUGGCUAGGUUAAUUAUAAACGUGUAAAUUGUUAUCUUCCAGGCAUUUAUAGAUCGUCUCACUGAUUAUGUACAUGUAAAUGAACUUUACAACUUAUUUACAUACAUCAUCUUCCCAAAAAGGGGGAAAAAAAAAGGAAAUUGCCUUUUAUGAACAAAUAAGAUUAGCUAUCAUUUGUUAAUGACUUCUUGAAUAAGUGGAUGGGAUAGGAGAAUACUAUGUAAGGAUCAUCAACCUAGCAGCCUAGCUCCUGUUCUAAUUAUAUAGGAUCCUUCUUAAUACUUUUCAUAUUUCAGCAACUUAACAAUACUAAAUUGUAUGCUUGUAGAAUGACUUGGUGCAUGGAUGGGGAUUGGAUUUUGCUCUAAGAAGAUGUGUGGAGGUUAGUGGUUUUCCUAAUUUCUUCCUUUUUUAAAGUUGAAAGUGGACUAUGUUCAGAUUGUCUAGAUAUUUUGGAAAGGGCAAUUAGGCCCUUAUAGAACAAGGAUUGUGAAUGUAUGGAAAUUUACAUACAGAGCAUAUAUACAUAUAUUUUUGUGUCCGUAUGUACUGAUAUAUGAAUGUAUGUAAAUGUUUAUAUCUCCUACAGUAUGUUUGGGAUUUGUCAUGACUGCUUCUGUGACAAUUAUAUUUUAUGCAUAUAUGUUAUAGGCUUCUUCUCAUAAAUAUGUUGUGUAACUUGGUUUAGCUCACGUGAACUUGAAAGGUUGGGCAGUUUCUGGUUCAGAAAAUAAUAUUGAUUUUAUUUUCAGUGUACAAUAUACCUGACAGGAUUGUGACAGCCAAAUCUCUGUAUUUUUUAAAUCACCGAGACAUCCUAUUUGAUUUGAAUUUUAAUCGCACUUGUUUUGUCCCACAGCCUGCACAUGAAAAAAUUGGUGUGGUUGAUUCACAGUGGAUAAUUCAUCAAGUCAUUCCUUCACUUGGCAGUCAGGUGAGUCGUGUUCAACUUGUCAAACUUCUCUCCGUCUGUAAAGCAUGUGGGUUGGCCACAGCUGUGAAUGUAGUGGCAUGGAUUUGAUAAGAAUGAAUUUCAUGCUGUUAGCAAUCAAUAUUGUAUGAAUUUAAUUUAACAGAGUCAUUACAGCACAAAUUUUCAUCAAACAAGUUAUUCGACUUUUGAGCUGAAAAAGGACUAAUGGCUGUCAAUGUUAAAUUCUUUAUUUGAUGGUAACAUGGCAUAGAAUGGAACCUUUUCAACUGCAACACUAUCUCAUAUAAAACAAUUUACAUUGUUUGAUUUUUGCAGUUCCCUUGCUGAAUACGCAAAACAUACUCUUUUUUGUACCUCUCUUAAUUACAGUCUCAUUACUCUUCUGUAAAAUUUCAGGGCCAGGCAGAGAAUGGAAAAGCUCCAUGGGAAGGAGUAUGUAUAUUUAUGUUCUUAUAUACUGUUGUUUGCAGUCAACUGUUGAUAAUUUUUCUUUUUUAAAAUUAUCUUAUUACAAUUAGCACUACAUGUGUAAAUUUUAUAACUUUCUAUCUUCUCUAUGUUGACAGGUGAGAGCGAGGUGCAAAAAUGAGUGGUCUUUAUUCCAGAAUCGUCUUGCCAAUGCAGAUAAGGCUUAUUUGGAAGAGAUUGGAAACCGAUAAUUUUAUUCAUUUCACUCUCAUUUCUCCCUUGUACAUUUGUCUCAUUUUACUAGGCCUUGGGGGGGUGUUUUACCGAUCAAUUCCUUAAUGCAACAUUUAGCUCAAGGUAGUGAGCCCAUUUUGUGUAAUCUUACAGAUAUGCUCAGUUAUAUAAGGGAAGAUGAAGUUUUUACCCAUGAAUUUUGCUUCCCCUUCUUCUCCCCUUCAUUCUUGCACUCAGUAACCAAAAUCAUGAUUCCCCCUUUCUUCAUUUGGAUUUUAAUUGAAGAAGAUCCGACGGUGAGACGAUGCAUUUCUUGUCAUCCUUUGCCUAUACGUUAUAGUUUACGGGACUUUCUGCAUAAUAUAGCUUUUGAACUGAAUGGGUUCGAUUGUUGCAUAGUUGUAGCAAACAUCCAUCUGGCUUUUAGACUUUCGUCAUUGCGUUUUAUUCCAGGUUUACCAUUUAAAUUGUGGCCUAUGUGAGUUUCCUGUUCUUUUUCAUUCUGACUAUAGACCCACCACCUGAAUUUUGGUGGCAUUUUAAUGAAUAUACUUGCAGGGAACAUAAUUUUCAAACUAGGAAUGUAAUUUAGAGUAUUGAGAUGAGCUUCGAGAUAUAUAUGCAAAGUCUGGACGUCCGUCAAUGAUUCUCAUCUUGCAACAUAAAGACUUACAAAUCUUGAGUUCAAGUCGUUAGGGAGGCUGAAACGUUAAAUAAUUAGUAUUAUGGUUUCAGAAAUGACAGAUCAGAUCCCAAGAAAUGUAUUAUAUUUCCAUGAAAGGAAUGAGCCCAUCAAACCCAACAGGAUAGUAACUUAAAUUUAGUCUCGAGCAAUAAUCAUUAAUCAUUUACUUAUAGGCCUUAUUGCUGUAUAAAUGUAAUCUUCAUCUUAUUCGUUUGUAUUUUUUAAUUUACCGACAAAGAGAUUUUAUCGUAAUUUUUUGUUUUUCUUCCUCUUUAGUUCCGUCCACAUUAUUUUUGACAAUGGAUAUUUUUCCACCGCAAACCCAUUAUUGAUUGUAGGGUUUUUUAAACAGCAAGUAGAAGCCACAUCUUUAUUUGCCAACCGGAGAGUUGGAAGGAACAUUAUUGCUAGUGGUUCUUAAAUGGCAAGUAGAAGCAACAUCCAUAAGGCAUAUUAAUUAAUUAAAAUAUGCAAACUGGAGUCUCCAAAACUAGUGACAAAUACUAAUAAAUUUUAAUACGAAACAACUAUGGAUUGCUUAUUUGUGAGGGAACUUUGAAAAUUGAGAUAUUGUUAUUUUAUCCCCUAAUGUUUUUUUUUUUUAAUUUUUAUCCUUCCUUUUUUUUUCUUACAUUUUUAAUAAUACUUCAUUUUCUCUUUAAUGUCAAAGUUUUAGUAUAGAAGUUCAUCUUAACCACUAAACAAUUACUUUUUCCUUUUUUAGCAUUUUAAUGUUAAGAGAUAACGGGAUUUUAUGAAAUUUUUUGAAUCUUUCCAUACAUCCCCAUACAUGAUCUUAUGGACAAUUUCUAUCAAAAUUAUUUUUCAACGGGGGGGGGGGGUACCUCAUGUAUAAAUAACAUUCAUUCUAGACUCUUUUCUAAUGUCCAACGACAUUAAAUUACUCUCAACUACAAAUUUCUGUUUAUGCUCAUUUCCAAUACAAUGAUUGUGAUUGUGAUUUUUCUUUGGAUGAAUAAUAUAGGCAACAUCAAAAUAAUGUUGUAAGAGAGUGAAAGGUAUUCAGAAAUUUGCUUUGAUGGUUGGUGAUUGAUAGUAGUGAUGUUCAAAGAAGCAGGGCUUAUAUGGAGUGAUAAUGAAGUUUGCUCACCAAACAAAAAAAUAGUUUGUUUUGAGGUUGGCAAAGCUUUAUUGCUUGCAUUUGCAGGCAUUUCACUUUUGAUUUUAGAAACAAAGAAAUGUUCGUUUCACCUUCCUGCCUUGUCUGCUAAGCCUUUCAUUUUAAUACAUUUCAGACUAAUAGUCUUGCUGGUAAAAGGAUUGAACAGAUGAUUUAGGACAAAUCCUUUGAUCCAAAAACCCUUUGUAAACAUUAGAAUUUUUUUUAAAAAUAAAAAACAAAAAUCAACACAUUUCAUGUUUUAUGUAGCAAAUUUCUUUUUUUUACCAAAAAAAAAAAAAAAAGUUGUCAGGCAAAAUAUGGGCAACAAGAUUUUUCCAUUAGUAUCAAUGGUUGCUAAAAAAUUGAAUUGCUAAUUACGAAGAAAAUUUCAAAGGGGAAAUCAAAAUAAUAAAAUGGAAAGAGUGACUAGGGGACAUGAAAAUGAAAUGUGGUCCAACUUGAACUGUAUAUUACUUCUGGAAGUGAACCACGUGAGAUGAGAGUUAAAAAAUAAACAAAAAUAAAGCUCUUGCUGAUGAAAAAUUAAACGGCGUUAGGCACCAACUCUUCUUAGCAAUCAAAAAUAAAAAAGGGUCAUUGCCAAUAUAUUCAACAUUGUCAUACAAUCUCUCUCUCCCUCUCUCUCUCUCUCUCACAUAAUCUAUCACACAAAAGAAAGCUACCAUUAAAUCCCAGCUGCCAAUCGUCAUUGUAACUUUGCAGGAUUGUGGUGAUUUUCAUGAAGUUUUGUGUAUUUUUUUGCUGCACGAUCAAGCCCAUUUUUACAGUUUGUCUGAAGUUUAUCCGAGCUAGGCUCUUAAAACUCCAAGCUUCUCACUUCCUUUAGAGGUAUGUAAGCUGUUGUAAGUUCAAAUAUUAUAUGCAUCUUUAUCCUCUAGCUUCUUAAAUUUAUAGGAAAGGCAUACACUUAAUUUCUGUAAAAAAAAGUUGCACAUGCAAUACAAUCUUUUUGCAAUUGUUAUCAGUGAUUGGUCCAAAACUCAUUCCAAGAAACUUUUCUCUCUACAUUUCUCAGUAGAAUGAAAAUUUUCCAAACUUCGAAUAGAGUAUCUAUGAUUUUACAAUUACAGCGGAAAAGCAAAGGUUGAAAUUUUAAUGGAAGCACAUUCAUCAGCAUGUUAUGAAAAGUCAUUUUUCGAGUUUUAGAUUUAUUUGCAAUAAAAAAAAUUCAGUCAAAGCGUAUAUAUUAUAUAAUCAGGGAUGGCAGAAUUCAGGGCGGGGGCUGAUCACACUUUAAUGGAGAUUAUUAGACUUUUUCAUUUUUUUCAAUUGACAAUCCUCAAUUCAACUCAGCCACCAGUCGCCACCAAUCGCUGGAGUAUACGUAUAAAAAUACUAAUGAUCUACGUUGUAUGUGUAGAGACACGUUAUCCAUAACACUAUGCCUCCGAUUGUCAAAUCUACCAUCAUUAAAAAAAUAUUAUACGACCGUCAAAAAGAUUAAUAUAUGAGAAAUCUAGUGACCUGGGUAUGCUUAAAUUAUAUCAAUGAUUAUAGACGCGGUCAUAAGCAAUAAUUAAUAACUUUUAUCAAAUGACCGAGUCUCGAAGCAACCGGAAUUUCAAAAUUAUUGCUUUAAAUUCUGUUCAUUUCUAAAAUUUAUAAAUGCUGAUUUCAUCAAUAUACAUAUACAAUGUAUUAUACUUUUCUGACCCAUUUGUUUAUUUUUUUCCCCAAAAAAAAAAAAUAUUUUGCUUGUUUUUGGUGAUGAAUUAGUAGAUGGGAGAAAUGUCGAGCUUUCAACUGGGUGUGAUUGGUGCACUGUUUCUUUCGGUGGCAUCAUCUGUCUCUAUUGUCAUCUGCAACAAAGCUUUAAUGAGCAACCUUGGCUUUCCUUUUGGUACACAGCCUCUUUCUUUAGUUAAUAAUUUGAAAGUUGAUGUGAUAAUGCUUUUCCUUUUUCGAUUAUUUAACCCUUUUUUUUUUCUCUGGUCUUUAAUUUUCUUUUUCUUUUUUUGUCUUGUUAUAUUUAGCGACAACACUCACAAGUUGGCAUCUGAUGGUAACAUUUUGCACUCUCCAUGCCGCACAACGCUUGAAUUUCUUUGAGAGCAAGGCAGUUGACGUGAAAACUGUCAUGCUCUUUGGCAUUCUUAAUGGCAUUUCCAUCGGACUUCUUAACUUGAGCCUUGGAUUCAACUCCGUCGGAUUCUAUCAAGUAUAUACUCUUAAAACUAAACUUAUAAUCUCGAUACGAGAGAAAUUCGAUUCCAAUACUUUUUGAACUAUAAUUAGUUUGCAUUUUCACCCUUUUGCGCCCCUUUUUUGGCAGAUGACAAAGCUUGCAAUUAUACCAUUCACUGUGUUACUGGAAACUCUCUUUCUCAAAAAGCAAUUCAGGUUAAAUAUAUACACACACACACACACACACACACACACACGUGUAUCAAAUAUUUACAAUUUUGAAAAUAGGAUUUAUAAGCAUUGGAUUCUCUUAAUUAAAUAGAUGUGUUUUGAAUUGUAAAAUAAAAUUAAAAUCGCGAUGGUUUAUGUGCCCCUAUCUAAAAAUAUUUAUUUAAUUGUUGGGUUUAGAUUGUUGACUCACGACCGAUUUUAUUAUGUGGAUUGCAGUCAGAAGAUAAAAUUUUCUCUGUUUCUAUUACUUGUUGGAGUUGGCAUUGCUUCUGUGACUGAUCUUCAGCUCAACAUGGUUGGCACAAUCCUCUCUUUGCUAGCCAUUGUGACCACCUGUGUUGGUCAAAUUGUAUCCUUUUUUAAGUGGUUGGUCCCUUGGUGAGUCAAUAUGAAAUAAAAUCCCAACUAAUCGUGUCAAAGACAACUAACCUUUAAAGAAAAAGUCUGUUCUUAACUUAAUACUUAAUUUAGCUUACAAACACAAUACAAAAGAGGCUUAACGUCUCAUCAACGCAGCUGCUCUAUCAGUCAGCUCCAUUCCAAGCUGCUAUCCUUUUUGUCUCGGGCCCUCUAGUUGAUCAAUUCCUCACCAAGCAAAAUGUGUUUGCCUAUAAAUAUUCCCCAGUAGUCUUGGUAAAUAUAAUACAUACCCAUUCUAUUUAUUUCACUGUAUUAAAGAUUCACCCUCAAAAUUUAUUAACAUAAUUUGAUUCAAUAUGGUUGCAGGCAUUUAUCAUCCUAUCAUGUCUUAUAGCAGUAUCUGUAAACUUUAGCACAUUUUUGGUCAUUGGCAAGACAUCACCUGUCACAUAUCAAGUGCUUGGUCAUCUCAAGACUUGUCUUGUCCUCGGCUUUGGCUACACAUUGCUUCACGAUCCAUUCACUGAGAGAAACAUAAUUGGAAUCUUGGUUGCCAUUUGCGGAAUGGGAUUGUAUUCAUAUUUCUGCGCUCAAGAAAAUAAAAAGAAACAAUCCGGAGACCUCUCAUUGAGCUCUCAGGUGUGUGUGUGUGCUUCAAUUUUCAAUAGAGAAAUUUAAUUCUUUCUGCUUAUAAUAUUUGAGGUUUUUGCAAAUGGGAUUUGAAAUUUGGUGUUGUUAAUUUGAUUUCAGAUGAAAGAUCAUAAAGAGACAGCAGCACUUUUGGCUCAUCAUCAAGAGAAAGAAGGUCAUGAAGUUAAGAAAGCAGCUAAGGAUUCUAUUGUUUAAUUUGAUUAAUACUCGUAGAAUUGUGACAAGGCUUCAUGUAUUACUCCUCUUCUUUCCUCAUUACUCUUUGGUUGAGUCUAAAUGAUAUGAUUCUUUAAAUAAGCAAUAAUCCAAUUAAAAUUUUGUCAAGUUCCAAUGUAAUUCAAAUGGAUAUCAUUACCGGAUCCAACAGAACUCAAAGCAUCAAUUAUUAUCAUUUCACUACUUUAUAAAUUGUAAAAUAUAAAUGAUUAUAAAAAAAUAUUAUUGUCUAUAAUUUUAUUACUAUAAUUUUACAAAACCUUUCAUUUUGUUACUUUUUUUUGUUAAUAACCAUUAGUCAAACACUGACAUGAAGAAGCAAAGAUGAUUUUACAUACAAAACCAAAGAUAAAAUUGUAUAAACUUUAAAAUUACAAUGAUAGUAUUAUCAUUUUACGUUAAAAAUAUCUAGAAAAAAAAAAAAAGAAAGAGAGAGAGAGAGAGACAAAAGAAGAAUAGAAUAUCGUGAAUCAUCGUUGAAAAAGUUUAAACUAAUAAUUAUUAAUUUGUGAGGUGGUUGAACUCGCCAUUUUCCAAACCCAAGAAGCUUGAAAUGAACUCGCAAAUGGCUGCUGGUUGAAGACUUGAGGUGUUCCAAGCUGCAGUUUAUCAUUUGUUGUUUGUCAUCGAAAAAAGUCAAUUAAUCGAAGUUGCUUAGUGCAGGUGUUAGUGUUACUUAAUCACAGCCAAGGUUGGGGUUCCACUUUGUUGGGCAGGGAGGGCAAUUGCCUUCAGUGGUUAAAAAAAAAAAAAGACUUAAAUUUAAUGUUAAUUUUUGGAAUAAUUGUUUUUUAGUGGGAGAAAUUUUGUAAAUAAGUGAAUCAAUUUUAGAAUCUUUCUUUUCCAAUGACGGCAAAUUAAUAUUUUUUCAACUCAAAAUAUUAACAAAAUGUUCUUUUUUUAUAUAUUAUAAUAUUACGUCUCCAAUGAAUUAAUUGCUUGGAUUCCCAACCCCGCCUUGGCCGUACAGCAGAAUCACAGCCAAGAGGAUCACUGUGCAUAGCGGCUCACUGGCCCUUUUUUUCUUUUUUUUUGGGUUAAACAUUAGUGAUGGACUACAAGCAUUAUAUGGUGGGUAUUUUGAUAAUGGAUUUUUAAGGUUCCACUGUUGGUAUUAGGGAGUUUUUGUUGGUAUCACUUGAGUUUUCUUAUGGAAUAAAAAUAUAAAAGUAUUGACUUUGCACGUAAGCUUAAAAGUGUUUGAUUUGUGUCUUGAUUUUGCCCUUUUUUAACACAAAUAUCUAAAGAUAUAUUUGUCAAUUCUUUAUUUUUGUAGUUAUAAUAAAUUCACGGUUAAAACUACUAUUUGACAAUUUAGUGGAAUAACAAUAUUUUUCCAUCCAUUAUCUGACACCUUCGUUCGUGUAUUCUAAACUAAAAGGUAAAAUUAGUAUUUUAUCAAGCAACUAACAGUUAUAAUAGAAAAACAAUGAAAUGAAAGGCUUUACAAGAUUGUAGUAGUAAAAUAAUAGACAAAAAUACUUCUUGUAGUCACUUAAUAUUAUACGACUUAAGUAGCGAAAUAAUAAUAACCCAUUGCUUUUUAUAAAUUAUACGUUUCUCUGAAUGAAAAAUCAACAAAUAUAGAACUCAAAAUCAUUACAUUGAAUUCAUUUUUGUUGCUUUUCAAUGUAUGAAUGUAGCGAGUCUAAUUUGGCUGCUUGAUUUUACUUAGCAAUUAAUACGCAUGGAAUUCAAUUUUGGAUUGAACUGAUAAAUAUUUGAAUUAAUAAACUUACACCCCUCUCUCACCAAAGGUUUUGAGUGGCAUACUGAUAAGAGAUAAUAGGGAUACAUUGAAAAGCAACAAACACGGGAUAACAGCAACAUAGCAUGUCAGUCGGACCAUGGAGAUGGCAUGAUAUAAAAUGAAAAUGAUUUUUACACGUGCAAAUUUUGAGCACGAGACAAGCCUGUAACAUAUCAACCUUCCCCAGCCCAGUAGUUUCACAAGUAUUCCCAAGCCCAAGCUUCGUCGAAAUAACAUGAAGCUCUGGGCCCUCUAAAGCAUGUAUAUGUAAGCAAAGCACCACGUUUAAAACUGUUAAGAGCUUAUAUCGAUUGUUGUUACCAUUGCGAUUCUCGUGGACAUCUGACUAUCAAUAAAAGAAAAUUAAAUCAGCCAGUGAGCAAAUAUUAAUUUGUAGCAUAUUGGAAGAAAUUAUAAUAAUCACUCUCAUAUCAGCCCCAAAAAAAAUGACAUAUCUGUUCUGGCAUGAUAGCUGAUUUAUUUCGGGAUAUAACUUAUAUUUUUAGUAUGAGACACCAAAUAUUAAAAUAUUUGGCCAAAACAAAACAAUGAUAGCUGAUUUACUGUGGAUCAGGGUGUGAGGAGCACUGAAGUCAUUAAUAGUGAAAACCUCCCAUGCUGAAGUGCUUCAUGUGGUGGGUAUCCUUUAAUGUGAUUGAAAACCUUUGAAAUAGUAGUGAUUUGCAGAGUUCCGAAAUAUUGGCACAAGAUGUCUAUUUUGCCGAAGAUGCCUCUAAAACCCAUGUGACAUGAUUCAUCUCCUCUCAUUCAAUAGCAGGAAAAAAGUGAGUUCGUGCGUUAGUAUUGAAUACUUACCAUCUAUUUUUUGAAAUACGAAGUUUUUUUUUUAAUACUAAUUACACAUCAAGUUAUUGUAUUAUAAAGAUAUUUACAACUGCUAUAACAAUAGAUCAUUACACAAUUGUCGUAACAAUAGAUCAUUACAUUGAUAUUUAUAAUAAAAUAUAUAACUAUAAUUUAAAUUAUUACAUUAAAUUUUAUAAAGUACAUACUCAGACAGACAAAUAAUCCUCACAGACGAAGGAUGUCUCUUCUCAACUCGCAUUUCAUAAGGGAGAAAGACUUGCAAAUAACGCUACACAAUCAUGAAUAAUGCUUAAUUGAGGAAGUUUAAGUCCGUGAAAACUCAAACAUUUACCCUCACAAUCCUGCUUAACUGUAAAUGUAGAGGUUCACCGCUGGACCAAGGGCCAUUGACCCAAAAUCAAGUUAAAUACAAUACAAAGUGGAAAAGAAUUUUUUUUUCCGAAAGGAAAUGGGAAAGAAUUUGAAUCUUCUUUCUCCUUUCUAUUGUUCGGUUGGUAGUAAAAGGUUGGAAUGCAAUUUCUAAUGAAAUCUAAAUUCCCUUAAAUUGAAGGAUUUGGAUUCCACGGCGAGAAUAAAUUCUCUCCCCACUAGAAAUCAAAACUUGCAGAUUUACCCUUUCAUAGUUUAUUAUGAAUUAGCUUAUUGUAAUUAAAAAGUUAUUAUUUUAUAAAAUUUCUUAAAACAAUACAAUCGAUGAUUUUUAAUUUUGAUUAAUUUGAAAAUAUUAAAAGUUAGAAAUGCAAUAGAAGGCCGAACAGCCACUCGCCGCCCGAAGGUAAUCGCUGUGCUGCCACCUCCAUUAGCAUGUGGGACAUCAUCGCCGGUAUCAUUGGAUUUUUCCAUCGCCGAUCUACACAGAGGUGCAGUUGAUGACCUGAAAAUGCGACGCAUCUAGAUUCACACUUCGUUCAAAAGAAUUAGAAUUCACCUCAACAUCAUUAUUUCAGGUGAUUUGACAAAUUUUUAGGCAAAAUUAGUGCAAUAGAUUUAAAAAUUUCGAUCAAAAUGAUGAUAUUCACGCACCGAAAAAUGGUGACAAGGUGCCUCCGGAGGUGGUUCGGUCGGCGGUUCUAGUGGCAACUCCUUUAGAGUUGUUUGAAUUUUUUGUUUUAAAUGAAAAUUUCAAAUUAAAGAAAAAAAAUCAAAAUUGUGAGUUAAGUAUUUGUCUUAAGUAAUUUAAAAACAAGUUUGAAUAAAUAUAUUUAGUUAAAUUAUGAAAGUUUAAUACCAAAGGUUAAAAUUAUCUAAAUAAAAGAUUAUGUAAUUUUUUUUAUUCUUUUAAUUUUGUGGCAAAUCGAAUAAUAUAAAUUAAACUUUUUUUCUUUUAUUUCAUUUUCUCUCUCUUUUUUUUUUUCUCUUUUUCUCGUCUUCAUUUUUUUAAACGUAACACCACCUCAAAGCAGAAGAAAUAUUUUCUAUCAAAAAUAAUUUUUUACAUAUAGAAUUGUCUAAUAUCAAUAUAAAGGCAAAUGAACCGAUCCUAAUACAUAUAUUUUUAUUAUAAAUAUCAGUGUUAAAAAAGAAAAAAAAUCAAGUGAAAUAAAACUCGGAGGUGUUACACAUUAACCGGAGAGACUUCCGAGAUUAAAAAUCAGAAAAAUUAUUAGCAUUUCUGAAAACGACAUGUUCCUACCAAAACGACAUCACUUAAUAUUCACGAUAUUUGAUUAGCUGGGGCGGGAAACCUGUCGAGUUGGAACAUUAUCCGGUAUGUCGUUAUUAUAUUAUAUGGUUGGCAGGUUGGAAACUGGGAAGGUUGGCUAGCAAAAGCUUACAACAAUAUGAUUCUUUUAUUAAUAUUAUUAUUCUAAAGUUUUGAAUAUUAUUUGUCAGCUGCGCGUUGCCAGCUAAGAGAGCAACACCCAAUUGGUCAAUUAGCUGGUAGGUUUCAGUUUAUAACUUCAUUUAUCUUUUUUUUUUCCUCUUUUUCCCCGUAAUUUAGGUGAGUGUUGUUUUCCAAAAUAAAAUACCAUAUAAGCCCUUUUCAGUUUAAUCGUUUAUAACUUAUUUAAUUUUUUUUCUUAAAAGUAAAAGAUAGACAAAGACUAAAUUUAUUUUUUAAUUCUUUACUUUUCUCGAAAUUUAAAUUCAGAUAGUCAAUCAAAUAAAACUACUUGAAAAUCAUUUAAUCGUGUCCUUGAGAGCUAUAACUUAUUUUACAUUGUUUGGGAUUUUUUUUAAAAAAAAUAUUUAGUGUUUUGUUGCAAUAUUAUGAUUUAUGAUAAAAUAUUCAUAACCAACAACUCAGGUUGGGAGUUUUUAUGUUAGGAUUUAAUGUGAUUUAAUCGUGAGCUUUAUGUUGGGCAGUCACUUUAUUGUACAUUUAGUUGUAUACGUAUUACAUUAUAAAUAAAAUAAAAUAAAAGACCAGUGCACUACUUAAUUUGCAACACAAAUUACUGUUACAAGUCAAAUAAACGGUGAAAAUUAUACUAUAAAUAGACGACCAUUUUAUAUAAUCGCAUACACUUAAAUUUGAGAACAAUAAUAAAAUCAUAUUGCUGGCUUUGCUUGCUUGCUGAUUCUCUUCUUCACUUGGCUUCUUCCAAUAAUUUAAUUUUUCAAACUUUUAUUAUUUACAAUUAUUUUAUCAACCUAAUAAUUUGUAAGUUUACGGGCAAUUUUAUAUAAAAAAAAUAUUAUUUGCAUUUUAUUAAUAGUAAAUAUAUAUGUUUAGGUUCGACUCAUACAUAAAUUUUGCUUGAUUUUCUUUUAAAUAUAGUUAUAAAAUUCAAACUACGAGUAAAUUCACCUUAUCAUUACAACGUUGAUGCUUUUGAAAAAGGAUUAAGAUUCUCUCCUGAUCUGAUCAUGUCUUGACCAAAUAACUUAAUUGCUAAUUUAUUGUUAAUAAAUAAAAAAAAAAUUUUAUCCAUUUACUACCAUUCAAAGACACAUAACAAAAGAUACUUACAAAUUUAGUACUGCUCAAAUAAGGAGAGAAUCAUAUUCCUUGAAGAAUCAUGUAAAGCCAUUGGAUUCUGCUGCAGCUUCCCGAGCAAGAACAUUUAAAUCGAUGUUUAAAGAAGUGGUCCUAUAAAUUUUUCUCCUCGAAUGCAUUGGGAAAGCACGCACAUACACUAGAUGAUAUUGAUAUAUGCAUGCAUGCAUGCCAAAUCUUGCUGCUGUUUCCUACAAGAAAGCAUCUUUGUCCGAAGACUUUGAUUCGAUGGUUCAUGUCAUGCAUGGGAAAUGAUCAUGCGUUGCUUUCCAAGUACAAAACAUGCAAGACAUAAAUAAUGCUUCAUGUGAUCUCCCAAUCCCUAUGCGAAAUUCGAAAAUGAAAAUUACACGACAAAAAAAAAAAAAUGGCAAAAGAAGACUUACGUUAUCAAGCGAAAUUCGAAAAUGAAAAUUACACGACAAAAAAAAAAAAAUGGCAAAAGAAGACUUACGUUAUCAAUAAAUAUGGACGAAUAUAUUUAUAUGCAUGUAUCGUGUAAAAGCAAAAAAGGUUUUUUUUUUAAGGUUAAAAUUAAAGACUCGUAGUUUCAUUCAUAAAAAUAUAUAAUGCAUUGAUAAUCUCUCUAGUUGAUUUCACAAGCUUCAUAACGUAUUUUAAAAGAUUAUUUUUAUUUAUAUAAAAUAUAUUACUUGAUCACAAAUUUUAAGGAUAUCUCUUUACUUGAUCACAAGUUUUAAGGAUAUUAUUAGUUAAUGUAUCUAGUAAUAUUGCUUAAGAUUGCACGAGGGAUUUGGCAUUCGAUUCUUGGAUGAGAAGACAUUUAAGUUAAAAAUAUAUCAAAUUACUUUUUCUAAAACUACAAAUUGAGUAGUCUAAGUACUAAAAAUUAGUUAAAAAGUAUGUUAUUUUACCCCAAAAAAAAAGGUAAAAUGUGUGUGAGAGAAACGGGGUAGAGAAGCUGCCACGCGGCACAUUAGAGUUUGCAAAAUCUAAUGAGUGGUCAAUUCAUGUACCCAAGAAAAAGAAAUCAUUGGCCACCCACUUGUGCCCUGAUUGUCAGGCGAAAGUUUUCCUUACCCACUAAUGGCCAAAAGCCUAAAAAUGAAAAUUUUAAAGAACUUUUAUCAAAAAAAAAAAAGAAAAAAGAAAAAAAGAGUACUAUUAAUUAUUAAUUAUUGGAUAUUCGUACAGAAGAGUUAUAUAUCGAGUCAUACAGAGCUCAAUGAGAUGUGCCAGAGAAACCAGGCCUUUAUGCCUGCAUUAGUACAGAUUGUUACAGCAUCGGCUGUAAUUUAUGCUUAAAAUAUAAAAAUUUAUCUUACACUUACCAAUAUUUACAAGACUUACCACAUAUAUUAAAAUAUUUAUAAAAAAAAAGACUUUGUUAUGAGAACGUAAGAGAUUGUAUUAUCACCACUCACCAGAGAAACGAGUAGGGGUUUUUUAAGUUAAUGAGAACGUAAAAUAAAAGAUUGGAUUAUUGAUUAUUACGGUUCACCAGGGAGACAUGUGGGAGUUACGCUUAACGUAACGUAGCACCAGCCUAAAUUUAAUAUUAUUAUUUGAUGACAACCUAUAAUCACUAAACACCACUAGAUUGCGGAGUAGAUUACGAUAAUUUUGGUUUUAAUUAACUACGCCUCGACGUUCUUUCUUCCAUCAAGCAUUGGCAAAUUAAUAUUAUAUAUAAUAGAAAGAGUUUCUUAUUUAUUUUUCUGAAUUUUUUAAUUUUACGGUGCAAAAUUACUCGUUUUAAUAAUAUAUUUCAGGUGGUAAGAACGACGCAUCUAUAUCAAUAUCUUAUCUUUCUUCUACGGUUAGUUUGAAUGUUUGAAAAAAAGAAAAAGAAAAAAAAAGAAAAAUUAAAUGUAUUUGCUAGUCAAGCCAACCAAUUUGAUUCUCCACUUAUAUUUAACUUAGCAACGAAUCCUACAACAGGAAAAAUGCGAUACUACAAAAAGAUGAUGUAACGAGACCUAACUUUUUCUUUUAUUCCUCAGUUCGACACUAAUGUCAAAUUCUUUUUUCCUUAAAAAAGAAAAAGAAAAAAGCACGAAUGUCGUAUAAUAUAGUUGUAAUCAAACCGGUGGGGGCAUGCAGCGUACCAACCAAACCAAAAAAAAAAAAAAAAUUAAGUUUUGUCCAAAUCACCCCUUUUAUGCAUGAAAAUGUAGAUGAAAAAAAAAAUUUACAAAAAUUUAUAAUAUUCUAGUAAUUUUUCCCAAAAUAAAAAACAAAAAUCAUGGUAUGAACUGUUCUUAUUCUUGUAUGGAUGAGAUUUGAGGAAGAGAUUUGAUUUUCAUUGGCAUUAAAAAUAAAUAUAUAUAUUUUUUCAUUAUGAGGUUCCGCUUUAACUUUUUUCUUGAAAAUGAUUGAAUUUAAAAAUUAGUAUUCUUUAGAUGAAAAACUAUAUAUGAUUUUUUCUAGUUAAAGUCACAAUUAACUUUUAUUAUAGCAGUGGCAAUUGUUUGGUAAAAAUACGGUCUUCACAUAUGAAUUAUAUGAUCAUAUUUUUUAAAUUAUUAAAAAUAAUAAGAUAAUUAACUAAAGAUAUUAUAAUAUAAAUCAAAAACUUCAAAUUUAGGUCAACUCAUGAAAGCUUUACAAAAGUAGUGAAACGAUUCGUUGCAAUUUUAAACCAUUAGUGAGCCACUCGAAACUGAUUACUUACUUCGUCAAUAAUAUACAUUAUUAAAAAAAAUUAAAAAUAGUCCUAAAAAAAUUUAAAAAUAAAAGAUAAAUAACCUCAAACUCAAAGAAAAAGAAAAUAAAAUAUGCCAAGGGAAUCAAAGAAAGAAAGAUCCAACGAACAUCCAGGGACUAAAGAGUCAAUUCACAUCUAUCAGGACGAUUCGCUUAAUUUUGUCCUACAUACGCACUCACCCUCGCCUUUCAUCAGCAAAAUUCAGUUGCCUUGCAUUCGCCAAUUGCUUUUGCUUUGACAGCGAGCAAACAAACAAACAAAAUCUAACCAGAAAGAAAAGAAAAGAAAAGAAAGAGAGGGGAAAAAAAAAAAUCCUCUCCUUUCUUUUCUUUUCCUUUUACCUGCAAAUUUUUUACAAAACACUCUUCACUAAUCACGACAUCACUCAUAACUGAUGAAUUUCAGUAAAUGAAUUAAGAGUUUAAUUUUUUUUUAAUUAUUUGUUUUGAUUGAUUUUUGAGGUUUCUUGAGGAAUCUAAAAAUGGAUAACUCGCAAAUCACGAGCCAGGGGAGAAUGGAAGGCUGGCUCCAUCUAAUUCGAUCGAAUCGGAUUGGUUUGCAGUACUCUAGAAAACGCUACUUCCUUUUAGAAGAUCAUUUUCUCAAAAGUUUCAAAUCCGUUCCCCAUUCCAAAAAUGAGGUCGUUUAAUUCUCUUCUUGUUUUUUAGAUUACUUUUUUUUCAAUUUUGGUCUUGCAUUUUGUUUAUUUAACUGAUUUUUGAGUUCUUUUAAAAUUUUUUUUUCAGGAUCCUGUUAGGAGUGCGAUUAUAGAUUCUUGCAUUCGAGUAACGGACAAUGGAAGAGAAAGUAUUCACAGAAAAGUACGAGAACGGUGACGUUUUGCGUGGCGGUUACUUUUUGUUUAUUUAUUUAUAGUGGUUUAUUAUAUUUUUAAAUAAGUUUUUGUACUGGUGGCCAAGCUUUUAUCUAUUUAUUUGUUUUUGAACUUGCAGGUGUUCUUUAUAUUUACUCUUUAUAAUACGUCUAAUCAUAAUGAUCAACUUAAGGUAAGGUAAUAAUUGCAUAAAAUAACUGUUGAGUUUUAUGUGAAAUUUCGGAGUGUAAGUUGUGAAGGUUUAUGUCGUAGCUAGGAGCAAGCAGUCCUGAAGAAGCUGCAAAAUGGAUUCAUUCGUUACAAGAAGCAGCUUUAAAGGUUUUUAAAUUGCUUUUUAUUGUUGAUUUAUAGAUGACUGCACGUGUCAUUUAACUAAUUCAUGUUUUUAUGUUUUAUGCAGGGUGGUCCGCACCAAGGAGUAGGAGAUCAUAUUGGUUGUCCGAAUAGCCCUUGGGAGUCUUUUAGGUACAUUAUAUAUAGUGCCUUUGCAAUAAGUGUCGUUUUUCGAUCUGUGGUUUUUAGUUCUUGAUGUCGAGUGGAAUAAGUAGCUGUCAAGUAUAAGUGAAUGGGUGGAUGAUAAACAUAAACAUUAGCUGCCAAGUAUAAGCACAUUUUACCAAUCACUUUAGCUGUUACUGCUUUCAAAAAUCAAAAUUUCGCAUAAAGCAUGACAGUUACAAACAUACAUCCUUCAUUUCAUUUUGUUAGCCUUUUCACUAAAAUAGUUUUGUUGAACUCGUCUAGAAAAGAAGUUAGCGAGGUCUUUUGUGGUCCAGAAAGUUAAUAUACCGUGAUUAUCUUUGGCUUAGUUACUGAUUUUUUAUGCAUCUAGAUUGAGCGGUUCCAGCAGGGCAAGUCACACGAAGUCUAUUGACUGGACUCUUUGUUCGGGGACUCAGAUGGAGCAAGUGACCGCUGAUGUUAUUGCACCUUCUCCUUGGACAAUCUUUGGUUGUCAGAAUGGUUUGUACAAACUUAUUACCUUUUGAUCUAUAUAGCUCAAUUUGCAUGCCUGAAAUCACAAGUGUAAUGCAGGUCUGCGUCUGUUUAAAGAAGGAAAAGAUAGGGGCUCUCGUGGAAAGGUUGGUUGUGUUUCUUUUUUGCCAUCUACACUUGCAGAUCAAGAAUUGAAUACGUUUAUUCUGUCUGCAGUGGGACGAUCAUCCUGCAAUAAUGGCUGUGGGGGUGGUGGAUGGUACUUCAGAAGCAAUUUUCCAGACACUUAUGUCUCUUGGUGCCUCAAGAUCAGAGUAAAUUUGCCUGAUAUCAUUUAAACUUGUGGUACUAUAAGCGUUAACUUGUGAUUCAUGCCACCUUUGAACCUAGGCAUUUCUUCCAACUGAUCCUUUUUUCAGACAAAGCUUUAUGUUGUUAAAACUACUAUACUGCUUACCAAGUUACCAUAGUUGAAAAAGAGUGUUUGUGAAGACAUCUAAACUUAAAAUGGCACUCUUUGAACAUAAAAAAUGCAGUGACUACAUCCAUAAGCAAAGACAAUUCCCACUGUGAGGAUGUUUAUACCAAGACUAGAAUUAAGUAAUCUUGAAAGCCAGGACUUACGUGGACUGACAUGCACUCUAAAGUCAACUAAAACAUAUUGUUUGGAUCGAUUGUUAACCCCCUUUCCCAAUCAUAUGACAUAUGCCCAUUUCACCAAUGAUUAGAAUCCUUUAUUUGUGCACGGUGGUAGGAGGUGAUGGGUUAAUUUGUACAAUUCUAAUAUAAUGUUUUUGGAUUGGAGGAGGAUGAUAUCUUUGGAGCUAUGGGUGGGCUUUGUAUAGAUUAUUUCCCUUCUCCUUUCUCUCUCCUUCUGAUUAUAUUUGUGGACACCUAGUCCAACUUUGUAACUUUAUAUUUGUUCUUCUUAUAUUAAGUUUCCCCGCCCAAAAAAAAAAAUUAAUAAAAAUAAAAAUAAAAUAAACAUUGUUUCUUUAAUUAUCAAAUAAUGAGUCUUGUUAUUAAAAAAAUUAUGCAUCUGCUACCUAGGUAAUUUUGCAAAUCCUCUUGCAGAUGGGACUUCUGUUUCUACAGGGGCUGUGUGGUUGAACACCUCGAUGGUCAUACCGAUAUUAUCCACAAGCAGUUAUAUAGUGAUUGGUUACCUUGGUAAGAUCCGGAUCUUUAAUUUACAUCAUGACUUCUUUUAAUGCGGAUGGCGUAAAAUUUUCAUUCAGUUUUAAAUCUUGUUUUUACAUGCUAAAAUUUGCAGGGGAAUGAAAAGGAGAGAUCUCUUGCUGCGGCGUUACUGGAGAAGGGAAGACGAUGGAACAUAUGGUUGUUAUUUUGGUGGAGGAAAUUCUUAAAAAUAUAUCCUUGUCUAAUUUUGAAAAAUUAGAAAUAACUUUCGUUUGUUAAUUCUUUCACAGUUAUACUCUAUCAUUCCGUGUUUCACAAGAAAUGUCCACGUCAGAAAGGCUCCGUUCGUGCCUGCCUUAAAAGUAAUGUAUGCUUAAAAUUUAGAAGAAAACAAUAUUUGUUGUACUUUCCUAAGUCGCUUGUAUUCAUACAUGAAUAAACAUAUAAAACAUGAGGGCUAUUGGUAUUUUUAACUGCUGGAAAUCUUUGUGGUCGGACUAUCUUUCAAAUUUACUUUUGUUUCUAGAGAAAUGGGUUGACACGCUCUUGUAUAAUUGUAUUUUUAUUAUCAUUCAUUAAUUUAUUGUGAUCUUAUUCAAUAUGAUUUUUCUAUCACAUUGUGUUUUGACUAUUUUGUUUUGUGAACUGUUCUUGAUGAGUCUCUGUAUUUUUUUGUUCUUGCUUUGAUAUAUGGUUUAGAUUACCAAGGGGGAGAUCAGAGAUAAUAUCUUCCAUUUUUGCAGGCGGGGGAUAUGUUAUAACUCCUAUGAACCAUGGGAAAAUAUCAGUUGUAAAGCACAUGCUUGCUAUUGAUUGGAAAUGCUGGAGAUCUUAUCUGCAACCUUCUUCAGCUCGAUCUAUUACCAUCCGCAUGCUUGGAAGAGUUGCUGGUAUACAUGAACUGUAUACAGUUCAAUAUAUUCAUCUAUUUUUGUGAAUUUCAUGAUCUUAUAUGAAAUGAAUUGGGAAAUACUAAAUUUUUAUGUUUGCAGCAUUACGAGAACUUUUUAGAGCAAAACAAGGAAAUUAUUCUUCCCCAGAAUUUUUAUCUGGAGAGUUGACAAGAAACAUGAGGAUGCAUCAAACAGAUGGUAACAUGGUUCAAAUGCCAACAGAGGAUGGGAACAGCAAGAAAAAUACAAGUGAAGAAGUGGAUCAAGUCUCUUCAGAACAUGCUAGCCUCGUAGGCCUGAAUGAUGCUGCUGAUGAAUUCUUUGAUGUUCCUGAACCAUCGGACUAUGAUGAUUCAGAAAAUGGCUGGACUUCUGAUUUUGGUCCGGAAAUGAAUUCUCAGGUACCAACUCUUUCAUAUUUGUUCUUGUUUGUUCUCAUUUAUGAAAUGAAAUUGUAGUUUAAAGGUCAUUCUGCAUCGGUCACAUGUUCACUAAAGAACUGUUUUUGGAUUAUGAUACUUAUCCUUCAAUCGAUACUGAAAAUCUGCCUAUUGCUUUGAUUUUCUUACUUACUCAAUGAUGUGAGUUGCAGGAUACACGACAUCCAAAGAUAUCAACAGCUGCUGGGUUUGUCAGAAAAUUGCACGAUCUUGCAGGUGAAUUCAAUUUGGGCAAUAUUCUGCUGUAAUCUUGAAUUUGCCUGUGUUAUAGCUGUUUGCGUUACCCAUUUGUUUCGUCAUCUAUUGACUAUUGAUGUCAAGAGACUUCUGUGUAUGACAGUUCAAAAGAGGGGCUAUGUUGACUUACAAGGGACAGCAAAGGAAGAUAACUUUUCUUGCUGCUACGGAACCACUCUUCAAAAGGAUCCAACUUGCACCUUACCUUGCAGUUGGACAUCAACAGAUCCCUCUACAUUCUUAAUUCGAGGAAAGAAUUACCUGCAAGACCGUCAGAAGGUAUUAACCAGCGCAAUUAGUAAUGUAAAUGGUGCGUCUAUAAAAGGUCUGCUUGUAUGUUCCACAUUUUGUAGUUUUGAAUGUUCCCUCUUACUAAUGGUAAUAUAAUGAAUGUGACAAUUCAUGGAGCCUGUGUUCGAUUUUUUUUGGGUAUCAUUGUGAUGAUGUUCCUGAAUCUUCCAAUGUCCUGAUGGAAAUGUAAAUCUCUUAUUUGUGUGGUUCUAAUUAUUUCUCAAUUAGUUUAUUGUUUGAUUUCAGGUUAAGGCAAAAGGCACCUUGAUGCAAAUGGUUGCUGCAGAUUGGCUAAAAUCUGACAAACGUGAAGAUGAUCUUGGAGGUCGUCCUGGGGGAAUAGUUCAGGUUAAUCUUUAAUUGUGUGGAAAAGAUCUUGUACUUAAUUUUGAUUGGAUUCCAUUGAUGUUAGAUUAUUAGAAAUUUUACGAGUUUUAUUCUGCAGAAAUAUGCGGAGCAGGGUGGGCCGGAAUUUUUCUUCAUUAUAAACAUACAGGUAAUGUCAAGUCAAGUCAAGUCAAGUCAAGCAAACCUCAAUUUAUACUAUUAUACUAUGCUCAAGCAAAACAAAGCUUCACCUGUACUUUUCUUACUUGUAUUGUGCAUUUAGAAUAGAAUGAUUGGAUUGUCUAUGUGAAACAGGUGCCUGGUUCAACAACAUAUAGCCUAGCUCUAUACUAUAUGAUGACUACUCCUGUCAAGGAUGCACCCUUGCUGGAAAGCUUUAUCAAUGGAGACGAUGCAUAUCGAAAUUCGAGGUUCAAGCUCAUACCAUACAUAUCUGAGGUUUGUGAAGAUGAUAACUGUUGCACAUUAUCUGGUCUACAAUGUCAUGGUUUUCUUGCAUGGAAUUUUUAUCGCCUAAUGGCGUCAUUUGUAGAAGAAAAUACACAAAGACAGAGGAAAAAUAUACUUAGCACCAAUUACUCAAUUAAAGAAAGGUUUUAUGCCUUUUUAUCUUAGAUUUUCCUUGUAAACAUGUCAUUUUGAAAUGAUUCUUGGAUCUCUCUCUCUAUCUUUUUUGUUCCACAUUUGUUCAUUAUCUAAGUUCCUAAGUUCCUGAAUCUAAGGCUUACAAUAAUCUCAACUCAAUAGAUUUAUUGCCUGUAACCUGUUAGGAAGGGAGUACAUUCACUUUUUGCUGCAUGCUGCAUCUAACACCUUCUAUAAUACGUGGCUCAUAUUGGUUUAAAACUUAUUUUUGCAGGGUUCGUGGAUAGUAAAGCAAAGUGUGGGAAAGAAAGCUUGCCUGAUUGGUCAAGCCCUGGAAAUUAACUAUUUCCAUGGGAAGAACUAUUUAGAGGUAAUUAUUCUGUUCUAGCAUAUUAUAUUUUAUAUUGGGUGAGAUGGGAGGAGAAGCAAGUGACUUAAAUUAUGUGGAACCGUGUUCACGCAACAUCAAACACCACAUAUUUAGUUAAAGGUUCAUAAUUUAUUCAAAUUCGUAUCUAUGCAUGUGGAUCUUGCUGGGGUUCUGCAAUUCAUUAAGAAAACCAACUUAAUAGGCGUUUACUAGAUGGACCAACAUUUAAGAUAUUGUUUCACCUUUGUAAGAUGCUAAUCAUGACACUUUCCACUGUCAUGUCAGCUUGGGGUUGAUAUUGGGUCAUCAACAGUUGCAAGGGGUGUGGUCAGUCUUGUUCUCGGUUACCUCAACAACCUGGUUAUAGAAAUGGCAUUUUUGAUACAGGUAAAAUCCUUUUACUUCUGUACAUGGGCAAAAGGUUCUUCAAGCUUUUAUUUUUAUUUACUUUUAUGCCCUCUGUAUUUAUUCAUGAAUCAUCCUGAAGUAGACUAAAAUUUUCCCAAUGAUAUCUGUAGCUUCUAGAUUAUUUCAAUUUAAAUGGAAGAGAAAUCUCAAAGUUUCAUGUUACAAUAUAUCAAUCAAUGUUCCCAUUUUUGCUUUUGCUGGUGCAAAUUUCACCUUUAUCAUGAUCUAUCACUUCAUUUACAUCCUCUUCCAUGCUGUAUGGUCUUUGCUUAGGCAAAUACAGAAGAAGAGCUCCCAGAAUUUCUUCUAGGUACUUGUCGCCUGAACCAUCUGGAUGCGGCAAAAGCAGUUCUACUGAAGCCAUCAUCACGAUUAUCUUCUUCCUCGCAAGGUCCAGUUAGAAAUUAGUUCAUAUACAAACAACAGUCAACAGGAAUCGAGCUAUGUGUUUGCAAAAACGAUUCUUUGAUUCAAUCAAAGUUGAAACUGGCACCUGGCAGCGGCAGCAGCAUAUCUUAUGCUGCCAUGGUUAAUCAAGCUCUGUACAGAUAUGUCUUCAAUAGUGCACUAUUUUUCAUACAGAUUAUAUACUUAGUUUAUUUUAUGAUUGCCAUGAAUCCAAGAUCUUCAUCCCCGCAUCUGAUAGCAAAAAGUGAGAAAAGAAUGAUAAAAUAAACAAUUUGGUAAGUGGGGUACAGGAUAGGUCCCUUGAGGACUUCCACUACGAGAAUAGAAUACUAGGUCAAUGAUGACAAUUGGAAUGCCAGGGUGUCGCCACCCUUUUGACUCUGCCUGAAACAACUGAAAAAAUGCGCCACAUUCCUCAAUGUCCACUAUUGAAAUUGACACCUCGUGUCGAGCUGCUAACUUUUUUUUGUAAUAAUAUAAUUGGACAUCACUGCUCACCCCCCACGACAGCACAUACGUAUUCUUCUCCAAGUCCAAAUCCAGCUUUGGAAUUGAUUUUUUUUUUUAAAAGGAAAACCAUGCAUGAAAACAUAAAAUAUUUCAUUUAUUAGUAUCCCAAAAAAAAUAUACAUUAUGGGUUUCAUUGCGAUAUUGCGCCAUUGUGAAUUUUAAGUUAUGUACGGUCAAAUUCCUCAUUAGGUCACAAUUCCUUAUUAGGGAUAUUCUUCAUAGAAGAAAAAAAAAAUUUUCUCUAGUCAUAAGAAUUUAAGUCCUAGUUUGGAUCAAUUAUAAAUAAAAAUCAAUCUUAUAUUGCAAUAAAUUAAUUUUUUUUAGAUUCUAUUUUAACGAACUUAUCUUUACGUAGUAAUACUUAUAUGUUUAUUGAAAAGAAAUAUAUAUUAUUUUACAUUAAAGACUUAAGUUGAAAUAAAAUAUUCUUUAAAAUUUAUUUGAGACAAUAAUUUAUUCUUCAUAUUUGUAGUAUGACGAUUUUAGAUAUUCUCAAUAUAGAUGUAAAUAAAGGUACUAAUUUUUCUGAAACUAUGCGUUCGUGUCUAUUCAUUUUCUAUCAAUAUUAUGCAUAGGAUUUAAUAUGCUCUAUUAAUUAAUUAUUAAUAUAGCACAUAUUUUACCUCUACAUCGUUUGCACUAAAUAUAAUUAAGUCAAAAUAAUAAUUUUUAUAACUGUACUUCUAUUAAGUUACAAUCUCCUUACAAUAAUAAAAUUAGUUAGUUCUAAUAACAUGAUUAUAGAGAGCUUUCAGUGUAUAUUAGACCAAAGAUUCUUCUGUUAAAAAAAAUUGAUAGGUAUUUAACAAAUGUAACUACGAUCAAGUUACAGAUGUUUAUUGUAAUUUAUAUAACUUAUUAAACACCGGCUCUUUAUUGCUAGGCGUAAGGUAAAAGAUAUUUAUUAUCAUUUUAUUAACUUAUUAAACACUACCAUAAUAUACUUAAUUAUCAUUUCUAUAACUUAUGUUAGUGUGUGCGAACAUAAACGGCUAAACAACUGUUGCAUUAGUUCAUGAAUAAUACGUGAAAUUGAUCCGUAUCACUCUACCAUUUCACCCCUCUAUAAAGACCAUAAUAAUAACUUAUUAUUGAUAUAGCGUUUUUGGUUCUGAUAAUUUAUUAUAAUUAUAACGUUACGCAUAAUCUCUAUGCUAUAUUAACUUCUAUUGAACUUUCUCCGGUACUUAGAGUAUUGAUCCAGUGAUUCUUUCGCAAAAUUGGCCGUCUCUUGACUCUCUGUUCAUUUUUGAGAACACAGAUUCAAUUCUGUUCCUUUUCGAUUGUUUCCCCUCGCUGUGUGGGGCCACGUUAGAAGAAUUAUUGUCUGUUAGAACGUAGCAGUAGUGGUGGCAGGUAAUUUUAAUUUUAUGAACACGAGAUCCCGAAACUCUAUACAGCUCCUCGACGUCGACCGCUUCAAGUUCCAUUUUUUUUUUUAAGUUCGUAUAAAUUCGUUUGCUUGCCGUUUGCUAACCAAUAAUAAGCUUGCUUUCUCAUUUAUUUUGGCAGUAAUUGGAGUAGGAAUUGAGAAGAAGAUGGUUCCUACUCUGAAAUUCGCCGUGUUCUUAUUAGCACUCUUUGCAUUCGGUAUGCAUGUGUGAUCGAAAUUUAAUUUUUCAUUCUUGUUUCGGUUAAUAAGUUUGUUUUUGUUCUUCAUAUGUAAGCUUGAAUUUUUUGUUUAAAUUUAAAAUUUUACCGUUUAUUUAUAGAAAGAUUACAUUUUUGGUAAAGCUUGUUUGUGGAUGUAUUGGGUACUGGCGGAAUUUUGAUUAGUGUAGGUUUUUUGACUGUUAAUUCUCAGUACUAGAAUGCACUAUUUUCAUUUGACAUUAUGGAUUUUGCUGGUGUUAAUGGCGGUGGGUCAGUGGAUGCGUCUUCUGCCGAAAAGGAUUUUCUGCAGUGUGAGAAAAUUGUCAGAGAAUGGGCUCGUUCGGCACUUGAGGAAGAAAUUGAAGGAGACGGACACACGCUGCGAGAUUUGCUGUUUUUUCUACAUGUCCCCAGAACCGGAGGGCGGACAUACUUCCAUUGGUAAUUAAUUGGCUAAUGGAUGCUAUUGCUAUGCAGUUAGUUGGAAAUUCCAGCCCUGAGUUUUCAACUGCCAUUUUGAUUCUUGAUUGUGGCUAUUUGGUUUUAUGCUUGCAGUCUGGUGAAAAAGGUAUACGGUGCGGCUUUGGAAUGCCCUCGUUCUUAUGACAAGCUACGGUUUGAUCCACGGUACUAUCUUGUUCUUUGUGUUCUGUUAUUUUAUGCUAGAGACCUUUGACUAAUAUUUGUUUUGUUGAUCUGAUAUUUCAUCCAAUCAUUUGAACUUGCAAUAGCUAAUAAUCUUUUCUCGACUUCAUUGUUCCUUUUUUAGGGGCUUAGUUUUACACGAAGUGAGUCAUUGAACUUACUGGGUUGACAGCUCUAGUGGCUAUAAUGGUGUUUUGAAUUGAGUGAGAAAGUCUCUUUGCAAAAUAGAAAGGAGAGAGAUUUAACUUAUAAUCAAACAUUGCCAAAAAUAUUUAAUCAAUUUUGCUGACCUGUGGAGCUAUAAUUAAUUUCAUUUUGUAAUUUAUGCAGCAAACCAAAGUGCAGGUUGGUGGCUACACACGAUGACUAUAGCAUAAUGUCCAUGCUUCCCAGAGAGAAAACAUCAGUGAUGACAGUACUUAGGCAUCCAGUUGACCGAGUCUUUAGUGCCUAUGAAUUUUCAGUAGAAGUAGCAUCUAGAUUUUUGGUGCAUCCUAACCUAACUUCUGCCACAGAAUUGACUAAACGCGUACGAGCCAAGCAUAAGGGAGUUAGUACUCUGGAUAUAUGGCCCUGGAAGUAUUUGGUUCCGUGGAUGAGAGAGGACCUAUUUGCUCGGGUAGUUUUUCUUUUAUACAUUUGCUCAAUAUUGAAUCUUUCCCCCCCCCCCCCCCCCCCCCUCUUUUUUUAAACUCUCUAAUGCCAUUCGCUUAUCAUAAUCACAAGUGAUCAUCAGUUAUCCUGGUUGUCCUGUCAUUAGGAUUUUUUUUUUUUUUCACCCAAUCAUCGUAAAGCUCUUAGGAGAUAUAAUCUUUUGCACAAAAUUGAAGGAAAGGCUUCCUGGAUGAUCAGAUGGCUAAAUCAUGGUCUCCAUAAAAAGAGCAUAAGCAUGGAUUUUCAUAUCCCAUUGUAAAAAACAUGUAUUUUGAAACUCUUCUGAUGCUGAAGCCCAAUUGCCAAUUUAUUGAUGUUUCUAUAGUAAUACAAUUUUUUAUCUCCAAAAUAGAAAUAAUGAUAAAAAAAAAAAUCUAAUUGUUUCCUUCGUUGAUCAUCACCCAUAAAUGUGAAACAGCAGUUUUGCUCAAUAUUGAAUCUUUCCCCCCCCCCCCCCCCCCCCCUCUUUUUUUAAACUCUCUAAUGCCAUUCGCUUAUCAUAAUCACAAGUGAUCAUCAGUUAUCCUGGUUGUCCUGUCAUUAGGAUUUUUUUUUUUUUUCACCCAAUCAUCGUAAAGCUCUUAGGAGAUAUAAUCUUUUGCACAAAAUUGAAGGAAAGGCUUCCUGGAUGAUCAGAUGGCUAAAUCAUGGUCUCCAUAAAAAGAGCAUAAGCAUGGAUUUUCAUAUCCCAUUGUAAAAAACAUGUAUUUUGAAACUCUUCUGAUGCUGAAGCCCAAUUGCCAAUUUAUUGAUGUUUCUAUAGUAAUACAAUUUUUUAUCUCCAAAAUAGAAAUAAUGAUAAAAAAAAAAAUCUAAUUGUUUCCUUCGUUGAUCAUCACCCAUAAAUGUGAAAAAAAAAUUCUGAGUACCCCUCCUGCUUUAAAAUGUUCAUAGUAGAAAUGUGUAGUUCCAUGAAGAGAAUGUAACCUUGUUAAGUGUUGGUAGUAUUACUUAACAUAUUUCAAAGUCAACAUACUCCGCAUUUUUAUCUCUCUCUCCCCGCCCCAAGGCCCCCAUCUCUCCUCCCCCUUUCUUCCUCGAGUUGUAGGUUGUGCUAUAUAAUGACAUCGCAGUGCAAUUUUAUCUUGUGGGGAGGUUGCACCAUUAUUAAUUGUGAUAAAUUUUACAUAUGAGAACAGAGAGAUGCCAGAAAAAUGAAGGGGUUAAGUUAUGUUAACAGCAAUGACUCAUACAAUGUGGAAGAAAUGGCAAUGCCAUUACAUCAAUUCAUUAAUGAACCAGUAGUUUUGGACACUGUUCACAAUGGAGCAACAUUCCAGGUACUCUUUCUUAUGGUUUCAUCUUUAUAACACAGGUUCUUGUUUGUAAUUUCAUUUCUUCUCUGCAGUCCAUGUUUGUAUCUCCUCUAUUUUUCAAUAUUUCAGAAUACGAGUUAGAAAUGUAGUUGCUGAUUUCCUGAGUUUCCAAUGGGCUUGUUCAUAAAACUUGAAUUGUCAAAUAUCUCAUCAACUGUUCACUAUUCAGGUUGCAGGAUUGACUAACAACUCAUAUUUAGCAGAAGCACAUGAUGUGCGCCAUUGCGUGCAGAAGUUUACAAUUCUUGGCGAACAUGUGCUUCAAGUUGCACAGGUAAUUGAAAAAAGGUAUUUUGAAUUGUGAAUAGAUUUUUUUCAUAAUAUUAUUUUCUGAUUAUUGUUCUCCUUAUGGUUGCAAUCAUGGUAGAUACUUGUAAAUCUUGCAGAAGAGGUUGGACAAUAUGCUAUUUGUUGGUCUCACUGAGAAGCACAGAGAAUCUGCGAAAAUGUUUGCGAAUGUGGUUGGUCCACAGGUGAUCUCGCAGAUAGCAUCAGACUCUAGUAUGGAGGGUUUAUCAAAAAUAAAAUCAGGUUAGUUUGGUGAAGAAUAGUUAAUGUUUUUGAUCCUUUUGAUCCGCUGCCUCUUAGCAGACUCACAUAUGAUGCAAUGAUCUAGAAAUCACAUGUUAGUAGACAUGAUAGCUUGAAUAAAAGUAUUUUCCUUGAACAAAUAGGAUUUGCAGUUGUAUUCACGUGAUAAAUUUGAUUAGAAAUAAUGAUGUCAAACAAAUAGUAGCUCUACUGUAACUUUCUUUUGGGCCAUUCAUAAAACAGUAAUGUCACACACAACUUAUCCAGAAACAGUCUUGAUUCACUGAAACUUUCGUUUAUUGAUCCACAAUACUCCAUGAAAGAAUUGAUAAGCAUAUAUUGAACAUGAAAUUCAUACCCUAAUUCUCCCUUCGCCCAUCUGGUUGUUGUGUCUGGCUGUGUCCUGAAAGUUUGGUUUAUAUCAUAUUGGAACUCCAUAAAUUUUCAAGAUAAAUAAAAGGUGGGAAUAGGUUCUGUUUCGACACUUUUGUUUAUAAUAUAUGCUGAAUUAUUUUUUUUAGAAUUAAAUUCAUCUGUCUGUCUUACAGUUACAGAACAGAACUCAUUACUUUCAGAUUCUGAGCUGGACAGUAAUUACCAUCAGGUAAGCAGCAAUGCACCUCUAGCACCUUAGUGGUGACAUGUUUAUCUCAUCAACCAGUGGAUUAGCAUUUUUACUGCUGUGUUUUUUUGUUUUUCUUCUUGUCUCACAGGAUGGCACCUCAGACCAAAAACCAACUGAGAAUGAGAAUGUUUCCACUGAAAAUUUAGAAGGAAUUAAGAAAAAUGUAAGCUCUACAUGCAAUAUAAUUUUUGACCAUAUUGGAAUGAUUAGUUUAUUUUAUUUUGGAAAAAAAAUAUUUUUUUUCUUUGUUUCACUUUAUUAGAUGACGGUGGAAAAAAUUAUGGAAGAGUAUAAAGCAUGCAUUUCUCCCUUAAGAAAUUCCCAAUCUGUUCGACGCACAAAUUCUCUUAGGGAAAUCUCGCCAGCAAACUUUUCUAAAGAGGUAGGUACAUUAAGUUUUUUGAUUAUUUGUGAUCUCUUCAUUAUUCAGUUCCAGACGUGACUAUGUAUUUCUUACUUUGCUUCAUCUCAUUGGGUUUUGAACCUGUUGUCUGAGAGUUGCUGGAGACAGUGAAUAGUGCCUUUAAGGCCUGCAGAUGCCAAUAUUGUUUGAAAUUACAUAAUUUUAGUAGAUGAAGUUUUUCUAUUUAGGGUGGGUAAUGCUGAAACAAUAGCGGCAAAUUAUGUCCGAUCCUUUUUGUUUGAAUGGGCAUUGCAUGCUGAAAUUUUAAAGAUACUGAAGAUCUGUUGGGUCUUUUGACUCAUGAGUUGUCAUUCAUUUUAUGUUAUCCCUUCCUUGUUACUUUUAUUUUGACCUAUGAAAUUUUGCAGGCACGUCUCCUGGUUCCAGAAACAGUUCUCCAGCAGAUAAGAUCACUUAACAGUCUUGAUUUAAGGCUGUUUAAGUAUGCCGAGGGUAUAUACGCAAAGCAAAAUGAACGUAUGCAUGAAUUGGUUACAACGGUAAGUUAUUAUCUUGGUGAAAUUCCUCAUACAAUCUUGUUUGCUUCAACUUACAUUCCUUUUGGUGAUAUGCUUUUAGAUGUUCAGCUGGGGUAUAGAUUAGAAAUGCUUUCACAGCAUAGUGCUUUCCGAUGAACGUAAUUAUCAUUCGGCAAUUGAUGAUGCAACCACUUUAGAGCGAUCUUAAAAAUAUGUAAAGUGUUUGGUUAUGUGAUUAAAAAGUUCUUUUUAUACUAAUUAAGCUGUAUUUAAAAAAUAAAUAAAGCUAUACAAAUAUUUUCUUAAAAACACUUUUGAAAGCACUCUUUUAACGCCCCAAAAUGCACAUCCAAACUAACCCUAAGACCCCUAAUUUUCAACAAGUCAAAAUCAUGAUUCUUCUUAGCUGCUUUUGGUUUUUGCUUUCAGUUUUUCUCAAGAUUUCUGACACUAUAAUGAUAGCCGACUAUUUUGUUCAGCCAUAGAAAAUUCCAGUUGUAUAAAUCUUCUAUUCUCGAGUUGUAGCAUCUUAAAACACGUCUGAAUGUUAAAAGUUUGGUUUUUAUAAUAAUCGCCAGUUAUAGUCAUUUUUAUAUUUUCACAUGGUGCAGGACAAAGUGAAGAAGUUUUGGAUUUAGUUUAGUUUCUUUGGCCACUGCCAUUAAUCCUUCAGGGAAAUGUCAAUUCUUUCAUCGUGGCCUAACUUUUAUCGAAUAUUCAAUUGCAGGAGGAGCUCAAGAGUGUGUCCAGCUAUUCCCACGGCAUCAGACUUUGGCAAGCCACUGUAUUAGCCACAUGUUUUGCCUUUUUUAUACUCCUGUGUGUAAAUGCUAGAAGAAGAAGAUCUAAACUUAAGAUAUGAGGUGUUUUUAAUUUACAUGUUAUAGAGACCACAUGCAGGAAGAAAAAAAAAAAAAAAGGAUUUCGGAAACAUAUAAAAUUGCAGGAAUCAGUUAUGAUUAUGAGCUCCAGCCAUCUCUUAUUACACACAUCACGGUCGAUUACUGGCUAUGUGUAAAGUGUUUUACAAGCAAUAAAAACAUAUUUCGAUGAAUUUCUAAUUUGCGUAGCUUGUGAAAUGUACCAACCCAUAUGUUAUAUAUACUUACAUAAUUUAAUAAGCAACUUCAUUAAUCACACGGUGACUAACUGGGUGUCGAUAAUCAUGUAAAAUUUUCAUUAGUAGUAUUCAAACGGUUGAUUAACCAAGCAGAAUCAUGAGACGAUGUCGCCCGCACAGCCACCAGUGACUAGAUUACCGUGUUUUAUAUAUAAGUAGGUGUAGCCACGACCCCAGUGAAAUGAUGAAGCUGCGCUGACAGAUAAAUUUACUCAAGUAUAUCUUUGCCCAACAACAACAAAUAAAGCGGCUCUUGAUUCCCUUUGCUUGCAAGCUACAUCGUUUUGGGUACCAAAUUGUACAGCAAGUUAAUACAAUCACAACUCUUUCUCGUGGAUGAUUGAACGUUAGUUACAUUACAAUCUCAAUGUUUAUUUUCACUUUAUCUACUUAUCAGUAUAAGUUAUUACAUCCUCUGUUAAAUAUAAUAUUACAGAGAUGACUGGGUAAGAAGAAGACUAUGAUCCAUUUCCAAUUCAAGUCAUUUUGCUUCCACAAUGAUUGUAAAAAUAAUGUAAACUCUUCUUCUCCUCUUUUUUUUUAAAUGAGUAAUGAUGUAGUUACAAACUCUUGUACAAACUCAUUUUCUACAAACUCAUGCAGCGUGAUAAGAUUGGUUGAAUUUAAUAUUACUUAACUCACAUGAUUUAUUUUUAUUAUUUUAUAUUUUCAUUUAACCAAUGAAUUAAUGUUACGUCAGUUUGUACAAGAUAAAUUUGUAUAAGAGUCUAUGACUGUAUCAUCACUCUUUUUAAAUAUAACAUCACAAAUUUUACUAUUUCUAUUAUCAGAAAUAUUUUAGAACUUUAGUAAGAUUGCAAUUCGUCAUAUAAACUUCUUAAAUCAAUUUUGUCAAAUAUCAAAAGGAAAAUCAAUUUCUAUUAAUUAAUGGAGAUAUGACUCAAACUCCAAUAAUUUAACCUUUUUAACUAUAAAAAAGAAAAAAAAAAUCCCAAUUAUUUUCUGAUCAAUGGAUUCGGUUGAAAUUGAAAGCAUUCAUCAAAUAGUCUACCAGACAGUCUGACGACCAAAGCAUGUGGCACAUGUAGGUUGCAACUAAAUAAUUGGGACCCAAUUGUAGAGUAAUAGCAACGACAGCCAGUUUUGAUCUUUUGGUCCCUUCAUCAAAUCGUCGGUGCGGUGCCCCCCUCACAGUCUCAAUUUCUUUUCAUGCCCACAACAUUGAUCAUAUUAUUACCCAUCCCAUGAUUCUCAUUUUCUGUUCCCACUUUGCCUUUGAUCCCAUCUUUGAUUAAACAUCCUAAAAUAUCAUCUGCCCCUUGAUAUAUGAUCCCCAACCUUCUUUUUUUUAAUAAAAAAAAUCAUAUAUAAAACAAAUUCCACGUUGAACAAUUAUGAUUGUUGCACAUUAUGGCAGAUCUUGUAUUAAUCACAAAGCAUUACAAGAGAGAAUGUCUAUAAUAAUUGUUCAAUUGACUUCCAAUUUACUUCUUUUUAUAAGGAUAUAUAAAAUAAAUUAGACAUUUAAGUAAAAAUAUAAUUAAAUUUAUAAGAAGGGUAAUUUAUCAUGUGACCAAAAGUUAAAUUAAUCUGUGAUUUAAUAAUAAAAAAAGUCUUGUUUAUUUUUAUAUAGUAUAGUGUAUGAUGCGGUCUUAGUUGUAGUUUUGUUUUAAAAUUUGACUCAUCAAUAGUAUCCCAAUUAAACAUGUUAUUAACAAAAAUCCUUUUAUGAAAAAUUUGGUACCCCAAAAUCCGAAAAAAUGUUCCCAAAAUCUCAGUCAAUCAAAGGUGAGAUGAGACAGAUGAACGCUGAUUAAUAAAAGGCCCCACGGUAACCUCGGUGUGGUCACCCUCAUUUAAAAACAAAUCCACACACUCAAAAUGCAGAGAUACAUACACACACAAAUACACAAAACAAAAUCCCCGAAAUCCCCAAAACCACAACACACAGAUUCAAAAAGGAAUCUCAUCUUCACCCACAGGCACAGCCUUUUCUAAAUGUCGGUGAAAAUUUAAACACCACAUUUCUAAGAUCACUUAUUUUUUCUCAUUUCUUCUCCUUACUCUUCAUAUGUUGAUGAAAGGUUUGUUUGUUUGUUUGUUUGUACUUUCAAUUUUUUUUUUUUAAGCCUUACAUUUUGUGUUGCUUGGGGUGCAUUGUCCGCAUUUUUGGUCUUGUUUGGUUGCUGAGAAAAUGAGGGAAAAUGAAGGAAAAUUUUAGUAUCUGUUUAACGUGGUUCUGGGUUUUGGUAGAGAAGGAAAACCCAGUUCAAUGCUGAGCUUUGAGUGCUUUCCUCCUUACACUUGGCUGUGUUCUGGUCUGCUUUUCUGUUUGGUUGCUGAGAAACUGGAGGAAAAUGAGAGAAAAUGUGAAGAAAAUUUUUGGUAUCUGUUUAAUGUGGUUCUGGGUUUUGUUGGAAAAGGAAAACCCCGUCCAAUACUGAGCUUUAAGAGCUUUCCGCUUUACAUUGGCUGAAAUUUUACUGUUCCGGGCUUUUGAAAAAAUUUAACACCCAUUCGAACUCUGUUUCAACUUAAUUUAUUCUGAUUUUGGAUUUUUUUUCAUUCAUUUUCUUUGUUACCAAACGGGAAUAUUUAUGUUAGUUAAAUAUUAUUUAUUAUUUAUAGGUUUAUUAUGGUUGCACUAGUUGUUAACAACUUGAAAACGAUUCUUAAUAUCGUAUUAAAAGUUUCCCUGACAAUGACGUGCUCGUUUUACAAUUUAACCUUAUAUAGAUACGAAGCAUUAUUCCUCUUAGGAAAUAUUAAUUAAUAAAAAAUAAUUAUAAAUUCUAGAUUUUAAGAAUUCGAUUUUGGACUAUAUUUGGAUUCUGAAAGUUUUGGACCACGGCAAUUAUAUGCUGAAAAUAUGAUUUUGUUGCUGAUAAUAGUGUGCACAUAUAUUGUAAUUGUAGCUGGAUAAGGUAAAUGCAUAAUAAUCCAAUCGAUUAAUAUUUCCUUUUCAUUUUUUUACUAUUUACUAGUUUUAUCGGACGGAUAAUUAAGGCAACUUUUACUACUAGUAAAUGCAUUUUAUGCAUCUUAAAAAAAGAAAAAGCAUACUAUUCACGAUUUCUUUUGUGUGUAUAUAAAUAUAUGCACACAGAGUUUUACUUUAAGUAGUAGUCUUGAGCUUAUUUUAAGGUAACUAAGUUACAUUAUAUUAUAUGGUCCUCUGCCGUUUAAAGAGUUAACAUAGCGUUCUUUUUUUCUUUUUUUUUUUGGGAAACGUGUUCACAGAUUGAAGAAUUAACAUGAAUGAUGAUAACUGGAUUUUCUCCCAUUUGGAUGAGUUCUUUGAUGAUGUUGUGGAUACAUUGGAGGACUUGGAAGCAUGUAAUAUAGGAGUAGAUGAUUGGAAUGCUAACUUUGAAGCCCUUGAGCCACCACCAUUUGGUUGGACGGAUUUUCCGGUGGUGCCGACAAGUAACCAUAUCUCUGUGAGUAUUCUUAUUUUCUGCCUCAGUGUUGUCUGCUUCUUGAAUAUAAUCUGAACUUUGCAAUGUUUUCUGUUUGCAGUUACUAUAUUGUGCAAAAAGUUCAUUUACUCUGGAAAUUUUUCCUCUGAUUGUAUAUUUUGGGAGUGAAGUUGUCUUGGUUUCCAACCCGGGAAUUUAUAUCCUCUGAGUUUCAUGGCUAUGCUGAGGGAUUGAGAGAUGGCUGUGCUUGCUAGCAAACUUUAACUAUUAGGAGAUAUUACAAUCAAUGUGCAUGACUUAUAUCUUUGGCCUAAUUGUAGAUUUUGAAGUUUUGUUUGUUUGGAGAAUUUUAAAUUUUCUUAAGUUAGUAUAGCAAACUCAUGCUUCCAUGCUUUUCAGCUGCUGUUAGAGGUAUUACCAUUAUCAACAGAUUUGUUGAAAGGAGAAGAGAAAUACAAACCUCAUUGCACCAAGUAUUGUUGUUUUCAAAUAUUUGGCCAUCCAAACUCCUCUUUAAUACCUUUUGAAGUAUAUUAUAAUUGAUUGAGUUGAUUGUGAGGCAAGAGCUUACCAUUUACCCUUCUUAGGGCUUUGUUUCAAUGAUUUUCUUCGUCUCUGUAUAUGUAUAUUAGUGAUUGUGUGUAUGUGCAUGAACUAUUUAGUACUUGUGUGUUGCAUAAUAUUCGGAGAGUAGUUUUAAUGAUAUUUGGUUAAAGUUUUCUUGCUUCACUUUGGGCUUUAUUUUCUAAGGGGUUUCAAGAUUCAUCAUUUCUCUUCAUACAUCUAAACUGGGAUGGGGUUUUGAGAUAGAGAGUUAUAUCUGAUUCUAACCUUGUAUAGGGGUGAUUGGUAUACUUUUGUAUAACACAAACAGUGCUAGUCUUUGUUUUAUGAGUGGGACAGCUGGCCCACUCUCUGUUUUUACAUCUUCUUUAUUAAUACAUUUUUCCGUUUCUUAUAAAUAAAAAAAGCGUUUAAGCCUUAAACUGAGGCAGCAAGAGUUUACUAUUACCCUUCUUAGUGCUCAGUUUCAAUGAUUUUUUCAUUUCUACAUAUGUAUAUCAGUGGUUGUGUGUAUGUGCAUGAACUAUUUAGUAUUUGUGUGUUACAUUUUUUUUGGAGACUAGUUUUAAUGAUAUGCAUAGACACAUAUUUGGUUAAAUUUUUCUCACAUGUUUGUAAAAUGCAUUUAAGCCUUAAACUGAGGCAUAUUCUUCAUGACUCCUUGAAAAGCAAUUGCCAUGAGUGGCAUGAUCUAUAUUUUCAUUGAAAGGUUGAGGAUGAUUGACGGUUUGGUGUAUGAUUUUUGUAACUUAAAUUGUAAGAAUAAUUAUGGUGGUUUUGAGUUCUUCAAAUCACUUGCUCCUGUAACUGUUGAAGCAAUUCUUUAGAAAUUAUGCUUGCUAGGGAGGAAUGAAGAUUAUUCUGGACUGAGCAUUAAUUCGCAUUGAUCACUUUAGCGCAUCGAAGAGAUGAUGAUUGGUUUGGGCAUGUUGCCGUAAAAUGAGGUUUUUGAUAUCAAUGUGAGGUCUUGAGAGGGUUGAAGCGGACAAGAUUUGUAAACAGAAGAAAUGAAUGGUGUAUAAUCCAUGUAUUGGUAUCUAGGUAGGAGUUUAAUGGAUUCUGUCCAGGAUAAGAAAUAAGAAAUAAGAUAGAGAGCAGUGUAUGGUACUACACAAGGAGUCAUUUGUCUGUGAGAGUGAAUGCAAAAUUACUGUACAAUCUAUAUACUGAUAUCUAUAUAGCAGUAGAGGUUUUUUAUGAUCUUACAUUGUAUUAGGAAAAGUUUAACUCCAUUUGACUUUUUUUUUUCCUUUUAAUUUCGAGAGAGAGAAAAUGUUAAUACAUUUGAGUUUAAGUCAAGUGUUACAAUUUUUCUUACUUUCUUAUCUGAUCUUCUGUUAAUUGUUACUUCAAUCUUUGUUCAGUGUCACAGACCUCAAGUGAAACAGAAGCCGAGCUCUACUGAUACAUCCUCCAGUCGAAGCAGUUAUGUCUGCAACAAAUCUAAUGAUGGCAAAUAUUUACUGCUGUCGCAGACCUCCAGUCCAAUAUCUGUCCUCGAAAGUGGUGGCUCCUGCUCAGCUGAAAAACACGUACCCAUUAAUCCUAAACUUGUAUUUGCAGUGAAGCGCGCUCGAAGCAAGCGUCGACGACCUGCAACUUUGAACCCACUUUUCAUUUACCCUUUCAUAUCCUCCACUUCUGAGGAUUAUCAUCCUGAAACUGCUUCUGAAUCUGGGUCGGAGAUGAAUCUCACUGAGAAGCCUGUUAGGAAGAAGCAAAAGAGGAAAAAGAACCUGACGGUGCUCUCAGGUUCCAGGGAGAAUAAGAAAUUAUCCUUUCAGCAAACAGAUGCACCUAGGAAAUGCAUGCAUUGUGAGGUGGCAGAAACCCCACAAUGGAGGGAAGGGCCUAUGGGACCAAAGACCCUUUGUAAUGCGUGUGGAGUCCGCUACAGGUCCGGUCGCCUUGUUCCGGAGUACCGACCUGCUGCAAGUCCUACUUUUGUUCCGUCAUUGCACUCCAACUCUCACAAGAGGAUUAUGGAGAUGAGAAACAAGGGUAGGUUGUAAACCAUCAAACUGCUGCAAGUCCUACCUUUUGACUCAGAACUACCGCGAGAGGGUUAUGGUGAUGAACAGCGCAAGGCGGUAGACUACAACGAUUUUGACGAACAAUGUAUCACCAGGCACAUUAGGAAAUUCAUUUGGGUAGCUUCUUGUUUGAUUAUUUAUAGGACAACAGGCUCUUCCUAGUUGGGAGCUCACUUGUUUCUCUUUUCUCUUCUUAAUGUUUUGUUUUAGUUGAUUGGUUUUGUACAUUAAUAGAAUAAGACUUAGGAAGUUAGGACUAGGAGAGCCUUGGUGAGCAUAUGUUUGUCAUUAUGAAAAGGCAUUAGGUAGAGAGAAUGGAAUUAGUUGUUCAAGUUAGUGUUAGUGUUGCUUAUGCCCAUGCCCUCCGGUAGCUGCUUACGUGCUUGUCCAAUUAUUUACACUGGACUGCCUUAAAUUAGGAGUGUGGAACGACAAUAUGUCUCUUCUAAAGUAUACACUAUUCGUUUAUUGUUUAUUGUUUAUUGUUUAUUCUUACAUGCAAGUUUUUCUUAUGACAAGCACUUCACUAAGAACUCGCUGCUCGGAAUGUAAAACAAGAGUUGUUCAGGAGAAUGCAGCUGCCGCCGCAACUUUUGAAGUCAGGCAGGACUGUUGCCGGACCAAGCAGAAGUUUUUGUGUUGGCAGAAACUCAUGCUGAUGCUUCUCUUACUUGAAACUGGCUCCAGGGAAAGUUACAGGCCGGAGAAAAGUUUGUUGCGGUACCGGGGAAGUUUGUCAGGAGAUUGUUACUGCUGCAAAGCAAAAUUUUGUUGCUCCAAAAUACUGAAGCACUGGUCCGGUGACUGGUGCAGAAUUUUAACGACAGUCAAAUUAAAUGAAAAUAAGAUUCUAUGCCAUCAAAACUUCAUGGUGCUUCCAAAACCCGUAACAGCCACAAUGUGUAGAACAGCCCGCUACACAACAAAAACUUCUGGCCCAAAGGGAAGUUCGAACCCAAAAGAAGGAGAUCUGAUCCAACAACUUCUGGCCUCAUGGGCAGCACAAAAACACUGUUGCCUCUGCCUAACAAAUCGCUUCAGAUAUGAAUUAUAGAAAUGGUCAAUUGACUAACUGCUGGUAAGUGAUGACAGUCUUUGCUGUCCAUGAAAAAAAAGAAAAAAAUCGGUUGUUAUUGAUAUUUCCUCAGCAAUCAUUGCAACACAACCAAACCCAACUGGUAGAUCUUCCAGACCAAUAACAUACUUGUAGUAAACACAUGGCACACACUUCCUCUCAACUUGGUUCACGAUUCUAUCUUCUAUCUACACACACACACACACACACAUAUAUAUAUAUAUAUCAAAAGAUUAUAUGAUAUGAUUUUUUUUUAUAUAUAUAAUUAAAACUGUUCUAAAAAUUUGAAAGCAGUCUUACGGAAAAAAGAACAUCAAAAUAAAAUUUGUCAAAAUUAUCAAUGCUUCCUCAUCAGGGGUUGUUCAGAUACCCAAACGUCAAAUCCAUAGUUUAUUGAUUAAGAAUUCAAAGUACGUGCCGUACUGAUACGUAGUGUGCAAACAGUACUCAAUAUCGAGGCCCAAACCAAACAUUCUUGUGGUACUAUAAAUUGAACUAAUAUAAUCACUUCCCUAAAAUAUAAAUACAGUAUGCGUAUAUCAUGUCAGUAAGAGGAAGAAAAAGGCACCAUAAGCUAAUUACACAAUGGACUGGGGGUUAAUCCAACAUUCUUUAGUUAGUUUUAAUAAAGGACAAGUUUUGAAGCAAAUGCGAAGAAUGCAAAAGCAAUGCGUUUGAUGAGUGUCAGGUUUAUUUGGCAUGUUUGUAUAUGUGGGCGCUCUAUUUUAGCAGUAAAAUUAAAAGCGCCUAACCGCCCGCCCGCCCUCUCAUUGAGUCAUGCGUUGCCCCUGUAAUCUCACGCGUACACGUGUCCUCGGAUCAAUGGAACCCAACAUCUCAUGUUCAGUACAUCGCUGUACCCUGAUGACAUAACGACACAGAUUCCUGGACUGUCCUCAGCCCCUCCCUGUGUAGGUCCCCCAUCAUCACCGUCAACCCGGUCCCCAUCUUUAAUCAUAUCGGAGGGCUUUCAAAGUCAUUGACCACUCCACUUACGUACCGACACGUGUAAGACAGCGGUCUGCCAGGUCACCCACAAGUCAAACUCGUACGACCUCAGGCGUUAUGGGGUUGUUGAUUAGUUUAAUUGUUUUGUAGCUGUCAAAAAACCAAAAUCAAAAAAGAAAAAAAAAAGUAAUAGUAAUAAAGCGCCCACGGCGCAUGAUAGCAAAGGCCGGUGAGAGGACUGUUUUCGUUUUAAGCGGUGUCGUGUCGGUCGUCGUUUCGUUAACUACGGUUUGGAUCAAAUCGGCGAUGUUUUGGAGUGACGGAAAAGAGAUUGACGAGGCUUUGGUUAUGAAACUGAGAGGAUUAGGCCACGAAAAUUGUAGCAGCCAAAUCGACUCGAUUGGCGCCCAACUCAAAAUUUCGAAUAAAAAAUAAAUUAGAUCAUUUUUUAAAAAUAUUUUGGAUAAAAUCUCCUACCUUAAUACACACGGAUAAAAACUCGUUUAAUUUAUAUACUUUAAGGUUAUUAUGUGUUUAAUCUUUACAUUUUUAAAAAUAUUUAAAAAUAUUUUUAUCGUUAAAAUAUUAAUACAUUUAUCGUUAUUUUUUGUUUCUUUUUAUUUACUUUUAUAAUAUUACCCUUUUAUAAUUAUGUUUCUUCUUUUAGAUUUAAAGUAAAAAAAUAAGCCCAAAUAUAUAUAUAUAUAUUAAUUUUUGUAAAAGCUUACAGUAUGAUUAAAAAAAAAUUAAUAUUGUAAAAAAAUUAAACUACCAUUUUUUUGGACGUUAAUAUAAAAACUAUUAUAUUAACUCCUCAACAAAGAAUUCCACAAAAACUAAUACACACAUAUGAGGAUAUUAGCAUUUUUAGAACUAACUAAAUACCCUUCAUUGAGUAAAAUUCAUUAAUUAAUUAAACAACUAUUUUGGGAACUAGCUAUGAAGAGUAGAAAAUUGUUCGUCAUGGUCCAUUAUGAACAUUAUAGGAAGCAUUGCACGUGGAAGUUAAGGGUCAAUUUAUAAGGGCCACUUCUAGUAACAAAACACGAAACAUUAAACUUUUGGAAUGGGAAAAAUGUUUGGCGUAACCAUAAGUUAAGGCAGCAGCAAGUGGGAAGUUAAGACUAAGAUGGGUAGUCUAGGCAAUAAAAGAUAAGACCGGGCCCUAAGAGCUUGAACAAUUUAUUAUGAUGGUCACAUAAAUUUUAGUUGUAAAGUCGGGAUUCUUUUUUGAUGUAAUGUGUCCGUAUCAAUGUUGACUGUUUACCAAACUCUUCAGCUCUCAAUCUCACCUCUUUGUUUGCUGCCGGCCUUCUUUAUCUUCUUUGUAGGGUGACGAUUUGUGCAAUUUGGUUUUGAUGGUGUAUGUCGGACCGAUGUUGCGUCUUCACCAAAGGCUUUCAACCCCUUUUUCGUAUGUGGCUUUCCCGUGCACCUUAAAAUCCUUUUGGUUUGAAUUGAGGGUCUCUUUUUGUCUUAAUGGGUAGAUCUUUCAUAUUGCUGUAUAUGUUUGUUUGAGAAUGUACUUUAAAAUUAGUAAAACAUUAAAAAAAAAAAUGUCCAAUGAGGCCUUAAUUCAUAUUUUAGUAUUUAUUCUUUUUUUUUUAAUGAAAAAGAAUAAUACUACGAGACCCUCAUUUCAAACUAGAGUGUGGAGGUUCACAUGUAAAAAAUUUCAAAUAUCAUAUUAUAAAAAAAAAUUAAGUAAGAUGAUUUUUAUUUUUUAGAUUAAAGCCAAUAUAAUAAACACUGAUUUUUUUUAAUUGUAAGAUAUAAGAUGAAAUAUGAAACUUUUUUUUCAAAUUUCAAAAUUUUAAGAUGAAAAAAAGGACUUCAAUAAUUAAAAAAAAAAAACUUAUAUGACACCGUCUUAGAAAUGUAUGACAUGUGUUUCAAUUAAUUUUUCUAUCUCUAAAUAAAUGGUUAAUUUUUUUAAAAAAAAAGUGAACGUUAAAAUAUCAUUAGAUGAGUGUUUGGAGGAAGUAGUGUGCAGUCCCAUAUAAAUAUUUAUGUUGAUAGUAGUACCAAAAAGAAGACACUUAGCUUUCAAUUCAAUUCAAUUCAAUUCAAUUCUUUUAGGUAUAACAUAGUUGUCUCAAAAGUAACAAUAAAUUGUACCUUAAAAAAAAUUAAAAUUUUUACCUUCAAGCUUACAUUCCGUUUCGAGGAUUUCUCAUAUUGGAAUGAAUCCAACAUUUAAUGGUGGUGAGAUCAUUAUAGAGUUGGCUACAUUAUUACUUUCAAACUUCAAUGUUUCAAAUGCAACAAAAUCAAGAGCUAUAAAAUAUCAAAAAUGGGCAAAUAUAGGCAAAGAUAUUACUUUUAUUUUUACUCUUUAUUGUCGUCUUUCACUCUUUUUGCUAUACCUUUGAAGACUAAUUGCUCCUUUCAAUUUUGAGGCAAAUCUUGUCAUUUGCCACCCUCCCCAUUACUUCACACAAAUCUAGUAAUAGAACUAAUGCAUUGUCUUUGGAUUAAAACACUCACAAGGAAAGUUAAAUAAAAUAAUUUUUGUAUGGAUUUUUGUUAAGUUACACUUAAAGUAACUUACCACCCAUGUAAAAUAAUACAAAAUUAGUGAUAUAAAUGGUAGGACUCUGAUUUUUAGUAUUUUUUACACGAACUGUAAGUUACUUGAAAUAUAACUUAGUAAAACCCUUUUUAUAUUAUAUGCUCUUCAAAUAUCUUAUCCUCAACCCGUUCAACAUUUUCAUAUUGUUAAUCAACAUGUAGUUAAGCAUAUUAUAUAAUAUAUGCUUAGUUGAAAAAAAAAAUUGGUCAGCUACUUAUUUUUUAAAAUAUGCUUUUUAAGACUCGAACUAAAAUUUAGACAUAAGUUUACUGAUUGUGUAUUCUGUAAUUUAUAAUUAAAAAAAAAAAGUUUGCCAAGGCCUUAGUCGUGUGUCUUUGCAUGCCUGGUGAAGGUGGCGAAUGGUGUCGUUUUUGGUUGAAGUUGAAAGGAAACAUAAAUAAAACGACAGACGAACUCAAGGACGGGACAGAAUUUAACUCCAUAUAAAAUCAGCCACUUCCAGUCAUCGCUGAGGACUCUGCUCCUUUUCCUCGUCGGCCCAUCCAAAUUGCUCGCCGAUUCCUCAUUCCCCAUAAAAUUUCCCCAACCUCUCCUCUCGCGCGUGAACAUCACUCCCUACCGACCCCUUUACUUUAGGGCCUCAAAUGAAUUACUAUUUUGCCAUACAUAGAUUUGAUUAAAAAAUAAUUGUUUAUUAUAAAAAAAUCUUACUUUAUUUUUAAAUAGUUCAUUAGGAGUAGAGUAAUUACUGUAAUUUUACAUUAGGAGUAGAGUAACACUUGAGGUUUGAAUUGUUGAGAUAGUUAUAAAUAAUCUAAUAAUGUGAUAUAAGUUUUUAUACAACUUGAUAUAAUUGGGUCAUGUCUAUGUGAUAGUAUUGUGUACUGUAUCUAUAGCUUGGGCAUCAUCAAAUAAUAUAAAAAAUUUGUUAAUUUUUCUAACGAUUUUACGAUGCUCAAAUUUGUGAGGCGAGGCACUAAAAUUGGACUCGUAAUACUACUACGUCGUUGCUAUAUUAUGUUUUACAUGUCAGGGGAUAAAAAGAAGAAAAUAAUUAGGCAAUGACUGCCUUAGAACUGCUCCAAGAUAGAGUACAAAUUACAACCUCACACGCAAAGUGAUAAAUGAUAAAAAAUAUAUUAUUACUUUGAUUGUGUGGUUAUGAAAACGUGCUCUACCUUAGAGCGGUUCUAACAUAUCCGAACCCAAAUAAUUACUAUGGGAUUUAUGAAAAUAUGUUGGUUUGAAUUUAAAAUAACUUUUAUUAAAUUAGUGUCACAUCAUCCUAUAUAAUUAUCUUUUUUUUUUCUCGUAUACAUAUUGAAUUAAUGCGUAGAUAAUGUGAUACAUCUAAGACUAAAAUUCAAAGAAUUCAAACUUAAAUAUUGUUUUAAUUUAUUAUUUAAGAUGGUGGCUGAUAAAAUUUACCUGUUACAUGCUUAUAGCUUCUGUAGUUUUGCCUUUAGUAAGUACUACAGAUUAAUUGCAACAUCAUUAUAUAUUGAAAUAAUUUUCUGACAAAUUUCCAUUUUUAUAUACACCACUACUUCGAUAAAAAUAUAAUAGGGAAUUUUCACAAAAUGGUGACACAUUUUAUAUUCUCACAAGUCACAGCCAGAGUCACAGAAAGCUUGAUUUGGAUUGUACAUUGCAGACUAUACAUACAGAUUAGCGCAGAACCAGCAAUUACUUGCUACCGCUAGCACUAGCAUUCACUUCGCUCUUUCACUUUCAUCAUCACUUCGACAAACGAAACAAACACAAGACAUCACGCGCCUUUUAAUACAGAAACCAACAAGACCAGACGUGAGAGGCCCGACUGACUCCUCCUGGACCCUGGUGAAUUGGUCCGGUCAGUUCUCCAGUCCAAAUAAGUUACCUACCUUUAAUCAUGGUUAAUCUGACUACACACAAACUCAGUCACAGUUACUAACCGUGGUUAAAUCUUUUGUCUAGUUACUAUUAUUAUUACUGCUUCGAUUUCAGAGCAGUACACAAAACCUGCAAACAGUAAAUUUCUUUUUUAACUGCGGCAUUUUAUCGAGCAGGCUCUGUUCUGUGCGUGAAAAACGCGAUAUUUUAGUUUGGCCAGCCAUAAAUUCCCUUGUUUUUUUGUCUAAUAAACUAAUCACAUCCUUUUUGGUUUGGUUUAAGAUUUCUUUAUUUGUUUCGUUGUUGAUUGAGAUCUGAACACAAAACAAAAACAAAAUAUUAAAAAAAAAUGAAAAAUAGUGUCAGUGAAUCAGAGUGAUAUAAAAGUCUCUGUAACAGAGAUGAUGCAGUGGACAACUCCGUACCAGAUUCAAUACCAUUCGCUAUCAUCUAUCUGAUCGGCGAAACAAAGUCUCUCACUGCACUUGUCCUUGCAUGGGAAAUUAAUAACAGUUAACAGAGAGAGCCCUGUUUCAAACAAAAUCUGGAAGUUUUAAUUUGCAUUUCAGGCUCUCUUUCUUGUUUUCUUCUGCUUAUAUUGAAGCUGUGUUUUGAAUAUUUGAAGAGCUGUUAUGUUGUUAUCAGAUGUUAUGGCAAAUGGUAAAAUGGUUUUCUCUUAUUGGUGUUAAAGUUGCAAACUUUGAAAUAAAAAAGAGGUUUUCGGAGAGAUUGAAGUGUUGAAUUUGAAAGCCAUUAGCACAAGGUAAGGGAUUUUUCAAAAAACUAUUCUUGGUGCUUUUCAAUGACCCUUUCGCUUAAAUUUUUUUCUUAUAAUUUUGGUUUGCUCAUUUUGCAGCAUUUCGUAGAAGCAAAAUCAAAUCUUUGAAGCUUGGAGCGGUCAUCUCGCAGGACUGAAAGAACCCAUUUGAUCAGAAAACAGAAGAAACCACCAAAUGAAGGAGGUUGAGAAGAGCAUUGAUCCACAACUAUGGCACGCAUGUGCAGGAUCCAUGGUCCAAAUUCCUCCAUUAAACUCAACGGUGUUUUACUUCCCUCAAGGCCAUGCCGAGCAUUCUCUUGGCUCUGUCAAUUUCCCUUCUUCGUCACGAUUCCCACCUCUCAUUUUUUGCCGGGUCUCUUCACUCAAGUUUUUAGCUGAUUCUGAAACUGAUGAAGUGUAUGCAAAGAUAAAACUGGUUCCUAUACCAGCUAAUGAGAUCGAUUUUGAGGAUAAUAAUUUGAGUUUAAAUUCUGUUGGAUCGGAUAGUGAGUCGGAAAAGCCAGCAUCUUUUGCUAAAACUUUGACACAAUCUGAUGCUAACAAUGGUGGUGGGUUUUCUGUGCCAAGGUAUUGUGCUGAGACUAUAUUUCCUAGGCUGGAUUACACUGCUGAUCCCCCUGUGCAGACUGUAGUGGCUAAAGAUGUUCAUGGAGAGAUUUGGAAGUUUAGACAUAUUUAUAGAGGGACACCAAGAAGGCAUUUAUUGACCACUGGGUGGAGCACCUUUGUUAAUCAAAAGAAACUUGUUGCUGGUGAUUCUAUUGUGUUCUUGAGAGCUCAAGAUGGGGAUCUUUGUGUAGGGAUAAGGAGAGCCAAGAAAGGAAUUGGGGGUGGAAAUGAAUAUCCAUCUUCUGGGUGGAACUCAAAUAAUGGCAGUUGUGUUACUGGUAAUCCUUUUGGAGGGUUUUCAUGUUUUCUGAGAGAAGAAGAGAACAAGAUGGCGAGAAAUGGGAAUAUGAAUCUGAAUUCCUAUGGGAGUUUCAAUUCCAGUGGAAAUACGAGGGGUAAUGGAGGAAGAGUGAAGCCUGAGAUGGUUUUGGAGGCAGUAGCACUAGCUGCUAGCGGAAAACCAUUUGAGGUUGUUUAUUAUCCUCGUGCAAGCACGCCAGAGUUUUGUGUUAAGGCUUCUGCAGUGAAGGCUGCAAUGAGGGUUCACUGGCUCUGUGGAAUGAGGUUCAAGAUGGCUUUCGAAACAGAGGAUUCUUCAAGGAUAAGCUGGUUCAUGGGGACUAUAUCAUCUGUUCAGGUUGCUGACCCCAUAAGCUGGCCUAAUUCACCAUGGCGGCUCCUCCAGGUAUAAUUCAUAAUUCUCUAAUUUGAUUGUUAUUUCUUUGUGUAACAUGUUGGAUUGAAAUUAAUAUCUCUUGUUUGAUACCAUCGUUUCUUUUUUCUUUUUUUUCUGCUGUACGGCCAAGGCGGAUGUACGGUACAGNNNNNNNNNNNNNNNNNNNNNNNNNNNNNNNNNNNNNNNNNNNNNNNNNNNNNNNNNNNNNNNNNNNNNNNNNNNNNNNNNNNNNNNNNNNNNNNNNNNNNNNNNNNNNNNNNNNNNNNNNNNNNNNNNNNNNNNNNNNNNNNNNNNNNNNNNNNNNNNNNNNNNNNNNNNNNNUGUCACUGACCGCUGCUGUACCGUACAUCCGCCUUGGCCGUACAGCAGGAAUCUUUUUUUCUCAUCGUUAAGCUUGUGAAUCUGCUUGUAUGGUGAAUUGAAUUUGAGCAGUUCUCAUCAAAAAAUGAAAUUCUUGGGUUGAUUACUUUUGUUGGUUUUUUGCUUUGCACCCCUGGAUGUGGGUAAAGUAAUGAGCUUGUAGAAUGAAGUGCAAUUCAGCUGAGCAGCCUGCUUCGUUAAUAACCAGUUUAACAUUCCUUAUUAAGUCUGUGAAUGCCCUAGUAUACUGGUUGUCUUCUUUGAUUUUGGAUGUUCCUCUUUUUCUCCUCUCUUAAUAUAUCCAACUGAUUGGUUCCUUUUAAAACAGAUAGUGUGGCUCACGACAGAACUGCAAAGCAAUAUUAUUUCUAUAUUAGAAUUUAUUCACUAGAAAAUGCUGAUAUCCUAAACUGUUAAACUUCUUUCUGGUGCAUCUGAUCACUCCAGCUGAAGGACUAUUUAUUCUUCAUCUUGACUGACAAGAAUCACAUUCUACCUAGGGUUUAGCUUGGGUAUCUCUGUUGCCAAUAAAUGGCUUGAUUUAGGGCACUUAAUAUACAUUCAAUGCACCUUAUUGUACAUGACUUGUGCAUGACAGAAAUCGGUCAUUUGCUCUGUCGUUAUUGAAAAAAUCUACAUAAAGGCAAAUAUUACACACAGCAUUUAUUCAUGCUGUACAAAUUAUGUGGUCCAUACUUAAUAGUUUUUCUAUAAAAGAAAAGUUUUAUUAGUAUGAAAAUUACAUUUUAUGUUUGCUAUGCAUAAUGGAAGAAACAUAUUUACGGCAUAGCUUCCCACGUAUAUUCACAAAUCAAGAUGAUUGAGGCAUAUUUUUUUAUGAAUGGUUAUGAAUUAUUUUGCUUUUCUUUGCUAAAAUUGCUGUUAUAAGUUCUAAGUUUUGGUACCCAAACACCCUUUUUUCCCUCAGAAUUCAAAGUUUUUUUGGGUCCAAUUAUUUUUCAGGUUCAGAUUAGCAGAUGGUUAGUAGUUACUUAAAAAGCAUUUAACUUAGCAGAUGGUUAAUAAUUACUAAAGAUACUUACCAAAAAAGAUCAAUACACCAAGCACUACACUUAGAUUUAUUGGAUCCCCUGCUCCGGGUAUUAUUUCGAGACGUUCAGUAUAUGAGCCUCUUCAAACAGGACUUAUUGCUAGAUUUAAUGGUUGGUCCAUUCUUAGUCUUGGUAAAGUCCACCUUGUUGCAAUAGAAAUGAACAAGAACAAAUAAGUUUUAGCUAAUGUAAUAAAGAUACCAAUUGUACUUAAAAGGCAUUUUAAUUUUCCAAUUUUCCAUUAACUGUAUGCAAGUGAUAUUCAUUUGAUGUUUCAGUUACAACAUUCCAGAGUCCAUAGCUUGGUAAUUGUUGUAUUUAUCCCUUGUCUUUUAUAACCUUAAGCAAUGUGAUUGUUCGGCUUAAGCAGCAUGUGCCUAACCAUCCAUUAUGAAUUGUUUCCAACAGCAUAUACUAAUAUCAUGGAAAGCCUAAGCUCUCCUAGUCCUUGUUGAAUCUUUUCUUACACCCUUUUCCAAAUUUCUUUUCAGGUGACUUGGGAUGAGCCAGAUUUGCUUCAAAAUGUGAAACGUGUCAGCCCAUGGUUGGUUGAACUGGUAUCAAACAUGCCCGUCAUCCAUCUAUCACCCUUUUCACCAGCAAGAAAGAAGUUGCGGCUCCCGCAACAAUUAGACUUCCCUUUUGACGGCCAAUUCACUAUGCCGUUAUUUUCAGGUAACCCCCUUGGGCCGAGCAGCCCCUUGUGUUGUCUAUCUGACAAUACUUCUGCAGGCAUACAGGGAGCCAGGCAUGCUCAAUUUGGAAUAUCUUCAUCAGAUUUCCAUGUUAACAACAAACUGCAGUCAGGGCUGUUUCUAUCCAGUUUGCAGCGGUUCACUCCAAAUUCUAGAGAUUUUGAUGGCAUCCUGACAAGCCACACAAACAGUAGUGAGAAUUUAUCUUGCUUACUGACAAUGGGGAAUUCUAAUCAGAAUUUGGAGAAAUCUGAGAACAUAAAAAAGCACCAGUUUUUACUCUUUGGUCAACCAAUACGCACAGAGCAGCAGAUCUCACACAGCUGUUCCGAUGAUGUAGUUUCACAAGUGCUUGGGAAAAGUUCAUCAGAUGGGCAUUCAGAUAAAGUUAAAGCAUCUUCUGAUGGUUCAGGAUCUACUCAUGAGCAGAGAAUUUCAAUAGAAAAGUCCUCCAGUUCUGAAUUUUUCUGGAAUCGAAGUUUGCAAGCGACUGAAUCUGGUCUUGAUACUGGUCAUUGCAAGGUUUUCUUGGAGUCAGAGGAUGUUGGGCGGACUCUGGACCUCUCAGUGCUGAGUUCUUAUGAAGAGCUGUAUCGAAGGCUGGCCAUCAUGUUUGGAAUAGAAAGAUCAGACAUGUUAAGCCAUGUGCUUUAUCAAGAUGCCUCUGGUGCUAUUAAACGAACAGGAGACGAACCAUUCAGGUAUCAUCUAUUGGUCUUUGCAUGUCACCUUCAUGAAAUCACCAUGUCUAUAUCAAGUUGAAAGUAUAGGCAGGGUUAACUUGAUGUUAUUUCUCUGAUUUUUGUUUUAUCUUAUUGGCAUUGCAGUGAUUUUAUGAAAUCAGCAAAAAGACUGACUAUUUUGAUGGGUUCUGGCAGUGACAGUGUUGGAAGGUAAGAAGAAAAGAAAGCUACCAUUUUUUCUUAUGUUUGAGUAAUACCACAAAUGAAAACCUGGUAUACAAAAUUUGUAUCACAACAGGCGUGGCACCCAUUCAUAGGUGCUAUUUAAGUUAAUUGACAAUGGAGUAAUAAAGUCAUCAAGUGCCUAAAACAUGACAGUUAUUAAUAGGUGCCACAUCAUGUUGUAUCCAAACUUAGUAAGUAUAGUGUUAAUAUUAAAAUUUAUUUCUCUACUUACUCAAACUCAACCCCACUCCUUUACAUCAAAAACUACUCAAGUUGGGGAAUGAUGAUUUUGGAAAAUAUGUAUAAAUCUUUCUUGCUGAUCAUGCUUCUAAUUUUUCAUAUGAAAGUUGUGUGAAAGCCUAUUGACUUUUAGGAUACCUGACUCUUUUUAUUUAUUUUUUAACCCCUCUCUCCCCAAAAGAAAAAUUAUGUUUAGUUUAGAAGUUUUUAACGGAAAAUUGCUGGCUUAAUGAGUUAUAUUGACUGAUAAAAUUUAAAAAUCUUGAUCUGCAGGACAUGGAUCACAGGGAUGCGGACUCCUAAGAAUGGACUCGAUGCUUCCAAUAAGACUGGUCCUUUAAGCAUAUUUGCAUAGUUAUCUCAGCAGUUGAGAGUAGAUGUUGAAAAACAUGAAAUAAUGUUAAGAAGUUGUUAGCUGUCCACUUUUUCUGUGAAUUGAAACCAUUCUUGUUAAUGAUGACAUUGGAUUAUGUUUCCUCCUAGUUUGCUUUUACAUGUUUGACUGGAUAUUGAUAUAUAAUAUUACCCAGAUAUUGAAUGUUUUAUUUUUGUCGUGAUUGGAUGACCGCAACAAUACUCAUUUAGUUCUGUGGACUCUUAAUUGCUUUGUAAGUUCCAGAUUAUUACAUACUAUGGUCCUGAGAUUUUCUUUUCGAAGUUAUGAUGGGUUUUCAGGUUGGUUCUCUGAGGUAAAUUUAGACGAGAGUAUGGAUGACCUGGUAUACCCUUCUAUAAAUAUAUGUUCACACUUAAACAUGUAUUUUUCUGAGUGUCCCCAAGAACUAGAAAAUCCAUUUUACAAUUGCAUUAUUAUUAUUUUGUUUUUAAUCUUAUUGGAUCUCAGUAACUUGCCACAUAAUUGUCAUCUUUUGUUGCAUACAGGUCCCAUGAGACAAGCAGCGUGAAAAUGAUUAGAUUCCAGCAUAAGCAAGGAUGAGUUCGCACAUGAAGCAGAUUCCAACACAACUUACGGACAAAUAGUUCCACACGCUUAAUCAUUAUGUAUAUAAUUGAAAGCAAUAUUUAUAUAGCAGCAGCACAAUGGAUGUCCCUCAAUGCCAUAGCUUCGUGCAUGAUAUAAUCCAUCGUCGCUGUCAUGGGUUGGAACUGCACCGUUCGUUUACUUGAGUGAUCAAAGCUUCACCUUCUCCUACAUUAAGCUAGUGGUCGAUGGUGUACUUUAUUUUGAACCGUGUAGGACCUAUAGGAUAAGAUUUACAUUUUAGAUCUGCACUGUUGUAUUAAGAUUCCUAGCAUAUCCGUAAGUUUUCUGUUGCUGGCUUUCAAGUUUUUGUGUACUAUAUACAUUACGUCACAGGUUGAGAGUUAGAAACGAAAACUCAGAGCAUUAUCCUCUUAACGCACUUAAAUUUUUUUGUCGCUAAUUCUACAUUAUAUGCAAACUUAAAAAUUAACAAUGAAAAAUUUUGAGUGUAAUAAAAAGAAAAAAGAAAAAAAAAAAAGCACUUCGAAGAUUUUAAAGAAGAUUUGGGAAGAGGGUUGUGUGCCUUAUCUGAGGGAGUCUCUUAUCACUUGGGGAUCUCAAAAAAACUUUGUCAACAAAUGCUUUGUUGGGAUCUGAAAAUCCGGAAAACAUGAGGCGUUUUGACUGUUCAUGUUUUAAGAGUUUGGUCAUUUUUACAGACACAAGACCCUCUUCACAAUCCCAAAUGCCCAUUUGCUGUUUUGUUAAUCGAAGUCCAAAGCAAGCAAUACACUAGACUUAUUACUCCAAAGAAUUGAUUGAUAAUUACAACGAUUGAAUUAAAAUGGACACACACGUGGGAGUGGGACCCGAGUGAUCAAAUCAAGGCCCCUCACGUGCGGUCCCUUUUCCGUCGCCGUGUUGAUUGUCGGGCCUUGUUGGGCUUCGAUUUGACUCCACUUAAUCCCACUUCCCACAUGACCCACCCUCUAGUCUCGGCUGUUGCCCACUUGGCCAUUUGAAGGUUUUUUUUUUUUUUUUUAAUUUUUUUUUUAAUUUUUACUAGAAACGGCAAACAAUAUUUUUACUAGAAACAGCAAAAAAAUACUUCGUUAUGGUGCAAGUUUUCGUUUCUCUAUCAGAUUUUCAAUGCUGAUUAAAGCUAUUGGUUGCGAUAUUUAUUAAAGUUGAUUUGAGAGAGUGUUCUUAAUAUUGUCAAAAAUUAUUUUUUCUAAUAAUCGAAAAUAGUUCCUUUUUGUACUUAUCUUUUAAUAUUGAUUGAAAUAAUGAAUGAAGCUCACCAAUACCAACACAAAGUGUGGCAAAGGCAAAUGGAAAUGCAAUUGGCAAAUGGCAAGUACUUGUUCCAAGGCAAAGCAUACGUUUAUAAUUUCAAUUUUUUUUUUUUUGAUAUGUCAAUGUUUUCAGCUCCAACCCUUAAAAUGUGGGAUUGGUUUUUCCUCACAUUGGGAUAAAACAUUUUAUCUUUUAUUGUUUGAAUAGGAGACCCAAUUUCAUUUUUUAAUUAAUUUUAUUUUUAUAUGCAUAAAAAUUAGAAAAAUAGAAAAUUGUAAACAUUUCGCCAUAUACUUAACUUGUUAAUUGUUGAAAAAGCAAUAUUUUGCAAGUAAAAAAUGUGGUCAAAUUACCUGAACUUCAUGGAAUUACAAAGACCCGGAUCCUAAAAUAUUACAUCGAAACCAAUGUGAUCAUUAAUGAUACCUUGAACGAACGAGGAUAGAAAAUUAAAAUAUAUAAAAGCAUGGGGAUGUUGAAUACGAAAAAGAAAAAGAAAAAGAAAAUAAAAAUAAAAGAGCUGUUAAUGGUGUUUUAAAUAUGGCCACUGCUAUGUUACUGUUGUUGUGAGUGUGUGUAUGUUACACUCAACGUAACAUAGGGUGACCCUUUAAAUAUUAUAAUAGUACGAGCUAUAAAACAAUAAAAUAUAGAAUAUGCAUACACAGUACCCGAGAGGCUGAGGCAGAAAACUUUCACAAGAUCCGAGAGCCACACGAGGGAAGCAAUUUGAAUCAGAAUCUGCACCACCGGCUCAGGGAAAAUUUAUUUGCAAUAUCCAUUAACAAUUAUUAUUAUUAUUAUUUUUUAAUUUUUUAUAAAGAAAAAACCACUUUUAAAAUGUUAUAUUAUUAUUAUCUUUAGGGGAAACAUCGACGCAAUCCGGAGAAAGGAAAAGAAAAAAAGUUACGAGCACAGAGGACAGAGAUUUGGCGACGUGGCUCGAAUUGGUGCAUUCGUGCGGUGGACCCCACGAGUUGCGGUUUACUUUGUUUAGUUAGUGGUUUCGCCUGAUUUGGAUUUUGCCCCGGUUUUUUUUUUUUUUUAACUUUGCGUUUUGUCAGUCUUCGCCCUCCACCCCCGGUUUCGAGAUUUAAUUUAAUCUAAUCGUACACACAGAGAGCAAAUCGGAAUUUAUUUAACUUCUCGUGAUAAUCUGAAUUCUUUGACUCAAGGUAAUAACAGUAAAAUGCAAUGGGAAUUUACCCCCCCAAAAAAAUCAUUUUUUUUUUACGUACUUAAUAAUUUUUUUUAUUAAAUUAGUUAUUUAUUAGCAAAACGUUUUCCAAAUUAGCGGCUGGCAUUUUGUUAACGACCAGCCUACAUUAGAAAAAGCGAAAUUAAUUGGAACAAUUUUUAACCCAUAAUUAUUGUGCAGCGAAAUUAUUAGCUGUCUAUUACAAAUAAAACGGGAAUAGUCGGUAACAAUAUAUAUAAAGUUUGAGGUACAAAAUUUGAAUCCCAAUUUGAAUAACAUGCGAUUCACGAUUUAAAAAUACUAAGUGGUUAUCUGCAUUAUUUCAUUGUCAAGUGAAUUAUAGAAAAAUUAAUCGAUUUGUAUGUUAACUUUAUAUAUAUAAUAUUUACUCUAAUGGGUAAUAUUUUUGUCCCAUGUAAAAUAAAUAUUUACCAAAUUCUUUAAUUAUCGUGCUUUUGAAAUUAAGCAACUAGAUUGAAAAAAAAAAAAAAAAGAUAAUAAGAAGAAUACCCCACGCACAUAAUGAAACAACUGUUAAUUAGGCAGGCUUCUGAUUUUAUGUCGGUAGACAAGUGAUGAACAUACAGUUUGAAAGAGGACAAGAAAUGCCAUUGGAGAUAUAUAUAUAUAUAUAUAUAUAGAAAAGUUAUUCUGAAGCGAACGAAGGUCCAUUAAGCUCAUCAUGAAUUAUAAGCUUAAUUGUUAGCGGUUAGGUAGGCUGUCUUUUCUCCCAUACGGCCCUUCGGCUAUAUGUGGGCCUAAUUAAUCAUUUGGUCAAUUACACACAAGUCUUUCAAACUAUAGCCCACGGCAUCUGCUUUUUACUCCUCUCCCUCGGCAAUUUUUUCAGACAAUGAGUGAAGUGAUUUUGAAUUUUGAUGAUUCAUAAAUAUUAGUGAAUACCAGCUGUAAGUGCCCAGAAACACAUCUACAUAUUAUGAAUGCAAUCCGAAACAUUAUUGAUAAGAAAAUAUCUUUUGGCUAAACUCUCAUUUGAGCAAGAGAAAUCGAGAUCUCAUAUUCAUAAAAAUUCACAAUACAAAUAUUGAAAAAAGCAUCAUGGUGCUUCAACAAAUACAUGCUCAAAUCGAACUUGUGAAGACUUUCAAGAACUGAAAAAAAAGCUCCAAUAGAUAACAGGAACAUGUGUAUUCUCUUAUUUAAUCUUCUUUAUGUAUAUAAAUAUAUCUAGGUUGUUAAGUUUAUUGAACCUUCAACAGUUAAUGGAACCAUAAUUGCCGAAGACUAAUUAAUAUUUUAAACACUAGUACUGUUAGCGAUGGGAAGGACAUAAUAACAAACUUUUAAGCAAUUAGGUCGGUUUGAGGGCAGAAAUAAUUUAGUGAGAGAGUGCUGCCAAUCUCACUAAAAGUGGAAGCUGUGGAGUGUUCAUAGAAAACAAGAUAGGAAAAGAUAAGGAUGAAAAUAAAGGGUAAAUAGCUUGCUUGCUGCUCACACUGAUGCUAAUGGAACAUGCAGUAAUACAUAUUCUAAGUGGGCAUAGCCAAAACAUCAUUAUGAAUUGCAAAAUUAUAUUUGCAGGCCGUCACAUAUGCUAUGCUAAUGCUGUUGUAUUGUUGUGGACAGGGUAACCAUUAAUUACUACAGGUUACAUACCUAAUUUUUGUGCAACCUGAGCGAGGAAAAGAUAUGUGAAUGCAGUUGCAUAACAGGAAUUCAAUAUUCCAUUGGAACGACAUAGGUCACUCAAAAAGAAAUGAAAAAAAAAAAAAAACUCUCCUAAGGGUGUAUAAACACAAGCUAAAACAAAAGUACGAAAUCAACCUGUCCCAGUGUAGUUGAAUUUUAAGAGUUAAAAUGCCCCAUAGAUCAAUGAAAACAAGAAAAUUCAGCCCAAAUGCACGUAAGAGACGGGGCACGUUAAUAGAGGCUAGCAAAACCAAAGUCUUAAUAGUAGCGACUCCACAGAGGCACAGACUAUGUUAAUUGCACAGGUCAUAGAGGAUCAAGCAACACACAAGAACAGUUCAACAAUUAAAACAUAGCCCACAAGUCUAGACAAGUACAGAUGCAUCCCCUCACAUCAAACUUAAUAAGAGUACAUGAAAUCCAUUUCUUUUUCCAGAAUUUAUCCCUCCAUUAGUUGAAACACACACCUCGGUUCCAGAGGCAGCUUGACAUGAAUUAUCACACCUCUAAACAUCAACUGCACAACAUAUAAGAAUAUGACGCGGACAAAACCAAUUAGCAGCACAUGCAAUCAAGAAGACAAUCAACAUCAAGCAAGCCCCAUUGCAAUGUGUGGAUAGUGCUGCCACUACUCACUUAUCUAUUUUCAGUUGAAUAGCAAAGGAAGCACUUUCGGUCUAGGGAGAUCGCAAAAGCACUUCAAAUUGAAGUCAGCAGCAGAUCUUUUGUUAGUGCUUUUGCUGCCAUCAAAGUCGACUUCAAAAUAGUUAACAUAAUCAACACAUUCUUUAUUACUUUUCUUGUUAACAUAAUCAACACAUUCUUUAUUACUUUUCCUACUUUUGUUUCGAAACGCGUCUAAUCAACGAGUCCACAAUAUAACUCAGCAUUUAUAUGUAAAAGAUGCCACAAUUUCUCAUUACUGCUAACAAAUCUUUUCCUUAUAAGUAACAACAUCCAAAACACACAUUGCACAAGCGCAACACAAAAAGUGUGAAAAAUGAAAAAUAUAAUGAGUAUUACCAAUGACGAUAAAACAAGGUGCACUCCUAAUUAAGAAAUUGUUAGACAAACCUAUCAAAUUUAGAUUCUACUAAUACUGCGUUUGGGAUUGAAGUUAAACAGCUGUAAUUUAAAAAUUACAACAUUAAAGUGUUUGAUAAACACUAACUGCUAUACCUUAAAAUAUAUAUAUUGAUAUGAUUUUUUCCUUAUAUAAUAAAAAAUUUAUUAUAUCUUUAAUAAUUUUUUUAAAAUUAUUAUUUAAAAUUUAUAUUUACUACAUAUUAUUAAUUUUUAUUUCAUAUUUACAAUAUUUUUAACUGUAACUUUAAAACUAUAGUACCUCAAUAUAUGUUUUCCGACGCUCAAAAACAACGAUAUCAUAGACUGUGUUGAUUAUGUUAAUAUAUUUCUUGCACCUCAAUAUAUUCAUAAUUUAUCGAGAACCAAUCAACCUUGGAUAAAUUUGUUUACAGUAAUUAUAGACAAAUAAACAAACAAAACGAAAGUUUUGACUAAAAAUAAUGCAAGUAGCUUUCAAAAUUCGUCAGGAAAGAUUAUCACAGACCGACAUGCAAUUUAAAUAAAUAAUUAAAACUAUGGAUAAGUAAUCAGGACGUAAUCUCUAAAGCAGUCCAUAAUAUUUAGUAACUACUAGAUAGCGAUAGUUACAAUUAGUUCAAUUCAACGAAGAGAAAUGCAUGAAACGUACAAUUGAAUUGAAUAUAAUAGAGUUAGUUAUAAUUGAAUAUAAACGUACAAAAUUUACCGGCCAACGGCUAGCCGUGUGAAGUCGUGAAGCUCUCUGUGCCAGGUGAAAGAAAAAUCUUGCUCUUGAAUAUAAGAAGUUUAAACAAGGGCAUUUAGAAAAUGAGCUCUUAUUCCCCUCCUACAUCUCUCAGAAUGUUCGUUAAUUGAUUGGUAGCACCCAGAUAAAUUGCUGCAUUGUAUGUACUUUGAACCGAAGUCGAAAAUUCCGGUGCUAUUCCCAUUAUAGGAACGCUCAUUGGGCAUACCGUGCCACCUGCAUUGUAGCAAUAAAGAUAAAAGUUCUUGAAACUUCUUGUAUGCAUAUUACUUCCUCAUGUCCAUCCUCAUUCCCUCUAUCGUAUAACCCAAAGAUGAUAAAAUAUAAUUUUUCAAUGUGUACGCCAUUUUUAUAUCUGAUUGUUUUACCCACAACCCCCAAAAAAAAAGUUUUAUUAUUAUUUUUUUCUUCAGGAUUUCUUGAGUCCUAAACACAAAUCCAGUUUAAUGAUAGUGAAAAAGGUUCUGAUUCUCAAAUUUGUUCUCAGUUUAAUGAACAUGGAAAGAAAUAACAUCACUGAGAUUUUAGGAUUUCCAAAUUUAAUUUAGACCACUUUCUCAAUGAAAAAUGACUUGUUCUUAGAUAGACAUCUUAGGACGAGUUUGAAUCUUGAUUGGUGAUCGAGCCUUCAAGAGAUAUAGGCAAUUUCUCUACGUCGAUUUUAACAGUUGAGAUAUAAUAAUGUAACUUGAGAAUCAUUAAAUAUACAUUUGAUAUGUUUUCACCCCUCAGGAAUUUUGUAGUCGUCAAAGGUAGCAAUGGUGGUUGAAACAAUCCUCAGGCAGUUUUCGUUUAAUUAGUCCUUAAUUUUCUGUUUAAUAUUUUAAGUCUAUAAAUAUUCUUCUUUGCAACAAUGGGAAAUAUCUGAUACUCCUCCAGACUCGUAAAUUUGCAAAUUUAACUAGUUCGGGGGAAACAAAGUUGCAGACAUCGCAAAGGAAUAUAUGUUAAAGACGAGAACUGCAUUGGAGGAAAAGAUGAAGGCAACUCCAGAGAGGAAGCAAUAUCCAAGAAAGCAAGGCUAGAUUAUACAAAAUAACAUCAUUCGGAUUUACAAAGCAAAUUGACCUUUUUUUCUUUUUUUUUUCAUUUAGCGAUCCUUCCUGAUCAAACAUCUAAUGAUAAAUUAUCAAAUGCAUUCACUUCACAUCAUUCUCGAUUCGACAUAUCUGUUAUUUUCAAUAGCAAACGACUCCGGCCAUUAAUGAAAGCAGAAAUGCUACACAACGUAUUAAACAACAGCAAAGAUAUCAAGAUGCAAGGCAACAACGUUGAGACUUGAGAGCAAUUGUAGAUUCAAAAUCCUUACUGCAAUUCAAGUCAAAAUUCGAAAACAGAAUAUCCUACAUCAGAAGAUGAAAUUGAUACGAAAAACAAAAAUGAUUUUCCAGCAAGAAAAAUUUAAAUACGAUGGACAUGGGAAAUCCCACAAAUUAGUAACAAGAAACAAAACCUUAAAUAAUAAACAACAAUAGAGUAACAAUAACAGCUAAUGCACAGCAAUUAACCAUAACACAACCUACCGUUCAGUCUCCCACCUGGAAACAAAAAUAUACUGUACAUGCAUUUGUUGCAUAAGCCCUUGCCAGCCAAAUGUUCGGUCCACUUCUAUGAUCCAACUUUCGCCAGCAGCGAACCUAAAUAGGAUCCAACAACCUUCAUUCAAGAACGGCAACCUCUUGAUCAACCCUCCAGUAGUUUGCAUCAUUGAACUCCUUUAUGGCAGCCCCACUUUCAUCGGGAUUCUCCUUCUCGGGCACUUUUGUGAUAAUAUUCCUCUUUAAAGGCCCUGCUUCCCCAACUAUUCCCUCCUUCAGAGCCUGUUCCAUAGCUCUCUCUGUACCUUCUAAUUCCACACCUACAAACUCAACAUCCUCUUCAAACAAUGACGGCACUGAAGCACAUCUCUGACUCCCAUCAGUGCCCACUGUUCCAUCACUAGAAUCCAUGGCUGUUGCGGAACCAUUUGGAAGUGUGGAUUCUACACUUGACGGUGAACUACCAUCGGAAGUCACUGCCUCAUUAUGACUGGCAGGAUUAACAUCCAAAAUAUCAUGAUCAAUAAAUGGAUUCAGACUUGAUCCACUGACUUGCAUAUCCGAUGAUCCUCCCCAUCCCUCCCAAUCCGGUAAAGGCCUACCAGCGAACAAGUCUAUGUUGUCCGGAGUGUCAAACCUGAAAAAACCCAAAUCCUGAGAAGCAUUUGCAUUCUCACAUUGUGAGUUCAAGUCUCCAGUGUUUAAGGAAGCACUCCCAGGCAAUGUGUUCAAAUAGUUUGCGUCUGAAGUUGAUGUGCCAUUGACAGAAUCUUUGCUUUCAGUUAACUCAUCAUCCUCUCCAACCACCACUUCAUCAUCACUACUGCUGUUACCACCAUUUGCAGUUCCAUUCAAGUUUACCUCAUCCAUCAUCUCAGAGGGUGAUGUACUCACAGGUGCAUUACCAAUUCUGUCAUCUUGGAAGGCAAACCAGUUGGAAUUUGUGAAUAGACUGCUGCAACGAGAAUAACAUUAAAAUUUUAUCAUCACCCUUGUAACAUGACUAAUUAAACAAAGGAAAUAAAUAUCCCCAUCACCAAUUUGAAUUUUUUUCCAGACUAGAACUGAAAAAUUUAAAUGCACCUAAUUUUGACCUUCCAUCAUGAAAAUGACAACUUCUGCUAUGAGCUUUGGCUCAAGUCUCCAAAUUUUCAGAAACAUUAAUUAUAUUCUUACGAGUCCAUUCCUUUUAGCUAAUUAGAUAUGGCUUGUGACUCCAAGAACCAACCAAAAAAAAAAAAAAACCAACAUAUACCCCAUUGACUGGGCUUUGUUUUUGGGGCUGAAAGUCAUGUAUUCCUAUUUGUUGCAUACUUGCAUGUUAUUUGGAAUUAAACAUUUUGGUGUCUGAAAGUAAGGAGUUUUACGCUUUUAAAUGAUAAGAGUCCACAUUACACACAACAAGCAGUUAACUGCCUCUCUACAGUGUCUUUUUUCAGGUUCCAUCAUGGAGACCAAUAGUUAACAAAGAUACCACUCUACAGUGCAUUUAUUUAUUGAAGAAUCAAAUAAGGCAUAACAACGCAUAAAAAUGAAGAUACCAAUCUAUUUUUUUAUGUCCAUUCCAAUAACUCAAAUUGUGAAGCUGUUCAUGUCCAAAAUUUCAACAGGAAAGCAUAAUAGUGUUUUGAAACUUACCUCCCUUGAUCAUCACCAAGCCUCAGGGACGAUAUUACAACUUCAGCAGAUUCAUCAUCAAAGUAGACAUCCUGCAUAUUAUGAAGCAAUUUAAUAUCAAAUAAUAUCUCAGAAGAAAAUUAAAAAGAAUUUCCAGUUUAUCUGUAAUUUUACAUCUACCUCAGAUCUUACUCAUCUUAAUCUAACUCUGAACACCCACCAACAACCUUAUCGUUAAUUGCUAUGAAGGUAAAAACUAAAAUUAGUACCUCAUCAUCCCGAUCAAGAGCUCCAUGAUCCUGCAACGAGAAUUAUACAAGCACAAGUCAGCAACUAAAGUUAAAAUAAGCGUGAGAGAGCAGAGUGCUAUAUGGAUCCCUGGUAUACCUCUUCAGCAUCCUCAUUCCCAUAUAUUUUGUAUCUAAAAGCCUGACUUAAGUUAUUUGCAAGAGCUGCAACAUCAUAAUCUCUGUCAUGAAGGUCAUCAUCAUCACUAUCCUUUGUCCUAUCUUGCAAUGCUGUUGGGCGGCUGCAUAUUAUAAGAAUUGGGAAACUAUUUAAUCUAAUAAUUAUAGAAAGAAAUAUAAGGAAAACCUGUGUUAGGUUUCAUUGACUAUUUGUCCCUUAUCUAUAAUGAGCUGUUGCAGCAGCAGGAUUAAUUCAGAGUAAUGGUAAUAACAAAUUAAAUACCUUUAAAUAACUUAAAACAAUUAUAACUGCUAUUCUACUGUGUUAACAGAACUAAGAUCGCUAACAACAGAACAUAUGAAAACAACCACCUUGAAACGGAGAUGAAAAUUAGGUACUACAUUGCAAUAUGAUUAUAUGAUACAGAAAGACAGCCCAUGAACUUGAGCACAAAUACAUCUAUGCAUCUGGAGUGCACAAAACAUUUUCUCCACAUAAUGAUGAUCUAAUCCACAUUACCUACUUAUGUGAAUGCACAGCAGAAAUGAAGGAAGAUCAUAGCAGUAAUGAAGCAGGAACAUACCCGCAAGCCCAUCGGUAAACAUUUUCUACUGCAUUACGCUCUUGCAAGACAUUAACUUGCCACUCACUCCACUCAGUGUUUUCCUACAAAUAACAAAUCAAUUUAAGUAGACUUAGUAAACAUCUAUCACUUAAAUUUAUCAGAAAAUAAAAGGAUAUAUUAGAAACAACUUAACCAGUCCAUGUUUAGAAAAAUAGUGGUGUCCAUAACAUUGUAUAUUCUUUUAAAGGAUAUUGACAGAGAUAUUGAAUAGCACUUCAGGAAUCACCUCACUACAGAAUAAAGAAGCAAUAAUAAUGGGACAAUAAUGUACACACUUAAAGGCAGUUCAUCAUGCACAUAAAAGUUAAAGAGUAAUGAUAUAGCCACAAACUCUUGUACAACCUUAUUUUGUACAAAUUGAUGUGGCGUUAAUUCAUUGGUUGAAUUAAAUAUCUCUUGGCCCACAUGAUUUAUUUCUAUUAUUUUAUAUUUUUAUUCAAUCAAUAAAUUAAUGCCAUAUCAGUUUGUACAAGAUAAGUUUAUACAAGAGUUUGUGCCUGUAUCAUCACUCAAAAGUUAACUAUAGUUACUUUUUAACAAUGUUGUAAAGGGAAAAUUGUCCAAAUAAUUUACUUCUAUAAGAAGGCUAAAUUAAUCAGACAGAAGAUGAAAUUUAAUCAGUUGCCAUAAAGCUGUAAGAUCUUGUUAUCGAACUGUAUAUGCCAACCUGAAGACAUGCGUGAAUGCGGCUAUUGGUGCUGCCUAAUUGAACAAGUUUAUUAGAAAUCCGUGUAAUGUGUCCAAGGUUUCCGGCUCGAGGUGCUCGCUUUCCAGAAGCAGGUAAAGUUGGCUGCAAAACCAUGGGACACACCAAGUUAUUACAGUUUUUUCUUAUGGUCAAAGGAAGAGUGCACAUAAAAAAUUAUCAAUGCCAUCAUAUGCCACUUCAGAAAACAUAUGCUGCAUGAGUAUCUCCCCUGGAACAAUUAAAGAAAUCAGGUAUAGAUAUCACAUGUAACAACAAGCUUCUCGUAUAUUAUUGUACUUCUUGGUUCUUCUCAAAAAUUUAGUCUAGAGGAGCGUAGAGAUAUUAUGUAAUUCACAUCACUUAUCAUGUUACUGCAGUUUGACAAUUAUGCAAGAAAUAUUUGACUAACUUGUGACAACAAUCUACCUUAUCAGACGCGCCAGAGAGUAAGGGACUUUUAUCAGUUUGGAGAACCUUUCCCAUCAAAUCACAUUCUCGAAGAAGAUGAUCCACCAUGGUAUCACUCUUGCUUUCCAAACAAGAAAAUAUGAUACUCUCCACAUGGUGAUGCAAUGCAUUAUUGUAUGGGUACCUAAAUUAUAACCAAUAAAACAGUCAGGUAUGUUCUACUGACUAGCAGAACCCAUAAAAAAUAAUAAUAAUAAUAAUAAAAUAAUUCUCUCCAAGUAUGUGAUCAAGAGUCCUCUACAUACAACUGGAAUUACUAAGGUUAUUCACGUUCAAAAUCACAAAUUAAAAUAAAGGCUUACUCAAAGAAAAGGUCAAGAAUUCUUUUAAUGGUUCCUGAGCUGACCAACUCCUGCUCUGCAGCUUCAUUGCUUGUUCUCAAUAGCACAGCAAUGAACUCCACAAUCUGAAAUUAAUAAUAAAGGAAUUUAGAAGUUAAAAAAAUAAAAAAUAAUAAAAUUGGAGAAUGUUGACCUAGGGUGGGGCUAUUUGCACUCUAAGAACUACUUAGAACACUCAUUCACUCAACCCACUUAACAUUUAAAUUUGAACUAUUAAUAUUUACCCAGCGCACUCAUUAAAUUCUUAACAUACCUGUACAUUAAUUUUUUUUCUCUGGUUUAGUCCAUAUCUAUAUAUAUAUAUAUAUAUAGAGAGAGAGAGAGAGAGAGAGAGAGAGGGGGGGGGGGAUAGUUACAGAAUUUCAUUUUUAUUUUUUCAUGAUUUUACCUCAAAGCUUAGAUCAGACAUCACCAUAGUUUAUAAUUGUCUUCUUUCUAGAAGGUUCAAGAGGUUCAUGAAUGAAUUUUCAUCUUGCUGAAGUAAACAAGAAAAAAAUAGGAGACAAUGAAGACAAAGGAAAAGGGAACAAGGUCAAAGAGAAAGGGACGACUUUCAAAAAAAAAAAGAAAAAGGGAAAUUUCAUGAGCGUUUCUUAAAAACAAAAUAAUUUGGAAUAAUUUUUUAUUACUUUUAUCUUCUCUACAAUUCUUUUACGUGAUUUUAGCAAUUCUCUUUAUUAUGGGUUUUUACAGAAAUCGGUGAAGUGAUAGGUGCUUACAAAAUUAAUAUAAGUUGACCUUAUAUGUAAAUUACGCUAUGGGCAACAUUGUAAUGUAAGAAUGAGUGUUCAAAGUACUUUUCAGGGUGCAAAAUAGGCCCACCUAAAAUGAUUUCAGGUCAAACUACAUCUUCAACUUCAUGACAUGCGCUUUCUGUCAACAGCAGACAAACGCACGAGCACUCUUGUUACUCUCUUUUGCAAAUUGACGGAGUCCUUAAAAAUAAAAAAAUUCAGUUCUAUUGGUCUCUUCCUCAAAUUAGGUUCAACAUGUAUGAUUAAAGUACAAAGCCAACCUUUAGGCGAUGUUUCCCCAGAGGCGGUCUCAAUUCUCCAUAUGUAGUUUCCAAAAACUUCUCAUCAGAUGAAACAUUUAGAAGCAUAAGUAAGUCGCCUGCAAAACACGAUGUACAAUCCUUAAUAUCAUGGAUAUCAGAUUAUCAGAGGAAAUUUACAAUACAAACAGGUCCCCCUGAAAAUCCAGUUGGAUUUUGUUACACAAUUAAAUCAACCAAAGGGACAAGGAAAUAGAAGCUGGUCCUUAAGAGGCAACACCAAUGACAAUGUAUUUGCUAGUAAUGUAUAAUGCAAGCUACAAGCUUCAGAAAAGCACAGAUAUGUCCCUUGUGGCCAGGGCCCACUGAUACAAUGAAGCUCCUCAAGAUGGCAGACAUUCAAAAACUUAUUGAGGAAAGCUACAGAAGAACUGAAAGAGAGCCAGAACUAGAAUUCAGAAUUUCCCUUCAACAAGCAUGACGUUGGUAAAAUGCUGGAAAAUAUUUCAAUUACAUGAACACAAUUCAUAAACAAAAUAAACAUUCAGUAAUGCCAUCAACCAGGACUAAAUGAGAACAUAACAAUAAUUUUCACAUCAAUAGAUUCCCAAGCAUAUGAUUCACUCACAGAGUUUAGGCAGCAUUGCACCAAUUGUCUCUGGAUUUACAGGGUUCGGAGACUCAUACAUAUGUUGGCUCCGAAAAGAGUACAUCAAAGGAGAAGCAAUCGCUGAUCUUUUUGGAUCCAACAAAGAGAUACACACAGAAAGUGAGUGGACAAGGCUAGAUUUCGACCGUGAAUCUUCCAAUGCAUGACCAAAUAUCCUUGCAACGAAACUGCAUAAGAAAAGAAAAUAGCAAGGCCACUUACGAAACUACAAACAUGGAUUAAGAAAAGAUAAGAGUGAUUCAUUCGAAUGGAAGAACACAGAACACAGGGGAAACUAAUAUAAUGCAUACCUUGGACUAGCGAGUUUAGUAGCCAAGGCGGAUGGGGCAUUUCGAGUUAUAGCACAUAAUGUUUCUGCUGCAUUAGCAUGAACUUCCGGAGGGCACUGAUCCAUAUAAAAAAUUGUUAGUCCACCACAAUUAUCCAAAACUUUGUGAUAUAAUAUAAUUUUAUGUUCACUGAAAACUUAUUUCCAGUUAAUCAUUAGAAAUUAUAUGAUUCAUUCACUUAUUUGCUUUUAAUCUCCAUUGCGAGUCUAUGCUUGCAAAAUCAUUCCCUAGAUUUCUGUUCAGGGAAGUUUUUAGCUCUAAUUUGUAAAAGAAAAAAGAGGAACAAGAAAGUACAUUCCAACAAAUUUUGAAGCACAAGGUAACAAAAGAAGAAUUCAACAUAUACACGCACAGACAUGGCCAUGGCUAAGAAAGAAAACCAAUUUCAAAUAAAAGAAACUAUUUGAGAGCUCCACAAAUGGAGCUAAUUAUUUCUUCGCUCAAAUUCUGUUAAACACAUCAAGGAAAGCCAAGUUAAUGGUGGUUUCAAAACUUAUGGAAAUUUCAACCACCUUACACGUGUACUAACAUUCCUUACAAAUGGCAUCAAGGUAUCUCACCAAUUUAUUUCUUUGCCAUGACAAACCAACAGUAUUCACUCCUCCAGAUUGAGGCAUCAAAAACCCAAGAAAUAUAAGAGUACAGCAUUAUCUGAGAUUCUUUAGAAAGUGGGUUAUGUGCAGACAGAACAAGCAAGUAGAAGCAUCUCCCAGCGAUCUGUUCUUAUUUACUUCAGCAUUAAGAUAAUGAAUAGUCAGGCACUCAUAUGCAUAGAAUUUAGCAGACUAUGGCAAUAAGGAGAAUGCAAUUGAUGACACAUAAAGAUUCGCAUCUACAUUACAUGUAUAAAUGACACACUACAUUUCUGACAGGAUAAUAGAGAAAAAUUAGUCUCACGCACCAACGGACUCAAUUUAUUGACAAUCAUUUCGAGCAAAUUGCUGUCAGCCAGCCAUUGCAUCACAUCCAUAAAAUUGGGAUACGCAUGAUCAUCAGCACCUACAAGCCGAACCAAGACCUACAAAAAGAGCUCAUCAGAGAUCAAAUCUUAACCGCACGUAUUACGAGAAAGAAACAUUUUUAUAAAGAAACCACCAUUGAGCUCAAAAUUUAAUACAAAACUAUAUUAUCAACUGCCUACCUCCAUGAUGGAAGUGAUCCCUAUUAAAUCAACCAGUCGACGGAAAACAUCCGGAUGGAUCUGUGAAAGAUCAAACAGCCAGAAGUCAAUAAAGAACACAAGAGGGAGAAAUAACAAUGUAUCAGCAACAUUUAACAAAGAAUAUAGACUAUGGACCAGGCGACCAGCAUAAUCCAGAUAUGAUUACUUACUUGAACAUAGUUCAUAAGUGGUACCGUCUUCCGCAACAUAAGGCAUACAACAACCUAAAAUGCCACACCAAAUAGCAUUAUCGACAAACAAAAAAAAACCUAAGCAAAGUAAGACAUAAAAUCAGCCAUGAAAAAUGCAUAAUCCAUUCUUUAAGCACUACAUACCUUGCUGAAAUACCCAGCCAGCAAGGCACUAUGAGGACGGUUUGGUUCCAAGAAGGAGAAAAGCAAGUUCAUUAGCUGCAAUACAAGAAAAUGCAAAUUAAAUCCCGGCCAUGACAAGCUCCACAUCAAUUUCUGCAACCCCAGGCAUUUAAUGAUCCAGAACAAAGAAAUAAAACCACACCUCCUCUUCCUCUACCAAAGUCUUAAGAAUGACGUCAAUCUCACAUGUGAAUAUCUCACAGGCAACAAAGGGAAACCUAAACAUCACCAAAAACGAUUUUCCUGAGAAAAGUUCAAAAAAUAAAAUGAAGGAUCUCAGUUGUCCUCAAGACAUAAUAACAAACUUGAACGCUUGUUUGCUUUCAGCAUCCGCUGGAGCUUCCUCAACUAUAUACCGCAACAACUUCUCCACUUGUUCUCUAUCCCGUAAACUGCAUAUAGCGAUACAUAAUAAUUAAUCCUCAAGAGGUCUACUUCCAUGUUGUCGUGACCAAAAUUUCGACAGUUCAUGUUAACAAAACAAUGUCAAGUAAACUGUAUAAUAGAAAAAAAGGAAUCCCGUAUGAAGAACAUAAAACAUUUUUGCCAGACCAAAAGAGUCAAGGUCACUGUGAACAUAGAAAAGAAAUUACAAAUUGAUAAGACGACUGUUUAAAGCUUUGCAUUCUUGGAUUAUCUCUUCCUCAUCCAGUAGCUCUUCCAAAGUAAAAUUUUCCUUGUCUAAUACCGAUUCCACCUAAGCAAAAUGAAACAUAAAUAAUAAAAAGGUUAGGAGAAAUGAACCACAACUAAAUCAAAUAGCUCAAAAAAUAAGGAAACCAGAAAAUCUCAUCCACCAGAGGUUAUAAGCUUCUCAAUUUGUGAAUUCCACUAACAGUACGGAUAAUAAACUUAUAAAACAGUGUCACUGACCGAUAAUUUCAAACAAAUUUCAACAAUUGAAAGCAUUUGAGCCAAAUUUUUCAAUAAUUUUUUCCACUAUUUACUCAGGUAACAGGAAAGUACAAAAUGCCAGCAUAUACAAAGCAAAUCAAAGCCACACGAUUUCAGUCAACUACAAACUUUAAUCAAUUCCCAUUGAUUAGUCCAAAGCAAAUCCUAGUGAAAAUUAUCACCAUGCUAAAACAACAACCAAUUGCCAAAUAAACGAAAAUAACUAAAUUAACUGACAUUUACGAAACAAAAAACUCUCCACGUGCUAUAACACGUGUGUAAUUAAACAGAUAAAACUAAUUAAACCACACUUACGUCUAAUUUACAUAAAAAGAACAGAAACAACAACUAAUUAGCGCUGUUAUACGCCUCACUAACGAAAAGACGGCGAGAAAUGAAACGAAAAGAGAAAUUAGGCGUGAAUUUGACUUACGGGAGAGGAGGCGGAGAGAGCUGUGAGCUUCCAAAACAUGAUGAUAAAAUAGAAUGAGUAUGCAAGAGAUUAAAACAGAAGUGGAAGCAGAGGCGCAGAUCUGCGAGCGGUAAAAGUAGGCGCAAAUCUAGGUAAUUUUUUUUUUCUUUUGAAAAUAAAGAGAGACAGAAGCUAGAUUCCAGGGUGGAAUUUGGCGGAUUACGGCGGAGUUGUGAAACCCUAAUUUGAGGGACUGCCAGAUCGAACCGUGAAGAUCGAGAGAGAGAGAGAGAGUCCAAAAGCAAGAAAAAAUUUUGUAGGAGCUGGGAGCGAAAGAGAAAUAAAGAGAAGAGGGUAAGAAUUAUUUUGGUUUAUUGAUGCGUGCUGCCUGAUGGGGAGGCGGAAAAGUACAAAUGUGGCACUCCGGAUUUCACAACAAUAACCAUUUUUAUUAUGUUUGUGAACAUGCUAUGUCAUGGGUUUCAAAUAUGUAUGUAUGUAUGUGUGAGGUUGAUGAUGGAGAUGUGUUAUAAGUUGUACCACAAUUUUGACAGACGGGAAAAUUUUUUAGGGCAAAAUUUACCCCAAAUUUUAGUUUUAAAUAUCUUGCAAAAAAAUAAUUUUCAAUCAAUAGGCAUAAAUAAAGUCACGAUCACAUUUGUACUUUUUAUAGUAAUGUUAGAAUCACAAACUAUUAAUUUGUACAAAUUGAUGUGUUUAGUCAUAAUUAAUUGGAUGAAAAUAUAAAAUAGUAAAAAUAAAUCAAUGAGUUUUGUAGUAUAUUGUCCAAUCAAUAUCAUUGAACUACAUUAGUUAGUCCAACAAGCUUGCGACUUUAUCUUACUCUUUUCAUUUUCAUGGUCGUGAAAAUAUCAAAAUAAUAAUUAUAUUUUGUUUUUUAAUACUGGGAUUUACUUAGAUCAUUUUUGUAAGAGAAUAACUUAAAUUUUUUAUGUCUGUUAUGGACAUUUUAACAAGCUCACUUUUUUUAGGGAUUUCAAUUGAGUUCUCUAUGAAGGCCUAAAUAUAAUUUUUUUUUUCCAUGGUAAAAUGUUUUUUUGAGUUUGAAAGGAAAUUUUACUUGUGUAUUCAAAUAGUGAAAUAGAUAUUCUUUUAAUUUUUAAACAUUGAAUAUAGAUUAAAAAAAAUGGUCAUAUUCUCAUUUUGUUAACAUUAGUUUUAAGAGUGAAGUAAACUACUCUUUUCUUUGAGUGAUAGACACUUUAUCAUCUUAUUUUUAUAUUAAAGAUUUGAGUUCUCUCGUAUAUAUUAUAGAAGUUGAUUUUUCUUAUAAAUAUUUUAAAAUAGAUUAUAAAUGAGAUAGAGAUCAAAACCUAGCUCCACUUGUUAGUACACAAGUUUACCAAGGUUUAGGUACUAAAUUCGAGUCUCAUAUAAUGUGCUUGCGUGUUUAAUUUAAUAAAACUUAAAAAUAAAUUAUGGAACCAAAUAUCUAAUAUAUUAUUGAUUUAAGAAGUACUUGACCUACUUACAUUCUUUUAUGUAGAAAAUAUCUCUUAUUUCUCAAAAAGAAAAAAACCAAAGUCAAUGACGAUAUUUUUAUUCCCAAUAAGAGAAGUAUUUCUAAUUUUUAAAUUUUCUUAAAAGGUUUAUUAUUUUUUUAAGAAGGAUAUCAUAACGUGCCAUAUUGCAAAUCUUGCAGUGCGCCCAAAGUCCGAGCCAUUUAAGCCGGGGGGUCGGGAAUAUGAUCAUGCCAAAUUCACGUGACUUUCCAAAAAAUUUAAAAAAAAAAGUCACAAAGUUUGAAAAUGAAUCAAUGAUGAUGAUGCUUUGUUUGCCUAAUGUCUAUGGCCAUAUGCGCCUACAGCGUCAUUGAAAUGGGCCCAACUAGAAGAAAAAAUGUAAAAUAAACUUGAUCAGCUUUUUUUUUUCAAAUUAGGUUCACUGUGUGUGAAAGAGACUGUGACGUACCAUUGUUGUUGACAAGUUCUUAAAUUAGUCAAAUGUUUUUGCGAUUAGAUUGAAGCUAUCAGUCAGCUCAUCUGACGCGUGUACACUGAUCAAGCCAAUGACGUUUCAAAUUUGAUGAAGGUCCUGUGACCGUAGCAUUCAUUUUAAUGCGCAAGCGCUUAUUAUUGCUUGAUUAUUUAGACAUAAGCUAAAAAGUUAUGCCUAAAUUUUAAAAUUUAUUACAAAAUUUAUGCUUAUUUGCAUAAGUAUGACUCAAUUUUCUAUCGAGACUUUGCCAUUAUGGCUUAAAUAUGAAAAAAAAAUUCCUGAAAAAUGUAUACUUUAAUUGAGGUUGAAGCUUAAAAACAUACUCAUAAAUAAUGAUUAGAUGCUUCAAUUUACACCAUUUUAUGUCAAAGUUAAUUGUAGUUUGAACCAAAUUAUGACUUAAAACUUGAAGUAAAUUCUAGAAAAUUUUGACAAAAUGGAGGUAUGUUAUAUUCUUCAAUGUUCUAUCAAUAAACAAAACUUCCCUUUUGGCUCUAUUUAUACUACACAUGUGUUUAAAUUUUACCUGUUGUAAAAUAAGCACUAAUGGCUAUAACUUGUAGGUAAUACUAAACAAACGUGAUUGUGUUUAAUCUCUUUAUUUUUAGUUUCAAUUAUACUUGAUCCAUAAUUUAAUAAUACUUUACAACUUCUUUGUUUUUUCACUAACAUAUCAUUUAUAGUUCCUUUCUUUUUUGGCUGACACAAACAUUAUGUACCUGUACAUUCAUUUUAGGUAAUAGGUUUUGAUCUCUUAGGUUUCGUUUGAUAUUGGCGUUGAGUGACUAUACCUUUUAAACUUAGUAAAUACUAGUUGUUGUGGUUUGAAAGAUAAGUUAAUUUAAUUUCACACUUGUAUGAUAAAAAAUUUAUAAUAUCUUUAUUGUUUUUAUCAAAAUUAUUACUUAAAAGUCAUAUUUAUUGCACAUUAUCAUCUUUUAAUUCAUAUUAAAAAAUUUUAUAAUAAUUUUGACUUAAAAAUUAUAUCACCUCAAUACCAAAUAGGACCUUAAUUGGAUGUGUUCUUUCAUAAUUGUUAACUAAAGGGUACUAGUAUAUUUUCUUCAAUAAUCUUUACAAUUAACAAGUGAAAGUUUUGAUUUAGGGGAGAUCGUGUUCAUUUGAUAUAAAAUCCAUCUUAUGUGCGGGUUAGAGAUAAUUGAGGGGAGGUCGGUGAAAAUUACCCGUUUGUUCAUAUGCUAUCACGUGUGUUCUUCUCAAAUCACUUCGGAAAUUCAAAGGGAGAAAAGGGGUGCGCACCAUCCGCUUUUCUCAGACUCACUAGUUAGGUGCUGGCCGGUGCAUUGGCCGGCAGCGUUUAAUAAAACAUUAGUGGGGAAGAAGAAAAAAAAGUUAUUAAAAAAUCUAUAGAAAGGUAAAGGUAGCAAUAAUUAAGUGUAAUCAAAGAUUAAUAGAAAGUGAAUUACAUGGAGAACACAAAGCAUCUUUAUUGGCUGUAACAUCAUUUUAUCCAAAAAUUAUCCUCCAUCUUCUUCAUUAUCUUUCACUUUUUUCCUUUUCAUCCAACAUUUUAAUUCGACAAUUAGCUAUAUCGAAGUUGACUCAAGAUAUAUAUAAUAGUAGUUGCAUCAUCCACUAAUAACACACUAGUUUUGUAAUUCGAUUUUUUUUUUUUUUACUUGUAUUUUGUUAUUCAACUAAUUUGAAUUCCCUUUAAUUAUUUAUAAUUUGAAGCGGCCCAUUAUGAGGCAAUUUUGGACCUUCUAGUACAUGAAGUUGGGAAGUAAGUGGAAAAAUUGAAGGCAAAAAGAUAAUGAUAGUUGGUAGUAAGGUGGGAUCAAGUCCUUUUCUAGUUUCUACCAAGGAACAAAACCUCAUCGAGUUGAAGAAAGAUAAGGCUAAAUGUUUUGGUUUGAUCCGCAUCUUUAAUUGAUGCCCCACACAGACCGUUGCUAUAACAGUAGUUGAAAAGGGACCUCAGCCAAAAAAAAAAAAAGCACUAUACGUAUAAACCUAAUCUUUGCAAUAUAACAUGGUUUAUAUGUAAUGGAGUAGCUAGAAAAUCAAACGAGCGGGAUAUAAAUUUUGACCGACAUAAAAUGCAAACAAACAAAUAAAUAAAUAAAAUAUCAAAAUAUGAUUCAAAGAAUAAAUUUCUAUUUGAUCGGACUUUUUUUUUAUAUCUAUAUAUUUCAUUAGAUCUACAGCUUAUAAAUUAGAAGAAUCUUUUGGGUCUUUCAAUAUUAAUAGGUUAAAUGUUUCGCUUUGGUAUCUUCCAAAAGGGAAAAAAGUUCUCUGAGAACAUUUUCCUAAUUUGCAAGAGAGUAGUUGAGUAACUUUGAUAUUUUAUAUAUUUUAUCCCUUGUUUGUAUCUUAUGUCAGUCAAAAUUUUUGCCCCCACACAUUUGAUUUUUUUAGCUACAUUGUUGCAUAUACAAGAUGUCAUAUUACAUAUAUGAGUCAUUAUCUAAUAAGAAUUUAUUUAAGCCAUUACAAUAAGACCUAAACUAAAAGACAAGCAAAAGACACACUUUAAUAUAAUUUAUUUUGUGUAGUGUAUUAGAGAUAUUAAUGUAGCAAAUCAGGAACUUAAAUACUAAUUUAUUGUCUUUAACAUUUAAAAAUUAAUCGUAUUUUAUUACAUAUUUGAAAUAUGAGAUCUGAAGAUUGAUGAAAUUUGGAGAUUUUGACAUAUGUCAUUUAAAUAAUUAUUAUUAUUUGGAUCCAUAAGAAGAAUAUAAUAGUAGCAUGCAUAGCCUAAAUCACUAAUAUUAUCUAAAAAUAAGCAAAGAAAAUUUGUAAUUAAAAUGGCGAUGGUGUUGUAUUGGCUGAAAAUAAGUACACCACUCGCUCGUAGGGUGUGAUUGGGACAGCCGCGCUGCGAAUAUUUCAGGGAAUAUUCUCUCAAAAUAUGGCAACGCACGCUUAAUAGUAAAAAUAACGUUUUUAUUAUGAACCUUUACAGUUUUUACUCCCCAAAAAUCAGAAGCAAUUUACUGUUCUAAGACUUUUUUAUUCCUCGAGAAGCUCCGAGAAAGCAAACAAUCUUAAUCACCAUAUGGACCGUGAAAUGACAGCAAAUGUAGGAAGAAAGAGCCAUGGGUUUUGGCACUAAUUAUCAUGCAGGGAACAAAAGAAAACACGAUUGCAACUGGCAAGAAGGCUUGUAAUAUCUUAUUAGCGAGCUGGGUUGAUCGGAUAAGGCUUAAAUAUUUAUCACACCAAAAUUGGCUGGAUGGUAGAGGACAAAUACAACCCAAAUCCAAAUCUAAGCAUUUAGGUAGCCCUUUCAAAUUUGAAGAAGGCAACAAACACAUCCUGCCAAAAGAACCAGCUGAAACUUGUACGUUUUGAUUGUAUGACAUCAUGUAACUAUAGCUGUUCCUCGAAUUGAAAGGGAAUUGAAAGGAGAUUAAUUAAUAAUUUCAUUAAAAUGCAAAUAAAUAUAAACCAUAAGAGCACUUGAAGGAUUAUUACUAUGGAGGCCUGUUUGGAUAUAACAGGAUAGGAACUUCAUCGGCAAAUUUAAGCAUUGAGAAACAAAAUUUCGGCCUCAACAUUUUUAUCCCAUAUGGCCAUGUCUUACAUUACGAUAGAUAUUUUAGAUCUAACCCUCUUAUUCUAAGGGUCCUGUUAGGAUACAUUUUUUUUUUCUUGUUCUUUUUAACUAUUUGCUUUACUAAUUGGUUGGUCCAAAAUUAUUUAUUCUAAUCCUACUUUUAUCACCAAAUAUGGGGUUAAUAUUAUUUUAUUUUGAAGUAACCCAAUUCUAACAUAUUUAACAGUCACCAAAUAGUUUUGUAAGUACAUUUCAAUUUUUUAUUAAUUGCGACAUUAAAAAGAGUGUAUGUAUUUACUCUCAAUGGACGUUAUUUGUAGGAAAUAAUCGUUUGCUCUUUUCAAAAUUUGGGCUUCGAAGCUGGAAGACAAUUUCUUCUCGAAUGAGAAUACAUAAUUCAACUACAUUUGAGUGUGAAAUACAAUCCAAAACAGCCUAUCGAGUUGUGCUGCCAAAGCCUAAUUCAAGCCAAACCUCGUUAUCUCAAGAUUUUCAUCCCAACUCGCAAGUGUAGUACUGUUCAUUAAUUUAUUUGACUGAGACGCUUGAUGAAAUUUUGCUUGAAGGCGAUGGAAUCUUUUCUUCUUUUUAAUGGCUCAGCAACUCGCGAACCAAAAAAAAGUAAAAAAAAAAAAAAAAGAAUAAAAAAGCUGCAAUCAAACAUCAUUUUUAAAAUGGUAUAUUCGUACGUAGGGGUCAUGGCUCAUGGAGCCGGAGCAUCAAACAAGCCAAAUCGCGAGAAACAAGAAACGACAAAUUCAAAGCUGAAUUUUGUAUGGUACAAAAAAUAGGGCGGAUAUAUUUCCAAGUAAAUCCACAGUACUUUUUGGAAUAUUUGUAAAAAGUUCAUAUUAUUUUUUAAAAAUAAAAAUCAACAAAAAAAUUAUACAAUUAAUCAAUUAAACCUUUCUUAUAAUGUUUUUCUUACUUAGGUUUCUUUGACCAUCAAUGUUGCUAAAUUUUACUUAACUAUUUUGCCUUUAUGACAUAAAAUGGUUCAAUUGUUCAUAAUACAUAUGAGUUAUUAUAUUUAAUAGUUUAUGUAUUUAAUUUUGUGACUGAUAACAUAAUAUUUUAAAUGAAAUCCAAUAAUUUUCAACACCUUACAUGUAAAUGGCAUAUGUCUGAUAGUCUGAUAAUUUACAUGAGUAUUGUACCAUAAAAAAUUAUGGUAAUUUAAUUAUAUAUUAGUAAUCAUACUAACAAAAUAGUAUUGACACAUCAUUUAAAAAUAAUGAAUUUUGUAUAAAUUAAGAAAAUUUUGAAGUUAAAGUAAAUUUCUAGCAGUUUUACCUAAUAAGGGUAAAAUAGUCAAUGUAAGUUGAGGUCAAAGUAAUCUUAGUAGUCAAAUAUAAUAAAUAAAUUUAAGUCACAAUAAAUUACGAUGAUUUAAUCAAUUAAUUCUCUAAAAGUCUUCCUUAUUUAAAAUUUUUAAAAAUAAUGUGAAUAUUUUAUAAUUAUUUUAUAGAAGUGUGGUAGGCUUGAAAAACUUAUGGUAGAAAUAUCGCCGUCCAGAGAAUAAUAUGAAUAUAAUGUAGGUAAUGACAUCUGGAUCUCUAAUCUUUCAUGUAUUCUCCUAUUAGAAUAUAGUUUCUCAUUUAGUAUCAAAUAGGUCCAUAACUGCAUUUUCAAUAAUCAAUAUAACCAAAAUACCCUUUGAUUUUCAAUUCUCACCUUACUGACAUAAGAAUUUGAUUGAACAACAAAGGAUAUUUCGGUCAGAUUGUGGGGCGAGGGGUGAGAGUGAGAGACUGAUGUGUGGCAUAUUUUCAAUCCACUACAGAGAGUGAAAUGGCCAUUAGCUUUGUUACUUUAAUAGAAACACAAAUUGUAUAAUUAUAAAUUGUGUUUUCAUAUUUAAUAAAUAUAAAUAUAAUUUUAAUAUUUAUAAAACAAUAAAUCAAUGGCCGGUGACCCCCCCCCAAAAAAAAAAAAGGAAAACUUGCUUGUUGACAACACAUCUGACAUCAUUGAACACCAUUUCUCACGAUCUAUCCAGUGGCGGUAUUGUUGACAUUAAAGAAGCAACAGAGAAGCCACAAUCGCCGGCCGAACUUGUGGUUGCUUCACUACGUCAUCAUUAAACGACAGCGCUUUACGGUACACUGCCAAUUGAAUAUAGCUUUUGAUGCGACGCUCUCUUUGAAUCGAUAGGCGGUACACCAUAACUCGGCAUUACAAUAGAACCACAAGUUUUGCCAAUGAUUGUGGCUUGCCUACUACUCCUUUGACGCCGAUGAUACUACUAUUGGAUAGAUUGCUAGAAAUAGACUCUAAUAGUAUUGGAUGUGUUAUUGAAUGAUUUUUUUUUUUUUCAGUGAAGUUGCUAGCGGCAAUAGUUGUAAUUAAUGAAAUAUAAAUUUUGAAUAAAGAUGACAAAAAAGUCUGGCCUUCUAUGGGUUUUGUCCUUAACUUUUCACAUUGAGUGUUUAGAGAAAAGUUUAGGAAAAAAAUUUUGAGUCAGACCUAAACUCUUUAUUUAAAAAAAAAUUAUUUAUAAAUUAGAAUAAUUAAUUAAAAUUUAAAGAAUAAUAAAAAAAUUAAAGAGAAAGCUUAAAUUCCUAAUUUAUAUUUCAAUAAUGAAUCAAAAAACUUAAAAUUAUAAUAUUGAACUAUCUUUUACGUGUUAAUUAAUUAAGAGAGUGCUUAAAUUAGAGAAAAUGAAAUCUCUAAAUUUUAUUUACUUCAUUUUCUUAAUUUAUUAUUGUAUUUUAAAUAUUCAUUUUUUAAUUCAUCAUUAAUUAUAAUAACUUAAUUAUUAUUAACUAAUUUAACGUUUACAAUAAUUUAAAAAAUUAAAAAAAUAAAUAAAAAGCCCAAGCCCGACUAAAGUCCACAUUUUGCCAUCCCUAAUUUUGAAAUUUAAAUAUAUUAGAUAUUAGGAUGAGGCUUACCGGUACCGUGCCACAUCCUUUGUCUUUUGUGGCUGCAGUGUUGUAAAUUUUCAUAUAACCCCCUUUUAUCAAUUUUAUUUAAACUUUGAUUCACAAAUAUUAAGUUAAUAUCUACUACAUCCAUAUGAACAUUUUAAUUAGCACCUUAUACUAUUUAUUAUUUACAAAUUCUUAUUUUAUAUUGCACUUAUAUCACAAUACCCCCUCUGUGAACUGAAAUGCCCAUGCCGAACCCACAAACCCGACCCGGAUGCUAUUUCCAUUUUCAGCCACUUCACCGGCCAAAGUUGGUACCGAUCGGAAGAUCGUACGAUGCCGGUCAUCUCUAUGCCAAUCUUGUCGCCAAAAAGCGAUCGGAAAGCUGCCGAUUGAAGCCGUGAAAAGUUGCGGAACCGCCACUUCAAUUCGCCGUGAUUUCUCUAGUUUCCGGUGACGCUAUCACUUGGAUUUUGCUCCCCACGAUUCCCUCUAUAUUUUCCGACCAAUCACAGCCACCGGGGGUGCCGAUUUGCCGUUGAUUGGUCGUUGAAGGAUUCACGGCUUUGGGAGCUCGAUUCAGAGUUAAUUUCAAAAAAAUGAAAAAAAUCUCUUGAGUUAAGCUGCUGUACGGCCAAGGCGGAUGUACGCGGUAAUGUUCACAUGGAUGCAGUUGAAAUUAACUUAAUAUAUGUAAAGUAAAGGUUAAAUAAAAAAGAGUUAAAGGGGUUAUAUGAAAAUUUACCAUAAAAGAUAAAGAAAGUGACACGAUACCACUAUGAUACCGUCCUAGAUAUUAAUAUAUAUUAACACAAAUUUAAAAAAAAAUUAAAAUUAUAUGUAUAAGUUUCACUAAUUUUUACUCCACAGCCAUUAAAUUUAUUAAAUAUCUAAUUUUUUAAACAGCUGUUAAUUUUAUUUUACAUAUCUUAAAAACUACCAUUCCUCAAUAUUAAGCAAAACCUAAUAGCUAAUACUAACUGACAAAUUAUGUCGUUAUUGGACAAUCGUCGUGUACGUUGUGUCGUAGUUCGUGAAUAAUUCAACUAAACUAACGUACGUUCCAGAGAGAAUGAAGUUACUAAGAUGACCCUCUGCAAACUUUUCCGCGGCUUGACAACCAAUAGUGUCGCGAGUCGACCGUUCAGCAAACACUGGUGAGGUUUGUAAAGACCUUUCGCCUUUGCUUUGCUUUGCUCGUAAACAAACAUAAGCUCAAUCACAGUUUCUAACGGCAAUUACGCUUCGCUGUUAAACUAUUUUGCCAGGUUCUUCAUAAUUAAGGUCAGAAUAUUUAUCGUAAAUUUAGAUUAUGAGUUUUAUUCACUUAUUUGUUAGAUCUUCAUUUAUGUUUGAUUCUGAUCACAAAAUUCUCCGCCACCAAACAGCGAUUAUAUUUAGUUUCAUUUAUUUAUUAUAAAAAAAGAGAAUCAAUUGUUGAUGAUUCGGCAGAAAUUGGACAUCUUGAUGCAAAUUUUGAUAAAUCAUAAUUGUGAGAGAGAGAGAGAGAGAGAGCUAUGAAUUGGAGUUUGUGGUGAAGAGAAUUUGAUUGGCUGAUUUAUUAUUAUUAUUUUUUAAUCUGAUACAGUGGUAACACGCUGGUGCUUUUAAUUCGGUACAUAAGUGAUAGUAGCUUACGGAGAGAAAUUGAGGGAUAGAGAGCUAUGAAUUGAAGCUUGUGAUCGUCAAGAGAUGAACGUGAGCCACGCGUCGGUUCACCCGGUUGAAGAUCCUCCAACUACAGAAGGUGGGAAUGCCCCGAGAGUGAGGAUGAAGGACAUACAGGGCAUGCCGGCGACGCCUGGUGGGCUGGCUUUGCGUGUAUCUCAAUUUAUCUUUGCUGUUGCAGCACUUUGUGUGAUGGCCACCACUAGCGACUUUCCUUCGGUCACUGCUUUCUGGUAACAUGACUUUCCAGUUCUAUAAAUUUCUCCUACUUUAUUUGUAUUGUUGUGUCAAUGAAAUUUGAUAUGCAUAUACCAUUUUGAGGGGGUGAGUGACUGGAAGCUAGUUUUAGAAUGGGAUUAUCUAUAUUCAUUUAAAAGAUUGGACGUACAGAUCAAAUAUAAAUUACUAUUCUGUAAAUACCUAAUCAAGAUAUGAUUUGGUUAUGGCAUUUGGAAAACACAGUUGGCAAUGCUGAGACUACAGGAUUUGAACAUUGAACUGGUUUUUGCUACUGGCAGCUGCAAGUUGAUGUAUUGAAAAUGUUGGCAAGUGGUGAAUGAUUUAAUUCACUGCUACUUUUUGGCUGUAACAUGCUCUACAUUCUUCUUUCCUGGUAGUUUGGUAGUUUUUCUGGGGCAAUAAUCUAUAACAGUAACGAAUUUUCAUGUAAAGCUGAGAUGUGGAAUAUCCUGCUGUGAUCAUGUUUAUAUCAGUUUUGCUGCACUCAAAUACAAGAGCAUGUUUGCAAGGAUGAAUUCAGUUGUAUGUAUGAUUAAAUACUUUCAGUAACAUAAUAUGAAUUUUGUUAAAUUUAAAGUUUAUUGUAGAUACGAAAUGUGGUGUGAAGUGUAAAGGAUUUAUUGGAUCCACUUUUGUUCUAGACAGAAGGUCAACAUCUCUUUCUUUAAGACACUAGAGUAUAGGUUUUCAGUAUUUUUCAUGCCAUGUAAUUGGCUUUGAAUAUGUAGAAUUUAGGUUAAGUUGUGUAGUUCACAUGCAUCCAUUGGGUGCCUCUACAGAAAUAAACUCAAUUAUGGUUGGAUAGGAAGUGUUGAAAGAAUUAUAGGCUUUUCAUUUUCUUUAGGAAUUGGCACUGAAAGUUGGGACCGUCUCUAUUGGGAAGCCCAGGAAGUGAUCAACAUACUAGAGCAAUUGAGAGAAAGAGAAGGUUUUUUUUGUUGGGGAGGUGGGGGUUAGGGUGGUGUGGGUGGGGUUGUUGUUACAGAGGUAGUUGAAGACUUUUGUCAGAGAAAGCUAAUGCUUGUUACGGAUUGAUCCAUAUGUCUUUGCUUAAAGUGUCUGGUUGGAGCUGGGAUGACACAUGAACAUGCCUUUAUACCAAUUCUACACUAUGCAUUCUUGAAUGCAUUAUACUCAAUUCCUACAUGCAGCAUAUAAUAUGCUAGCAAGAUUGAUCAUUGUGGGCCAUUAGUGACUAUAACAUGAUAGUGUGAGUUUUCUUAUCAUUGACCACCACAAUGGACGUCUUUGGUAACCAAUAGGCAACGCGUUUGUGUCUUGUGCAAUGUUUUCAACCGCCUUAUUUCUGCAUUAUAGGGAAAUUAGUGUGUAGCUGGCUGUGCUUUGCAGGUCUUUGUGGCUCAAUUAUGGUAUUAGAUUGGAGCUUUCUUUUUGUCUUGUGAUUACAGGCACAUGGCCAAAUUUUUGAGUUUGGGCUUUAACAUGGUGUUUGUCACAGAUAAUAAAGCAUGCCCAUAAAGAAGCCCUCCUACUGCACUCUGAGGUGCUUUUGAUAAAUAAAAUGAAAAUUUUAAAGAUAUUGGGCUCCAUAUCUUUUGAGUCUUUAAGAGGAAGACAGAGCACUUGUUUAAUGUUGCAGGAUAUUUCUAUAAAACUGAAGUUCUUGUGGAUGUGCAUGUGCUGUGUAUUAUAUGUAUUAUAAGUUUUAAUUAGGGUGUGGGAAUGGAUAAUUUGAAGGAUUAACAUUUUUUGUUCUCCAAGAUCUCUCAGGAUUUGAUGAAUCAGACACCUGAAUUCGCACUGAACCCACAUACUGAGGCCCAUUUAAAGUGUUUGAACUGUUUUGUGAAAUUACCAGCAACUACUCAGGCUGGAAAAAAAUAAAUAGUUAUACUUUGUUCUUUGUAUGCUUUCUCUUGUGUAUCAUCAGUUGGAAAACUUUUCCAACUUCAACAGCUUUUGGAAGUAAUCAUAUUUCUGACCUUUUUCCCUUUUUCUUUUAUUGCAUUUUUCUGACUUUGAAUAAAUAUGUGAUAACUAACUGAUAAAUUUUCAAAUUUUUGGGUAUGUAUAUCAUGCUAAUCCUUAAAAUCUUUGAUUCAUGUCAUGGGAUAAAACUUUCCUGAUAUUUGCUUCGUCAGCUUCCUUGUUGCGGCUGCUGGCUUGCAGAGUUUGUGGAGCCUUUCACUGGCAAUUGUAGAUAUUUAUGCCCUUUCAGUGAUGCGAUCGUUGCAGAAUAGUAGAAUUGUCAACUUGUUCACUGUUGGUGAUGGGGUAAGAUUUUGACACAUAGCAGUUGUAGCUGAACUAAGUUGUUGGCACAUAGCAGUUAGCAGUUACUGUGCUGUAUGGGACCUUGCCAAUUUACAUUUGGUACCCAAGAAAUGGAGACAUUUUGAACUGCUUAUCCAUCUAGCCCGUCUUCUCUCUCCUAUGUUACAUAUUUAUAUACGAUCCCACAUUUUACACCAGCUGAAGACAUUUGUUCUGAUUUGUGAGCUUGUUGAUCAUGAAAACUCUGGUUUCAACUUUAUGGCUAACUGAUGAUGUGUCUUUUCUUGCAGAUAACAUCUACUCUUACAUUUGCUGCAGCAUGUGCUUCAGCCGGCAUCACAGUUCUUAUUGACAAUGAUCUUCAAAGCUGUUCCCAGAAUCAUUGCAUACAGUUUGAAACUGCAACAGCCAUGGCCUUCAUUAGCUGGUUUACCGCUUUACCAUCUUUUCUGUUAAAUUUUUGGUCAUUGGCAUCUCGAUGAGAAGGUUGUAGCAUGUAAAAAUUCAGAUAAGAGGAAGAAAACUCUGGCUCCCUUAUCAGACUAUAAGCAAAAGCUUAUAUUGAUGCUGUGCCAUCUUUCUCUUGCCUUUUUUGUUCCGAGAUUCCCAAACUGAAACUUGGUUUUGUUGUUGUGUGUAUAGAUUUGAAAAGAGGCUGCAGAAUGAAUACUUGGUGUGGUGAUUAUGAUUGGGUGAAUGUCAUUUUGACUGGGAUAUACAAAUUGAUUGAGUUUAUUAGUGAAAUUGAAAACGACCAUAUGGAAUAGGAACACGACAUUUUAAUUCAUUGUUGGAUUCUUUGUUUGUGCAACUCGGGUAAUUGACCAGGGGCUUUCAUUACUAAUUUUUCCGUACCUAAGGUGUUUAAUAUGCACGGAAGUACCCUCUUCUGUUCGGCAGUAGCCGUUGAUUCUGAUAUCUCAUCAAGCAAUUUCACCAGUAAACAUUAAACUUGUGUAAGCUUCAGGAUCAUGGCCUUCAUUGCAGACAAAAUUUAAUUUCUUGAUAAAUAUUUAAAAAAUGAGAAGAACGAUCUUGACAAUUUCUGCUCGUUAGCAUGGAAGGUCGCAUUAAGAACAUAAUACGAAAGAAAUUAGGGGUUAUAAAGUAACGAUUUAUUUUUAGUUAAGAAAGUUGUGGGUUGAACACGAUCUCCAUGAAGCAAUAGAUAACUCAAUAUCCUAGUUAAAUAUAAAUAUAAAUAAAAAUAAAAAUAAAUAAAUAUAUAUAUAUAUAUAUAUAUAUAUAUAUAUAUUAUUAGAGCUGCUUUAAGAACUAAUAUGUAUCAUGAAAACUAUAAAAUAACUAUUGAAGCUUCAUAAAUCUUUUUUUUAAUAUAAAUCUGAAAAUAUAUUAAUAAAAAAGAGAAGAGUUAUAAAAUCUUCGAAUACAAGAGAUUAAGUUAUGAAACGAUACUUAGGAUAGCCCCAAGAAUCGUCAAAUAACUUUUUUCCUAAUAGCCAUUAGUGGAUAAUCCCACCAAGUAUACAUGGAACAAGAUAAACCUAAGUUAGCCAAGCAAUUUGCUACAUAAUUUCCUUCUCGAAAAAUAUGAGAGCAUCUGAAAACUAUAUUUUUAAUCAAGCUACAACAAUUGAUCCAUCUAUAGCUUCAUAAAUCUAUUUGAUAGUAUAAUUUAUUAUAAUGUUAUUAUAUUUGAUAGUAUAAUUUAGUACAAUAUUAUGAAUAUAUUUAUGUAUAUUAUAUGAUUGAUUGAAUCAUGAAAUGUGAUUGCUAGUCACCAUAUGUGUAUUCUUCCUAUUAGGUGUUUUGCACAUGCGCAUUGAGAGUUAGAUUACUCUACCUAUGGGAUGUAGUUAAUUCUUCUAGGAGUUGAAAGGUUCUUCUCCUAUUCUACUUACGCGAUGAUCCUAGUAUGACAGUUACUUCCCUUGGGUACUAUUUGGUGUAAUUUUGUCAUGUACAUAUUUAUAAUUUCAUGUUUGCUUAUGAAUUAUGUUCAAUGCAUAUUUAGAUCACAUGUUAUGUAUUAGCAUUAGUUUAUUUUUUUAUAUAUAAGCACUAUAUCUACUGACUGAGCUGUAAACUCACUAUUUUCUUAUUUAUCUCAUUUUUUCUACAUUACAAAGAAUUUCAUAUAGUUUAGUUUCUAAUCAAUUGAGGUUCGAACCCAAUAUGCAUUGCUAUAUAAGUUGCAUUUUGAACAUGUUUAUGUUUAUAUAUACAUAUAUGAAAUGAAUGUAUGUAUAGUGAGAUAUUGAAGUGUGCAAAUUUCAACUAUAUCUUUAGAUGAGGCAGAGAUGUUGUUAUAUGUUUAUAGUAGAGGCCCUAAGACCAAUUUUAUAUAUUUAUGGAUUAAAUCUAUGUUAUAAAUUUUAGAUAUGAGUAUGAGAUAAGUAAUAUGGUGAGUUUUCAUGCAAGCUGCCUCAAAUCCAAUAGUUAAGACCAAGCUCUCCAAUGGAAUGUUUAAAACGAUCCAUUUCAAAUUGACCGAAUUGGUACAGAUGUUGUAACAUGGGAAAAUCAUGGGGUCUUGUCAAAGACAAAUAUUAUUGAGAUAAUUUUCCUUUAAAAAAAAAUUUACAAUUUAUGGAAGUAAAAUGGCGACUCAAUUUAUAUCAUGCAAAGUAAAGAGCAAUAUGACUAGAGUCAUAAAACACAAUUUAAAAAAAAAGGCUACAAAAUUAUUUUUAGGCGCACCAUUUGGCUUUUGACAAUUAUCGUUUGUUCUUUUUUCUGAUUUUUAUUCAUAAUCCUCAAAGUAGCAUAUUGAAAAGAUUGAAAAACAAGACUAAGGUAGUGUUUGUUUUUCUACUCUGAAAUCUAAAUAAAUCUAAAUUUUUCUGAAGUUUAAAUGGGUCUGAAUAUGAAAAUUUGAAUCACAUGUUUGUUUUUCUUUUUUAAUAUAUGAAUAUAAGUGGUAUCUUCAUACAUCUUGUUUGUUUUUAUAAUAAAAAAAAUCUUAAACUUGGUUAUUUGACAUUUACGUCCUUGUAAAUAAAAAAAAAAAAGGAGGAUUCUAUUUUAUAGUUUAGGAAAUCAGUUAUUUUAUAGAGAUAUUCUAGAAUAUAAUAGUUAUUUAUCAUUCAAACCUUUUUUGCAUUUAGAUAAAAAUGAUAAAAACUUACUUUUUCUAUUCAAAUGUAAAUGUUUGAAAAUUAGACAUAAGUUACAAAAAAUAAACAAACAAAUUUUAAAAAAGGUCUGAAAUUAGUAAAAUUUCAUAAUUCAGACAUUUUACAAGCAACCUCCAACUAGACAACGACAUGAUAUUAAUAUCUAAAAUAUAAUUAUCCAUAUAAUGAAAAAGAAAUUAAAAAUAAAUGGUGGGUAAUAACAAAAGAGCCUAUUAUAACAUUCUGUACAAUUCAACCACAUUGGAAAAAAAAAUUCUAGUUAAACUAAUUUACCUAGAACAAUACUUUAUAGUAAUCCCAUUAUUGUAAGAAUCGUAUUCCAUGCAAUCAGACAUACGGAUCUAAGAAAAAAGCAUGGAAAUUUAUCAAUGUAUUUUGCCUGAGAUAAACGUAAAUUAGAAAUGUUGUACAAAAAAUUUGAACUAAAAUAAUAUUUUGAAUAUAUUAUUUCCUAUCACUUCUUCAUAUUACCUUUGGUGCCAUGAGAGAGAUGAAUUGAGGAAGGAAACUUGGAUAAAUUUGAAAUGACUGUGAAGAUAUAUAUGAGGAAAGGAAUCCAGGUUGAAUUUUAAACAUUCCAUUGGAGAGCUUGAAUUUUAAACAUUCCAUUCAAGAAAUGAGAAAAAUAAUUUUGUAGAAUAAAAUGAUCUUUUAAUUCAUUUUAAGAUAAAAUUGUCAUUUGUUAGUGUCAAAGUGGUUGAUUGAAACAAAUUAAAAAAUAAACGUGGUGCAAAGAACAAGUAAAAAAAUUUAAGGUGAGUAUAUGUACAUAUGACAAAAUAAAGAUGAUGCAGAGAUAUAUAAAAUACUUAUUGGUUGUGGAAUAAGAAAACUUGAAAGGAGAUUCAAUAAAGAGUAAAAUGCGGAAGAAAUGAUAGCUGCCAAGUACUGGUUAGGACUUAGGAGUGAGACCAACGGCCAUCAUCCCAAAGAAGGUCAAAUAGGAGAAGGUGAGGAACAUGACAACAAGAUAAAGCAAAAAUUUUCCUGCAAUAUGAAACAAAUAUUCAUUACAUAAAAGCAUAUGCAUUAGUAAAGAAAAUCAAUUGCAAAAAACACCUUUUGUAUUCUGUAUGUAAGAGCAAAAGGGGAAUCUUACUGGCUAUUCUUUCAAAAUUAACCAUGAAAUACGUGAUGACACCAAAUAGAAGUUCUUGCACAAAGACAUACAGAAUCUCCAUAAGACCCUGUGGAAGAAGCAUUUGAGAUUUUCAUAAUUUAUUUAUCCUUCAGAGUUCAGACAAGAUUAGAACGUGUCGAAUAUACUUUAGUAGCAUUACUGUUACCUGGGCUGCUGCAAAAGGAAUUGAUGAAUACAUCCCGACUGCUUUCUCUGUAGAAAACCGUCCUCUCAAUAGAAACUAUGGGCUGAACAGAGGCAGCAUUGUUGACCCCAAGAAAUAGGCAUGAAGCAUACAAUGCUCCCAUCACCAUAAAUAAGCCUUGAGAUGAGUCCCUGAAGAGUUUAUUAUAGUGAUUGGCUUACCGUUUUAACAAAAAAAGUUACUACAAAAAAUAUUUUAAAAUGUAACAACUAAUUCAAGAAAUGAGGAAAGAAUUUUAUCUCUGCGAACCAACAUCCCAAAACACAGAACCAAGUAUCAAUGCAGCCACUGUCGUAAAAGCUAACCUCACGACAUUAUAUUAUGGACUCCUCCAAUAUACAAAAUUAUGCUUCUAAAGGCAAAUAAAAAAUUGAGACAACCAAUUUUGCGAGUAUGUUGAGGCAAACUUCAUUGGUUCUUAGCCAACAGAUGGAACACUUUUGAACUCUUAAUUGAAGACUCAACUUUCCUACAGAAAUUAUAUGCAUGCUAAAUAAAUCAUAUAUAAUAAAAAUAACAUAAAAGUCAAAUAAUUGACGAAAGCACACGCUGAAACAACAGUAACAAUAAUAUGAAAUCAAUUCAAUGACCUGUAUUGCUCGCAAUUUUUGUAUACAUUUUGCAAAGUCUAUCCUGAGCCUUUCUUCAACAGUUGGCUGUGAUAACCUCAAGCAUCCAAGUAGUUGGAUUGUAACUACUAGGAAUUAGAGGGAUUCCAACUAGUCCUUAGAAAUAAACCAGUCAAUAUCCAGAUCAUUAAUAUAUUAAAACCAGCAAAUACCCAAAGAAUGGACUCUAGAAAAUGAAUGUCACCUGGAAAUAGUAUAUCAUAAUGUACAAGUGGACACCUAGCUUCCCUUCAUAAUAUAUCACCUGGCCCACUUAUUUCAUAAGAACAAGGUGGAUUAGUUAUAUAUGUCAAAAUCAGGUAGACUAUUAUAUAUGUUAUGUUUAGAGAUGGCCAAUGUACCGAGCAGCACGGGCAUGAGAACAGCACGACAUGAGCACGUUUUGGUGGGCAUGCGGCAUUGCAUGACAUGCACACAAGCUGGGUUGGACUAAGAAUUUUAGAUAUGUGGGUCUUAAAAGCACAACACGAUUCUAGAUGUGUAAAAGCACGACACAUAAAAAAACGUACAAUAAGAAAGCUCUACUUGUGUGCUAGCACACAGCCCAUGGACAUUUAAUAGCAUGCAGGUCAAAGUAUAUAAAAAUAAAACUUUUUAAUGACAAGUAAACUUAAAAUUUUAUGAUUUACAAAUAAUUUGAAAUUGAAUCUUUUAAUAUAUUUUAUCAUCGUUAGGUUUUUUAAUUUAAGUGUUAGUUAAAAAAACUAUGCUUGUUUUAUGUUUAUAAUUUAUUAAAUGAAUAAAUGAUAUCAUGAUUUUAAUAAAUAAAAUUCUUAGUCAUUUAAUAAAUGAGCAGAUCAUUUUUCUAACUCAUUUUCCAAAAAUUAGGAACUAUGGUAAAAAACAUAUUUACAUUUGCACUAAGAAAUUUAACUUUCGUUUGUAAAUUCAAACCUUCUGUUCUGUGGGCAAAGAUUAUAUAUUGAAAAGUUCUGUUUGUAAAAAAAGAGGGAGCACUUGUGACAAUGGCAUAACCGUAAUGGAAGUAUGGAACCGUCUCCAGACUUCAAUUAAACAUUGGAAAUAAUAACAUGAUCACACCAGUGAACAAGAACAAGCUUAUCAUCCUAACACACUAAAGUUGUACAUUGACAUUGGCUUGAACAUAUUUUCAAUAUAUCUGCUUGCACUAGACUGGAUUAAUCAUCAAGAAAAGUUCUGCAACUAACAUUUCCUCACAUUCUGUAUUAUUAUCAGAAAUACCAACAGUCUAAAUGUUUAAUUAUGUGAAGCUAAAUUUAUAUCUAAAGAUGAUUUGCAGGACUAUCUGGCACUAAUGGACUCUCUGUGGGUCCAGCAUUCAUCUUCUCUGAAAGUUGAGGAAUUUUACUGAGAAAGCAAAGAUGCCAAAGAAGAAAACGGAAAAGGCAACAAGCAUUGCAGCUGAAGCUCCUACCAUCCCAGGGCCGUAGCCAAGACUUUCUUUCAGAUACUCCUUCACUGUGCCUCGAAACGUAGGUUCCACAAUCAUGGUUUCCACAUCACCAAGCUGAGAGCUUAUGAUGCCCCGGAGAGUCCAUGCAACAGGGCUGAUGUAAUAGAACCAGAUCCACCAUCCCGGAAUACUCUAAUAUACCACAAACAUAAGAAGUUGAUUCGUAAUUUAAAGUACUAUUUGAUUUAUUUGCUCAAGAUUAUAUAUAAUACUUACCGGUUGUGGAACAAGAAAACCUGAAAGGAGAUUCGAUAAAGAGUAAAAUGCGGAAGAAAUGAUAGCUGCCAAGUGCUGGUUAGGAGUGAAACCAACAACCAUCAUGCCAAAGAAGGUAAAGUAGGAGAAGGUGAGGAACGUGAAGACAAGAUACAGCAAAAAUUUUCCUGCAAUAUGAAAGAAAUGUUCAUUACAUAAAAGCAUUUGCGUUAGGAAAGAAAACCAAUUGCAAAAAACACCAUUUGUAUUCUGUACAUAAGAGCAGAAGGGGGAAUCUUACUCAUUGUUCUUUCAAAAUUAACCAUGAAAUACGUGAUGACGCCAAAUAGUAAUGUUUGCACAAAGACAUACGGAAUCUCCACAAGACCCUGUGGAAGGAGCAAUUGAGAUUUUCAUAUUUAUUUAUCCUUUAGAGUCUAGACGAGACUAUAACUUCUCGAAUAUACUUUAGUAGCAUUAUUGUUACCUGGGCUGCUGCAAAAGGAAUUGGUGAAUACAUCCCGGCUGCUUUCUCUCUAUAGAACACCGUCCUCUCAAUUGAAACUAUGGGCUGAACAGAGGCAGCAUUGUUGACCCCAAGAAAGAGGCAUGAAGCAUACAGAGCUCCCAUGACCAUAAAUAAACUUUGAGAUGAGUCCCUGAAGAGCUUAUUAUAUUGAUGGGCUUACUAUCUCAAGAUAAAAGAUUACUACAAAAAAUAAUUUAAAAUGUAACAGCCAAUUCAAGAAAUGAGGAAACAAUUUUACCUCUGCGAACCAACUUCCCAAAACACAGAGCCAAGUAUCAAUGCAGCAACUGUCGUAAAAGCUAACCUGACGGCAUUAUAUUGUGGGCUUCUCCAAUAUACAAGAUUUUGCUUCCAAAGACAAAUAAAAAAUUGAGAUAGCCAAUUUUGUGAGUAUGUUGAGGCAAACUUCAAUGGUUCGGAGCCAUCAGGUGGAACACUUAAAUUCUUAAUUGAAGACUCUACUUCCCUGCAGAAAUUAUAUGCAUGCAAAAUAAAUCAUAUGUAAUAAAACCAUCAUAAAAGUCAAAUAAUUGACGAAAUCUCGUGUUGAAACGGCAGCAACAAUAAUAUGACAUCAAUUCAAUCACCUAUAUUGCUCGGAACUUUUAUAUACGUUUGCAAAGUCUACCCCGAGCCUUUCUUCAACAGCAGUUGUGGUAACCUCAAGCACCCAAGUAGCCGGAUUGUAACCACUAGGAAUUAGAGGGAUUCCAUCAAGUCCCUAGACAUAAACAAGUCACCAUCCCGAUCAUUAAUAUAUUAAAACCAGCAAAUACUCGAAGUGUGGCCACUGGCAAAUGAAUGUCACCUGGAAAUAGUCUAUCAUAAUCUGCGAGUGGACACCUAGCUUCCCUCCAUAGAUGACCCGCCCCCCUCGUUUCAUAAGAAGUAGCUGUGGUUUACGACCCAAAGAUUAUUUGCCAGAAAAUAGAAGGGAUUACACACAAAAUCACGGCAGACCAACCUCAUCAAAUGCUUCAAAGAUCUCAAUACUUGGUUGAUGUAUGGUGCAAACCACCGUUCGUCCAGUAUCAACAGUAUUACGAACAGCUCGCAUCACAAUGGCUGCUGCUCGAGCAUCCAGUCCAGAUGUGGGUUCAUCCAUGAAAAUAAUGGAAGGAUUCGCAACAAGCUCCACUGCUAUUGUUAAGCGUUUUCUUUGCUCCGUUGAUAAACCAAAACUACCCGGAGAACCAACCAACGCAUGCCGUAAACUGUCAAGCUCUACUAAACUCAUCACCUCUUCAACAAACUCCUGCAAUGGGUUAUAGCAAAAUGAAUAUCACUACAGUGAUAACUAUUCAACCGAAAGUACAAUGAGGUCGCAACUCGCAAGUGCCAAGGAACUCACAUGUCUUUGAUCUUUGCUGAUUUCCUUUGGUAGACGAAGAUUGGCAGAGAACCAAAGAGACUCUUCGAUUGUCACCUGAGGAGAAUGAACAUCCUCUUGUUCAACGUAUCCCGAAAUUCUGGCAAACGUGCUUUGCUCCUUUGGAUAACCUGAUAUCUUUAUAUCCCCUUCUAUGUAACCACCAGUUUUCCUACCGGCAAGAACAUCCAUUAAAGUGGUCUUGCCUGCUCCACUUGACCCCACUAAAGCGGUAAGAACACCCGGUGAGAAUAUUCCGCUCACAUUCGACAGGAGUUGCAAUUUCUUUUCGUGUAUACCUUUUGACCUCAUUGCCUGAUAACCACCCACGGCCCACCCAAAAAGAGAAAUUAACAUCGAUUUUACGUAUUACAUGAGGCGAAAGUAUCGAAAAUAGAAGGCAGACACACCUGGGGAGUAUCAACGUAGUAACUGAUAUUAUGAAAAGUCAUGGUCAAUGGAUGAAAUGGCAUGAUCAUGCCCUUCUUUUUGCCAUCCUCCCGAGAGGAAGUUGUUUUUAGUUCACACCCCUGACUGGCCACUGAAUAAUAAGAUGUAUUAAACAGUUGAAAACCAAUUUUCUUUAGUAUUGGCUAGACAAAAGUAUAGCUACAAAUCAAUAAUUCUCAAGGAAAACAAAUGAAUUUGACUGACCACCCUUUUUGACAGAGUUUUCUUCUCGAUCAUCACUUUGUAUCACCACCUGUGAUUUUCUAAGAGCUGUAAUGAACAAAAAUAAUCAGAACAUAAUCAACUGAUAAAAGAUAAAAAGCAAAACUCCCUCUUGUGACUUACGAUUUAGGUAGGCCAGGGCCAAAGUCAUGAUGUUGUUGAAAAGCCAAGCAUAAAGUAACAUAACACCAACUCCAAGCCAGUACCAAUAAUCAUCAGUAGGUAAGCUGUGUGAAUGAAGAACAUUGUAACCUACUGUGUUAUUUCCAAUUGCAGAUUUCUUCAUCCAUCUUGUGGCAGUAAAUUCAUUGACAGAAAUUGCACUCUGCCCAUAAGAUAACGGUGACACCCAGUACAUCCAGAUCCACCAGGACUUAAUUGAUUCUGAAAUGUGAAACACAAACAUGAGUAAUAGACCUGAAUUAAUGUCAAAAUAUACAAAACAACAAAGCCUACCCUUUGGAAUGAUGAAUCCACCCAACAGUAAUAUGGCCAACAUAGAAGCUGAUCCGAACGUAUUGGCAAUGACCAUAUCUCGCGCAAUUGAGGCCAUCAUGCGGUAGAGUCCCAAUGCCAUUUGGUGUAUGGAGAACAGCAACAGCAUGUAACGGAAAAAUCUGAAAAAUGAAAAGGGACCUAUGAUUACAAACGAAUUGUGGAAAGCAUAAACAUCAUGUGUACAAGGAAAUACAUACCUCCCAGCACCAGGGGCAAAACCAAGAGUGUAAUAUACAAUACAAGACCAAACAACAGCUUCGAUGAUGGAUAAAGGCACGCGAAGAAUCCAACUCGCAAUGGACCAUGCCCAUGCAGGAUGAAAGUAAUUAUCACGUUGCUUGUAAAACACUGGGAGUCGAGAUAUCAAAAUAGGUAACUCCGAGAAGCAAUUAAACAUCAUAUGCACCAUUCCGAAAAAAUGACAAUUGAGAUACAGGGCGCCUUUUUUCUCAUCUGUGGGAUGUUGUCUAGUUUUUAAGAACAUUGUGCACGUGAGAAAUCCAACAAAUGCAACCUUCAACACAUGCAAAACACACCAUGAGCGAAAAGCUAUAUUAACAAGCAAAGAUGUAGACAGCUAAAGCAUACCUGGCAUGUCCUAAACAUAUAAAAAAAUCUAUGCCUGCUGAUCAGCAAAAUUUCUCGUGCAAAACAUGUUCGAAAAAGCUCCCAUUUUGAAACAGCAUAUUUUGUUGUGGCUAAAGCUGAAGGAUGACUUUUAGAUUUAUCAAAUGGGACGGCAAGUGAGGAUUCUAGAGACUUUCCAAAUCUGGAGCUUUUAAAAGCAUUUGCAAUUUCUGAAACGGGAAGGAAUACAUAUGGUUUUGAAGUAUCAGCCCAGUAUUUAGCUUGAUCUUUUUUGGAAGUCACCUGUUAAAGAAAAACACAAAUUUUUUUUUUUUAAAAAAAAGUUAGGAAGCCCAAAGAAAACAUCAUAACCGGUAUUUAUAUUUAACAAAUCACCUCUUGGAGAAAAUCUGCAACCCCUUUACGAGGAGGCAGCCGAAAUCCUAAUGACUCGAAAAACUCCAACACCUCUGCUCGAGGGCCUUGGUACACCAGAUAGCCGUCUGAUAAUAGCACCAAAUCAUCGAACAGCUCAAAUGUCUCAGGUGGAGGCUGAAGAAGAGCCAUCAGUGCAGUGGCAUCCAUUUGAUGAACAAAGUUGCGCACACAUUUCACAAUUUGAAAUGUAGUUGAGCUAUCAAGGCCCGUUGAUAUUUCAUCCAUGAACAGGGUUUUUCUUGGCCCAACAAUCAUUUCUCCUGCAUAUUAUAAGCUGCACAAUUAUUAUUAUGUCUACCAACAAUGAUGAUAAGAUUCCUCAAGAAAAUUUUCUCAUCUGUACAAAUGCAAGCAGGGAGGGACCUGUUGUAACUCUUUUCUUUUGACCACCUGAGACACCUCUGAGCAUCUCACUACCAACUACAGUGUCCGAACACAGAUCAAGACCGAGCACAUUUAAGACAUAAUCUGUUGAAACACUGUGUUUUUUGCCGCCCACGGAUGAUGCCUGUUGAGUAAAGUGGUUAAAUUAAAUCAAGACAGAUGUAAGGAAACGUAAGUGCACAAAAUAAAAGAAGAAGGCAGUGUUUCAAAAUGACGACCUUCAUGAAAGCAUCAAUCUCUGGAUUUGGACGUAUGUGCCUUUCCUUUUCUAAGCGAGUCAGGUCCUUGAUAUAUGCUACAGACAUGGAAAGAAAAAUGAAACACGUAUGAUCAGGACUAAGAUUCUACGUAAUUAAUGACCAUCUAAUAGUUAUGAAUGAACAAACCUGCAAAACUAUCAUUUGCCCCUUGACAUCUAGCGGCAAAAUCCAAGGUUUCGCGAACGGUGAGCUCAGCAAUGUGAUUAUCUGUUUGGCCUAUGUAUGCCGAAGUCCUUUGAACCUGAAAUUCAUCAAGCUCCCAGUCGUUGUACGUGAUACUACCACUUUUCUGCAAACAAAGAUGGGUUUGUAAUUCAUCAUACAACACAAGUACUGCCGUUGAGCAGGACUAAAGCAACAUUUUAGCGCAAAUGACAAGGAAGAUCCUAUUAAUAAGAGCUUGUAGGAAUUUAAAUCAUAUUAGUAAGAGGUUCCAUGAAAUUACACAUUUCACAAAGAAUUUGACUAUAAUUAGUCUUCUAAGCAGACGAAAAAGAAAAAAAAAAAAAUUGGACUAUAAGGAUAACAGCUCUGAAAUUAUAUAUUGUUGAUGUGAUAAGCAGCAAGUACUGACGUUCAAGUUGCCGUCAAGUUUGCCAGCCAGAGCUAAAAGCAAGGUGGAUUUUCCAGAACCAGGAGGUCCUAAGAGCAAAGUCAUCCUACAAAUGACAAAAAGUUAGUAUCCAUCAUAUGCAGGGAAUGCUGAUUUCACUUGACUACUUAUAAAACAACACGUGACACUAAUAAAGUUCUCCAACGAAGUAGCAGAAAGCAUCAAAAUCCACCAAGCAUACUGCACCGCGACAUGUAAUCUAUAGUUGCUGUGAAAUGGAAUUGUCAUUUAUCAAGUAUAAGCAGGUGGGUAACUUGUAACAUUAAUUAGCAACAAAGAAAAAGCUAUGAGCAUUUACCAAUUAAAAAAAAGUACAAACACAACAACUACAAACAUGAACUAGGUGAGCAGACUGUCUUACUGAAUUAGUUCAUUGUGAAGUGAUUAAUCUUAACAUCACAAAUGUCACUAUUGUGAACUGUGGCGUGAGCACUUAAAUUUACAGCAGAAGUACGUCAGAAAUAUGCACGUAUGAUGUAUUAUUAUUCCACGGGCUAUUGCGUACCUUCCCGGCUUCACAACAGCACUUAUAUCGUUCAAGAUGGUCAAAGAAUACCUCUUAGGCUUGAAUAAUCUUAAACCAGCAAAUACUCUCUGCACUCGAACCACAAGAAAUCAUAAUAAAAUAAUUAUUAUAGAAGUAUCUUAUAAAUUUUGUUAGAAAAAUUGUAAUUUUCUUUUGAACACAAAAUUUGUAAAUACUUAGAAUACACACAAAUGAAAUAAUAAUUCAAUACGGAAAAAGAUAUACAAACCUCAAAUACAUCUCGAGUUGCAUUAAUCAGAGUUGGUAAAGCUCUAGACCCUACUUUCACAUCAGUCGCAACUCUUAAGUUCUGCAACCUCACCUCUACUUUCGGCACUUCUAGACCAACCCUUUAACAUUCAACCAAUACGCAAACACGCAUCAGAUUAUAAAAACAAUAGUUAGACAAAUACAUAAUAUUUUUUUCACGAAAAAUAAAUAAAUAAAUAAAUAGUAAUAAUAAUAAAAGAACCUGAAUUUUGACAACAGACGUCCGUACGAAAAAAAAAAAUUUACUAUCAAAAUUCUCCCUGACUCAAUUUAGAAAAAUAAUGGUCUCAUUGAAGGGGCCGAAUGGGCUCCUCCUAUCAGUUAAAAAUAUAUAAUUUUUUUUUAUAAAUAUUUUCACAUUUGUGAGGUUUGACGUCCGUUGACUAUCACUGCUCGACAACUUAAUAAAACAGUAACGCACUUUGCCUCAGGAAUUGACCCUGGAAAAUUUCCCAGGCAGAACAAAGUAUAAAGUCAGUAAUUUCUCUUGAUCUAUUAUUUUGUACCGUCGAAAAAGAUCAAAUGACAAAAAAAACAAAAAAAGCAUAAUAAAACAGUAAGUUAUAUUUAAUGUAACGUAGGGCUACUAGAAUAAGAUAAAAAUAAGACCUUGGCACUGUAUAACUCACUUGAACAUCGUUUCUAUUGGUUGUAGGUUAAAACUCAUCACAAUUUUUCAUCCAUAUGUAUGGAGAGAGAGAUGAGUACCUAUCGAGACGUUCUUUGAUGGCGGAAAGAAGUCUGUAAUUAUCCUGAUCGUUAGUGGCUAGGGCCUUCUUAACGACGAGUUCACGGUGACUUCGACUGAGUUUCCUCACAUCAAUUGUCUCGGUCUUCGCUUCGUCUCCGGAACUUGUUCUCCUCAACAACGCGUAGUUUCUUUGCUUUUGCGACGGCAGUCUUGCGAUCGCCGCCCACAUUAGCUCCUCCUCGUCUUCCUCGGCAUUCGAAGGCGGCGCAAAUCCUUCUAUUUCGACCUCGUAGUACUCGCUUCCGUUUGAGGCUGCCAUGUUUAUUGUGAGCACUCUUUUGUUUUACACUUUAGAUUCAAAUAUGAACUAGGAAAUUUGUUUAGUGUGGAAUACGGUGAAUUGUAUUUUUCUUUUAUCCUAGAAAGGAAAUGCUAGGAUAUUCUUCAAAAAUUAUGAGCGUGCAAUAUAUAAGGUUGAAACUUUUUGGGCAGUAAAUGAUUCUCAUUAAACUUCGCUAGUCAAUUUUCACAAAUCUUCAGAGUUAAUUUCAAAAAAAUGAAAAAAAUCUCUUGAGUUAAGGCCUUGAUUGCACUAAGAUUUGCAAGUAUUCUAUCAUAACUUUCCCGUGCUUAUAAAGGAAACUUUUUUUUUUUUUUGGGUCUCUAUUUGUUAUGUUCUAUAGAAAUUGAAGAAUAUUGAUGUGGUAAUGAAGAGAGAGAACAAAAUUAAUGUUAUUUAUUGUCUCAUUGUAUACCGAAAUUUGAAAAGGCCUAGUACUUCCAUUCACAUCAUUCAAUGACGAUGCAAUUGUAUAUUGUCAUUUAAAAUUCUAUGUAGAAAAACUGUUAAUAAAUUGGAAAGGUACCUUAGUACAUUUCUUCCCUUGGCAAGGUGCCGCCAAAAAUUUGAGAAAAGAAAAGCAUUCACUUAAAAAAAUUAGUUCUAUUAUCUGCCCUCUCAUAUUCAUAUUUAACAUAUUUGAGGUUUGACAUGUAAUUUCAUAUUUUAACUUCACUCAACCAAAAACAUAAAAUUCAUAAUUAAAUGUUCCCAAAUAUAUCGGGCUCCAUAUCUUUCGAGUCUUUAAGAGGAAGACAGAGCACCUGUUUGUCUCUUGCAGGAUAAAACUGAAGUUCUUGUGGAUGUGCUGUGUAUUAUACAUAUUACAAGUUUCAAGUGGGGCGUGCAAAUGGAUAUUCUGAAGGAUUAGCAUUUUGAGUUCUCCAGGAUCUCUAAGGAUUUGAUGAAUCUGACACCUGAAUUCGCACCAAACCCACAUACUCAGGCCCAUUUAAAAUGUCUAAACUGCUUUGCGAAAUGGCCAGCAAACUACACAGGCUGGAAGAAAAUAAAAUAGUUAUGCUUUCUUCUGUGUAUGCUUUCUCUUGUGUACCAUCUCUGUUGGACUUCAACAGCUUUGGCAAGUAAUCAUAUUUCUGACCCUUUUUUAAUUGCUUUUUUUUUUCCGGCUUUGAAUUAAGAUGUGAUUAACUAACUGAUGGAUUUUCAAAUUUUUGGGUCUGUAUAUCAUGCUAAUCCUUAAAAUUUCUGAUUCAUGUCAUGGGAUAAAACUUCCCUGAUAUUUGCUUCAUCACCUUCCUUGUUGCGGCUGCUGGCUUGCAGAGUUUGCGGACCAUGCACAAUAAUAGAAUUGUCAGCUUGUUCACCGUUGGGUGAUGGGGUAAGAUAUUGACAUAUAGCAGUUAUAGCUGAACUAAGUUGUUGCAGCAUAUGUCACUAUCACUGCCAAUUCUCAAAAGAAUUGUUUCCUUGCAUUUUUUACAUCUGACUGCCGCAGUUAGAAAUUACUACGCUGUAUGGCACCUUGCCGAGCUAAAUUUGUCACCCAAGCGAUGGAGAUAUUUUGAACUGCUUGUCUAUCCAACCUCUCUUCUCUCUCCUAUGUUACAUAUUUAUUUACGAUCCGGCUUUUAACACCAGCUGAAGACAUUUGUUCUGAUUUGUGAGCUUGUUGAUCACGAAAACUUUGGUUUCAACUUAAUGGCUAACUGAUGAUUCAGCUGGCAUCACACUUCUCACUGACAAUGAUCUUCAAAGCUGUUCCCAGAAUCAUUGCGAACAGUUUGAAACUGCUACAGCCAUGGCCUUCAUUAGCUGGUUUACUGCUUUACCAUCUUUUCUAUUAAAUGAAGGUUAUAGAAUGUAAAAAUUCAGAAAGAGGAAGAAAACUCCCGCUGCAUUAUUGGACUAUAAGGAAAAGCUUAUAUUGAUGCUGUGCCAUCUUUCUCUUGCCUUUUCUGUUCCGAGAUGCCCAAAAAUUGAAACUUGAUUUUGUUGUUGUGUGCAGAGAUUUGAAAACAGGCCGCACAAUGAAUACUUGGUGUGGUGAUUAUGAAUGGGUGAAUAUCAUUUUGACUGGGAUAUACAAAUUGAUUGAGUUUCCUAGUGUAAUUGAAGACAACCGUAUGAAAUAUUGACACUAUUUUAAUUCAUUGUUCGAUUGUGUGUUUGUGCCACUCAGGUAAUUGACCAGGGAUUUUCAUUAGUAAUUUUUCCAUAACUAAGGUGCUCAAAAUGCUUGGAAGUAUCCUUUUCUGUUUGGCAGUAGUGUCACUUAAUUUAUUGUUUUUUGUCAUCUUGAGGUGAUGUUAAGAAUAAUAAUUAUACGAAAGAUAUUAAAAUGAGCGUCAAUAAGUACAUUUUCUUCAAAUUUCAAAUAUCUAUCGACUGUAGCAAAUGAUUAUAGCAUCAGCCUAUAGAGCAAAGCUAACUUGAUUUGCAAGUAACCUAGUAGUUUUGACAAAUAUGAAUGAUCUUCUAAUUUUGGUUUUAGAAAUAUACUGCCAUGGUAUGGUAUGAAUGUACAUAAAGCGUGGAUAAAAAGAUUGCAUUUGACUCUUAUAACAGUAUUAUCUCAUGAUCACAAGAGUCUCGUUAGCAUACUUUAGUAACGUAGAAUAAAUGAACAAUCGCCAAAAUAACGUUGCUUUGUCUCCAUACUUUUUAUGAAAAGAAGGCAGAUAAUCGUUAUAAACUGAUCACGAUCUCAAUGAAGCUUAACUACGUACACUCCUAGCUAGCUAAUUUCACGAGACCAAAUACACUAUAAAUAAAGCCUUAACUAUCUGCGUGAAAUUAAAGGUGUUAACUAUUUAAAACUUGCAAAGAGAGAAAAUAAUGUCCAAGGAAGAUGAUGAUGAGGCCAGAUUUUAUCGCUCCUUUAGGAAGUAUGAAAAGAUGGUAAAGCAGGUACAGCAAUCAACAUCAUUGCUAGCUAGCUAGUCAUGGGUUUGAUUAUUAUUACAUAUCUACAAAAACACAAUUGCCUUUCUUUGUUUCAACAAAAUGUUUCUAAGGUAGAUAAAACAAAAUUAAUCCGCUAUUCGAAGCUGAUCAAAUAAUUAAUUUAAUGUUUACAGAUGAGGCGGUUUGACGAGAUUGCUGUAAUAAUGGACGCUGUCAGGUCUAGUUCGACCAAAAAGAAAAGGGUAUUUAUUUUUAUUUAAUUUUCCUUAUCAAUAUUCCCAUAAUAAAUUAAUAUUAGAUUAUGCUUAUUAUUGAGUAAAUAAAAUUUAAUUUGUUUGUAGAACUCUGAAGGGCAGGGCAGUUGUAGCAGUACUGGCGUGGCUGAUAAUCAAGAAAACUCGAACCGGCUUCUCGUGGAAACCAUAACCAAAUUUCUCAAUGAGUUGAAUGAAGAAGACAACGGUUAUGACAUUAAUGAUCCCAAGCCAUCCAAUAAUCCAUGAUUCGACGAAGCUCACAAGAGAAUAUGCAACUAUGGCUUUAGCAUUCAUAUUAGUACUUAUAAUUAUAUGAAGUAACCGCAAUUAGUACUGUUCUAGUUUUAGUGUGACAUCUUAAAAUAUUUUAAUGAUGUCUAAGUACCUUAAGAUUAUAUUUUAAGGAUCCUUGGAUCCAUAUCUUGUACCGAGAAAGUUUAAUCUUGAAUCAAAUAUUGGGUUGAUAAAACUCAUCGCAAUCGCCCUAAAAAAUACUUAUGGCAAUUGGAUCAUUGAGCUCUGUUUUCAGCCGGCAUGAAAACUUGAACAACAUGUGUUUGUUUAUAAUAUUGAGACAACAGAUAGAAAUUAUUUUGUGAAAGUAAUUACUGAAACAUCAAAACAAACAAAUUAUAAGAUUACGAUCGAUGACACUCCAUUAUAGAUAGAGUAUAUGACAAUGGACUGCUUGUAGUAUUUCCAAUUAAUAAAAAUAAAGCCUAGUUAGUUGUAGUUCUGAAAUUUGGAAGUGGUCGGUCAUACCAAAAUGAGCCAUGAGAAGCCAAACAUGAGUGAGGAAUUCACCACCACGCCUCAGCUGCUGACCAUGUUGGCUUCCUUUACUCUUGCUUGCUGCAAAUGCCAGAAUUUUCAACCAAGUGCAACCCAGUUUAUUCCAUUUCUCAGCUAGACCCUGUCCCUGAGCCUGCGCCUGUGCUUGUCAAUCAUAAUUAAGACAUUAGUUAUUAGCCGUUAAUUUUAAGUACCACAAAUAAAUAAGCAGAAUGGUUUUAAUUAUUAAUUUCAACCUGUUCUCCGUAUUUUUUCCUUAGAUGGGCAACUGUACGCGACGCAUCGUAUAAAAGUCUAUCCGUGCUGCGAAAUUUUGUGUAGCACUCUUCUUUAACCAGAUCUCCACACACAUCAGAAGUGGAAUUAGUAUUCCGACGUAUUUCAUUCCUAACACGAUGAACCGUAUCUUCAAAGCUACUCAAAUCCAGUACUCCAAUUGAGAACAUGGAAGGAUGCACCACUAAGAGAUAGAACACGUAUCUUGAAAUUUGCAUGAUAUGGGUCGCAGUGUACAGCAAUGGCCUUAAACGGCUCCCUGGUUUCUUAUGUCUCUCCAUCUAAGCGGUACAAAACUUCUGUAAUAAUGUGCCAGAAGAGAAUGCUGUUCCCAGGGUCAUCUUCAAGCUUUGGAGCAGCCUCACUAAUUGACUUGUCAUCAUCAUCGUCUACAUUAUUUCCUUGGGCACCAGGCACCAUGAUAAAGGAAGCUUUGCUAUUGCUUUCCCAUGCCUUCCUUUCCGUACCUUUCUGCUUGAAGAACCGGAAGAUCACUUGUUUAAGAUCUUCGGGGACUUUUUCAUGAGCUACACACCAUCGCUUUUCUAGCGUUUUAUCAAUGCCUAAGAGCUUCAGGAUUUUGUGGAAAGGCCGGGGUUCAACUGCAACGAACCUUAGCAAGCUGAGCUGACACAUUUCAUGCGACCACCUAGGACUCUUUGGUACUGAUGGUAAACAAGAAAGGGCAAAAUGCAAUGUGGAAGUGGAAACGUUGCUAUUAUUACGCCUAAUAAACGAAAUAAGAAAUUCAUCUGAAGGGAUCACCAUAAACACUACCGAAUAUAUCUCUAGGAUAAUUGCAACCACUAGCAACAAGAAUGUUAUGGAAAGAUCAACUUUUGAAUAAUACUUUUGUUUUUGGCUUUGCUGAAAGAAAGUGAAGAGCACUAACACACAACAGGUAACAAAGAAAGUGAGCAGCCGAAGGGCCAGCCCCCAGAGAGUAUACAGUAGCGGUGCCUUGGUGUAAAGCAAAUCAUAUAACAAUCCAAGCUCCAUUUCUAUAACUUGAAAUGCAUUCUGGAAGGAAAGAUAUCUAAAAACAGUUUUGCUACCAUCUCUGUCUCUGGAGCUGAGUACAGCAUCCAAAAAAAGGCCUUUAGUUAGUCGCAGGAAUCCAUAGGCGGUAAGUAGUUUUUCUUUGUGAGAAAUGGAGCUGUUGCUGUUAACAUAGACUGAGAGAUCUACCGGAAGCUGAACCUCAGAAACCAUUACUGUUGGUCUUGUAAUAUACCCCUCCUCAUUCUUAAUUUCAUUUUGGUCACGAAACAAGUCAAUGUCUCUGGAACUGGAACUAGACCGAGGGCUAGAAGUACUUGUGAACAUUGAUUGUCUAAGUUUUUCCUUGCUUGCUGACCUGAGCACCCAUGUUCGUUCUCCAUACUUGAUAAAGCCAACAACAAACAUGAGACUGGAUAGAAUUCAAAGGCGGGAACCACCUGUCAAAGCCAUGAGAAAGACAUAAAAAGCAAUUGAUGUCUGGAGAGUUAGUCCCAGCACGUGCCUCAACCAGAGCUCAUUGUCUUCCAAGGCAUACGCAGUAAUAGUAUCCGGUCCACCCAGGUGCAAAAGCAGAAACGGGGCCCAGAAUGCUUCUAAUUCUGUGUUUGCAUCGAGAGAUUUGGCGUGCUCAUCAAACAAAUCUGUGAGGUUGCCUGAAAGAAUACCAAGAGAAAAAGUCGCCACAGAAUCUGCAGCUAAGUAUGCGGACCACGCAACAAUUCUAAUCCAAAUCUUGGAAUCAAACCUUCUGCGGUGACCCAAAACGAUGAGUAUUAUUUGGAAGAUUAGGCUAAGUAGUACCGUCACUCGCAGAUCCCAAUCCUUCCACAGUUUCCGAAAUCGUGGGGGAAUUACCUCCAUUGUUUUCCUCAUUAUCGUCAAACUGCGAAUCACUUUUAAUUUAUAUAUUGUCACUCAUUAGAAACAGAAAAUGAAUCCCAAAUAUUGGGAAACAUGCAUUAAUCUGAAUAAAUGUGAAGUACAUUAAUAACGUGAAGAUUCUAUAGUGAUCAAAGACUUAAGCGCUAGACGUCUAGAUCAUUGUAAGCAUUCAAUUACGCUUAAAUAAUUAUAAAAUCUAUCAUAUAACGAUAUGUGUUUAUAGUUUGGGUGGUGAUUUUAUUUUACAGUCCUCCAUUAAAAGCCACUACAUAAUAAUUCUAACCAAAUAUAUCCUUAGACUAAGAAACGUAUCGACCAUGCUUUUAAUUUCCUUUUGAUUCAGCUCUAACUGCAUUAACAACAUAUGCAAGUGCAGUUUCAUCGCAGGGUAAUCAUGACUUUUUUUGUGGGAAGAAAAUGAAUCGCAAAUUAAGAAGUAAAAACAUACUUGGAAGAAUCAUAAUCAUCGUUGCUUGCUGAGACAUAUGUAAGCAUGCCUCUCUCCAAUUUGCUUACAAAAUCACCUCCAAGAACAGUGAUGUUAACUCUACUAAUUGAAUUUGAGGAGUGUUGCCAAGAACCAAUUUUUCCUUUUCAAGCCAAAAAAGUAAUGCAUACCACAUUCCAAACUUGCUUGUCGGAUUAAGUAUAGUUUAAAAAGUAAUAUGCCUGACAACAAGAAUCUAAGUUAACUAAACUAACUUUUAAUAGUUUAUAUACGAAAAUGAUGAUACUUUACUUCUUCUUCUUCUUUUCUUUUUUCUUUUUAACUUUUCGAUAAUUCAUUUUAUUUCAAAAAUAGUAAAUACAGACCCUCCCCACCAUGAGAGCCAAUUUUGUUACCAUACCUCUUAUUAAUUUAAGAGAUUUUAUCAACAGAAUUAGUUGGUUAACUCACUGAUUUACUUGAAGUAGCAAUUUUUUUUUUUAAAUUGAUCAAGAGCUGAUAAAAGCUAUGCUAUUUUCUAAGGUUUUUGUGCAAAAGUGUGCAUUUAUGAUAAUAUAUAGUUAAAAUUUAGUUAAUAAUUAAUAACAGCAAUCACCACAACACUCAAAUAAGCAUUGAACCCAAAUCCCUUUUUAAAAUGAAAUGCUUCAUUCGUCUGCUUUUUAAAAUAAUGAAUCAUUAAUAAGCCGUCACAUAUAUCAAAACUAAAUAGUGAAUUAUUAAGUAAAACCCUAUAAAAUACAAUUGCAAAAUGCAGAUUAUGGGUUCGAACCCUCCCACACCAACUGGACAGGGGAUUAGCAACAUCGAAUAGGCAAGAGGGCGUGAAAAGUCCAUGGUCCGCCAUCGGUUGGUCUUACAAUUGUUUAUUUAUUAUUUGUGUGUUAAUUUGAAUUUUUGCUACUCACUGAAUCAAUGAUGGUUAUAAGCAAGAGAAGGAAUAAAAUUAAAGAACAAAUUAUGACUAUUGAUUCAACACUUAAAAAUCCAAUUCAGCAGUGAAUUAUAUAAUCCACAAUUCAAACAUGUAAAACUUACAGUUUUGACUUUUGACGUUUCCGCCCUUACUUUCUAUACAUUUAUUUUUAAAGAGUUCGACGUCUGCAGCUUUAACACUCGACAUUUUAGCUCCCAGAGUGUCCAUUGUUUAGACGAUACAUAUUCACAAAUACAAUUUAUACAACGCUAUACAUAUUCAGAGUACUAGACAUUCUAUUAGGAGAAUGAAGAAGAAGAAGAAGAAGAAGAAAAGGCGGCAACAAACAAGCAAACAAAUGCUACUGCCAAAGGUAGAACCGUAGAAGAAUGAAUUUACAUGACAAUUUUAAUCUGGCGAUUGGUAGUCUUUGCUCUAGAACCCUGCACCGUUGUACGAAUCUCGUGCUUCUAUAUAUGGAAGUGCUCAUUCCUGGUUUCAACAUUAUUUUCAGAAAAAGAAGAUAAUUAUAAGAGCACAAUAAUAGUGUCAUGAAAGGAAAUUUUAAAUGGACAAAUGCAAAGGAGAUGAGGACUCACCAGCUUGGCUAUAGAAAAGAACUCCAUUGAUUCUUUUGAAUGUGCACGUUUGUACCCUGCAGGAUUGGUUCAACAGCAUCUCCAAAAGUUGAUGGCAUAUUUGUUAAUACAAAUUCUUUCAAAGUAUUGGUCAGGUUUUGCAAUCCUUGAGGUUGAGGCGGCUUUAGAUUGUUGCAGCUUCUGAUUUCUAAUUCUCUGAGGCGAGGCAUUGCUCCUUUCUUCACUGUCCACUCUUCCAAACUAAAUAAAUUCCACAGUUUCAAGACACGCAGCUGUGGAAAUCCUCCAGAUUUGCAUGUCAUUUCUCCUCCUAAGUAGGCUCCCCUGUAUAGCCUGAGGAUUUUCAGCUGAGCUAAUUUCUCUAGCGGUGGCAUUGGAUCAUGUACUAGUCUUGACAUUGACAGAGUUAGGAUUUUUAAAUUAGGAUAAUUCCACACACUGGCAUAAUCGAAGAGAGAAUGUAUAGUUCCUCGCAAAUAUAGUUCCUGCAACGUGGUGACUCUUGCUUCGCCGUAUUCAAUUCCGACAAAUUCGUCCGAUCGUGCACAUACCAGCUUAAAGGCUUGAAGUUUGUGCGAUUCGGAAACCAAAUUUUUUAUGAAAUUUAUUGCCAUCGGAGAAUUACAUUUCACACCCAACGUUCUGAGACCAGGAAAUUCUUUAGGGUCAGGUUGUCGAGGAGGAGUAUAUGACUCGAUGGAGAGACCCCAUAGAGUUUGCAGAUUGUUUAGUGAAGAGAGGCUUAGACCGUCAAUGGGAGAAUGAAUCCAGUUCAAAUAGAGAUGCUGCAGCUUCUUUGCUUUCCAUAUGGAAUCAGGCAAAAAACGAAGUUUAGUGUGUUUCACAUCCAAUGUCUCUAAACGUGGCAAAAUGCCCACAGAUUUUGGAAGAGAAUCUAUGAAAGUUGACCUCAAGACAUCAUCGGACAACUUUGGUUUAUAUACGCCCUCAAGAUCAAGAACCGUAAGCAACACAAACUCCCCUUUGUUACUUUUAGCGGUAAUCAUCUUGUCAAGAAACACAUAUAUUUCAGUAGCAGGUGAGCCUUGUAUCCGGGUGUCGAAAGCUACAUAACUGCGCAGGUGCCAGCUCCAGCUCCAUUCAGAGGGAAUAAAAUUGGUACUGACGCCCAAAUACGUUGCCAGGCGACGAACUGCAAACUGCGGUUGUUGUUCUUCCGCGGAUGAUGACUCUAAUUGAUGGUGAAAAAAUCCUGCUUUUGCUGCCUCUGGAGAGAAGACGUCAUAUAGAACAGUCGGCAAACGACACAUUUUCGGGGUUCCAUCUAACCUCCAUUUUGUUACGUGAAUUAGAUUUCUAAUGACUAAUUCUUCAAAGUAGGUUUCAGCCAGAUCAGUGUCAAUGGGUAACACAAAUGGCUCAGUACACCAUAGAUGAAUCAACCUCCUCACGGGGACCUCAAACGCUCUAGGGAAAACCCCCAUGUAGAGGAAAAAUGGCUUCAACCCUGAAGGUAGCUUUUGAUAGCUUAAAGCUAAAAGCCCACUUACCCCGCCGUCGCUUUUAUCCACAGCUGCACGAUCAAUCACGCUUGGCCACUCUUUGUAGUUUGCUACGGUAGCAGAUAACAAACCUCCAAGUAAGACUAUUCGCAUAGGUAAACCACCACAUAUUUUCAGGAUUCUCUCCUUGAGCGUGACCAACUCAGAAUUGUUGAGGACACCAUCAAGUUCAGCUGCUCUUGUUAAUGUUCUUAGCAAUAGUUCCCAGCUCUCCUCUUCAUUUAAUCGGCGUACAUGAAGAGUUGAGCCAGCAGCCUUCGCCUCCGGUGGUAUAUUAUUCUCAUUGCUAGUGGUUAAAAUUAUUUUGCCAUCCUUGGAUUUGGAUGAGGAAUAAUCCAGCGCUUUCCGUAGAACUUGCCAAACUUGCGGUGUCUCCACAUCCUCCACAACAAUGAGAUAGCUGGUCUCUUUUACCAGUGUGGCGAGACUGGAAGCCAAUUCUUCUUCCGGACUCGAUGCUUCCACCAACAUUUCGUCGUUAAUCUGUUGUAAAAUGUCAAUCAAAACAUCUCUAACUUUGGCCUCACUACGAACACGAACCCAGGCACGUUUUGCAAAAUGCCGCUUCACAUCAACUCUAUCGUAUACACUUCUCGUUAGAGUUGUUUUUCCGGAGCCUGCUUCACCAACAAUUGCAAUGACUUGACUAUUGUGAUUGUGUUCCCGGAUUAGUAGAGAUACCAGGUUGUUUAUUUGUUCUUCAAGACCAACAAGGUUAAUUUCCUGCUCAAAACAAUAGCUGGAAAUUCUUUGCCAGGGGCGGGCCAUAUGAUGUUCCCAGAAGUCCACGUGGUGGGUAAUGCCACCAAUAAAAUCAUCAAUCUUCAAAAUAGUCGUCUCUGCCGCUUCUUUCUUGUGUAUUAAGUGGAGGUGGUUGUACAAGGCCUUAGCCAGUUUCUUCAUGUCACCGGUUAAUUGAAUCUGCCUACUCGAGGAAGACCGCCGCCACAGGAAUUUCUUGAAAACAUUAUUGUCUCUCCUUUUGAUUUCCAAAAACUGUUUGAGGACAAGCAGAGUGUCUGUAACAUCCUCUACUAAGUAAACUGCUUGCAGUUGCAGGAGGACGCCAGAUGCUGAGCCUACAUCGUCUUCUGGAAAUUCUUCCAACGAUGGGAGGUACCUCGAAGCUUCCUGGACUUGUUCUUGAAACCUGGGAUCACUACCUGUUGAUUCCUCACGAAGCAGAUUUUCUAACUGAUUAUACAAACGGGAAACAAAUGCUUGAGCACCCAUGGAAAUGGACAGUUAACAGUUACGGAGACAAAGCAAUUCAGAUUUUCUUCUCUCAGAUCAUACGUUGAGGGUGUAAUCUCAUCUCAUGCGUGUUGUAUCUGUUCACAGAACAAGGUAAAAGAUGUUGGAUGAUCAUCAACUCAACUGAAAAUACUUUACUUUUCCCCCCCUUUUUUUCAAGGAAUUGGAAAAUACUUUACUUAGCAUGAGUAAAGUGAUUGUUUGUAUCAUGAUAUCAAGCUAUGAAAAUAAUAUCAGAGAAUCAAAGAAUAAUUUACACAUUUGGCGAAUGUCCUUGAUGGGUUUUUUCAAGAUUCUUAGUUUUGCAAGUCAUCUUUAGGCUCUUAGAUAUUAUUUAAAUAGCAGGUUCACCGUUUGGUUCAAUCCCUCACAAAUUAAAUUUCUUAGAUUCCUUUCCUUUAAUUUACAACAGCAUUUUCUUUUGUUUUUUGAAAAAAGAAAUAUUCGUGUUUGUUUCUUUUAAUUCGAGGUAGCUUCAAGUAUUUUUUGUAAUAUUAACAUUUUUAUGAACGCAGUUUUCAUUCAAAAACAAAAUUAAAAAUUCAGCAAAAUCCAUGUUAAUGAUUAUUGGAUUCAGUGCUAAAUGGAACUUUGUGAUGAUCUUUUUAAUGUUUUAUGAUAUUGUGAUCGAUAAUUACUGUAUAAGAAAUAAUACAUAAUUAAAUCUUGACUAAAGAAAGCUAGCUCGUCUUCUAUCCAAAUGUGACAAACUAAUACCAACUCCUUUUUUUUUUUUUUUUAAACCAAGAGCAUAUGAAUGAUAUACACAUUAUAUUUGCCUUAUUUUAAAUUCAAUAAAAAACAAGGUAAAAUUUAUUUUUGCCAAAACAUGGAGUAUCUGUCCUUCAAGAGCGAAAGCAAAUAAUAAUUAGCAUUUACUUAUGUGUCUGGGAUUUGUGAUUUACUUUUGAGUAACGCUAGAGAGAAAAAAUCAUCGUAGUUAGUAAUUCAACAUUCUUACUUAAGAUUCCGGCAUCUUAAUUACUUAGGCUAUGCUUGCUUUUACUAGGGAGUUUCGAAUGUACACUGAUCCUUUUGGCUGAAAUUUGAAAAAAAAUAAUAAUAAAAUUGAAUUAAAAAAAAAAAAAACACUUUCUAUUAUUGCCAGUUGUCGCUAUAAUUCUAGAGAUUUUAUAUUUAGCGGGGUUAAUUCUGAUCUCCUAAAAUCGAUUUGUUAUUUGGUUAAUUAGGCAUAAAAUGCGCUUAUUUAUGCACAGUAAUGUCGUUAAUUUGGUUUAGCCAAACACUUUUAGAUAACAAAACCAGAAAUAACUAGGCUCACGUUUAAUUACUUAGGAAACACAAGUGAACAAAAGCCAAGGUAGUCAUUAUUUAUAUCCAUAAAUACUAUAUCGCUUAAAACCUAUUGUAAGAUUACUUAGAAAUUGUAAAAUGGGUAAAAGUCCAUUUAGAUCCUUUAUUUUAAGAUUAGUGUACGUUUAAUUCAUAUAUUUUUAAAAAUACCUCAAAACAUCCUUACUGUUAAAGUAUUGAUACCCUUAAUGUUACUUUUUAAUUUUUUUUUUGUUUACUUUUACAAUAUUAUCUUUUUAAAUAAUUUUUUUGUUUGGACAUUAAUAAAAAGAAAAUAAUUAAAUUACUAAUUUAACCCUAAAAAAUAAAAAUAAAAUUAUAUUAAUUUUUAAUUGUCAAAAAUUAUAUGCAAACUACCAAAUGUGCAAAUGGUGUUUGCAAAAAAAUUAAUAUAAUUUUUUUAUUUUUUAGGGUUAAAUUGGUAAUUCAAUUAUUUUCUUUUUAUUAAUGCCCAAACAAAAAAAAUAUUAUAAAAUUAUGAUAUUGUAAAAGUAAGCCAAAAAAAAUAAAAAGUAACGGUAAAAAUAUCAAUACUUUAACGACAUGAAUAUUUUGAUGUAUUUUUAGAAAUACAUGAACUAAAUGGACACUAAUAUUAAAAUAUAGAGACUAAAUAGGCUUUAACCCUUGUAAAAUUACUCAACCAUUUUUAAAUACGCUUAUCAGAGGCCAACAACAUGUACAAUCGGUGAUAAUUGAUAAACAACAAGUCAAUUGAUCAUAAACUUAAUUUUUACACAUGUCUCUUAAUUAACAUGAUAGUGUAGAUAAAACUCAUAUUGAGAGAAUAUUAUAUUGAUUCUUGAAUUAUAUUUUUUUUUUUGUCAUUUUGAGGUGACGUUAAUUAUGCAAAAGUGAUUAAAUGAAUGUUGUUAAGAUAUACUUCCUUCAAAAUUUCAAAUAUCUAAGGAUCGUGGCUAAUAAUUAUUAACUCAUACCAACAAAGCUAACUUGGUUUGCAAGUAACCUAAUUUUAUUAACAACUAUGAAUCUUCUUGUGACUUUAGUGUUUGGAUAUAGAAUAUUAUGGUUUGGUAUGAAUGUCCAUAAAGCAUAAGUAAAAAGAUCAUGUUAGACUCUUAUAACAACACCCUCUCAUAUUAGGAAGUUUCAUAUAAUAGAGAAGAAAUAAACGUCACCAAAAUAAAAUAGGAUGCCUUCACAGAUACAUAUUUCAAUAUGAUUUGUGAAGAUUUUUCAAGAAUAAAGAAGAGAAGUUUAAAUAUGAUAGAACAAACUAGUAUAAUUUCUUAUUUAAUAUUUUUAUCUAAGUAUAUCCGGAUUAUUGAAGGUUUUUUGAAACUUCAACAACAAUAGGCACAAGAAACAUUUUCGGGGUUCCAUCUAGCCUCCAUUUUGAUACUUGGAUCAGGUUUCUGAUGACUAAUUCUUCAAAGUACAUUUCAGCAAGAUCAGUGUUAAUGGGUGCCACAAAUCCCCCUGCGCACCACCGAUGAAUCAGUCUCCUCACAGGGAUCUCAAACCCUAUAGGAAAAAGCCCCACAUAGAGGAAAAAUGGCUUUAACUGUGAAGGUUGCUCUUGAUACCUUAAAGCUAAAAGACUUAUCCCUAUCCCGCUCCCGUAGUUAUCUUCUACGCGGUCAAUCACUCUUGACCACUCUUGGUAGUUAGUUUCUUUGGUAGAUAGCAAACCUCCAAGCAAGACUAUUCCUAAAGGUAAACAGCCGCAUAUUUUCAGGAUUGGCUCCUUGAAUGUCGAAUUACUUUAGACAUCAUCAGAUUCAACUACUAGUCUUGGCAUCUUUUUUAACAACAGUUUCCAGCCGUCCUCUUCAUUGGGUCGGCGUACAUGUAGAGUUGAACCAGCAGCCGCAGCCUCCGGUGGUAUAUUAUCUGCAUUGCUAGUAGUUAAAAUUAUUUUGACAUAUAUCCUCGGACAAGUAAAAGGAUAGAUGAGCAUCUCGGAGAACUCAUCAAACUUGUCAUGUCUCGACAUCUUCUACUACAAUGAGAUAGCUGAUCUUUCAUCUUUGUUAGAGGCUGUUUACCUUUAGGAAUAAUCAAUCUGGUUACUUGAAGAAGACGUGAAGCGCAUUAAAGGGCAGCGAAAUUUCUCUAGACACAUUUUCUCUCCUUUUGAUAACCGGAAAUUCUUUUAGGAUACGCAGAGUGUCUGUAAAAUCCCCUACUGAGUAAACUGCCCGCAGGAGGAGGGCAGAAGCUGAUAAGCCUAAGCCAAAAUCGCCUUGAUCUGCAUCUUUUAGAGAUUCAUUCAACAAUUGGAGUAAUAUAAUCGUUACUUUGUUUAAUUAUUUUAUUUAUUAGUUAUUUUGCUGCUAUGAAAUAUUAUCAUGUAAUGGGAUAGCUCUUUGAGGUUUAGUGUGAGUUAUUAUUUGUGGGAAUUGUGAUUAGUUAAUUGCUUAGUUUUAGAUAUAGUUAGAUUAAGAUACUUUUACUGCAACUUGAGUUUGUCUGUGAGAGUUUAUUGGUUUCUCACUAUUUUAUCUUUCCUCUUCCAUUUGAUUUCUCAUUGUAAACGUUUUGUGUUUAUAUCAUCGACAGUGCUAAGAGCUUUUCGGACUUGUUUUUCAAACUUGGGGGUGCUGCUUGUUGCAUCGCCAGGGGCCAGAUUUUCUAUUUUCUAAGUCAAAUGGGAGACAAAAAUUUUAGCACCCAUGGAAAUGGAAUGGAUAGUUACACCUGCAGGGAGAAAGCAAUUUUGAGAUAUAUACAAGGCAAUUGAUGGAAUCUCAAUUAUAUUUUCUUCUCUCAGAUCAUAUGCUAAGGAAAAAGAUUUUUUGGAUGAUUUGUCAACUCAACUGAAUACUUCACAAGAGUAAAAUGAGAGUCUCCCUUGAAGAAGUAAAACUAAGAAUCUUGAGAAACUCUGUUAAGGCAUUCUCCAAAUGCUAUUCUUUUGAUUCUCUGAUAUUAUUUUCAUAGCUCAAUAUGUAUUAUUAUAUUAUUGUUUAUACAAACUCUUAUAAGUCUACAAACUGAUGUUGCAUCAUCAUACAAUUGUCAUAUAGGCAAGGUUAAUGUUAUCUGUCUUUAUUAAAGAAAAUGAUUUUUGGUCACUAACCACGGCGACCACAAAUAGAGACAGAAAGGAUAUCUCUAUUUCUAAAAAAACACAUAAUUUUCUACAUAAAAUGAUGCGAUGUUGCCGUAUUAGUUUCCAUUUUGUUCAAGUGGUCUCCAAAUAUCAUUUCUCUUUCAUUUUUUUUCUUUUUGUGUUUCCACUCAACCAAUACUUUCAUGCAACGAUAAAAAUUGUUUUCUUCUCUUAGCCGAAAAGAAUGGAUGCACAUUCCAAACUUGCUGAUAGAGAGGCAUUAGGCUGUUAAUUGCUUCUGCUAGCACGGUUCGAAUGUUUAUUGAUUCAUUUGCCAAAAGAAUUAUAUAUAUUAUAGGCUGCAAUUGCUUCUGUUAAUGCUGAAUUCAUUAAGAUCGAUUUGUUAUUAGUUUUAUUGUUAUCUAUGAAUAAAUUAACGAGUUAUAACUAAAAAAUUAGAAUUAUAAUAAUCUCUUAAUCUAUACUGAACUUUUUAACUUUUCAAAAUCUUUUGUCCAAUGCCUUUUAAUAUUAAUUUAUAACUAAGAUUCAAUUAUUUUUAUUUUUUAAUUAUUAACUAUCGAACACCCACAUAAAUUUUACUCAAAACUAAAUUAGAUCAUAAAAAAAAUCCUAUUCAUUAUUACCCAUCGCCUUUAAAUAUGCUUACCAGCUAAGAAAGCUCGUGACUGUUAAGAGGCCAAAGAAGGAUAUCACCUUUUCCCUUCAAACACGUAAAUUAAUGCUUCAUGAAAAGCCAAAAGAAUAUAAAAAACUGAAAAAUAAAAACAGCAUCUCAGCUUUGAUUGAUGAAAGAAAGCAGAAUCCACGUCAUCAAUAAAAUAAUCAGAACUUUCAUUGGAAAAUGCACAGCUACAACCAUUAACGACGGCUGCUCAAAUGCACACUGAACAAUGAAUGCAUCUCAUCAAAAUUCAGAACCCUGGACUCAAAACUUUCAAACUCUUAAAAACAAUGUUCUCGUAAACAAUUAAUUAACCGUUUAAUGUUUUAACAACUUAACUGCUGCCGCUCAAACCCCAAAAAAAAAAAAAAUAUAUAUAUAUAUAUAUAUACACGUGAAACAACAAUGUAAUAAUGUCCGAAGAAAUUUUAGAAUACAUUUACUGUACCAUGUCACUCAUAUAAUAAAUAAAUAAUAUCAUUACAUGUGUACAUUUAUUUUAUAAACACAAACAAUAAUUGUAUUAAACUCAAUUAUACAUGUUAUUCAUACAUUAAUUAAUUGUAUACAACAAAUAUAUUUUAAAAUUUCUCCAUUACCAGAGGGACUCUAAUUAUCUUGAUAAUAUAAAAAUCAUAACUCUUUUACAAUAUAAAAAUUUAAUAAUUAUAAAAAUAAUAUAAUUUUAUUAUUUUAUAUUUUCACAACCGUUAAAUUUUUAUGAAACGACUUGGAAGAAUCAUAUUUCUUACUUCUGACACCAUCAUAUAUAAGAUAUCAUAUAAGAUAACAAGCUCCUUCCAUAAUAAAAAAAGUCUCAUUAAUUUCAAUGCAAUGGUGAUGUAACUGUUAACAAGGCGAAAUUUCAAAGGCCUCAUUAAUUUCAAAAUUCACACGUACCAUAAAAAAUAAAGGUCCACGACCAUGAGCAAGUUACUGUGGCCAAACUUAAAUAUCAAAUACUUUUGACAUACUUGCUUGAUAUGUACGGAAAGUGGGAUUUGCAAAGAAUCAAAAUAAUAGUGAGCCCGGAACCCUAAAGCUUCUCUGGAAGUGAUUACAAAGACCAGUUAAGCAUCAGUUCCCAAGUUCCAAAGUAUAAAAAAAACGAGCUACAAAAAGAAAGUAUGGCCGAACUAAACAACAAUUCAAUUAAAUUAAUAUAAUGCAAACCUUAGGCUGGGAUUUAAAUAGCACAAAAUUUUUUUUCUAGAAAUUUUUGGCAUUUUCAUAUUUAUACUGGGGCAAAAGGCGUUGGAUAAAUAAAUUAAAAUGUUCACACAAAAGACCAGUUUAUGAAAGAGAAAGCAAGACAGUGGACAGUGUUAUCUUCAGGAGCAAGAACUUUCCAUGCAACGGCUUGUUCGUAUGAGACAUGUCGGCCCAUUGUCGACAUACAGAUGCCAGCCGGCAAGUAGGUAAAUCCCUGAUAAAAAUGUCAGAAAUUUCAGCUGCUUGAAAUUCACAAUCAACCUUCACAUCUUUUUGUGGUUUUCCUCUCUUUAAACAAAGAAGUUUAAGAAGAAUACACACUAGUAAUAUGUAAGUUACCUGUUGCAUCAACUUGGCAAAAUCAGCACACAAUGCCUUGCGCCCAGAUUCAUCGAAGAUCUUAUCCAGUGUGAUAUCUUGUAGAGCCACUAGAGUUGUCUCCAGCAUGUCAAGGCCAGCUUGGUUUGCAAAGAUGAAAACUGGCAUUGACUGCAGCAUCAACGAAGAUGCAUUAGAAAAAAUAUAAUACACACACCUCUUGGUAUCAGACAGUGUCAAUGGUAUCUGAAUAUUAGAGGAGAAUUUUCAGAAACACUUUUAAUACGUGAUAUAUCGUUAUCUUUGAUGAAACUGUAAAGGUACCUUUAAUGAACAACACAAUAUAGCAUCUGAAUGCUGCCAAAGAUUUUUCAACACUGAGUCACCACCAACAGAAUCAGAUCUCAACAAUUCUGCCCCCAAAUGAUAACUGCAAAAGAUGAAAAAGGAAAUAUUAGCAACUCACACAAAAAUGCUAAUCGAGCUGGUUCAUUAAAUCAACAAGAACACGUUUCAAUUAACAGCUUAUCAGUUUGGAUUUGAUAGAAAAUAGUCCAAUUGAAAACAAAUCAGUAAGAACUGUUAUAUGAUAUUUCACUUGAAAGUUUCUUGUUAUGGUGUGACAGAAGAUAGCUUGACCAUGUCUAAUCAAGAUUAUGAACUCAAUAUUACAUUUUAAACUCUCUUUUGCGACUGAAAUUGACCUUGUCCAGACUAUGGAAGCCAACUACAUGCAUCUAAUUCAUUGAAUAUUUAUCAUGAAAUUGGGGUGGGGGGAUUGAUUCAGAACUUACCUAUAGCUCUGGCAGAUCCAGUGAGCUAGUGUAAGCGCUUCUGGAGAGCCCGGCGAAAGCUUUGGUCCCAAAGUUGGGCUCAAUCCUGACGGACAUAUGGCCAUGGCCACCCUCUGAACAGAUGAAAUUACACUACGGACAUACUGACGUGCCAUGGUUGCUACAUUAUCUUGUAGAUUGCUCUCAAAAGGGAACUGGAAAGCAAUAGUCAAUACUGAUCGGGUGUGAUGGCACGAUGAAGAAUCUCCUGCAGCGGGGUUCGUUGCCGGGCCAACUUCAAGACUGGAUGUCAGAUCUAGGGUUCUAUGUGCGGUCAACGUAUCCGGUGUAUCAGGCUGUAUAACACAGCAUUAGCAUGUUGAGGUAGAUGACAAUAGUAUGAAAUCAAGCAAGAGUCUACAACUACAAAUUUUGUACCCACAUGUUAACCAAUUUCAAAUAUUAAGCUAAUGUUUGAGUCAAAUGAGCAAAACUCUUUCUGCCACAACUCCUCAAACUGAUGUAAAUGCACAGUAGCAAUUUUAACAAUAUAAAUUUCACUUAGUUAAACAAAGGAAGCCAAAAGUUUCAACUAAGGCAGAUAUGUUUUAUUCUUCAGGAAUAUGCGAAGCUUAUUAUUUAUUAACACAAGCACCAAUACUGCGAAAAAGAUAUGAAAGGUUCAAGUCAAGUGCAGUGAAGUUAAACCCAACUGUUUUUGAAUCCAAUGGGAUAAUGCGGAAACCAGAGGGCAACAAUGGACCAUCAUCUGGAAACAUCUCAUCAAUAGGAGCAAAGACAAGUUCAGAACAUGCUCCCACGGCAUUUUCAUCAACCCCGCUGCAUAUCUGACCAAAAUAAAAAGCAAUUACAGAAUAGUAAAUGAAAUUAGGGCCCUUUUAACUCAAAAUUACACACACACACACUCUGAAAAUUUGACAGAAAAAAUUAUAUAACAAGAGACAAAUUCACCUGAAGUAGAUGAAUGUCCCUUGAUACGAAAGCGUCUUCUUGUGCAAGAGAAUGCCCCUCCAGUCGAAUAACUUCAAGCAACUGAAAAAAUCAGAAAUAGAAAUUAUUAGUGUCGAACAGCUAAGAAUAAUUAUACUGUAAAACAUACAUUUGAUAUGAACACAGCACACAACUGUCAAAUUCUCCUUGUUAUUAUAAUCCUUAAGAAGGAAGGGCAGAAGACUAUUCAAUGACAGACCUCUUCAUGCUCAAUUGUGUGGCCAAGUGGCAUAAUUAUUUGGCUCCCAGUAAACCUCGUAGGCCUCAUUCCAGGAUAAGCAUAGGAACCAGCUUUCAACGACGCGGCAGAAUAGGCAUCAACAUUGAAAUCAGCCCACUCAGACCGAUGCUCCCGCAGGAAGCGGACAAGCAAUGCAGGAGGAACAUUCUGGCAGGAGAAAGGAAAUACUCACAAUUCUGUCAUUUUUACACCCCAAGACAAGAUAGAAAAGAACAUUAUCUGGAACAAACAAGCCUGAUGGAAACCAGAUUCACAAUUAACAGUUCAUCAAAUAUCCGAAUGUGAUUGGAGAAUCAUGUGUUCCAUUCAGCACAUCAGCAUGAAAUAAAACAGAGUACACUUUUCCAUUAACUAAUACACAACCAUAUUAUUUUCAAUGUUAAUCAUCCACUAGCAGGGAGGUGAAAAAAUUAUAGAAUGCUCAGGUAAAUUUCUAAGCCUAUAUCUACUGCCCUUGACUUCAUUUUUUUACUUUAAAUGAUGAUGUAAUUUUCCAUCCAUUGAAACUACCCAAUCCAAUGGUGUGGAUUUAAAGUAAAAUAUUAGCAUUUAAGUCCACAUCCAUCUAUCAUUGGAUUGAGUAGAUCCAAUGCAUUAAAAAAUUAAGUCAAGGGAACCCCACCUACAUUAAAAUUUUCAGGCAAUAUAACAUUUCCAUCAUGCUGAAAUGUUCCUGAAGUAGAGAAUAAGAAUGCACCAGAGAAAAAAUAAAAAAUAAGAAAUAGAAGAUUGUUUUGAACUUGUAAUGAAGAUUUAAAACUUACUUGGAGAAGCAUCGAGGCCUUUGCGCAGAGAAUACCUCCAAGGAAUGCAAGGGAAUUAGUAGGAUUAGAGGUAGUGCUCAAACUCUUAGUUGAAUUAACUGCAAUUAUCACAUCUUCAGCACCAUCACAGGUCAUCAACGACCAACCAUCAUCAUUAAACCCAUUGACAGCAUCAUUGAAGCCUCUACAAGGGGAAAAGGGGGGACAAAAAAGAAAAGGACAUAAGAAAUAUUACAAUAAAGAACUAAAUUCUAAAACUUCAUAGUAGAUAUACAUGAACAAAUACAAAUAUGGAUGUUGUACAACUACAACCAUAACAAAAACCAAGCUGACCAUACAGUACCUGCUUAGUCUUUGGCUAAAAGUUCUGAGAACAGCCGGCUGCCUGCCCAGCCCAUAUACUACCUCGCCACUUGUCUCCUGAGCUAUUUGCCUGACAUAACGCAGCGCCUUCAAAAAAAAUUAUUCAAUCAGGAAUGGCCAUAGCGGAAACCAGCCACAUACUCAAAAGACAACUUCAACCAAUAUAAGGAAAUAGCCACUUGUAACACAGGAAUUGCUUAAAGAAUGCUAAUCCAUCUAGCAUGCCCUCUUUCUCAGGAACAGAGUAAAUCUACUCACCGCAAUAGUCAUUCUCUGAGCCACUACUUUUGAUGAUUCAUAAAGUGGCCGCAGCACCUCUGGCACACUCCAUGCCUAAAAAAAGAUAACUUGAAUGCCAUCCAACAAACAGUUCGAUUUAACCAAAUGAUCAAACAUUAGCCAAGGCUAACCUCAAGAUUAAGGUGGUCGACAAUAUGGAUAAUUGACCCUCCACCAUCACAAGGACGAAUCAGACAACCACUAGGGAGCAUUUCAGCUCUCACAAACUGAGCAGCUGAUGCUGGAUUUGGUCCAGCACCAGAACCAGAAAGAGACCUCUCACAGACCUUGUAAAGUUGACAACAGAAAGAUAAAAUUAGCACUUCUCAUUAGAUCUCCACCAUUUAGAACUAUUAUGAAUCACAUGAUGUUUGGAAAACAUGAACAAGUAUGGUAUAAUCUGCGAAACCAAACAGUCUGAAUUAUCAUAGGCACGAUAACAGGAUGGCCAAAAGGCAUGCUAAAUGCAUAAAUAGUACGAGAUUAGCAUCAAAACAAAGCAAAUAUAACCAAGUGAAUCAAACCCCAUGACAUGCAAAUGAAAUUAUAGUUAGUGCUUGUAUCAGUGUUACUCUUAUGUUCAGUUGCAUUUGUGUUUUUGUGAUCCACGUGCUUUGCACGUAAGGAGACAUGAUAGAUCUUUGAUUCCAUUGUUGGGUGCUACCUAGCUUAAACCGAUGGGUCAAGGGGUAGCUGAUGAAGAUGUAACCAUAAUUAACUAAGCACAGAACCCACCAAAAGAUGGUUCAAACAAGCCCAUGUACAAGAUGCCACAUCAAGGGUGCUGAUCAACAAUGUCAAAUAUACUGGUAAGACACAACAAUAGGAAAAGAUAUGAAUCCAGCAAAAUGCAUACCACAAGACUCCCAUUGUCUAAAGUUGUAGUGUAUCUUAGAGUCCAGAAAUCCCGUGCAGGAGCAAGAGUAGUUGGAGCAUAUGCCUGAAGCACUUUUGAUUAUCAAUAUCACUUUCAAAGGGAAGAUAAAUACCCAAAAAAAUAACAGAAGAUAUGAACACUUCUGACCAUUCUCAUUCACCUGUGUGUACAAAAGUUCAAUUGUUCCAGCAUUCCCAGCAGGAAACAUUGUGAAAACUUCAAGGCUCCGGCAAUCCCGAAACCAAGAUGGACGAUCUUUAAGGAUCUCUGCAAUCUGUCAAAAUUUUUGUAAAAUAGCUCAAUUACAUUGCCUCAUAAAAUGCAAGAAAUGAUGGUAACACUUCACCAUCUUCAUUGUCAUGUGUAUUCUUACCUUAGUAGGUUCUAAACUUACGAGACCGCAAGCUCGAGCUGCCACUCCACUGCAACUUUGUGAAAUGGCAAAGAUCCCAACCGAAUCCGGACCAGGCUGACAAGACAUUAUAUAAACAGCUCAGAUUCACUUCUGAUUUGCAAGGAGAGAUACGUUCUACAUGACCAAAAUCUAGCAAAUUACAGAAACACAUAAAAUUCAUAUAUAUUCGCAUAAACAACCUUCAUCCCAGGCAUCUGGACCCAAUCGACAGCAGUUCCUGUAGCCUUUGAAAGGAACUCUGCCAAGGUCUCCUCUGCAAUAGAAAGGAGUCUGCAAAAAACAAGGACAAAAAAUCUAAGUUCAAGUUGGAGAGGAAGAUUAGAUAUUUGUGGGCACAGCUUUUAAGAUUACCCAGCAGGGUUAUUGGCAUCUCUCAGUGAAUGCUGAGGAGUGGUCACCACAGAGUCACAGCUCGCAUCAGUAGUCGCAGGUGCCUGCAGAAAUAUCAAUUAAGAAAUAGAAGUCAGAUCAAAAAUUGACAAAAGAACAAAAGGAAGCACUUGAUUUUUUAGCAGGGCAAAUAGCAACACUAAGUCGGUAGCCUGAAAAACUGCAAUGAGCUAUGAAUAUUCUUGAAAUGUCAAAUGUGAAACAGAAAAAAUAAUUUAAAAAGAAAAAGAGAAAAAGAAGGACAAACAAUCCAAAGCAAAAGGCAAAGGGGUUAACUUGGUUGCAAAGAACUGUGCAAGGAAAUUAAGUGAAGCAAUCAUAUAAUUCCCAAGAUUAUGCAUAUAUUUGCUUUAAAGACUGAUCUUCCAGUGUGAUCAAUAAUAUUGUGUCACCCCAGAACCAAAUGUAAAAUUUAGAUGGCUAGGCAACAAACACCAAAUAAUCAACCCAAUUGCAAUUAUGUGGAAGCACAUUCUGCAUUUGCACACCAGGAAAACAAGAAAACAUUAGAAUAGAGAGAGAAGAGAAUACACUCACUGUACGCAAUUGCUGCUUCAUAUACCCAUUUUCACACACCAACUGCGACACCUGUUUCUGCAGCCGAUCAUUCUCCUCCAUCAACAGUUUAUUCAUAGCUGUUAAUUUCCUAUUCACUGUCUGGAGUCUUGAAGCCUCUUUCCUCUGCUUCUCUCGACACCUGAACAACCAAAUGCAAGCCUUUGAACCCAAAACAAAUCAAGCCCCGAAUAAAUCUAUUCACAUACGAAUCAAAACAACAGCUAAAAUUUAUUCAAAUCCCAAUUCAAAAAAUCCAAUCUUUUUCCCACAUGCACAAUUUUGUUAACAAAAUUUCAGCCAAUGAUGCACUUCUAACGCAAAUCAUAUGAUACAAAUCUCAAUCAAGUACGAGAAAAUCAAAAUUGAAAGCUAAGAAAAAAAAUGAAAAAUUUACCUUCGAUUUUGAAACCAAACUUUGAUCUGUUUAGGCUCUAUGUUGGAAAGAAUGGGGCACUCACGGAUCAGCUGUUGCCUACGCAAAGAACUGGGCUUGGGGCACUCAGAAUAGACUCUCUCGAGAGCUUCCACUUGCUCCGCCGUGUAACGAACAUACUUCCCAUUAUCAAGCUGGUGCUUGUUGAUACUCCCACUACUGCUCUCUCUUUGCUGCUGCUGCUGCUGCUGAAUCACCAUAGCCAUUACUUUUUUUUGGCAAAUCCAACGACAAGCCCACAAGAGAUUUAACCAGAUGGGUCUGUCUGUGUGCUAAAAUUGAGUCUUGAAAAAAAGCAAACUAGGUGCUGCUUGUUUUGGGAUUAGGGAGCUUAAAUAUCCUUGUCUUCUUAGUAAAGUCCGUCGUUUGUGAUGUGUUAAGAGAGAGAGAGAGAGACAGAGACAGAGACAGAGAGACAGAGAGUUACAAAACUGGUGAUGCUUAAAAGAAGAUUCUUUGGUCUUAAGUGUAAAGACUCUCAAAGCCAAAUAAGCCAAAUGAAUGAUGAUGGGUUCUUGAAGAGAGCUUAUAAUCAACAACAACAAACAAAAAGUCUGUAUUUUAAUGAAACCCUUGCGGUUAUUGGUUGCUGAUCAAGCUCUGAACACUAAAGAACUCGUUUUUUUUUUUCUUUUUCCCUGCCAAUUUUAUUGCUUCCAAUUAGACCAAACCCUUUAAGAAAGAACAAAGAAAAAAAUCCUAGAUUUUCAGCUGAAGGAGCUCAAAAUCACAGAACCCAUUUUGAUCUUGAAGCUCUCUCACAAGAAAGAGAGCAGUACUGGGCUGUGACAUUACAGCAAAGAAGCUGAUUAAUGAAUCGUAAAAGAAAAUGAAAAUGAAAAAACCCUAAGCAUGAGUGAGUGAAGAAAAAUGAAAAAGAUUCUGAAUGGGUUUGCUUAUUUUGCUUUUUUGUUUUUCUCAAAGAGAGAGUCAGUGAGUGCUAUGAGCUUGAAACAGUAAUGGGGUGAGGGAAUAAAAAUAGAGAGUAUUUUUUGAUUUGCAAAUGCAAUUGCAAUCGCACGCAUUCCGACAAACUUCCUUAGCAGAGGGUUGGGUUUCUUUAUAAUCUUCUUCGGCGCUUUUACGACCCUGUCCCUAUGGUUGAUGCGAAAUGACAAAUUAGCCCAAUUAAUACAUUGAUGAAUCAUGAUCAUGAUCAUCAGAUGGGAUGAGCGGGAGAGGGCCAUCAAGAUCAUCGGCUAAGGAGGACUCUGACAUGAUACCCUAGACUCUAGAGUACGUUUUUUGAGGUCAAAAUCACGAAUUCUCUAUAACCUAACAGGCUAAUAUUAUCAACUAAAAUGGAAAAUUAAAUUUUUAAAAAUUUGUAAAAAAAAAAAAUCUAACUGUUUUCUCAGAAAAAUUGAAGUCAUAAAAUGAUUAAUUUCUAGUAAUUAAAAAAAUAUUUAAUUUUUUUUGUGUGGAAAUUAGGACAUUUAUCAAAAUAAUUACAACGAGAAAAGACUUUAGAAUGUAACAAUGAAAAUCAAAUGUAAACUCUUCACUAUGCUUAUAUGAGGAGAGUUUUCUCGUAUUCCCAUUAGUAAAAUGGGUUUUCUAAUUCUAAAAAGCUAUUAUGCAUUUAUAGGUGGGGCAAAACUAUGUUGCAACGGUGUUAUGGUACCACAGUUGUAAUUAUAGGUGUACAGUUGCAUUAAUAAAAUCUAACGGCUGAAAGUAACAGUGGUACCAUACCACUGUUGUAACAUAACUGAACCCCUAUAGGUGAAACAACUCAAAAAUAAUUUUAGAAUAUAUUAUCGUUUUAUCACUUAAUAUUUUUUUAUAUAUUACUAAAGUUUUCUGACAAUUUUUUUUCUACUUAAUGUUUUAGUUUUUAUCAUUUUAUCACCAAAUGUUGACUCCAUUAAUAAAUUAUUGAUGUCAUUGGGAUAUUUUAAGAAUUCCAAUAUAUUCAAUGAUUUCAGAAUUUUACAAUGUAUUAUAUUUAUAAUUUUAUCAAUUAAGUAUUUUAGAUACGUAAUAUAACCAAUUGAUAAAAGAAUUACUCCUUUGUAUAUAUGUGAUUUCGUAAUUUUUUUUUAAUUUAGAGGGUUAAAUUACACUUAUACAAUUUAGAGAUAAAAUAAACUUAAAUUAUAAAUUUUGUAAAAAAAAAUUAACUUUAAUGGUUUGAUUGUAAAAGGAUAAACACUAAAAUAUAAAGUGAGAAAAAAUAAUUAUCAGAUAAUUUUAAGUAAUAAAAUAAUAUAUCAAGAUAGGAGAAGAUAAAAAAUAAUAAUAUCCCAAUAAUUUAUCUAUUGAGAACUACAGAGACAACAUACGACAACCAACAUGUUGCUUUUUGAAGAGCGAACAAUUUCUUUUUUCUUUUUUAUGUUAUCAUAUAGGACAUGGAGUUGUAUUAAUUUCUAAAUUGGGGUUUCAUUAGACCAAAAGAUAAAAGAAUAUUCCUCGAUCAAAAAGUUAAAAAAAAAAAAUAUAUAUAUAUAUAUAAAGAAAGAAGUAAAAGAGUGGCAGUCUCGAGAUUCUUCUAGCGGAACAGGGACAAUUCUAAAGCCUAAAUAGAGGGGGCCACCAGCCCUUUGCGUAAUGCUUUUUUUGAAUAAUAAAAUAAUAGUAUCAAGGCGGUUUCUUAAUUCCGGACCAACUAAUUACCAUUAUUUUAUUUAUUUACUUUAUAUUAUUCGUGCACAUACAGUAGUAAUUAACAAAAAAAAGCCAAAAUGCUAUCUCUAUCCUCAAAUUGCUUUUUAUAUUUUUUGUUUAUUUUCUUUAAUUGUUAUUUUUAUUUAUUAAUUGGAAAUUCUUGCGGGAGCGGCGCUCGCCGCCACUGGUCGGUGAUAUAGGCUCUAAACGCGUAUUUACACUGAAAUAAAAUAUGAGUUGAGCUCCGACCGCCCCCAUUAAAUAUCUUUCUAAACCCCGUAUUUUUUUAUUUUUACAAUUCCAAACCCCAUCUUCAUUCUUCAUUGCGGUUAAAUAAUAAAUAUACAGGGAUUUCAUUUAUAAUUUAAGUAAUUCUAGAAAAAGUAUUUGAACUUGCAUGCAAGAUGCUUAAAUAAUUUUAGAUUGUGAGAAAUGAUCUAAACUGAAAUAUAAAUUUUAGCAAUUCACUUAGGAAAGUGUAAUGAACCUGAAAAUUUUGUCGAAAGGGUGAAUUUUAACUUCGUUUUAGAAAGUCAAGAUCAUAUGAGAUUUUUUUGAGAAAUGAAAUGAAGUGAAAUGAUCUAAAAAAAGGUUAUUAAUAACAUGAAAGAUGCUCAAAUGAAUUCAUAUUAUGAGAUGAAUUGGAUUAAAAUUUUAUAGAGAAGAAAAUUAUUUAAGUUUUUUUUUUUUUUUUUUUUGAGAAGGAAAGUGAUGAUUUCAUUAGAUCAAAUUUGUAAAUAUAGUUUUGACUUCAGCUGGCAAAGGAUCCAACCAUACAACAUUUUCAUUAUUACUCUUUGAAGCUAACUUAGUUAAGGAUUGAACUCGAGCAUUACAUGAUAUAGGGAUGUAAUGGAAACUAAUAUUCUACAAAUCCUUAUUUUGAUGAAGAUCUUUGAGAGAGAGAAAAAAUGAAAAGAUGAUAUGUUGGGUUUUUGAAAAAUAAUUUUUUUAGGGAUAUUUUUAUAAUUAACUAGUAAAUGAGUUUAUUAAGAGUUUUUGCGAGAGGGAAAAAAACAUCACUCACAUAAAAAAAAUGUCAUGACGUAUUGUCCAAAAGGUUCCAACAAGUGAUUUUAGAACAACUUCAUUUGAUUGAUCACUUAUAUUUGAAUUUUAAAAAGUUAAAAAAAUUAAAUUUUAUUUCAAAUUUACCCACUUCUACCACAAAUAAAUAAAUAAGAUAUUAUGAAGUGUAUUCACUGUAUUUCCAUACUUAGUUCGGAUAUUUAGUUUAUAUACAACCUGACGUGUCAUUACCAUUUGGAUAUUAAAUGAUAAGAUUUAACAAUUAACUGUCAUUUUUAAGUUAAGUAAACAAUGACACGUCAUUUAUCACAUCAGUUGGUAUGUAAAUUAACUAUCUCAACUGAAUAAGUAUAAUAUUAUUGUUUGAUUAAUAGCUCAUACAUUCGUUAAAGCUCGAACUUCUUGCCUAAACGCUUCUCUCCACUUAAGCUAAACAAGUACUCAAUCUCUUUUAUUUUAGUAUAUGCAUAAAUGGCCUAAAGCAAGCUAAGAGAGCUUUAGGCCAAUGUUGCCUGCUUUCUUUUUUAUAUUUAUUCAUAAUUUUAUCUUAUUGAUAUUACAAAGAGUCAAAGACCUAAGAGACACUUUGAAUCAUUAGAAUUAUAGCAUAAUUGGGUACAUGAACUCAUUCCUCUCCGGUAUGCUGUUAUUAUUUACCACCAAUGACUUGGGUGACUCAUUUGAGGUUUUUUUAUUGAAAAAAUAAAAUCCAAUUCCUCUAAGUAUUAAAAAAAGAAAAAACUUUUACAAAGAAAGGGCUUCUGAAUACUCCAAAAUACAUACACCAUAUACUCACUUUAAUACGAAUCAUCGUACAUUACAAUAUCAUGAAUUAAAAUGAAUAGACAAAAAGAAUCUUAUUUUAAUUUUUUAAAAUCUUUGGAAAAACAUUUGAACUCCAAUGUGGCUCAGAUGUGAGUGACAUUUUCAGCGGCUUUUGGCAUGCGCAAAAAGCAACAUCACGUGCUGACCACAAAUGCUCAAGCUGCACAAAUAUCUUAAUAUUAUUCUUAAUGCUUAGUUUAAGAUAAAAUAAUAUCUAUUUGACUUAAAUUGAAGCUUUUCUCACAUUGGACAACUUAUGGGCACCAAUUUUUCUUUUUUCUUUUUUCUUUUUUAUAUAUAAUUAAAUCGUCUGAGAUGCAACAAUCAGGGUGCUAAAUCACAUAAAUUAACAAGCAAGCAACAAUAAAAAAAAGUAACAAAGAUUAAAGAAUUAUUGUUGGGCGCACCGGGUUGAAAUUAAUCUUUUUGCUACAAUGAUUGUGUAUUAUAUAAUACGAUUCAAUAAAUAAAUAAAAAAAAAAGAAGAAAAAUAUUGUAAUGAUUGUGUGAAAUUGAGUCCACUUACGAAGGUAUGAGCUCUCCAAUUUUCUUAAAGUAGUUUAUUUGAGGUGAAGAAUGUCACCCCAAAUCCAAUAGGCAGUAAAGAAAGAGAUGUCUUGUCAAGAUGAGUGUAUAUCAAGAAUUGCUUUAGCAACUUUAACCAAUUCAUCAAAGAAAAAAAAAAAUGUUGAAUACUAUGCAAAUAAUAUCUGUUUAUUUUCACUAAUAUAUGAUAUUAUAUUCAAAAACUUCAAAUCAUGCAAUAAUUUUCGAAUAAUAACAACCUGCAUUGUCGCUUUCACCUUAUAUUAGAGGAAAAAUAAUCAUAGUUAUGUAGAAAACGUUAGUGUAAAUAAUCAAUUUUUUUAAUAUUAUAAUAUUAUGAUCAAGGGUCACUACAUCUCUGAGGUUCACCAAUUGAAUAAAAAAGAGUAUACACUGUUAUUAAAAUACAAAAAGAUAUUAGAAGAAACGGGCCAUAACCCAUAAGUAAUCAAACAAUUAUGUAAUAUUGUUCUAAAGUUAGUAAACUAACUGUAUUCUUUGACGAGAAAGAUUUUAAGUAAGGUUAAGAUUCAUAUCGUAAAAUAAAACCAUGCAUAAUCAUUUGAGCCAUUUGCCAUAAUAAAACAAAGAUCACUUUGAAAAAUAAUUCAGUCAAGUAACCGAACCACUUCUUUAAUAGAAGACAAAGUUCAUUUACCUAAAAAAAAAAAAAAAAAAAAAAAAAAAAAGAUUGAAGUGCACAAAUUAGUUAUCAUGUUAUGUCAAUGAGUGUUUUUUUUUUUUUUUCCUAGUAAUGAAAGUAAUCAAAUAUGUGAUUAAUUUGGUAUUUUUGAUCUUGAAGUAGUGGAAGUAGGUAAGUGGGUAUGUUAUUAAUGUUGUGUACAUUGGUAUAUAUGAUUGGAACAAAUCUUUGUUUGGAUUUGAUAAUGGAAAGCAUGAUAUUAAUCCAUUUUCAACAGAAAAAGAUUUUUACAAUCUUGAAACAAUGACUUUUCUUUCUUAAGCAUGGCAAUGAGUUAAAAAGUAUGUGGCAACAAAAAUAAAAUAAAAAAUAAAAAAAGAUAUAUAUUGCAGAAAACAAAAGCAAUGAAAUUGACUUUCAACAAUUGAAAGAGAGAGAAGCAUUUUCAUGCUCCAUAUUUGGUGCUGUCGGCAUUAUUGUGUAUUUAUCAGUUCAGACACAACCCCCCCUUCUCUCUUCUCUCUCUCUCUGUCACAUUACAGACAUGAAAAGAAAGGAGGAGAGAGUAUAUUCUUGAUGUGUACCUAAUUUUCAUUUUGAGUCCAUCAUCUGCUUUUGUGACAAAUGGCCUGUAUCCACUCAUUCCCUUUGAUUUGUCUCAUAUGGAAACAUAACCUUCAAGCUUUCUAACACCAAUUUGUCUCUCUCUUUUUUUUUUUUUUUAACCCAUUAACUUUACUGUUUGUUUGAGUGAAUUUUGUCUGUUUGAAGUGAUUAAAAAGAAUUGGGUUGUUUGUUUCUAUUUAUCAAUUUUUACUACUAACAUAUAUUAAGAGUUAGAAAUUUAUCAAGAUUGUAUUUAGGAUACUACUAUACAAUGCUAAAAGAAAAAUAUAAUUCAGCUUCAGAUACGACGACUGUUUUUAGUUUUAUUCUACUAUUUGAUCCUAAUAAUAAUGUAAUUUAGAAUUUUAAAUGAGGUAUCAUUUAUGCUUUUUUUUAUUAUGGAUAUAUUUCAACGACUAUGACUGAUAUUACAUCACACUACAACUUGGGUUAGUUUACAUUAAUCUUGUGAAGCAGUCAACAUUUUUACUGUCACUAAAACCCGCACUAAUAUUCGAGAGACGCAUACUAUACUUAUAUUUCGUAAGGGACUAGUUUACACUAAUCUUAUGAAGCAGUCCAUAUUUUAACCCUCACUAAUAUUCGAAGAAUACCUAUUCCACUCAUAUUUCACAAGGAAGAAGACUUCCUCCAUUCAAUUAUGUUAUAAUUAAGGAAUGAAAUUAAAUCUCAUAAUUAUUUUAUUGGGCUUAAAUAGAAGUAAAUAUUCUCUUACUAAGUUAAAGGCCUAUUAAAAUCAUUUACGCUAUUAUAUAAAGAUGAAGGUAUAACUUAACAUUAAUUUUUUAUUCUUAAUACGACAAGUUUAACUACAACAACAUAUUCAUGGAUCUUCACCCAAAGCACAAAUUUCCAACAUGAUGGAGAAAGAAACAUCAUACACAAAAAGAUUGUCUAUGCAUGACAUAGAUCUUACAUAUUUCCUAAUCAAUAUAUAUAAAAUAAAUGUAGGACAAUCAAGGAUAUAUGAUGAGCUAUAACAAAGUCAAAUGGGUAUAUUUUUUUUUUUUGCUUUUCUUUUCAAAACUUUAGGUGAUGGGAUUAACAUUCUUCCACUUUGUCCCCCUCUUGUAUUUAUUUUCACUUUUGAUAUAUUCUUUUGGCUUCUUGUUAUUGAAAAUUGGUAAUGCUGAUUUGCUAAUGGCUAAUGCUUAUAUGGGUGGUGGAGGGUUACUAUCUUGCUUUAGCCAUGAGCCAUUGCUUUUGUCAUAGGAAAGGAAUAAUGCCAGUGCUUCCUUAAUCCCUUUGGGCCCCAUUGAGGUCCAAUCAUGUGGGCCCUUCUUGUCUGGGCCGUCUCCAUACAUAUCCCCAAAAUAAUUUUCUUUUUUAAAUAAUUAAGAAAACAAAAAACAUAAAAACACAAAUGCAUCGUUGCGUAAAUCAAUAGAAUGCUGGCGUGGCUUUGCUUUGAGGGUUGGUGUCGUUGAAGUGGAGACUCGACCCCACCCCCAAGUCAUGCAACAUCAACAAUGUGACCAUUUGGCCCCUUAUUUUGUCUUUUAACCAAUAUAACAAUUUUUUUUGGGUUUAAAUCAUCCAGUUUUCUGACUACUGUAUUGGGCACCGACUAAUUUAAAUUCAGAGUGUAAUCACAGUUAAAACUCCUUACCUCUCUUAAAUAAUGUGUUUAGUGAAGAUCGAACCUAAAAACUCUUUCCACUUAUACAGCUUGCGUCGUCAACUGAGCCAUAACCGUUUGAUAAUAUAACAAUUUAUUUAUAGAACAUAUUUAUAAUAUUAGUAGUUUUUUUUUUUUUCAAUUACAGAUAUUUAGAAUCAGAAUACGUUGAGUACACUCGUUAAUGCAUUCCGGACCUGAAACCCUUCUUACAGGAAUGGAAAGAAGUUACGUUCACCUUAUUUAAUAGUUUGAAGUUAAAUGAUAAAAGAUGAUUUUUGAAAAUUGCUUCUCUCUCUCUUUGACUCUUUCUAGAUCUUGAAGUGUUUGCCUCUCGUCCAUGAGCUUUGCUUGUUGGGCACACUUAUUAUUAUAUUGACGGGGGUGUCUCCUUUUUACAUCAUUUCACUCUCCAUGCUCUGUUGUUUUCACCAUAAAGCUUUUACUCACAAAUGGAUAAAGAUGACCCGGCGCUUUCUCGGUGGUUAGGGGUGUUGCUCAAGCAAAACCAGUCAAUUGGAAGAGAGUUGGGUCACCCCCAUACCAUAUCCCCCUAUUACCUAUCAAUGCACAAUAGUUUUUCAAACUCAGUAGCCAUCAUUAACUUAUUAACUACCACUUGUAUAUGACAAUCUACCAUUUGUGCCAUUUGGUGGGUUAAGCUUAGCAUGCACUUCUGCUGGUAUUUUUGCAGCAUUCUUAAGCUUAAGCUCUUGCUGGCCUCUCCCCUCGCGUGAAAUAAAUAAAAUAAGAGUGAGUCAAAAAAUUGAAAUUAGCUCCUUCCUUGUACAAGACAUGAACUAAAAAAUGCAACACUGGCGCUACUAUAAAGUAACACGGAAUGCCAUACUAGUAACAUUAAACACUAGAUUUAACAUGUUACAAAUGUUUUUCUUUCUUUUAAAUUUUUUUUUUACACUUCUCUUGAAGUUUUUAUUUCAAAUAGGUUACUGUUUCUUGGUUAUCUUGGGGCGAUGGAUGUUGUAUUAAAUGAUUUUGGUGGACUUCUUGUCCUUGUUUGCCUCUUCAUCUCUGUUCAGCAAUAAAUUCUUGUUUCUUAUGAAGAAAUUUAUGACCCAAAGUCUGCUGUACAGUAUGGGUAUGGCUCUGAAGCAGAAUCAAACAGAAAUUUGACCAUGAGUACUAUUGGCAGUUGAUGUAACAGUAUGGUAAAAAUGAAGAGAAAUUUAACCACAUCCUACAUGAAGAGGGGAUAAAUUUUAAUUCAUCCUCAACUGGAGUGGCAAUGUCUAAUUUAUUUUUUAAUAAGUGUGAAAAUUUUAAUUUAUCUUCUAUUUUCGUUUAGAAGAUGAGAUAGCAAAUAAGGGGCACUUUGAUAAUUUUGUUUUUAAUCUUCUUAACAGUAAAUGGGAUGAAAUUAAUAUAUUCACACUUUCAAAAAUAGAAAAAAGAAUUAUCAUUUUAAAUAGGGGGUAAAUUGAAGUUUACCCAUUGAAAAGAAACAUAACAUAGAGGGUCCGACUAUUUAUAAACCGUUCUCAGGUAGAGCACUUCUUCGUAACCAUACGAUCAAAGUUAUAAUGAAUUUUUUUUAUAAUUUUUCACUUUGCGUGUGUAACCGAGACUCAUAUUUCACCAUAGAUCAACUCCAACGUAACCUUAGCGGCUUAGCCAAACAUGAAUUAUGAAGUUCAGAAUCAGAUAAAUUUCAACAACCUUUGCCUGGAUCUGAUCUAUUGCAUGUCCAUCAAUGGACAAAAAGGUAUAAGAGAUGGAGGACAAGAUGUAGUUUCAAAGGCAAUUAAUGAAUGGAAAUGACCACACACUAGUUAAGUGCUGAUAAGGCUCCAUAAUUCCUCCUCACACUUCAAUUUUUGUUCCUCCUAUUUGUAGAAAUCAGGACUUUUGUAUCAUCAUUAACUUUAAAACCUCGUGAUUAGAUAAUUUUUUUUUCUUAGGACUAAUCUCAGAAAAUGUCAAUAAUACAGCGUUGUCGGUAACAACAUUGUACCUUUAUUUUACGUUGAAAAUUUUGAAAUUUUGAAUUUUUUUUAGUAUUGAUACUCUCAAUUUUAUUUUAAUUUAAGGGGUUGAAUAAUAAUAUAUCAUAAGUUGAGAAUCAGAAAUGAGAAAUUGGGAGACGAAUAACAAAAAAUUUAUAAAAUCGAUUGUAGCUUACACACUGCAUUAUUGCCUGUCCCCAAUAAAAUCACAACAAUUUGAAUUAAAAAAAAUAAUAUAAAACAGUAAAAUUUUUAAAAUAUAUAUAAUUAUAUUCAUGUUGUAAUAAAUGGAUUUUGCAAGAAAGUUAACAGAAAGAUAAUGCAAGAACAAGAAGAGUUCUGAAAUCAUAAAUAAUGUCCAGCGGUAGAUGCGUUCUUUCUACCUACCUAAUAAAUAAUGGAAACCAAAAAUCUAUCUCUGGGUUUCAAACUCCGAAAAGAUGCAUAGAAUUGGUUGUUAAACUAAUCCUUUAAACCAACAUGAAAAGGACUGUUUGGUCUAUGAUCAAUAUUUUGUGACACUCUAAAUUAGGAAUAUUUCUGACCAAGUUCAGUAGUUCCAAAAUUACACGACAGCCAUUAAUUUUCUUUCAUCACAACUGCAGAAAGAUAUUAAAAUCAAAGCGUCCAUUUGGACUAAUAACUUUGAUUAAGAGAAGAAGUUGAAGAGCACGAAGCUUGAAAACUUGAUGGAGAUUCAUGUUCAUUUAUCGGAUUGAAAAGGAUUGUGCUUUCCAGAGAGUAGCAAUCAAGUGAAUGUGUUUGGAAGUGCGGCUAUUGAAGAUGGGGCCUAAACACUGGCCUGUUUUGAAGGUUUUAGCUUGCUGAUAGUGAAAGCGCUGGCCCUGUGGCCCAUAAAUCCAAUGGGCAAUCAAGCUAAAACAAAGACUCUGAAUGGAUGAAGAUGUAUGUGGUGCGGGAAAUAAGGUAACCCCACUUGUGAUGUGCUAGGAUUUGAUUAAUCACCUACUAAUUAAUAACAUAAUUUUCUCAAAGUCUGCGUAUCGAUUAAUCAAAAAUUUUAUUUAUAACAUAAUGAUGAACUCAGCAUUAUCUCACGCAAUACAUAAAAUUAACUCGAGCACCUCUCACUCUGGUAGUGGUCAAUUUUCAGAGGCUGAGUGCUCCAAUUUCUCAUAGAUUGAGAUUUGAGAGAGAGAGCACAAUCCAUUUUCUUGGGAAACACGUGGGCGGGGGGUCAUGGCCGAUUGGGUGUUACAAUUACUUUCCGUGAAAGAGAAUUCUCUCACAAAUUUCUUGUUUUGUUUAUAGCUUCAUUUGUUUCAAGUAAGAUAAGACCCAACUCAUCUCAAGAUUUCCUCUCACCAACAGUAAGAAAUUUGAGGACAAAUUCUUGGAUCGAGUGGCAUAAUCAGACCCUUGUCCCUAUAGCUCAUCAUGAGAAGCUGCAUAUUUUUUCUAAUCCCAGAAGGUUCAAAUUUAGUAAAAAAUUAAAUUUCUAAUCACUCCGCAUGAGCAGAUGUCUGUCCGCGUGUUUACCAAACCCGAAAAUUGUACCGGGAACAUUAAAAGAGAAAGCUAAUAACCAAUCCCGCCAACUGCGACACAACUUAAAACAGAAUAUGAACAAGUGCAAGGGGGUAGAAUCUGGCCAAAUGAGUCAAACACUGCUGCUCCAGAAUUGCUAGGAUAUAUAUGGAUCUUCGGAUACUCUAAUAUAUAGCCUGCAGCAACUGUUUCUUCUAAGAAAACUGAAAAAAAAAAAAAAAUUAGCAAACAAGGGCAAAAUACAAACACUCAUAUCAUAAGAUGAGAGGUGAUAACAAAAUGAACAUAAUCCCAGCACAAAAACCUUGAUUUUUUUUCUCCUGUUCACACCCCUAAAACUAUUUAUAUUUUAAGUUGUCCCAAGCUGCAUGCUGCCUCAGUUUCUUCUAUGUUCAGGAUUGUGUUCUCUCUUUUCUCUACUUGUGACAGUAUUUCCUGUGGGGAAGGAGCAGUAGAAUUUGGAGGAUAUCCUUUCUGGACAGCAGAAGCAACAACAAUUGGGGGAUUUUCUUUCUGAACAACAGGACUAGCAACAGUUAGACAAUCUUGUUUCUGAAUGGCCGGAGUAACAGUUGGAGUAUCUUCUUUCUGAAUGGCAGCUGCGGUAACAGUUGGAAGAUCUUUUAGAAUGGCAGGAGGAAAAACAGUCCAAGAAUCUACUUUUUGAGCAGGAGCAGGAGUGGUCGGAGGAUCUUCUUUGCGAACAGUCAGAGAAUCAUCUCUAUGAACUGGGGGAGCAGCAUAUACAGGCACAGCCUGUCUAACAGUGACAGAAGGAGCUAUUCGUACAGCUGGAGCCCGCAUCAUCUGAGGUGGAAGAGCAGAUGGUGGUGGGUGUGGAGGUGCUGAGAAACAAGGCACUGUAGUUCUUACUGUCACUGGUGGUGCAAUGCCACGACAAGAAGUCCUAUAUUGUCGGAUAGGAACAUAGGGAGCAGCUCCAGCAGCAGGGAAUUUCUGAGGUCGAACAACACGUCCUUCUGAGCCAUACGGUUGUGGCUGUGCAGGUUUUUCAUUUGUUCCGGUCGAUGUUGGUCUGUGUCGAGACGCUGUCUUAGGGCAGAACAAGGGAAGAAUUUUUGAUGUAGUAGCAAGGGGAGGCUGUGGACUUGUUGGUCUAGUGUUCUGAACUGGGAACUUUCUUGCAAAUGGGAUUGGGGAAUCAAGAGUGCUCGCCAUGGCCAUCUUUUCCUUUAGGCGAUAAUUCAAUAAGGCUCGCGCUAUUGUAAUCUGUUCUAACUCAUCAUUAGUCUCUGGCUCAGAUGAAGAACUUGCAGUUUCUUUUGCCACUGGGAAAGACCAAAAAAGAAAAGUAAUUGACCUUCAGGAUAGGAGUUCCCGGGCAGAUAUUUCAGACACUGCUCAAUGAAAAAUUUAAACAAAUAUUCUGCAAAUUGUUUACAGAGAAUGUGGAGAAUGGUGAGCUAAUAUCUGACUAACGAGCUCAUCAAAACGUAAAUAAUGGUUAGGCCAGCCGCUAGCCUUGUGAAACACAGCUGUAUAACAUAUAUACUAGUUAUGCACUCCAUAAAUUUGAAGUCUUAGUUUGUGAACAUUAAAAAACGAUAUGAUUCUACACAGAGGACAUUGGAGGAAGAGGGUUCGUGUAGUUUGGGACUGAGGCUUACCUCAGUUCAAUUAUUAUAUUCCAUCACACAGACGGUUCAUCAACAAGAAAGCUUAAGACUGAAACUUACAUUGUUUUAGAGAUGUCCACGCUGCCAUAGCUGCAUUCUUCUCAGCUUGCUUCUUGUUCUUGGCAGGUUCCCCUGUAAAUGCUAUCCCAGCCAACUCUACGAUCCCAGUAAAAACGGGCAGGUGUCCGAGGCCCGACCUGAUUGUUGUAUAUUGCGGCAAUGGAGCUCCAACUCUUUGUGCAAUUUCCUGUAACAGGUUCUUGUACACCCCCGUCUCAUCCUGAACACACAAAAACCAAUUGACAUCACGUCAACAAAACUAGAUGACCGCAGAAGCAAUCGUAGGGUGGCUCAAGAAUAUCUUAUGACCCAAAUACCCCUAGCAGAUGAAGUUAAAGUUAGUAAACAAGCAGAGAGUCAUCAGAAACGCAAGUACAGCUGGUUUCCAGAUAAAACGACAAACAAAUCAAAGAUUAGUGCUUUAGCUUUUAGUAAACACUCAAUCCUACUCUUACUUCUCUCGGCCAGAAACUUCCCAUUUUCCCAUUGUUUAUUAUAUAUUCGAAAUAAAUGAUUAAAUAAAAACGAAUCACAUUAUCGUCGUCACCCAAGUCAAGAGAAAAUCCCACUCAAAUAUGCAACCGCAAGCACACACAAAUCCAUCCAGGGGCAUUUUCGUCGUUUCCCAGCGAACCCACUCACCGGCGAUCAAAAGUUAACCAACUGAUGUGAUUGAUCGUCAGCAAGAUUUAGCUGAAUUCUAUUGGUCAAUUUUAGUGAUCAGCUAAGAAGAGAAAUGAAGAAGAAGGAUAGAGAGAGAGAGAACAUCAACAGACCAGAAUCCUGGCGGCGAGGGAAGGGGAGGGACCACGGUGGGAGAGGGAGCUGAGAGCGACUUCGGCGGCGGAGUGUUCGGCCUGACGGAGAGUAGAACAAUAGUGAGGGCUCUCGAAGAUCUCGCCGUUGAAGUUAACGGUGGCCUUGAAUCUGGGCGCGUGGUCAGGACCUUCCCGAAUGCACGUGUAGGAGGGGAGAUUAAAGCAGCUCCUCUGCGCCAGCUCCUGCAGCUGGUUCUUGUACAUUUCUAACAACCACUAUUUCCACCUCCUCCACUCUCCCCCAAGUACCACAACACCACCACACUACACAACAAUGAAUUUUUUUUUCCCCUUAUAAAAAUAUUAAAAAAAAAAAAAGCUCACACUUUUCAACCUGUGCUAUGUUUUGGUAUGGAUCAGAUCCGGAGAUCAAUCGGGUCGGGUCACAGGAUUGGAAGUUUAUCUUUCUUUCCUUAGGGUUUUGGUGCGAGUGGGGGGGCAGAGCAGAAAGUGAGAGAAAGAGGAGGUGGUGACAAAAUGAAAAAGGAGGUGGUAAUGGGGCGGGGGUGUGAUUAAUAUUUUCAGAUUUAAUGGAGGAGUUUUUUUUAUAAUUAAAAUAAUGAGUUUAUCGGAAAGAUUUUGGUCAACUUAACGUUAGGCUUGCUGCUGUUGCUGCGUUGCUGCAUGGAUGGAUGACAUUUAUUUGUUUUUCUUUUUUCUUUUCUAGAUUUUGUCUACUUUUUUGUUUUUUUGUUUGUUUGUUUGGUUUUUUUCUUUUUUUUUUUCGGCGGAGAUUUGAAGGAGAGCGGUUUUGUAUUUUAAUUGUACGUGAAUGUGUGUAAUUUAUAUUAUUAUAUGGGUUCUUUUGUUUUCUUAGCCAUGUGGAUGAUUUAAUUAGGAUAGUUAAGUAUGAACUGGAUAAUUUAAUGAACAUAAUUAAGCAUGAAUUUAAUUUUUCAAUUUAUAUGCUAUGUUUUAGCCUUCUUAUUUACGUAGAAAGCGAAAUAUUGGUUGUCAUAGAGUUGGCUUCACAUACACGUCUCCUCUGAAUAUCUGUAGUUUUCACUCAAAUUUUGCUAUAACAUGACUAAUUUAGGUUAAGUUUGCGUCAAUAUUUGUCAAUUAUUAGUAAUUCAAGAAGCAUAUAUUGAGAUUUUCCCCACUUUUGUUAUAUUCAACCCAUACAAGAUAAAGGUUGGUGUGUACAGGAAUUGAUCCCUCUGUGAAGGGGAAUUGAUCCAUGAUCUAUUGCUUUCACAGCAACGUUUGCAUUACGGGGUUUACAAUUUUAAUUUUAUUUGAGUAAAGAGUUAGGUGUUUAAUGAUUCAAAUUCGUAAGUUAAAUCCAUCGUAUAUUGUAUUUGUUAUAAUACUGGGUCCACUCUGAUUCAAUCACUAAUUGAAAUCCAAUUAUAAUUUAAAUCAAUAAGAAAAGUCAAAUUCGAUUGAAUUUGGUUAGAAUAAAAAUUAUCAUUGUUCUCCAAAAUUCUAAAUACUUAUAAUGAAAAAAAAAAACCGAUGAACUCUUCUAAUAUUUCAUGAUUCAUGUUUUUUACUACCACAUGGUUUACAAAAUGAACAAUUGAAAUUUGAUAACUAAAAGCAAACACUCGUUGCAGCUUACAAUUUUUACUCUAUGUUAUUAUUAAAUAUUUAUAGUUAUACAAAUUAGGAUUCAUUUCUUUUAGUAAAAUUAGGGUUUUUUCUUUUUUUUUGGGUAGAUAUUCAGUGUUUGCUUAAACAACCAAUUUAUUUAUUUAUUUAUUUAUUAAAUAGACAGCCGAUUUUAACCAGUACUAUGCUCCGACAAUUUUGAUGGGUGCAACAUAUCUUAAAGUAAUAAAAUGAUUAGACAGACUGAUGAAGUGAAUUCAAAAUUUACUUCUUUUGUUGUAUAUUGACUUUUGAAUGCAAUUCAACAUAAUUAGUGGUGGCAUGGAACAUUAAGAAGUCUAUAACUUCUAUUAUUAUUAUGAUUAUUAUUGAUACAAAUAAUGGACGCCAUAAGAUGGCUGCUCUAGUGUUAAGACUGAAGAGCCAUAAUUGAUAAAUGACACAAUUAGACCUAGAUAUAUGGUGUCUGAUAUAAUUCAACAAUCCUGGUUUAAAAUUCGAUUUUAUAUCUGCUGUACGGCCAANNNNNNNNNNNNNNNNNNNNNNNNNNNNNNNNNNNNNNNNNNNNNNNNNNNNNNNNNNNNNNNNNNNNNCGGAUGUACGGUACAGCAGUAUAUAUAUAUAUAUAUAUAAAGGAGAGAAAUAAGAGUCAUAUUAUUAAAUUAUUAUUGUCAUCUUUUUCAAAGAUAAUUAAACUAGGACAAUAGUGAGGGGAGUUAUGAUGAUGACCCUAUUAGUAAUGAUCAUAAUUAUUUUGUAGUUCAUUAUUAGUCCGUGGAAAAAAAAAUGAUAAGAUGGCACGACUGGGUUUAUAUCCACCACCAAUUAUAUGUUUUAAGAUAAUGAAAACUAAACAUUGAUAAACCAAGUGAACGAGUCUAGUCCUUCAUCUUCUAUUAUUUAUCGUUGAUUGAGCUUUUACAACAGUCAAAUCAGCAAUUUGAUCAAGAAAUAAAUAAAGAAGGAAAGUGCAUAAAAAAUAUUUCAUAAAAAUCAAUAUGAAAUAUUGAUCAUAAACAAACAAAAGUAUUUGUUUGUAGUAGGGUAAUUUGAUGGAAAAUAAUUAAUUUAAUUUUAUAAAGUUUUGUUAGAUAUUCGAUAAAAUGCCUCUUACUUAGAUGCGUAACUCAAUUACUCUGUGAAUGCAUUUUGUACCCGCGGGUUACUUUGUUUAUGGGGCAUUUGAUCGAAGAGCACAUUACGCGCGGCCCCGCCAAUUGAGGACUGGCGGCAUGGAGACUUGAUUCUUCUAUAACCUUCUUCUGGAAGAUUCCAAAAAAUGUGUACAUUUUGUAGAUACUCCAAGCUGACCAUAUCCAUUAAGUCCUGAUGAAGUUGUACAUGAUUUCUCUCUCUCUCUCUCUCUAUAUCCAGUGGUAGCCUUAUUUGAGCCAAGCAUCCACAAUCUCAUAAAAAGCUCGAUAUGCCUAAUUACACACCUUAAGUUAAAUUCAUGGCAUGUGAUUAUCUAAAUUUAAAUUAGAAGAAUUUUUUUUUGAUGAACUAUAUAGAUAGUAGUAGAAGAACUAUUGUUAGCAAAUUAAGUGUUGUAUUAUUUAAAAUAUUUAUAACUUAUAAAAUUAAAAGUAUUGGAAUUUAAAUGCCUUUUCAGUAUAAUAAAAGUUCUACUUAUAAAAAUUUUAAUAAUAAAGACUUUUAUUUAAAUAAAUUCUAUUUAAAAAAAAAACUAUACUAAGUAAAGUCAAAAUCCGCUUUUAUAUGAGUGAAAAACAACUCAAAUUACCAAACCGUGUUGUGGCUUUAAAAUGCCAAACAAAAGUAUAUCAUUUGUACGACUAAUCAAAACUAGAUGAUCAAUAAAGUCAUAAAUUAGGCUUUAAUCCAUGAUGAUGGUGCAAAAUGCGAAAUUAAUGACGGGACGGUCAAACUCAAGGGUGAUCACGUGAUCGCGGGCGGGGGUCACGUGACCAAAUUUGCAAAUAUCAUUGUUAUUAUCAAUUGAUUAAAUAAUAUUAUUGGGUUCUUUAAAGGGGGGGGGGGGGGUGGCCUCCACCCCAAGUUGGUGGCACUCUCUUUAUGAAACGAUGAUGAUGAUGAUUGAUUCGUUCGUUCGUAUAUAUAUAUACAUAAUGCGCAAGUCAGAGAGGACCACGGAAUCUCCCGCGUCGAGGACGUGGAAUUACAUAAAUACCCUCGAGUGUUAAGCUACGGGAGGGGGCAACCGAUGAGGGGUAUUAUGGUCCAUUAGAGCACUUGAAAAUAAACACUAGUAGUGUUUCAUUAUCAACGGUCAUGGACGGGCAAAGGUGAGUGGGGAACAUAGCCCCUUUUUUUUUUUUAAAUCUCCGAAAUUGGUGACGUUUGACUGAUGAAAUUACAGAAAUGCCAUCGCUCUUAAUGGCGGUGCCCCCACUUAAAACAAUACGACGAUGAAUUCGAGCUCCACAAGUUGGAAGUUAGUGAUGCUUUGAGUUGAGUGGAGACGACAUCGCAUUAAUGAAUACGAAUACGGAGGAGGUGGUGGUGGAGGAGAGCUUCAAAUGUGUACGUGUUAAUUAAGAGUCCAAUUUUGAUUUGAUUUGAUUUGAUUAUUAUUUUAUUUUUACGGCAUUAAAUGUAAUGAGACUAAACGAAGAGUAUGUAUGCCUGGAAACGCGUUUUCCCACCGAAAAAUAAAGAAGCUUUGCAUUCAUUCAUGUGCAUGAUCUCACAGUAUAAUCAAAAGUUUGAUAUUCUGAUUUAUGUGAUUGUGCACACUUUUUUUUCUUCUUUUUUUCUUUUUUAAAUUGCAUUACAAUUUCACUGAUAUUAUAUAUUAUUAUUAUAAUGAUAUAUUUAUGAGGUUGCGUUUAUAUUUUAUAUUAGAGUGAAAAUUUUAAGAUUAGAAGUGGGAGCAUGUUUUUUUUUCUUAUAGUGAAAUGAGAGUAUAGAAUUGGAAUUAAAAUUAAAUUUAUAUGUUUACUUUAUCUUAGAUUGAAAGUAGAUAGUUUUAAAUUAUAAUUUUAUCUUUAUUUAAAGAAUUAAAAUUUUAAUUACAAAAUUGAUAAAAAAAUAUAUUUAAAAAAUAAAAUAUUUAUUUUAUUAUAUUUGUACUGCUGUACGGCCAAGGCGGAUGUACGGUACAGCAGACUUAAUCCAUAUCUAAUUCACCAUUUUCUGCAUUAGUUUCCAAAUUAAAAAGUUUUAGUUCUCCCUAAUCCAUGAACUAAUGUGGGUGGGGGAGGGGGUAGAUUAGCAUAAAAAAAAAAAAGGACGAAGAAAUUGUGAGGAGAGGUGGUGGUGGUGGUGAUGUGAUGUGAUAUGUAGUGAAAAGACGUGUUGAUUAGAUCGAGGAGCAUUAAUGACAUUGUUUGAAUGCUAAUUAAAUUAGCCAAAAGAAAGCUAUGCGUUUUCUCUUCCCUUAUUCAAAUUAGAAACUGUGAAAGUUCAAUGACAACAUAAAUUCACAAUCACAUGGGGACAGGCCCUCCAUAAUUUCAUUUCUUCUCUCUCUCUCUCUCUCUCUCCCCCAUAAAUCCAUCCCCCUUUCGACUUGAGGCUACUGGUAUGGUAAAGAAGUUGAUUUUUCUUUUGUUCUGUGAAAAGGCCGAAAGGGAGGGAGUAAAAGCUUUUCAUAUUACUAUUUAUUGGGAGGAAAACAAAGGAGAAAUAGAAAUUCAAAUGACAUCAAUGGGCCUUAGCAAAAGCAAAAGCAAAGCAAAGAGCGACUGUUGCUGAGGUUCAUUAAUUUCAAUUCACAGGACUUUAAUAAAAGAAGUCAUUAAUUCUAAAGGUCUAUUGACGCACUGAACUGAAAAAGAGAAAGGGGAAGUGGCAGAUGAGAGGAAGUGAAUGCGGCAAAUGAAAGGUUAAAAUUUUUUGCAGCAACAAAACAAAAACUCCACGGAAUUGGAUGAUUUGUGUGAUCCUCCUUACCGGGCACCUUAUUUAUUCAUUGCAGAGGAGGGUGGUUGCAGUUGGCCGUUGGCACAGUUGUGGGCCUCCAUACACAACUUUGUUACGAUACAAUCUAGGCCCAAUUGCCUUUUAUCUUUUUCGCUUCGACCAAGCCUCUAUAUUUCCAAUUGAAAUCACCCAAAUAACUAAACAUAACCUAGUUCUUUUCUUCUUUUUUUUUUAAAAAAAAUAUUUUGAAUGAGAAAAUUUAAUUAAAUACUUAAAUAAAAUUUUCUUUUAUCGAUUUUUUGACGCCCAAAUUUUUAUAUUUAUAUUUUAAUUUUUUUAUGAAUUUUUAAGAAUUUAGAAAUAAUAGAUAUUAUAUAGCAAGAAAAAACAAUUUAAGAUUUUAAAACUUGUGCGUAUUCCAUAAGUAAAAACUUAAAAGAAAUAUUCUUUUUAAGGUGAAAUUUAAUAACAAGAUCAUUAAUUUUAGUUUAUGAGUUAUUUAUAAAUUAAAUUGGGGGGGUAUUUUAAGAAAUAAAAUUCAAAAAAGAGUGUCAAAAGAAUUUUUUAAGGAUGCUGAUGCAAAAUGUUGAUCAAGUCUUAAAAGGGGUUCCAUCGUGCCAACAUCACCCAUGAUGGAAGUAUAGUCUGAACACCACCUUAGACUUUCUCAUUGAAAAUCUCACACUCACAAUUACCAGUCAAUUCGAAUAGGAAGAACCUUGCCAAGUAAACCCCAACACAGCAUUAAGAGAACUGUUGAAAUUAUUCACAGGAAUUUCACCCAAACGGACACAAAGAGAACACUUAUAUUCCAUUUCAAUUCAAUAAGCAUAACCAAGUCGGAAGGAUGUCAAAUACAUCAUAAAAAAGGAGAAACUGGUUUAAGUGUAAAAAUAAAAGAAACACACUGUUCAAUGGUCUGUUACUUUCACCUUGACUUCAUAUGCCCGUUGCAUACGGAAAGAUGUCAAAUGGCAUACUUGCAUGUAAUACUGUAUCAUUUAAAAAAACAAAAAAACAUGCCUAUAGCUAUUUGAUUAAUAAUUCUAGGACUAGUAUUACAAGUUGUGAUGACACUAAGAGGGAGGAUGCAAAUUUUAGAAUGUGAACCGUAAAACUAGGUAUUAAAAAAAAAAAAAAAAAGAAUGAUUGGGGGUAUAAAAGAAACACAGUGACGUGGGAAAAAAUAAUAAUUAGGAGGGCUUUUAUUAAAUAAACAAAGCCAGGCUACAAGCUGAGUACCAGAAUAAAUUGUGAAAUCACCAUGAAAAGGGGCUUGCACCCUGCAAAAAAAUUUCAUUUUCCACAUCUUUAACCCACUGACAAACCCGGUUGCAAGUCUUUAUUGCCACUGCCUGCACAGCGAAAUCGACCAAAACUCGUAAUAUAUUCAACGAAACAAAAUGUGAAAACAAUUGUUGCUUCAUGUUAAAUCAGUUCAACUGAAGCAUACUAAUCAUGUAUAAAGAUAAAACAAUUCCUGAGAGCUCAUGGAUGUCAACAUUUUAAUUCCCUAUCCCACAAAUUUUUUUUUUUUUUUUUACAAUUAACAUGGCCCAGGUCAAUAAUUAUCCUAAUUACUUGAAUAUUUAAGCUCUUCAUAUUGGAACUUAAUUGGACGAGAUUAGGGUCAAACAAGUUUUACAUGGUUUCCACAAGUUAAUAAGAAAGAAAGAUUAAAAUCAAACCUUAUCUGCAAGCGGAUCAAAUGCUGCAUAAAGUUCAAAAUCCUGUGUGACCCAGCAGAGUAGAACUGCCACAUGAAGGUGAUCACGUGAAUAUGACAGGAAAGCAUUUAGGUCAAACAUAUAAUUAUAAAUACGAAUAAGUAACUUCCUGCAAUUCAUAGAAGAAACGCAGUCAAAAUAUUGCAAAAGGAGACCAAUUGACAAAAGUCCAAUCUUGAUAGUCGAGAAAACUAGACCAAAUUAAUAGUUGUGCAUUCCUGAAAACAUGAAGCAUGGCUAAACAAAAUCAGCCAGACCUCCAAGUUUUAAGUAAUCAAAGAAAAUAGCUAGGUUCAGAGAUCUUAAAAAAAGGGGGGAGAGAGAGGGAGGGAGGGAGAGAGAGAGAGGAAGACACACUCCAACCCUUUGGAAGGCCUUUAGUAGUGGAAUAAGAGCACACAUUUUCAAAUGGAUCAGGUCUUGAAGCUUAGCAAUAUUUUCUAUUUAUUCCAUUAAAUUCAGUUUCUACAAAACAUCAAACAAAAAACAAAUCCUUUGGUUUGAGAUUGCAUUAUUGUCCUUUCAAGACAGUUGUUCAUAUAAUGAAUGGUCUCCACAAGAUAAUACUGCUCAUGCAGAUAAAUAGACCUGUCCUGGAUUUUUAAAAUGCAUUAUGACUUCAGAAAUACAUAAGAAAGAAAAAUUUACCAUAAUUUUCAUCCCUUCUAAAUUGAGUCUUGUGGGGACCAAUUCCUUUACCAUGCAUGGAACAGUAAAGUUUCUGGUAUGCUCUAUACAAUCUGCAACAAAACAAACCCAUUAUCCAACUUAAGCGAUAAUCUCAAAAUAUCUGACAGUUAAAAAAAUAUAUAUUCCAAAUAGCAGGUGAAAGAUUCAGGAAUUACCUUUUCUGCUGUUGAGGACUGCUAAUUGGAGGUGAGAAAUCAGAAGACACAUAUUGAUCCAGAUAUAUACUACGAUAGAUGAAAUGCCACAGUCCGGUAGGACCACCAAUGCCAACAAUUGAUUCACUGAAUAUUUCAGGAGACUGUGUUAAAAUCCUCUGCUGGCUCAAACGAUGAGGCAUAGAUGAACGAGGCAAUGGAUCAACAGGCAAAUCCUCAACACGCAUUCCCCCUUCUAGCAUGGAUCUCUGAACUUCACUAAGAACAUUUGACCUCAAAAGGACCUGUUCUAUACGAAUCCUACAAAAAUUUAAUCAAAAUUCUCAAUUUUUAAAGAAGAAAGCAUAAUAUCUUCUUUGUAGGGCAAAACUAUGUUUCAACUGUGGUACCAACCACAGUUGCAACCAGCCAUUGGAUCCACAGUUGCACAGUUGUAUUGGCUGGAUCCAAUGGCUGAAAGCAACUGUGGUACCUUACCACAGUUGCAACACAGCUGGACCCCUUGUUUAUAACAUCAAAAGCGAGAUUAUUAUUCCUUUGUAUGAGGAUAAAACAUACUCCGUUGGAUAACAAAAAAUAUUGCAACCAUAAGGUUUCACUAUACCAAAAAUGUAAGGUCAUUUGAUCUAAGAACUAAGAAGUUGCAACAUAAAAUUACAACGACAUCCACUAAUACUAUACAUCAAAUUUGAAAACAUAUAUACCUGCAAUCUUUAAGAUGAUAAAAGGCAUCCGAGCUAGUAGUAAGCAACAUCAGGUAUGUGUCAGCCUGCCAUAAAAACAUAGAAUGGCUAUAUAAUUACUUUGGCCCUUUAUGUGAUCAAUAUAGACCAAAAUUCAUGCAGUUGAAUUCGCAUGAGAAAUAAAUUUUGUGAAUCCUUGUUUCACUCACAUCAAAAUAAUGGACAUAAGCAUACAAAAAUGCCGUGGGAUUAUAUCUUGGCAGGCAAAUUGGUGAAAAAGAUUCAGAUGUCCUGCAAAAAUUCAGGAAUUUCAGUGAGACUAAACACUCACAAAAGGGUUUAGAUAUCAGAAACAUUAUGUCUAUGCCACCAAAAUGCAAGGACAUCCAUUUAACUUUGUAUAUUAAAAUUCUAACUUCUAAAUAUAUGUAAAAAACACAACUUUUUCCUCAAUCAUCCAUAUGAAAUAGGUGAAGUUAGAAAAGAUCAUGCAAUAGAAACUAACGCAGAAGGAUGGAAUUCUUAUGGACGAUCCCAAAAGUGGCCAAUGACUGAUCAGGUUGCCAUAAGAGUUCAGCAAGGAAGAAAGAAGACUAGCAAUUAUGGGACACUACCAAUUUUUUUUGCUAAGAAACAAAGAUUAAAUAUAACUAUAAGAAAUAUGUACAAGGAUUAGGAGGAUUACAAAUCCACAAAAAAGGAAUUAUGGGACAAUACCAAUUAAAAGCAAUUUCUCUCAGAUGCCCAGAAAAAACCUACAAUGUCAUAGUAUAGCAAAACAAGAGGUGACUAAAAGCAAAAUAUAUUCAUGACAAUAUGAACUUCCAGAGGUAUGGGACAAAUCCAUUUGUGUACUUAUCGUAAAUGAUUAUAAACAAUGAGUGAGCUCAUUCAGCAACAUCCUAAUUAAAUAAAGAACCCACUUAAUGAACACUGAUUGGCCCAGCUAAAAGAGUCUACAUUACUUAGCAACAUAUGUUAAGAUCCUUCAAAUAGAUUGAAUUUAAUCAAUAUGUAGAGUAGUCAAGAGGCUUAUCCACACACUCCUUGGCUAUUUUAACCGUUAAAGAUGAAAUAUCAGAUGAGAUUAUUCUGAUUACCUAAAUGAUUCUGAUGACAUAACAAAAUUGGAAAGUAGCAACAUAUCAUCAGGAUGAAGAGAGGCUUUCUGUGCACCAACAAGGCUGACAACCUGGCAAAUCAAGCUUCAAGUCACUAUAAUGCCCAUGGCAGUAAAGCUAAUGAAUUAGUCUGUUUAGAUACAGAGGAAUGAUGAAGGACCUUUUACCUUGCAUUUACACAUUAAUAAUGCAAAGAGAACUCCUGAAUCAGCGACAUCUUGUAAUACAGCACCAGCAGCUUGCCUUGUUGCAUAUGCUAGAGGAAGACAGGUGUAUGCAUGAAGGAAUGUAGCUGGGUUCCUGCCAAGAAGAGAACCCGAAAAUUUUCACUUUACUAUACAGGAGUAUCAUUCAAUACCCCUAGACCGCAUAAACAGACUUGCCUAAUUUCUGCCUGUUCCUCCCCGAAAACCAUAGUUCCCAUGCCCCCAUGCCAUUUUAACCAAAACUAUCCCUAUCUCAAAUUCUUAUCAACUAACACAAAUCCUCUGCAUUUAUAUUUUUUUGUUAAUAGGCAGUUCCAUUUAUUUUGGAUCACACAAAAUUGCGACAUAAGAGAUGAAUUCAACAAAAGUCCGAAUCAAGUAACACAGGGAUAUGAAAAAGGAAAAAGUUCAAACCAGCAGGUAAACCAAAAGAGGGAAGAAAAACUAACCAAUUGAAAGAAUGGAUAAGUGAUGAGAAGACAACAUCUGUUCCCCCAAGCAAAGGUGUCAUAUCGAACUUCGGGUUCUUCUCAAAACAUCUGUUUACGGACUUAGUUAAAAUAAGUAUCAUCUGCAUUCACAUCACAAUCAGUCAAAUUAGUAGCGGAAUGACAAUUAGAAUACAAUACUGAGCUGAUAAUAUAGAAGGUAACUAACAAAAGAAAAGGCCACAAGCUUAAUUUACAGCCAUACAGUAAAACAUAACCAGAAAUAAAAGUUUUUUCAGGAGAGAGCAAGUAAACCUGGCCAUAAAGAAGCUCCAAUUGUCCCCUCAAUGAUUCAUAAGACUCUUCUGUGCAGCUGAUGCAAACUAAGUAGAUUGGUCCCUUGAUGAGAAAUACUACCUAGAAACAUAAACGUGUCAACCCAAUCUAUUUCCUUUCAUGGUUGAACUACAAGAAAAGACCUAGACAGUGCUUGUAGGAAGUAAAGCAAUUUGCAUUAAAUAUGUACUAAAUUUCAACAAGUAAAACAUUUGCCACAGUACAACUUUCUAAAUAAUAUGCGUACGGCAGUAGGUAACAUCACCAGAAGUCAUGCAAAACUUUAAAAAAAAAGCAUAAAGAAGAGUUAUUUAUAUCAACCAAUUACUGUUAUAAAAAAUCUACCAAUUGUUAUACAAAACUUUCUUAAUAAAAUGCAUAAAGCUAAAUAUGAUGAAACACAUUAAACACUAAUCAAAGAUACAUUCUCAAACAAGCAAUUCAUCAGCAAGGGAAUGGAAACAUAGGCUUGACUUUCAUGUCUCAUGAUAAAAGGAUAUACAAAGUUAAGAACUCAAAGCAAAAAGAAACAGAAAAAUCAGCCAAUAGGAGUGAAAUGAAAACGGACCUGAUGUUUUCCUGCCCUAACCAAUUUGAUACGAUCUUUCCUGAAAAAUGAUGGAGUGAUUAACAGAGUUAACUACUGAGGUUGGCUUUCUGAAAAAAGAAAAAAACUACUAGUACAGUAUAUGCUUCAAUAUAGAGUUUGUUGACAUAAAACCAAGUAACAGAUGCAGCACCAUACCCAUUCUCUACAAAGGAGAUAAUUGCUUGCAAUGUUGCAGAAAAUCCUGCAAGUUUAUGUUCAUCUCCAUAUCUACAGGUCAAUUAGAGGUGCAGAAAAUAUAUGAGACACUAAUAGAAUGUGCAAGGUUGUUCUCUACUUCACAAAAAGAAAUAACUGAGCUCAUGUACCAGAUGACACAGACUUUCACAAGCAAAAGGGACAAACCUGGAAUAUAUCGGUUUUCCAGAAUGACUCAAAAUAAAGAAGUGUUUCUUUCUCUUUCUCCAUGAUAUGGAAGCAUCGUCCUGCACUUUAUUAUAUAUCAAAAAAUGAGAUAACACUGCAGGUAUGUUUAUAGAUUUAACUUGCCGGUCAGGAAAAAGAGAGAAAAAAAGUUUCAAAUAACAUAUUGCCAUUUUUGGAUCAUAGGCAGGCUUUAGUUCAAACUUACGGUAAAACAUUUAAAACAUCCCUUCUUGUCUAUAUUGUUACUUUCCUCUAAACUUAUUUUUAAAAGUACAUGAUCAUAUCCAUUAAUGAUGAAGUGAACUUCUUACUUUCUGUAUGCAUGAUCAUAACUCUUUUCAUAUUGGUGAAAGUUACCUCCUAAGCUCAAUAGAUAAUACGUAAAAAAAGCCGUUUUAUAAUAGUCAAAAUAAGGCAGCUAUAUCUUAUCCUCAAUUGCGAUUAAAAACCAACUAGAAAAAUAUUCGUAUACUAGUAGCACAACUGAGUAACAGCUCACGUUUCCAAAGUGUAUAUAUGUGUAAUCAACCAUGUGGGUCAAGCAAAGGAGAGUUUUCUACAUUAAAUUUCUAUCAAGACGGUCAUACAAGAACUCUAAACAACAACAAUGCUUUAUGCCAAUGUACAAUACAGUCAUAGCAAAUCCCAUACAAUGUUUAUACAACAAGUCUAUGUUGACAAAGUUGGGACACAAAAUCCCAACAUCACAUGGCAUUACCACAAGCUAGCACGUGGUGAAUUUUACGAGUGCCAAGUGUAGGCAGUUUAAGAAAUAUCGUUAUUGCUUGAUAAAUCAUUAACCAGAAUGUACUAGUAUUCAAGCACUUAGAAGUUAAUGUCUUAAAACACAACCAGAUGAAACUUAAAAUUCACUACCAGUAAGUUGAAAUAAAUACAUUAGCGAACCAACUCACCUCAUCGACGUGGCGUUUGCCGGGGACCCACGAGGGCGAGGGUGAAGAAUCCCCAACUCCAUCAACAAAACCAUCAUGAUCAUUUAUCACUUCCUGUAUCCCAUCAUCGUCCUCAUCACCAAUUCUCGAGUUACUCGUCCCCUCGCUACUGCUCCCUCUCUCUCCAGCAUACCCACUACUACUCGGACUCGAUGGCCCCUCCCUUUCCCCUUCCCGCUCCGCCUCCAACACCACCCCAGCACCACCGUAACGAUCGCUUUCGCCCACCGAUCCAUUACCGUUAGACUCGGUCAAUGUUAACGACGCCAGCGUCAAUUCGUCAUCAAUCGGCUUAGGGAUAGGGUUAGGGUUAAAAAUGAGUUCUUCAUCGGAGGAUGGCGAUGAAGAGCUGGUGGACAUUGGAUUGGAAUUGGGUUCAAUUUAGGGUUUUUUUUUUGGGUACUUUGAAAGAGAAGCGUGGGUUUCUUUUUGCGAAGAGUGGUGAGGACUGAGGAGUUUUAUUGAAAUUUAGCUAAUUGAAUUCCUACCAGUCAUUGCUUUGGCUGUUGUGGUUCUUUUGUCUGUGGAAUUUGGUGUCAGUUGUGAAAGACAACGAGGCAGAGGCUCUGACCAGUAGGUGCUGAGCAAAUCGAUGUCGGGUCGGUUUGAUUUUUAUCUGGAUCUUUCGGCGGGUUAGCGUUUGGUUUUGGGCCUCAGGCUACAGGCCUCUAUAGAGUAAGAGAAGCCCAAAAUGACUCGAGAAAAAGAAAACUUUGAACCCACGGCUACAAAAAUGAGCUAAACUAUCUUGAAAGGGAAAGGACGAGAAACUGGACUUGUCAAAGACCCAUUUGAUUAUCCUAGUUUAUCAUCAACGUGACCAUAAAAGAAAACACCAAUAGCGGCUAAUAAUAGUUCGACUUUGGUUUGGUCUGAUUUUAUUAAAAAUUGAACCAAAUUUAAUUAGUUUGGCUUAUUAGUUUCCUUAUCAUUUUCUGGAAUAUAGCCUAUACCUUUAUCGAUAUCUACGUACGUGUAGAACAUAAUUCAAAAUUCAACACCAUCACAAAAUUGCCUUUAGAGAGGUUCAAAACCAUGUGCUACCUUUUGGUUUUGGGCCCAAACUAGGUUCAAUAAAAAAAAAUUUGGGAUUUUCCACCAAAAUCUUAUUUGGGCUAUAAAAAGUCCUCUAAAAGAAUUUCAAUUCAAUCCAACAAGUUUUCUUAAUGUUUUGAAAUAUUUUAAAAAGGUUUUGAAAAAACAAAUUAUAUCAGAACUCUAAAGCGAUUCCCCUUUUCAUUCAGGCCUAGUUUCACCAAAUAUACAUAGUUACAUACACACAAAAAAAUGAGCCCAAAAUUCAACACCAUGGCGAAAUUGCCUAGCUCUUGGCCCAAACUGGGAGAAAAAAAACCCUUUUUUUUCCACCAAAUCUCUAUUUGAACCAUGAAAAGGCCUCCCAAAAAAUUUUAAAAUAAUUUGACAAGUUCUCCUAAAUUUUCAGGAAAUUUUUUCAAUUUUUCAGAAAAUUUUGAAAUUCUUAAAAAUUAUUUCAGCCUCCAAAUUGACUAUUUUUUUUUUGUUUUCCCAUAGUCUAAUUUUCUCAAUACUUACGUGUACACGAAAAAGCUAUCUCGAAAUUCAACGCUAUCGCAAAAUUGCCCUUUAAAGGCCAAAAAUAAGGUGCGGCUUUGGUUUUGGGUCAAAAUGGGCUUGAGAAAAAAAAAGUUGAAAUUGGGCUAUAAAAAGGCCUCACAAAAAGUUUUCAUCUACCUAGCAAGUUUUUUUUUUUCAAUAUUUUUUUGAUUUAUUGGAAAAUUUUUCAAAAGUUCAUAAAAAUUAUUUCGGGCCCCAAAAUUAACUCCCUUUUUUUCUAUAAUUUAGUUUCACCAAUAUCUACAUGCACACAAAAAACUAGUUCGAAAUUCAACAUCAUCACUAAAUUGCCUUUUAAAGCCCUAAAGCUGUGCCAUAUUUAAUAUAGCUUUUGGUUUUUGGCAUAAAUGGAACCCGGAAAAAGAUUAGGGUUUUUCUACUAAAAUUCUAUUUAAGCCAUAAAAAUACUUUUCAAAGAGGUUACAUUAAUCCGAUAAGUUCUUCCAAUUUUUCAUUGCACAUAAAGUUAUCCAAUUAGCUAAAAUAAUUAGUGACUGAACAUGAAUUGAUUGUGAAACCAAACAGACCCAAAUUAGUUCAGUUUCAUUUAAAGUGUCAAUCCGUACUCCGUAGCUAAGAUGGGACCGUAAGGCACAACACUUAUAGAUAAGUUCAGAAAGUGCAUGACGAGUCACAUGACUUGGGCAGUUGUGUUAGAUUUUAAAGAUUAAAUGAAGGUCCUUGGCCAAUUUUCUAACGAGAUGAUUACUUUUCAUGAUAUUAAAGUAAUGGAUGAACUUCGGGUUUUUUUUUUCAAGACCAGUACUUAAACGAAAUAGUUUCGUUAAAUUAAUAAUUUUGAUUAAAUAAUAAUGUUUAUUAGUCUUAGUAAACUAGGGAGGAAUAAUCGCAUCUGUAUUAACGCAUUGUUUUUCGACCCCUAAAUUAAAAAGCUCCAAAAUAAGUACACCAGAGUCCAUAAUAACCUAUUAAUUUCAAGGCUUUGGUUAUGUUGAAACUGCUCCAUAAUGGACAUUGUUUAUGACCGUAUGAUUAUAAAGAUAAAUAUUAAAUCUACACUUACUAUUAUAAUUUGAUGAUCAUCGUUAGUGCUCUACGGUGGAACAACUCCACCAUAGCCAUUGCCUAAUUUCAAAUAUCAGAAAAUUUUGUUGAUGCAGCAAGCUAAUUAUCUAUAAAGUAUCUACAAAUGGUUAAACGCUGUUGUAGAUUGGCUAAACUAGCACUUAGCAAUUUAAAUUAAUGUACCAUCGUAUAUUGCCAAAUGGGGUAAAUGCUUGUUUUAAUCCUUAUAUUUUGAACUAAAUACUCAUUGAGUCCUUAUUUUUAAAAAAAUAUCUCAAGACAUUCUUGUUGUUAAAUUUAUUAUGCUUCUACAUUUACUUUCUCUUUCAUUUUAGAAUAAUAGCCCAGCAACAAUAUUUUUGAGGAUAUAAUGAGAAGAAAAAAUAUUAAUUUAUCAAAUUAAUCUUAAAAGUAACAUAAAAUUCACACAAAUUUUUAUAUUAUUAUUUAACUUUAAGAUUAAUUUGGUAAUUUAAUUUUUUAUAAAAUAAUUAUUGAUAAGAUUGUUGAAAGGAUAUUAAACAUUACUUUAAGUUGGUUGAAUUUAAUUUAUUUAUAAAAUAUUAUUAGCUUGAUUGUCGUAUAUAUACAAAAAUACUAGUUUUUUCACAUUAAUAUUUAUUUGGUUAAUUUGUAUAUAAAUAAUUAUUGGUUAGUUUGCUAAUUAAUUUUUUUAAAAUAAAAUAAUUAAUGCUAAGAAUAUUAUUGCAAGAGUAUUACUAUAAAAAGAAAGAAAAAAUAAAGGUAAAAUGUGAUAUAUUUAAUUGUAGGGUGUAUUAAAGUAUUUUUGAAAUAUAAAACUAAACAGAUAUUUAAAUCAAAAUAUAGAGACUUAACGAAAUUUACUAGAUGUCAACCUGCAAGUUAGAGUUCCGAAAAAUAGUUUUUCAACUUCAUAAUAGCUUAUUCUUCAAUUACAACAUUAUAUAAUUUUACACGAAAUACUCCUAAGAUGGCAUACAAGUUAGUUAUCCGUGAAAAGCCCUCUGUAGACUAAUAAGUAUCCAAGAAAAAGAAAUGCGCAAGAGUUGGAUGAGCAUAUAUUAUCUUUGCAUUGCUGCCUAACUAGACUCAUUGUGAUUUCACAGUCUUAUAAGUUAUCCCUUUCAUAACCUUAUCGCCUAAUUUUAAUAAAAGUUUUAUCAUAUAAUUGAUGUGACGGAUGCACUUUAUCUUUUCAUCAUCAAUUGGAUAACAACAUUGUUACUGUAGCAUUUGAUGUUAUUAGUUUCGUGGAGUUUCUAAGUCAGAUAAGGAGAGAAUUCUGAUUUGAUUAUGUCUUGAGUGAAUAACUCAAUUGCUAAUUGGUUGUUAAUAAAUAAAAAGAAUAAAAGAAGUUAAAUCUUACCCAUAUACUACCACUAAAAAUAUAUAUGAUAGAAGUAGGGGUUGGCAAAAUAUCCGACCCGACCCGAACUGACCCAAAAAAUUUCGGGUUCGGAUCGGAUCGGGUUGUUAAUUAUACCCGAUUGGAUGAAAUCUUUUAAAUCUGAUCGGGUUAUGAUCGGAUCGGGUACCGAUCUGAAUACCAGAUCGGGUUGCUUUAAAAAAAAAAACCGAACACACGCAUGCCACACACACAAUGAUACAAACCACAGACAGAUUCACAGAACAUAGUCACAUACACAUCACAAACACACAAAUCACAAACCAAGAAGCGAAAGAACCCAAGUUACAUACGCAUUACACAAAACACACACACAACAUAGUACACACCCAAGAGACCAAGACCCAACACAACUUCACGGCUUCACCUAGUCACCCUCACAUCACGUCGUCAAUAGCCACAACCACGAACCCACAACCAUCUCCCUCGUUGAACUUCUCAUCUCUAAGCACCAGCAACUUCUCAUUCUAGACUAGAAGCAAGACCCCUCUUCACACUCGAUCUCAAUUUGUUGCGCGUCUGCAAUUUGCUGUUGUACGUUCGCGGCCAGCCGACCACCGAUCUACUGCUCCAAGCCUCCAACUCGACAGUAGUUGCCACUUGCCAGUGUAACCCAAAUACCCGAUUUUGCUCCAAGCCUCCAACCCGACCCCUUUUGAGUUUUGAGACUUUUGAGUUUUGAAAUUGAAUCUUUGCCCAUUUGAAGACUUUGGCUGGUCUCUUAUCCGAACCCGGACUCAUCUGAAUUCAAUCUGAUUUUUUUGACCUGAUCCGAUCCGACCCAAAUAUAUAUCGGAUUGAGUUAAUUUUUACCCAACCUGAACAACCCGAAACCGAUCCGAGCCCAAUUUCGCCCACCCCUAGAUAGAAGAUCUUUAAAAACUCAGUAGAGCUCAUAUCAGGAGAUGAUCUUAUUCCUUAUGAGUGUACAUUUAAGAGCAUGCAGCACAACUAAAAGUGAAAAUGUAUGUGCAUCACAAGGAUUUGUCUCGACAUAUCAUAUUAAAAGUUUAGUUCAAAAAUAUGAAUUCUAAAUAAUAAUAAGAAAUUUUACUCUUACAACACUCUGACGCACAUGAAUUAUGAGCCAUUCAAACCUUUUUAAUGCAUCAUAGCUAAAGCCCAUUACAAAGAUAUCAACAUUAGAAAAUUAAAAAAAAAGUAUUUAUUCACACAAUUUAAUCAGAACGACUCAUUAAAUUCUCGAUCUUAAGAAUGAAUCGAGAAAAUACCCAACACUUGAACCAAAUAAUUGUUUGCUUGCAUCCCUCAUUCCCGGUAUGUUUAGGGAUAGCAAUGGGCACUGCCCGCAACGAGUUUGUCAUUACCAAACCCAAAUCCGCACAAAAUUUAGAUUAGCAAAUCCACCCGCAACCCACAACGAGUUUUAAAUUUGUUUUAAAAAACCCACCCGCUGUGGGUUUUGACAAUUACCAAACUCGCAAUGGUAUUCGGUAGAUUUUUUGCAGAUUUGUACAUUUACAAUCGCAAAUAUUCAAUAUAUAAAUUUACAAUAAUAACCUCAAAUUCCACAUAACAUACUCAAUUUUAACUUUAACCAAUGUAAAUGAAAAAUUAAAAUUCCAACGUCAAUCCAACACAAAUUCUCAAAUUUAAGUAUAAAAUACACAAAUCCAUUAAAAAAAACUACAAACUAAUAUUUAAAAAUAACAAUUACAUUUCAUAUUAUCAUUCAACACAAGGAGAAGAUCUUCAUUUCAUUCACCAUCAUUAGCACUCAUCCAACAUGAUGCCUACAAUAAUGAUUAAGAUUAAAAAUUUUCAAAGAAUAAUACUUUUCAAAUAUUAAUCUGAAAAAAAAUUAUAAUAAGAGAAUAAUUCAUGCAUUAAGUUAAAAAAAAUAGUCCAUACAAAAACAUUUUGGUUAUUUGGCACUUUACAUAAUUGCAUUAUUUUCUUUAUAUAUUUUAUAGAUUUAAAAUUUUUUCAAUUAAAAUUAAAUUUAAAAUAUUUUAAAAAAUUACGAAUCUAGCGAAUAUUCAUGCGGGUAUCUGUCGGAUUUUAGAAUAAUAUCAAACUCACCCACAUCUAAGUGUAAGUUUCAAUUUACAAUAUCAAAUCUGCUGUAACCCGUAAAAUUAUCUGUAGUGGACGGUUUGUGGCGGGUGGAUUUGAGUGGGCUUGAACAGGUUUACGGGUUCCAUCCUAGGCAUGUUGAAUUGUUAACGAGCCUAAUGCAUGAAACAAACAACGAAGACAAAGAGCCAGGCCCACGCAGCCUCUGAUUUUUAUACCGGGGCUUGACCCACGAUUUUAAAUUUUUGAGGCUUACUGUAUAACGUCACCGCAAUUAAUUAAGGCAAUGUGACAGCAUCAUGUCGACACUCUUCACUCGCACAGUUUACCAUACACAUAUACCCAUGUCGCCAUAAAGAUCGAAGACGACAGAGCGAUGAAAACGACAGGCGAACGUAAACAAAACGCCACGGGCUGGUAGAUGUCAAAAUAGUCAACUAAACGUCACUAUCUAUGGGCCCAAGAUAAAGAAAUCUAACGGCCCAGAAAAUUCCAGUCUUACUAAAAGACUGUCAUGUCUUUAGCUUCUUCCAUGACAGACCGGCGUUACCGGAUUUAUAAAAGAACGUCUCCCUUGCUUUUAAUUUUAUGGUAACAACUUUUUUUUGUCCUUUCAUGUGGGCAGUAAUAAUAUUUUAUUAUUCAAUUGCAAGUAUCAUUUUCUUUAAAAAGUGACUUCAGAUUUCAGAAACCGCCAUAUUACUCGUAACCCCCAAAAAAAAAUAAAAAAUUCUAUAAUAUUUGAAAAAAAAAAUUCUGAAAUUACACUUAUAAUAGAUUUUUAGUUCAGAAUUUUAAAAUACGGAAAAAAUUUUAAAAAAUUUUAAAAUUAUAAAAUUUAUGAGACUUAAAAUUUAAAGCGCUUAAACUGUAUAGUUUACAUAUUUUCUUUAAUUUUUUCGUAAUUUAAAAUUCUGAAAUAGAACACUUCUAAAUUAUUUAUAUCUAAAUUAAUAUGAAAAUAAAUAACAAAAAGUUUUAAUAUAACUUAGGGACAUCCAACAAAAAGUUUUUUUUUAUUAUCUAUUUGCCUUCAUAAAAUUGAAAAAAAUAUUUAUAUAAUUAUUUAACUUAAGAAUGAUUUUAAGCAUUAAAGUAGCGUGUAAAUAUAAAUUUUUUAUUGGAGUACAACAUUUAGAACUCUAUUCACAUAAAUGAAAGAGAUGGUUGAUUAUCUAAACAAUGGAUAACGUAAGAAGGAUAUAGAAAAUUUUCAUUUAAUAACCGAUUAUAACUUAGAUAUGGUGUUAGAUUGAAAAAAAAAAUGUAUAAAUUGUUCCAUUUACGGGUUUCGAGUAUUAACGAAUAAGAUUUAUAAUUAUGUUAUACGUGGUGAGAUACACAAUUAAUUGUUAUAUUAUAUUAAUUAAGAUAUAAAUUAUGUAUCUCGUUUUAAUUUCUCAUUUUAAUAAACAGAAAAUUAAAUUGAAAGUCUAUGUACUUUCAUUGUUUUUCAAUAAACAUCCAAGCUAAAGGGGGUAACUGUAAGGUGGCAAGAUCCAUUGAAAUAAUCUUUUUAGGUCAACGCGGCAUUGACCAUUAAAUCAUUUGACUUCAGUGAAUUUCUCCAGAACACUAAUAUAGUUAGAUAGGAAGCAUUAUGCAAAAUUAUUUGAUUAAUUGAUAUUAACAGACGCUUACUCCUCCUAAUCAAUUGGCUAAUGUCGGUUGCUGAAUAAUUUGAGAUGCUGCUUCCUAGCAACUAGCAAAAGCCGCUACUGCACGAGGCAGUGUUCUGUAAUCCACAUGAAAUUUUGCAAUAAUCGAGUUUGCAUGUGUUUGUAAUAAUUAUUAAGAUAAUUAUCCACGACAAAUAUUAUAAUAUUCCUAUAAAAUAAUUUUCUUACCAGAUCCGAGGUUUAGAUUGUUAUCCAAAUGUCGGAUCAAGCUUAAAAAAGUAUAAAGCAUUGGCGUUAUUAUUAUUUUUAAAUAAAAAGAAGUAGCAUUAAUUAAUACAACCGAUAAGCUCUCGAGUCCCAACCCCCCUAGUUAAGCCGGUCUUAAUUAGAGUAUCCAGAAACUUCCAAUCCAGCAUUAUAAUAUUCUGUUUUAAAAUAAUUUUUUUAGCCACUAGGUUUAAUGGUGUUAGGGGCUCGAAUUCUUUGAUGAGAAUGAAGCUAGCAAAAUGGGUCGCUGGAUUUUGUUUAUGUCAUAUUAUUUUUGUAUAUUGUUAAAUUUAGACUGAUUAAAAUAAAAUUUAUUUUAUAAUCAUAUUAAAAUAUUAAAAUCUAAAUUUAAUAUGAAAAAUACAUUCGUUUAAUAAUUAUGUAAUCGUGUCAGCCACUACGACACAACUUAAUAACUUACUUUGAUACUUAUUUUACACAUCCAUUUGUUACAAAUUACAUUCUUUUAUGUCUUUAAAUAAUAUUUAUUAUAAAAGAUAUAUAACCACUAACAUAUUAUACUAUUUUUUUAUAAUUUUGUAAAAUUAAAAUACCAUACAAAUGUUUAUCUUUCAAGAAGAAGAAGAAAAAAGAGUAUCAUGUAUACUAUUUAUAUUUUGGUGAUAUGAUUCUGUAAAUUUAUUUAAAAUUGAAAACAUAAGUAUAGUUUUAAUUAUGCAAAUAUGAAUUAAUUUUAAUUAAUAAUGCGUCCGUAAUCAGAUAAAUAGGUCAAAAAAGUAAAUCUUAAUCCGACAUACAAAAAAUCGUGCCAAUCCAAUUUACGAGCUAUGGAUAAGACAACACUCAAUUAUCCAUACAUAUCAUUUUAUUGGUUAUUACAGUUAAGACACUAGACAGCUUAUGAACUCAAAAACUGAAACAAAAUGAACCCAGAAAGCACUUUCAAACACAGAAAAACUACUAUGGCAGAAGACAUGGACAAGAAUUAAAAUAUAAAAAUAGGGGUAGAUUUGACAUAUUGUUGAAAAGUUAAUUAUUUAGCAAGAGUCGUUAUCAUUUAGCUAGCAGCGAUUAUAGCCUCUGCUUUUCUCAACAACCCCACCAACAUCAAACCCAAACCCCACCAGUUAUUGACCCUUAACCUCCUCCUUUCCUUUUUUGUACCAAAUUGCCCCCACCUAUUUUCAAGAACUUCCAAAAAAAUUUAAAAAAAUCAAAAUUGAAAACAAAGAGAAAAUAAAUCAACAAAAAUUUAAAUUCCGUCUAAUAUCUCGGAUACAAUCUCCAAGUUAGAGAAUUACAAGCAUAAAAAUGAUCCGGAGCCCAAAAAAAAAAAAAACUACAAAUGUCAAAAUUUAAAAUACUGUAAAAUCUAUAAUUAAAUCUUCACUCAAUGUUAUUUUUCUAGGUUUUGUGAUCGAUAUCGUUCAACAAAAUUUUCAAAAAUUCAAUCUUGGAACCCAGUUUUUUCCCAAAUUGCGUUUCUGACCCUUGUCAAAUCUCCUCCUUUCAAGGUCCUGCCCACGCCCUCGUGAACCGAAAAGGAAACGAUUCUCGUCCUCGCCAUCUGCCUCGCCAAAAACUCGUGCGGCGGGACCCUCACGCUAUCCUCACCUCCACCGUACCCGUCAUCGUCGUCGCUGUCCUCUGCCGCCCUCCUCCGACUGUCCCUAUACUCGUCCUUCAAAAUCUUCGACCAGUCGGGUAUGUUGACCGGCACCGACGCCGGAGUCCCGCCAAUAGAAUCGGCUCGCUUCAUCUGUUUCUUCCCGAGCCGAGAACCCGAAACGGUAGUGCCUGGCUUGCGAGAGAACUCGGCCGAGUUGUCCGAGUUGCUGUUGUAGAAGUCCGACUCAUCGAGUUCGAACGUCGGCGACGGCACCUCCCUCGGCGUGUCGCUUUGGAGGAAUCUGUAGCUCGGUCUCGCGUAGUAACUCUUGCCGGUCGCCAUUCCCUCUUCUUCCUCCUCGAUUUGUUUUGUUGUAUUGUUAGCGUUUGCCGCUUGGCUUUGAAGGUUUUCUCUUUAAAAGAGACUUGAGCGUUUUGCUCUGCUUUUAUAAAGUUUCGCUUGCAAAGUGGAUAAGGCUUGCUCUCUCCUUCGUCUCCAUUUCGCCUUUUUUUAAAAAAAAAUAAUAAUUUCGGUAAUGUUGAAAUUACUGAGACACCCUCCUCUAAUUUUUUCACCUUUUUCCACGUAGGAUUUUCAGUUUAUCCACUUACAAGCAUUGGCAGCUGCAAUUUGGUGCAUUGGAUUUAUCUUUAAUUGCUCACAAUUGCUUUGCUUUUGCAAAGUUGAUGGGGGAGAAUUCAUGGUGCAUAGUAGUGAAGUAAAACGUAUCGUAUAGGAGCCAAAUCAAUUUUAUCCAAUUAACUGUAAACUAGAUAAACUCCCCUAAUAAUCGCAGUUUUAAACCAAACGGCAUUAUUUUUGCCGGCGUGGAUGAGUUACACGUGUGGGCGAAGCAGUAAAUUUGUAACGUAUGGACAUGGUAAUCCGCUACCGGACAAAGCGUGGCAGGAGUGGGACCGUGGGGGGCAAUUUGGGAAGACGAAUUUGUCUCUUGCGAGAACAAUUUUGUACUGCCCGUUAACGUAUUUUGUCGUGACGCGAGAUGGUAAAGACUAAGGAAGAGCGGGCGUUGAGGACUUGAACCUGGCCCGGUUCUAUAAAAGAGGACAAAGCGGUCCUGUUUAGACGACCGAGGAUUUGAGACACGUGUCUUUUAUAUGUGGGCCGCUACGUGGCAGCCUUCCGCUGAGUAUAACUGAUCGAGCGUGAUGGCACGUGAAGUGGGGCCCUCACUUUGGCUGCAGUGCUUCCAGCUGGUUCUGGCCACUACCCCACUCUGUCUCCCUCCGCUGUCCUAUCAAAUGCGACACUCGAUAAUACCAUAUCAACUUAUCUUCAAAUUAUCUCCUAAUAUAAAAUAUCGUAAGGUGAGAAAAUUGAAAUUUUUUUUGCCCUUUUGGCAUUAUUCACAGCGUGGAAUUUAUGAUGAAGCUCAAUUGUUGUUGAACGUUGAAUGGAAAUUAUGGAAGUUCAUGCUUUACCUGUGAAAGAGAUAUUAUUGGUUUAUUCCUUUUUUUUAUUCCAAAUCAAAUCCAAUUUUAUUUCCUUUUUCUAAAUUACUCUUUAUUCAAAAACGAAAAAUUGAUUCUAAGAUAAUGGCUUUUUAGCGGUCGAUCACAAGAAUAAAAAUUAGAUGUCUACUUUCCCCCCUAAGUCUUCACGAUAAUGCUGUUUUAACAAGUGACAUCUCAAGGUGUUUAUGUGUCAUAAUGUUCUCCAAAUUCAAAAGUUAAUUCAAAAAGGCUACAAAACAUAUUCCAAUAAUUUUAGCUUUUUAGCCGACCUCCCACUAUCGAUUAAGUCUACAACUAACUAAUUAAUUUUUUUUUUUCCAAAAAAUAUGUGACUCGAUCAUGCAAAAAUAAGGAUUUUAGCUUGUCGAGGGAGAUCCAAUAAUUUAAGGUCGAUUCGGAUUAAGUAGAUUACUAUUAUAAUAUACUGAAAAAUUUCUUUGUAAAUAUUAAUUCAUAUCGCGAAUCAACUGAGACAUUCGCUUGUGGAUAAAAACUUAAAAAAUUAGUAACUUAAAAUUCUUAACUGAUACAUCCAUAUUGUAAUGGUAAACUAAAAGUCCUGUGGUUAACUUGCCGAGCCAAAGUGUGGAUAUAAUAAACUAAUUAGAGAUUAUUAGGUAAGGGUUCCUGCAUUAUAUUAUAUUAAAGUGUGAUUUUGAUAACGUUGUGAAAUUCUUUUCCUACAAUGAUAUGAAAGUCCAUCAUAUACUUUAAUAAAGAACGGGAAUCAUAAAAAAAGCAAUCAAUCAUGAACUAAUAUUCCAAAUCCAGCCAUCAUAUAAAAUAAUAUAGAGCUACAAUAAUGGAGAUAUUGAAUUAUUAGUUAUAUAUUUACAACUUACAGUUUAAUAUAUGCUGAAUCACUACAAGCUCUCUCUAUCCUAGCUGUUUUCUUAAAGAAUAAAUCAUACUCUUCACUAGAAACUAUAAUACCUUUGCAAAUGUCUUGUAAAUAUAGCUAAAUAUAUUUUCUUUAUUCCUCAUUGGAUUAAAAGUGAUUAAGUAAAGGUAACUUUCUCUUUCAUGAAAUAUAAGUAGAGUGGAUAUCUCUUGAAUAACAAUAAUGAUACAAAAAUCUGAGUUAUACUUCAUAGAAUUAAUGAAGAAUGGUUCCAUUAAUUUUCUAAUUGGAAUAUUAAUAAUAAAAUAAAAUAAUUACAGAAGAUUUGUGUGAGAGUUCCUAUCAAUAUACAAUUACCCUUAAAUUAUCUCAUUGAGAUUACUUAAUCCAUUAUGAAAGAUGAGCUUUUGUUUUAAUCUCUUUUUUUUUAUAUAUAUAAAUAAAAACAAAAUAAAAUGAUUCCUUUUGUUUUAAACUAGUGGACCAUAAUUUAUAGAAAGAAGAAACUAACCCACAAGUAAAGAUGUGAUUAAGUACACAAACUAGAUCAAAUCACAUUGGUUUGGGGGUUUCUUCCAAAAACAAGUUGUAAAUUAAAGAAAGUGGUAGACUAAUCUCACUUUUGCUUUGCGAGUAAAUGAUACGUAACAUAUGGAAUUAUGGUUUACAUGACGCGUUCAUUCUUUUUGGUCUUUCAAAAUCAAAGCACAAAGCACUCUACUCAUAACUAAUAUUUAUCAUGCUUUGUGAACCAUCCAAUUACUAAAGUGAUUCCUUUCGCCUAUCUCGAUUCAAACCCCUUCAAUAAUGCAGUGGCGAAGAUCAUUUUUUUUUUCUCAAAAAAGGAGUUUAGAUAGGGGUUGUGUUAGGUAUGUACUCUCUCUAAAAUUAUAUUUUAAUAAACAUCUGAUAUAAUAACCAUACGCAAGUUAAUUAAAAAUGUACAAUUUCUAAAUAUUUAUACAGAAAAAUAGAAAUUGUUUUAAUUAGCAUGGAUAGGUCUAAUUAGUUAACUUGAUAUGACUUUUACAGUGAUAUAAGAAACUGGAAUUCUAUUUGAUGUUCACUUAUGUGAUACUAAGAAGAAGGAAUUGUUUUAUUUGUUCAAGCAUUAUUUAUUAUUAAUAUGUCAGACCACUUGAUUAAAUUAUUAGUUCAUAGAAUAUAUAUAAUUAAAUAAUUAAGCUACUUGAUUAAAUCCCGCUAUACACAGAUAUGUUUCAUAAACAUUAGGACAAAAUUAUUGCGUUUCAUAUUAUUAUAAGACCAUGUAGUGACCCCACCAUCUUAAGUCCUAAUCAUUCACUUCAAAAUUUCAAUGCCCACGAAAGGAAAAAAUAGUGGGGAUAAGGAUUUGGGUUCCCUUAUUAUUAAUGGUAUCAUUUUCAAGCCAUUAAGGAUGAAAUGCCUUUGAGUACUUGUGGGGCAUGGCAUAAAAACUUAGUGGUAGCUAGCUAGCCAGCUAUUUGCUAAAAGCCUAGUGGCUAGUGUUCUUAGAUAAUGACUUAGACAAUGUAAGAGGGCCAGUGCUCAAACAAUGGGUAAUUUUUAACCUACCUCUGAAUGAAUAAAUUGAUAUUUUACAUUGUAUUUUUUAAAAAUUUAAUUUGUUACACUGCACUCUUAAUUUUUUUAUUUUCUCAAUUAAGUUUAACGGUGAAUGGGUAAAAUUAAAAGUUCAUUCUUUAAAUUAAUUUUAAUGAGAAUUCUCUUUAUUGUAAUUGAAAUAAAAAUCUUAAAAAAAUUAAAGGAAAAAUAAUAGUGGUGACAAUGUAUAUAUAACAAGAAAUUUUUUUUAUUACAAUUGAAAUAAAAACCUUUAAAAAAUUAAAUGAGCUAAAAAUUUUAUUUUUUUUUUCAUAUAGAGAGAUAUUUUUGUUAUUCAAUUAAAAAUUAGAUGGAACCGUUAAAAAUAACUAAAAAAUUAAUAGAAUUAAGAACAUGAUACAACGCGUCAUUUUUUUUAAAUAGACAAUAUAAAAUAUCAAUUUAUUUAAGAAUAGGUUACAAAUUUCCCUCAGACAAUGAAACAAAUGCUCUUUCAUUGAAUCAUUAAGUAACAUCAUUGGAUGACGUUUUGUAAUUGGAAUUAAUGGGAUAGCAUUAAUUUUUUAGGGGCAAUAAAUGUCCCUUUCUUGCCAAAAGUUUGGUGUAUGAUAUUUGCAGUACUGCGGUCCAAAAUAGAAUAAUUGCAUGCACGAUAAUGCUGUUACAUGGGUAGCUAGCCUGCCCUUACGACCAAUAAUAUAAUUAUUGGCAGUUGUCUUCAUCAGAUGGCACUAAUGUGAUUUCUUUUGAAAUGCUACAUGCCAAAAUUAGGGUUUGAAUAUCUGGCUCGGGGUUGGGACCGAUUUGUUUUUAUUUGUGUGAUUUUUUUUUGAAAAGGAAAAAGGAAAUUACUUGCUUCACGCAGCUAACUAAUAAAACAAAACGAAUAUUGUACUUAGUUUCUUGGUUGUAUAUACCGAAAAUAACUUUGUAAAAGGCCAUGGCACUCCUGUGCCUCAAAUGGGUAGUUGUAACUUGCAAGAUUUUUUUUUUCUAGAUUACUUGCACCAUAAAAAUUGUUAGAAACAGCAUUUUAUUCAAAAUACAAUUUAAUUUGUUGAAUUAAAAAAAAAACUCCACACAUCCACAAAAAUUCCAAAACGGUCGCUAUUUGAACUUAAUUAAUUCACUACAGAUUUCAAGCAAAAAAAAAUAAAAAUUGGUAGAUACAUGUAGGGAUGAGCAUGGGUUAGUUUGAGUUGUGUUUUAAGUCAAUUCAAACCAAAUCAGAAAAAUUUAGAUUCAACCUAAAAUCAACUCAAAUAUUUUUAACUCAACCCAAACCAAUCCAUUUGAGUUUGGUUUGAAUUUUAUAAUCAAAAUAUUUUUUUAUUUCGACAAAUUUAAUUAUAUCAAAGUUAUAAUAAUUGUUAAUUGUUAUUAAAUAUUAAAUUAAUAUUAAAAUAUGAAAAAAUAUAGUGGAUAAAAAUUAUAAAUAAUAGAUUUUACAAUAACUUCAUCCUUAAAUUAAGGAUACUAGAAAAUUAAAAUAAAAUUUAAUCACGAAAAUCAUUAUUUCUUAAUAAAUGAGAAUGUAAACUUUAAUAAUAAAUUUCCACAAACAUGACAUCAACAAGUUAAUUAAAAUAAAGAAAAUAAAAAAACUAAUAGUAUUAACCAUGUUACAACACAAAUUCUAAUAAUGUCCAUACAAAUCAAAACAAAAUAAGACAUGCCAACUCAAGUAUUAAAGCAAUUCAUCAUAAUCAUUCUCAUUUGCAGUACUUUAAUUAAAAGAUUCCAUGAUCAAUUAAGUCCGCUCCUUUACCAACAAAUAAAUAGCCUAAAAAAAUUAUAAUGUUGAAUAUUUAUAAAGAUGAGUAAAUUUAGAAAAGAACAUGAUUCAUAUCAAAAUCGUAAGAAUAAUAUCAAUUCAAAACUAUCGCCUUUGUUGUUACACUUGAUCCAAACUCUAAAUUAAAUAAAAAUAAAUUAGUAAAAAAAAAAGACUGGUGAUAAACAAAUAUAUAAUUUUUUUUUUUACUUGUUAUGAUAAACAAUGGAAUUGAAAUGGUGAGAAAUUGAAUUUGAAUGUGAGAUUUUGGAAUUAGAAACAAUGGAAUUAAUUUAUUUUCUUUUUUGUUUAAUUUAUUUUCUACGGACAUGUCACCUUGAGUUUUAGAAAUUGAUCCACAACUCAUGGAUAAACCAUACCCAAAUUAUUAUAACAUGAUUUCUUACAUGAUAGUCCAAAUUUAACUUAUUUUCAUGAUUUACUUAAACCAAACUAUUUUACUUGGUUUGGAUUUGGGUAAACCCAUGGGUCAUGGAUUUAUGCCCACCCCUAGAUACACGUGAUUCCCAUCAUGUAUGCGUGAAUAAAAAAUCAUUGAGGGGGAACAAUUUGCGACUUGAGAAUUUCUUGAACGCUUUGAAGGUCGAACAAUUGGAAAAUGAAUCAUUAUUGUAGAUUUGAAUUUAAAAUUUGUUGAAAUUAGAAAAAUAAAAGUGAGGAAAUAUGUUUACAUAUUUGUUUGCUUAACUGGUAUGGUGAAUAAGCGUUAAAGUAAUAUACAAAUGUCUUUAAUAUCAGUAAUGUUAAUAACAUAUAUUUUUAAUAGUAGUAAUUUAUAUAUAUAUAUAUAUACUCGCAUAUCUCAUAUAUAUAUAUAUAUAUAGAGAGAGAGAGAGAGAGAGAGAUAUUAAGAUCAAUUUUUAAAAUAUAAAGAUCCUCACUCGCAUAUCUCAUAUACCGGUAUCAUUAUUUUUCAAAUCUCAUAGCUGUCAUUUGCACCAUGAGCUAAGCAAUCGGCAACUUUUAAAAUGUCGAGGCCAUGAGCUCGGUGUAUUUGAUGUAUGCAAACGCGGCGAUUGAAUAGAAACUUUAUAACAAAACUAAAAGUCUAAAAGUAUAUGAUAGAUUUGGUGUAAUUUGGUGAUGCGCAAACUCAGAGAAGUACCUUUUUCGAUAAAUAUAUUCCAUGCUUGACUCACAUACCACCUCCAUUAUUUUUCAAUUAAAAUAUGAAUAUACACCAUGAUUAUAGAGAUAUAUUUGACACAUCAAUCUUAGAGAAAUGUAGUCAGUGACUUGCAUUGAUCUAGAUCUUCAAUCAACUUUAUCUUUCAAACGUACCCAUGUGUUUGUAGUGACUUUUUUUUUUGAAUUACAAUAUAAUACACUGAUAUCUAUAGUUAAUAAUCUAUUGAAACUCUUAAAUCAAUUAUGUACAUGUGAUUAUGUAAUCGAGAUAUUUGGACUUAUGAUAGAUCAAAUUUACUCUAAAAAAAUUUAAGAAAUCAGCCGCUAUAACAUGUAUAGGAGAAUACUUAGAACCCUUGACUUGAGAAAUUAAUAAAAUAAGGAGAUAUCUAUCGUUCGACCAAAAAAUAAUUUUGUUAUAAUUGCAUAGCAUUUUUAUUAGAAUAAGUAAUAAACCAUAGAAUAAGAUCUCUCAUGAUCUGAGCUUUACUGAUCUUUUAAAAAUCUUCUGCCAUGUGUUUUUUUAAUGAUAGUGUAUAGGUAAGAUUUAACUUUUUUUAUUUUUUUAUUUAUUAACAACCAAUCAGUAAUUAAAUUAUUUAUUCAGUACAUGAUCAUAUCAGAAGAGAAUCUUAAUUCAUAAACCAAUGUUAUUAUUACACAAUGACCGAUGGGGCUGUGCAUAUUAGCCAAUUGAGCCGCGGCCACUUCAGUGCAUACGAAUUGGCACCAAUGUGAAACGUUUGGCAAAGGCCCAAAGGCAUAGGUAUAAAUGAGUGAUCCAAGAAUGAUUUUGAGUGGCCAGCGUCCUAGCAACACAUUUUGAAGAGAGAUUUCCAGCAGUUUUUGAAAACGACUAACGUCUUAUUUGAAAUUGAGAUGCUGUAACUUUUAAACUAUAAUUACUGUAAAAAAUGUAAUUAUAAAACAAAAAUUAAUAGUAUGUAGUAAAUAUAAAUUUUAAAUAAUAAUUUUGACAAAAAUUAUUAAACAUAUAAUAGAUUUUUUAUUACAUAAGUAAAAAAUCAUAUUAACAUAAAUUUCAAGUUACAACAGCUGGUGUUUAUUAAAUAUUUUAGUACUGUAACUUCUAAAGUAUAACUGCCCAAACUCAAUUUCAAACGAAUCCUAAACUGCAAUUCCAUUUGUAUGUAAUGAAUAAAAAAAAUUGAUAAUGUGUGGCAUAAAAUUAAGAGAAACCAAAAGGGCAUAGGCCGUGACCGAACUGUUUGUAGGUGAUCCAUUUAUAUUCUAUAAACAUGUCAUUUCGAUGGAUCAAAUUCGAAAUAGGCCACUAUGAUAUGUAUUGUCGUCCACAAUAAUGCUCAGUUCUGAUGCCGGAACAUCGGCAUCACAUAUUGUAGAAUACAUAUAAUUGAUUACAAAUUCCUUCCCCAGAUGCUCCUCUCCUUUUGAAUCCACAAAAAAAAAAAAAAAAAUUUCAAUUACCAACCUUAAAUGUUAUUGAAUUGAGCAUAUCCUAAUUUUAUCUUAAUAGAAAAUUCGAAGGCACCUAAAACCCUUAACACUCUUGAAACAAAACUACAAGGUGUAUUUAUUUUUCUGAUUGGAGAAUAGAAUAAUUGAUUGUGUUUACUCUUUAAAAGACUAAGGGAAUGAGAAUAGACUUUGGUUGAGGCUCAUAAAUAUGAGAAUGAAAAAUAAGAAUCUGAUUCCACUAGAGUAAGUAGAAAUGAAAAUGAGGAAUAAAUUGAUUUUUUUUCUUUAAAAAAACAAAAAAUUACUUUUUUAACCCAUUUAAAUGUCUAAUAACAACAACAACAACUAAUUUAUUCAAAAACUCACAGCAUUAUGUCAAAUAUUAUAAGUAUAACAAACAUGCAUAUGUUUACUUUAAAAGUAUAUAUUUAUUUAUUUUGUUGGUAAAAAUAUACAUGACUUUAAUUUAGGGUAUUUUUAUAACUCGUAUCAAUCCAUUUAGAUUAAACAAAAUAAACAUAUAAUGGAAAAAUUAUUAAGUUCCACUCCCUCAUCCAAUUCCAGCCUAUUUGUGUUCUAUCACACUCAAUUCCUGCAUUGGAUUUGAAGUUAGUAAAUACACGUAAGUAUAUUACUAUACACACAGCGCUUGGCCAGUAUCUUGACAAGAUGAAAAGGACAGAAAAAAGAGCAAACAGCAGUCACGCUCUCCAUGUCGCGGUUGGCAAAUUUUUGCAAUAGCUUCGAGUUAAAUUCACUGGAAUCAGUCAUCUGCAUGAUACUCAACUUUAUCUUAAGUUGUUCAGAGGUACCUAUCAAAAAAAUUCUUAUGAGUAACAGGUAACUUGACGGUUAGAUUCGCAAUAGCUCUUGGCGAAGGUUGAGUUUGAAGUUAGUUUGUCGUGCGGGGCCUUACCAUUCAUAUUCCAAGCUUUGGGUUUUUGAAAGGGACUUUGGUCUUGAUUGUCUUGUACCACAUUAUAUGUUUAAUAUUUUUCGCUUUCUAGCUUCUACUUUGAGGGGUUAGGCUAGCUGUUUUGUACCCCCCUUUCUUGGAGGUUUUUUCUUUUUUUCAUUUUUAUUUUUAUUUAUUUUUCUCCCAAUUAAUAGCAGUUAUAUAGAACUGUAAAGUGUUCUUUCAAUCAAAGUAAGUGGGUUAAAUCAUCAAUGUUAUUAGGAUAGGAAUGUUGCAAACUCUUUGGAGUUCACUGUUAACGCAUCCAUUAUGACAUCAAUUUCAUCAGCUGUAACAUGAAAUGUGACUCGCGCCAAUAAAAAACUAGACUAUCGUUUUAUAAUAUUUAGCAUAACAUAAACUUUUAUUCGGUAAGUUCUGUAUUUGUUUCUAGCUAGUGUACUAAAGACCUUUCCCGUUAACAAUCAAUUAAAAAAAAAACACGUAUAUAUAAGCUAAAUAAGCAAAAGCCUCAUAACAAUCAAACGAUCACUUUAUCUUGUUCUUUCUGAUUAGACCUCUGAGGCGUCAAAUGUCUUCCAUAGGCAUAGAAGAAACUGAUGCUAAAAAUAAAAUCAACUCAGAGCUUUAUAGUGCUCUGAUGAUCAAACAAGAUGAGCAGAAGGUGAUUGAACUCUGCAGAAAAGUCCCUGAUCACUCAUUGUGCGUGUUUACAAUUUAUGAUGACACAGUACUGCAUGUGGCUGCUUACACCAAGAAAAGUGACUUGGUGAUGAAGCUACUUGACGAGUUACCCGACCAGUCUCUCGACAAAAUGACACGACAAAACAAAGCAGGAAACACUAUUCUACAUGAGACUGCCUCCAGCAACCAUGCUCUCCCCGUCGCAGACAAAUUGUUUAGGAAGGUACCCGGACUGCUAGGCAUGCGCAAUAACAAUGGAGGGACUGCUUUACUUCGCGCUGCACACAAUGGCAAAAUUGAGAUAUUCAACUUCCUUGCUGAAAAAAAUUUCAGGUUAUGAUCAUGCCACUAGGCAGCCCUUUCUUCACCUAAUUAAAUUAUAAAACCAGUGUUCUUCACAUUGCGGGUGACUGAUUCCAGUGGCUUCAUAAUUAAAUUACAACUCCAGUCCUUCAAGAGCAGUCUUAAGAUACAAAAAUAUGGCAGCGAGAAAGACAACGGAGAAGAAGGAAGAAGCAGUGGCGGAGGAGGAGGAGAUGUGGACAUUCCAUUGUUUCUAGCUACAAAAUCAGGAUGUGUGGAGAUUGCUAAACAAAUACUCAAAGUAUAUCCGCAGUCAGUCGGGUUCAUUGACCAUGAGGGAAGAAACAUACUACAUGUGGCAAACAAGUACCGCCAGUUAGAGAUCUUUGGGCAUGCAGGAAAAAUGGAGGCAUUGGUUCGGAGGCUUUUUCGAAUCGACCACCAUGGCAACACCAUAUUGCAUAUGGUUGGUAAGGAAAGAAAAGAUUAUUUACCCGAAAAGACUGAAGGCCCUGCGCUUGUUGUGCAGGAGGAUUUGCUUUGGUACGAUGUGAGAUUAAUAUCACUAGUUCACUACUACAUUGCUAGCUCUUCUAAUUAUUUUAUCAUUGUGUUAGAGCUUGAGUUCAAUUUCAUGUGUUGCAGCGAGUAACAGAAAGCGAGCAUACCCUAUUUUGUGAAUCACCGGAACAACGUGGGGUUUACGGCAGAAGGGUUAUUUGAUUCUGCAAAUUAUGACCUUCGUGUUUUAUCAAAAGAAUGGCUGAUUCACACAGCAGAAGGAUGCUCAGUCAUUGCUGUUCUCAUUGCUACCGUACCAUUUGCUGCAGCAUACACUGUACCAGGUGGUUCAAAUGAGAGAACUGGUUACCCUAUCCUCAUUCAUCAACCUUUCUUUGUAGUUUUUACUUUAUCUGAUGUUCUUUCUCUCACGUCCCCUUUGGCGGCUGUGGUUACAUUUCUCUCAGUUCUCACUUCUUCGUUUAGAUUAGAGGAAUUUGCACUCUCUUCCUAAUACAAUGACCCUUGGCUUCAUAUUUCAGUUUUUUUUUUUUUUUUCUUUUCGUGUGCCUUAUGAUGGUAGCAUUUGCAGCAACGGGUCUGCUCAUGAUUAAAAACAAGGAAAAUUCGGCAAAAAUCGUGCUGUACGCUUGCUCUUCUAUCCCAGUAGGAGUUUUUGCAUUAACAUAUUUCCCUCUAUAUACCACAACAUCAACAAAGAGAGCUAUCAAGCACUAAACCAAGAUGACAGGGCAGUUCUUGAUUCCUUAGAGAUUUACAGCUCUACCGAAGAAGAUCUCAUGUCUUUCCAUUAGUACUCAAGCUCGAUCUUCUAGUUCUUCCUUUAUUCCAUGAAUUACGUACACAUGCCAUGCUUAAAUUGUGCCUGUUAAAAUAAGUUUCUUGCAAUAAUGAGUUUGCAAAUAUUUAUUGUGUCUUCUAGAAAUUCUGCGUGCAUGUUGAAUUCAAAUGCACUGAAAAACGUAUGUCGCUUGAAUUCCUCCAUUUUUAAUGGCUUUGACAAUAUUGAUUACGCCUUUGGGGUCGGAGAUGAAGUAAAAUCUAAGUUGGAUAAGCUUCAUUAGGGCUUUCAAUGACAGGAUUCAAUUUCCAGUAGAACUUACAGAACUCUUUUUUAUAUUCUAUUGAUCCCUUUUCCUUUUUCGUGAAUGAUGCAAAGAGCGAUUCCAAUUUAUAUGUAUUUUAUUCUCUAAGAAACGACUCUUCACCGGUUUCAUUUGCAAAUUUUGUGUCUUUCACAUUGAAGCCACAGGAAUCGGUCACCGCAUGCUCCUUCAACUUUAUCUUAACAGGUAACUUAAUGGUUAAAUUUCGGACUUAUUCUUUUUCUCCCAAUUAAAUAGCAGUUAUAUAGAACUGUUAAUUAUUCUUUCAUUCAAAGUUGUGCGGGAUUGGGACAGCACUUUAUUUCUGUUUUAUUUUAAUCAGACUAAUUGAAGUUAAAGCUUCAAUCUUAUUGGGAUAGGAAUGGUACAAACUCUAUGGAGUUCAUUGUUAAGGCAUCCACUAUGACAUCGACUGUAACAUGAAAUGUGACUCACGCCAAUCAAAGCUACAGUAUCAUUUUAUAAAAUUUAGCAGAACGCAAAGUUUUAUUCGGUAAGUACUCAGUCCUCAGUCCUGUGUCAUAUCUAGUGUACUAAAGACCUUUCCCCGUCAAAAUUAAGAGUCAAGUCAAGCUAUACUGAUACAUAAAAUAUAUCCUAUGUGUUUCGUUACAUUUCUAACUUUUUUGUUACACAUCUUAAGAAAAUCAAUUUUUUUUUUUUAAAAAAAAAGCUUGAUGCGAUAUAUUUUUGGGGUGAGCAGAAGGUACUAUCCUCAGCCUGAGGUGUCUCCUCCAGAAAGUAAUACCUCAAGAGGUAUGAGGUUGGUCGUGUGAGUACAGCAGACCUGAGGGUGUUCGAGGAGAGACCAAGAUCCAGUUAGACCAAAGACUUAGUCAAAGGUCAACAUGUGUUUUUAAAGAACCCGGGCACGAAACCACGCAACGGCAGUUACACUACCCAUUCAUCCAUGAUUGCAAAGAUACACCGUACAUACUUUCACUUCCGAGCCAACAACGAUCGUGAGGGAGAGGGAGCCGAUAAUUCAGGUUGGUUAUAAAAGCUACAGAGAAUGGAGAUAAAAAGGGGUUAGACAAUUUCUUAAUUGACUUCCAAAUACUCUUUCCCUCCUUUUUCUCUUGCUCUUGAUAAUCCUCUACUUUGUCUACUUUUCUUUCUGAAAAUUAGGCUUUUUAAUUUGAACAUAUAUAAUUAAGCCACGAAUUUGUGGCACAAGUUUUUCCAAAAGAGAAUCAAUUAUUGAUUUAAGCGUUUGAGGGUUUUCAUCGGAAAAAUAUUUGGCGCCUCUCUAACUGGAUAUUGUGAGUACAGGUGAUUCAACAUAGAGAGCUUGUGGUCGAAGUUAUCUGUUCGAGUGGGAUAGCCGCCGUGCUAAGUCAUUUCUCUAAUAAACAACAUUUAAAUGUUGACAAGGAUACCUGCUCUCAAGUCUAUCGACCAGAUUCUGGCAUCAACAAUAUACAAUAUAACCUCUAUAAAUUAAUACUCGAUAAAUUAAUAAUCUCUAUAAUAUAAUUAUUUUUUGCGGUCCCGACUUGGGCCCUGAAGCUAAAUUAAUAAUUUUGAUAAAUUAAUAAGAUAAUAAUUUUUCUGAGAACUCCUAUAUAAUUCUGUGGUCCCAUUUAUAUCAUAAAUUAAUAAAUUUAAAAAUUAAAAAUACUGUAAAAUUACAAAUAUAACUGAAUAUGUCAAUUUAUUAAAAUAUGAGUCUAUUGUAACUUGUUUUUUUUUCUUGAAAUUUAAUUCUAGUUGAAUCUCAUCUCUAAUUUUUCUUAAAUUCUAUUGAUUAUAUUUGUAAAAUACAAUGAAUUUUUAGUCAAUUAAAUGUUAGUUCUUUGUACUAUGAACAAACUCUAUAAAUUAAUAAAUUAUUAAUUUAUCGAUUAAUUAAUAUCUCUUUUAAUUAAUAAAUUUCUAUGGUCCCGACAUUAUUAAUUUAUAGAGGUUAUAUUGUAUUGAUAGAGAUGAAGCGCAAUAAUUUUGCCUAUAAAAAUUUACGGCUUCAAACUUUAUCUAGGACGAUCCAUAUUCAAGCACAAGAUGCCGUGAAUAUAUAGAAUAAAGAACAUUAUUGGACGAACAAGUUCUUAAUUUUCAAUUAGCAAUCGUGAAUUCUUAACUGUUUUUGAAUUAAGCAUAUUCCAAACUCAGUGGAAAUCUUAGGGCACUAAUUAAAGUGUGUGUGUGUGUGUGUGUGUGUGUGUGUGUAGGUUUGUAUGUAAGUAUCAAUUUACUUAAGUUCUAUCUUGGGAAACUUCAAAAUACCUAAUAAGCGAGCUAUGAGCUGUAUCACAGAAGAAGUUGAUGCCAGACAUAAAAUAAACUCGGAGCUAUUCGAUGCUCUGAUGAUUUCAGAGAACGAAAAGAAGGUGAUAGAAGUGUGCAGAAAAAUUUCAGAUCAUGCGUUGCAUGUACUAACAGUACACGAUGACACGGUGCUGCAUAUGGCGACAUAUUUCAAAAGAGAUGAUUUAGCACUGAAGCUGCUUGAUGAGAUUCCUGAACUUUACAUCCACAAAAUGACUCGUCAGAAUAAAGCAGGAAACACUGUUCUACAUGCGACAGCUACCAGCAGUCGCGCUCUCCCUGUUGCCGAUAAAUUGUUGAGGAAAGCUCCUGGGUUGCUAGGGAUGCGUAACAACAAUGGCGAGACUGCUCUAUUUCGUUCUGCACGUUAUGGUAAAGCUGAUAUAUUUAACUUUCUUGCUCGUAAAAUUGCUGGUUAUGAUCAGCCCAGUAAGCAGCCGUUUCUUCAGAGGAAUGAUCAGUCCACUGUUCUUCACAUGGCUAUUGUUUCUCAACACUUCGGUAACUUCAUACUUAAGUAUUAUUUUAUCUUUUUUAUUGUAUCGUUCAAUCUUUUUGCAUAUCCUCAUCCUUCCAAGCGUACAAUUAUCAUGCUGUUAGCGUGCAAAGGUCAUUCGUUAACAGGAAAAAACCCGUAAAAAAUUGAAAAAUAGCUUAAAUUAAGGUCAGUGAAGGAAAAUAACACACUUAUCAUUUUUCUUAGGUAAAUAGACGGCUGCAAAAUGAUUUUGGAGACUGAGACGCAUUAUUUUCAGAAAUGGUCAUAUAUACCAAUUUUAGGACACAGAUGACAAUAUUUUUUUUGAAAUAAAUUUUGAAAGUAUGUGUUACCAUUUUUUAACACAAAAGGGGUAUGCGAGUCUCACAAAUUUAUAAAUUUGUGUGACAAUUUCUAAAAGUAAUGCAGUGUCUGUGGCCGUUUUAUUAAACCACGGGGUUCAGUGUCUAUUUGCUUAUUCCUUAGUUUGAUAGCUAAAAAUUGGUAUUGUGGUAAAAAUUGAUUUAAGCAAUCUGUCUCGCCGGAUAGGUGCUCAACAAGCUAUCAAUGAACAAUCAACACGCAAUCGACACGAGAUUUACAUGUCUAUUGUUAAAAAGAGCAAGUAGAAUACUUUUGUGAAACUGAUUGAAUUAAAAAAUUCAAAUGCAAGAACAGAAUUGGCACUGGAAAUUGCAAAGGAAUACAAGUAUUUAAUAGGGGAAAAAGAUAUUGACGGGAUGACUGCACUUCAGCUUCUCUCGUGCAAGCCAGAAGCUUUUAAACUCAAGCAAGAACGUGGAUUCUUCAAGAAACUCUUGCAUUUUCGUAAGCUUCCUUAGCAACUUUCAUGUGCUCUGUGUUUUUCCUUCUUUGCUCGUCUAUAGCUGUCUGGAAUUGAAACAAUCAUGCUUUAAUUUCAUGACCUCCUUGGGGCAAUUGUUAGCUCUCAUAUUUCUUGAAAAGUGAAAUUCAGUUGUGAUUCAUCCUGGAGAGAAGAAACUCAAAGAGAAGAGAGACAAUAUGCAGCAGUUGUUGAGCUUGCCAAGUUUCUAAUAGAAAGAGACACCUCAUGGGAAGUUACAACUCCAAUCCGAGACAAAGGCAGGCCUAAAAUACACAAAUACGGCUCAGCCAGCGAGAAAGGCAGCGAAGAAGAAGGAGGACGCAGCGGCGGCGGAGAUCAUGUAGACACCCCAUUGUUUCUGGCAACAAAAUCAGGAUGUGUAGAGAUUGUUAAACAAAUACUCCAAAUAUAUCCGCAAUCACUCGGGUAUAUUGAUCAUGAAGGAAGAAACAUACUACAUGUAGCAAUCAAGUAUCGCCAGUUAGAGAUCUUUGAGACCGUACGCAAAAUGGAGGCAUUGAGUCGGAGGCUUGUUUCAAAGAUUGACAACAAUGGCAACACCAUUUUGCAUACGGCUGGAGAGAAAAUAAAAGAUUAUAUACCUGAAAAGAUGGAAGGCCCUGCACUUGUUCUGCAGGAGGAGUUGCUUUGGUACGAGGUGAGAACUAUUAUCAAUACUCCAUUGCUACCUCUUCUAAUAAUUUAUCAUCGUACUGAUGCUUGAGUUCAAUUUGACGAGUUGCAGCCAGCAAAGGAAGCGAGCAUACCACAUUUUGUGUAUCACCGGAACAAUUUGGGGCUUACGGCAGAAGGGUUAUUUGCUGCUGCGAAUAAUGAGCUUCGUGGUUCAUCAAAAGAAUGGCUGAUUCACACAGCAGAAGGGUGCUCAGUCGUGGCUGUUCUCAUUGCUACCGUUGCAUUUGCUGCAGCAUACACGGUACCAGGAGGCUCAGAUGACAGUACCGGUUACCCUAUCCUCAUUAAUCAACCUUUCUUUGUGGUUUUUACCAUCUCUGAUAUUCUGUCUCUCACGUCCUCUUUGGCGGCUGUGGUUACAUUUCUCUCAAUUCUCACUUCCCCGUUUAGAUUAGAGGACUUUAAGCACUCUCUUCCUAACAAGAUGACCCUUGGCUUUACAUUUCUUUUUUUUUCCGUGUGCCUUAUGAUGGUAGCAUUUGCAGCAACAGUUCUGCUCAUGAUUAAGAACAAGGAAAAUUGGGCAAAAAUCGUGCUGUACGCUUGCUCUUUUGUCCCAGUAGGGAUUUUCGCACUAACAUAUUUCCCUCUAUAUACCACAACAUCAACAAAGAGAGCCAUCAAGUACUUAACCAAGAUGACAGGGCAGUUCUUGGUUCCUCAGAGAUUUACAGCUCUACUGAAGAAGAUCUCAUGUCUUUCCAAUAGUACUCGAGCUCGAUCCUCUAGUUCUUCCUUUGUUCCGUGAAUUAUGUACACAUGCCACGCUUAAAUUGCGCCUGUUAAUAAUAAGUUUCCUGCAAUAAUGAGUUUGCAAGUCUUUAUUGUCUUCUAGAAAUUCUGCGUGUAUACUGAAUUCAAAUGCACUUAAAAAGUAUGUCGCUUGAAUUCCUCCAGUUUUAAUGGCUUUGAAAAUAUUGAUUACGCCUUUGGGGUCGGAGAUGAAGUAAAAUCUAAGCUGGAUAAGCUUCGUUAGGGAUUUCAAUGACAGGAUUCAAUAUGCAGGAGAAGCCACACAACUCUUUUUUGUUUCUAUUGAUCCCUUUUUCUUUUUCGUGAAUGAUGCAAAGAGUGAUUCCAAUUUAUAUCUAUUUUAUUCUCUAUGAAGCCACUCUUCACCGGUUUCAUAGUGAUGCCAGUUAGCAAAUUUUGUGCCUUUCACAUUGAAGCCACAGGAAUCGGUCACCUGCUUGCACCUUCAACUUUAUCUUAGCAGGUAACUUAAUGGUUAAAUUUCGGACUUGUCCUUUGUCUUGCAAUUAAAUAACAGUUAUAUAGAACUGUUAAUUAUUCUUUCAAAAGUUGUGCGGGAGUGGGACAGCACUUUAGUUCUGUUUUAUUUUAAUCAGACUAAUUGAAGUUAAAGCUUCAAUCUUAUGGGAAUAGGAAUGGUACAAACUCUAUGGAGUUCACUAUUAAGGCAUCCACUAUGAAUGUGACUCACGCCAAUAAAAGCUAGAAUAUCAUAAUACAAAGUUUUAUUCGGUAAGAACUCAGUCCUGUAUCAUAUCUACUGUACUAAAGACCUUUCCCCGUCAACAAGCAAUUUAAACCCAACAUAUAAUAUAAACCAAUUAAGCUUCUCAUAACAAUCAAUUAGUCACUUAUCCUAACCUUCCUCAAAUUUGAAACUGCUCAGCCUUCAAAUGUCUUCCAUAGGCAUGGAAGAUACUGAUGCUAAACUUAAAAUCAACUCAGAGCUUUAUAAUGCUCUGAUGAUCAAACAAGAUGAGCAGAAGGUGAUUGAACUCUGCAGAAAAGUCCCUGAUCAUGCAUUGUACGUGUUUACAAUACAUGACGACACAGUACUGCAUAUGGCUACUUACACCAAGAAAAGUGACUUGGUGAUAAAGCUACUUGACGAAUUACCUGACCAGUCUCUCGACAAAAUGACACGACAAAACAAAGCAGGAAACACUAUUCUACAUGAGACUGCCACCAGCAAUCAUGCUCUCCCUGUCGCAGAUAAAGUGUUAAGGAAGGCACCGGGGCUGCUAGGCAUGCGCAAUAACAACGGAGAGACUGCUUUGCUUCGCGCUGCACGCUAUGGCAAAGUUGAUAUAUUCAACUUCCUUGCUGGCAAAAUUUCUGGUUAUGAUCAUGCCACUAGGCUGCCCUUUCUUCACAGAAAUGAUAAAACCAAUGUUCUUCACAUUGCCAUUCUUUCUCUGCAUUUUGGUAAGUGAUUUCAGUAUACAUAUCAUUAUCAAGUUUUUGAUCACUUCUUGAUUGCGAACAAAAUGCAAUAACAGAUUUAGCCCUGCUGAUUGCGAACGAUUAUAAGUACUUAAUUGAUGAGAAAGAUGUGGAUGGGAUGACUGCUCUUCAGCUUCUCGCAUGCAAGCCUGAAGCUUUUAGUCGCAAACAUGUGGAAGGAAUUCUCAAGAAGCUAAUCAGUUGCGGUAAGUUUCCUUACUUCCAAUGUGAUUUUAAUUUUCCUCUUCUUUGAUUUCCUUCAUUUGGUUGGAAAUAAAUUAUGAAGUAAUAUUGUCUUAGGUACUCCCAGUUGUAUGCACUAAACUUGUGUUUGUUGAAAAGUUAAAUAUACUUGUAGUUUGGCCCAAAGACAAGAAUAUCGACAGGAAAAGCGACAACGUGAAUUAGCUAAGGAGCUUGCCAAGUUUCUAAUUUUUAGAGAUACUUCAUGGGAGGUCACUGAAUCAAUCCAGGACCAAAGUAGGCCUAAGAUACACAGAUAUGGGGCAAAUCCUAGUGCCUCAUCUCGUGAUCAGAAAGGGAUUGCUGAAGUCUCGGCCAUCGAUCAUGCUGAAACCCCUCUGUUUCUAGCAACAAAAUCAGGAUGUAUUGAGAUUGUUAAGGAUAUACUCAGUGUAUACCCUCAAGCAGUUGAACAUAUAGAUGAUGAAGGGCGAAAUAUAUUACAUGUCGCGAUUAAGUACAGGCAGUUGGAGAUUUUUGAGCGUGUAGUGCAAAUGGAAAUACCACUGCGAAGGCUAGUUCGAAAAAUAGACUACAAUGGCAACACCAUAUUCCACAUGGCUGGGAUCAAAAGAAAAGAUUAUGUACCUGAAAAGAUGGAAGGCCCUGCUCUACUUUUGCAGGACGAGUUGCUCUGGUACGAGGUGAGAUUUAUCAUAUCUCUAAUAUAUCUCAUGAUUUAGUAAAUAUAUAUCCUGAUUUAGUAAAUAUAAUUUUAAGUGAGAAAUGUGUAUAUACGUAAAAUGAUUUUAUUAUGUGUUUUUGCAGCGAGUGAAGAGUGUGACAAUGCCCCAUUUCCUGAACCACCGGAACAACAUGGGGUUCAUCCCGGAAGAGUUAUUUUCUAUUGCAAAUAAUGAGCUUCGUGCUCAAUCAAAACAAUGGUUGAUACACACAACAGAAGGAUGCUCAGUGGUGGCAGUUCUCAUUGCUACCGUGGCCUUUGCUGCUGCAUACACAGUACCAGGAGGUUCAAAUGAGAACACUGGCUAUCCAAUCCUCAUUAAUCAUCCUUUCUUUGUUGCUUUCACCGUCUCCGAUGUUCUAUCUCUCACAUUUUCGUUGGCAGCUGUGGUUACAUUUCUCUCAAUGCUCACAUCCCCUUUCAGAUUGGAAGACUUUAAGCACUCGCUUCCUAAUAAAAUGAUCAUGGGCUUCACAUUUCUGUUUCUUUCUGUGUGCCUUAUGAUGGUAGCAUUUGUAGCAACAAUUCUGCUUAUGAUAAAGAGCAAGGAAAGUUGGGCUAAAAUUGUGUUGUACACUUGCGCUUUCAUCCCAGUUGGAGUGUUUGCACUCUCUUAUUUUCCUAUAUACAUAACAAAAUCAGUAACAAGAGGUCUCAAUUAUUUACGGGACAAGGCAAAAGUAUUGGUCCCUCAGUGGCUUGUAAACAUAUUUUGCUUCUCAUCCAACAGUUUUAAGGUGAAAGCUACAAGUUCUUCCAUCCCAUGAAAUUCUGGACUUCAGCUUGCAGUCUUCUUAUGUUAGAAUUGAAUAAAUCAGACAUUGAUUUGGGUUUCAUUAUUUAGGAACUUCGGGUUGAAUUUGGAGUUUUCAAUUUGUAAAUUUUCCUUUUAUGUGUGGUGAUAAUUCACUGUGACUUAUUAUCAUUGAUGUCUUAUAUAUAUGUGUGUAUAUAUUAAAAAACCAUCAAUAAAGUGAGUCCCAACAAAUUAAUCUUUCGAAUUUUCCUUACUCUUAUUUGCAUGCGUGAAUUGUUUGUGUUGGUUUAUCUUAAACAAAAAAGAGUCGUUACUAUUCCAAGCUAAAGAAAGUUAAAAAAAGGAAAAAAAAAAAAAGAGAUAAAAAAGGAGAGAGAUGGAAGCCAAGUAGCAAAUCUUGGAAGCUAAAAUAAGGCAAGACAUUGAUAGGCUUGCGGCGUUUGCAUGUUUUGUUUUUCUUUCAAGCAAUUGCGAAGAAAAUUAAGUUGGACGCAUUUUUUUCAACUUUUGAUUGCAAGUUUCUUUAUUUUCGAUGUUGAGCGCAUUAGUUAAAUCUCUUUCUUACGUGGGGAUAGAAGUCUCAUUUCAGGAUUAGUGUUUAUGUUGAGAUCUUAGGUCUUGUUUAGGAUCGAGGUACUGUAACUUUUAAGUUAUAUCUGCUGUAGAAAAAAAAAUUAUAAUUAUGAAACAAAAAUUAAUAAUAUAUAGUAAAUAUACAUUUUAAAUAAUAAUUUUAACAAAAUUAUUAAAGAUAUAAUAUAUUUUUUAUUAUACAAGUGAAAAAUCAUAUUAAAAUAACUUUUAAGAUACAGCAGCUAGUGUUUACCAAACACUUUAAUACUAUAGCUUAAAAGUUACAGCUACCCAACCUCAAUUCCAAACGCACUCUUAAACUCAUUUAUCUUGUCUCUAAGUGCACUCUAAACAUAAUGGAACUUUUUUACUCAUAUAUGAAUGUGGUCUCACAUAUACUAAGGUGGCGUUUGUUUUUUAACUUAAUGACUUAAAGUGACUUAACUUAAUUAAUUAAGUUAAUUAGAGGUGUUUGUUUUUAUAACUUAAUGAGACUUUUUAGAUAAUUUUGACCUAAUAAAAUAAGCUAAUUUUUUUGGCUUUUUACUUAAUGGAGAAAUCUGAAUUAAGUUAAUUACUUGCUAAUGUCAAAAAUAUCCAUGUUUUAUAAUUUAUUUUUUAAGUCUAUCCCAAAACUCACCCAUAGAUAUUUACCCCACAUAAAAAUAUCCCUAUUUUUUCUUUCUUAUAUUAUAUACGAUAAAAUUUGAAAUUUAUGGUAUUUUAUAUAUUAAAAUUCCAAAAUAAUUAUGUAUUCACUUGAAUAUAGUUUUACUUAUAAAUGUUAAAAUAUUGUGGUAUUUAAUAUAUUAUUUAUUUGCCAUUCAAAUUUAAUAAGGAUACAAAUGUAAAAGUACAUAUUUUCAGUUUUUUAAGUUGAAAAAAACAAACAAGUUAAUACUUAUUUUUCGAGAUUCAGACGAAAAAAUAAACAUAUUAUUUAGAUUUAGAAAUUCAAAUCUAUUCAGAAUUCAGACUAAUUCAGGUAUAUUCAGAUUUCAGAUAAAAAAAUAAACGCCACCUAAGUGAGCUGCAUAAAUUAGGUCAAACCUAUAAAAUUUCUCUUAUUUUUCAUUAAAUCUUAACGUGUGAAAUUGUUUCUCAUUUUUCUUCUUGGCUAUAAGAGAUUCAUCUAGUGGAUGACUAUAUUAUUGGUAUUAGAAUAUUGGGAGAUUACCAGUUUCUACGCUAUUGAGAUCAUUCUAUACCACUUACCUCAUAUUAUUUUCAUAAUAUUUAAAACCCCUCUCCAUAUAAAAAGUUUGUUAGAAAAUAGGCUUGAUAUUUUAUCUUGGAAAUAUAGAAUAAUAGUUAUUAUAAUUUAAAAAAAUACAAAAAAUACCUUAUUAUUAAUUUUUUAUUUACAUCGAAACCUAUAUUUUUUAUGUUUAGUAUGUAACUUCUUUUAUUUUUAUUUAUAUAAUUCAUUUAAUUUAUAGUUAAUAUAAAUAAAAGUGUAUUAGAAAAUAAAAGUAAUACUAUGUAAUGAAUGUCAUUGGAUAUCACGAAAACAGUAGGAAGAGAUGAGAUGUGAUAUAUAUUAAUUUUAAUUAAAAAAAUUAAUAAUUUCUCCCGACAGUUUUAAACUUUGCACGAUGGAUGGCCCUCUUAAGCCUUUUCAUAGACAACGAUUCUUUUCUCAUUUUUUUUUCUUUUUUGCUUUUUAAGUUGAAGUUGUACAGAAUAAUUCCACUCAUCAAUAAUAAUUUAUUCUGUAAACAGUCAUUUGCAAAUUUUAACCUAGAAGAAGCUAUCUGCAUGUUUUUCACGUUGAAGUCGCCGAAAUCAACUAACUUUGUCUUAGUGGGAACUUAAUUUUUUUUUAUGGUUAAUUAAACUCUCAACACAAUGGUACAUGAAGCAAUUACAGAGCAAUAAUCUUGAUGGGUUUUCUGUAAAAGUUGGUGGGGUUAUAUGCUCUUUCGACAAAUUAAAGAUAUUCAAUCCUAUCAAAGAUAGGAAUAGUAUAAACUUUGUUGGGUUGAGUUACACCUCAUCAUAUCAACUUUAGCGAAAAAUGAAAAAGGUGAAUCACGCGAUAAUAGUUAAUUCAAUAACCCCAACUAAGUAACCACUUGGGCUUAGCCCAAGUGGCUAGAGCCCCUUCCUCACAAAUGUGAGAGAAGGGGUUCGAGCCUCCGCAGUCGCAUUGUAGGUGUUUAAUUUAAAUAUUCUUCCUUGGAGCCUUUGAGCUCGAGUGAAGACAGUUUUUCUUCCAGGAUGAGAGUUUGACAUCCCUCGAAUAUUUGAGAGGGUUAAAAAUCUGAGCGGUGUCAUAUCAACAUUCAUAUCAAUAUGGCUCAGUAUAAAUAUAUAAUUGUACAUAUCAAUUAUACUCUCAUGUAAUAUGAGUUGUAAUUUGAACUGUAAUUUGAGCAAUAGUCUCAUGUAAUAAAAAAAAAAUAACCCCAACUAAGUUACAUUCUUAUUAGCAUCUAAUAAUUAGAUACGUGUGGUUUAUUCUUUACACACUACCUUGGCAUUCGUUUUUUUUUUUUUUUCGAAAUCUAAAUAGACUUAGGAUGCGUUUGUGAUUGAGGUGUUGUACUUUUUAAGCUACAACUACUGUAAAGAAAACUGUAAUUAUAAAAUAAAAGUUAAUAAUAUAUAAUAGAUUUUCUAUUAUACAAGUGAAAAAUCAUAUCAAUAUAGCUUCCAAGCUACAACAGUUAGUAUUUACCAAACAAUUUAGUACUAUAACUUUUAAGAUACAGCUGCCCAACCUCAAUCUUAAGUUAAUCUAAAUUUUAAAUAAAUCUGAAUGUUUCAAUCUGAAUUAUAUAUUUAAUUUUUUUUUUGUCUGAAUCUUUGGAAGAUAGUAUUAAAUUACUUUUUUUUUCAACUUAAAAAAACUAAAAAUGUAUUUUUAUUUUUGUAUUUUUAUUAAAUUUGAAUUUCAAAUAAAUAAUACAUAUAUCCCAAAGAACAUAAAUACCGUAAUAUUUUAAUAUAUAUAAGCAAAACCACAUUCAAUUGAAUACAUAAUAAUUAUUGAAUUAUAAUAUAUAAAAUAGCAUGAGUUUCAAAUUUUAUCACAAAUUCUCAAUAAUAGUACAUAAUAUAAGGUGAGAUUAUUAAUGGGUAAAUGUUCAUGGGUGGAUUUUGGAAUAGGCAUGUAAAAUAAUUUAUAAAAUAGGGAUAUUUUUAACAUUAGAUAUUAGUUGGCUUAUUCAAAUUUCUCUAUCAAGUAAAAAGUAAAAAAAAAAAAAAUUUUUAUUAAGUCAAAAUUAUCUAAAAAGUCUCAUUAAGUUAUAAAAACAGACACAUCUACUUAACUUAAUUAAUUAAGCCGCUUUAAGUCAUUAACUUAAAAAACAAACAUUCUCUAAUUUUUUUUAUAUGAUGUCACUAUUUAAUCGAUAAAACAAAUUUAUUUUGCUGAGGAAAAUUUUCUAUUUAUAAGUCUCAGUGAUUCUCAUUAUCACAGUUAAUGUGAGACAUAAUUCAUCGUAACUGUGACACAGCCUCUAGGUUUUUUUUCCCUCCAAUUCUUUUAGCAUUUUAUGUCCUAAAUUAUUUAUUAUGAUUUGUCAAUGAAGUCAUUAUAUUUUAUGAAAUUCAGAAAUAAGAUGCAGUAGAAUUUAGAAAUUGUAAUAAGAACUAAAAAAAAAAUGAAAAAGUUGAUUACCAUUUGGUGAUGCACUUGAAUACAUUAAAUAACAACAUAAACAUAUUAUUUAGUUGUUGUACGAUUGGCAUGGUAUUUUUAAAUGUACAUGAGAUUUUCACAGUAAAAUAGAUGUAUGCAAGAAGCAAACUAGCAGAGUAUUGUCAAACAAGUGUACCCUAGUUGAGUACUAAUAUACUUUCCCCACAUUAACAAGCAAAUUGUAUACCCAACGUAUAAACCGAUUAAUUGGCAAGCUUAUAAGUCAUAACUAAUCAUCUUUCACAUCACAGGCUUCUUUGGCAUCUUUUUCUCCAACUCAACUUCUCUGAUAAUGAUGCGCUCUGUUAUAGAAGAUACUGGUUCUAAACACAAGAUCAACGCAGAGCUCUACAAUGCUCUGCUGAUCAGAGAAGAUGAGCAGAAGGUGAUAGAGCUUUGCCGAAAAGUUCCCGAUCAUGCCUUGUACAUUUUAACAAUCCACGAUGACACAGUUCUGCAUAUGGCUACUUAUUCCAAAAAAAGCAACUUAGUGCUGCAGCUUCUCGACGAGUUACCCGACCAAUAUCUCGACAAAAUGACGCGACAGAAUCAAGCAGGAAACACCAUUCUACAUGAAACUGCCACGAGCAACCAUGCGAUUCCUGUCGCUGAAAAGCUGUUAAAGAAAGCCCCGGGGCUGCUAGGCAUGCGCAACAACAAUGGAGAGACUGCUCUACUUCGUGCUGCCCGAUACGGCAAAGGUGAUAUAUUCAACUUUCUUGCCGGUAGAGUUUCUGGGUAUGAUCUCGGUACUAAGCUGCCGUUUCUUCACAGAAACGAUAAGACUAAUGUUCUUCACAUUGCCAUUCUUUCUCAGCACUUUGGUAAGUUUUCAAAAUUAUUCCCUAGUGCCCUGGUUUGACGAUCAAAUUAAAUUUUGAGUGUCCUUAUGUAUUUCUAUCUUUGUUUAUAACUGUAUUCUUCUUUUUGAAAUAGCUUUGGCCCUGCAAAUUGCGAACGAUUACAGGUACUUGAUUGAAGAGCAAGAUGUGGAUGGGAUGACUGCUCUUCAGCUUCUGGCAUGCAAGCCUGAAGCUUUUGAUCGCAAACGUGCUGAAGGGUUUUUCAAUAAACUAAUCUAUUAUGGUGAGGUUUUCUUAAUAAAAUCUAAAUGUAAUUUUCGUUUUUGCCUCCGUCUUUCUGGGAAACAUUGAAUUAUUUAUUGCUUCUGAUUUGCCUUUUAUUUUUCUAUUGGUUUUGAAAUUAAAAUAAGAUAUUGUUAAAAGAUACUAACAAAAUAAUUCCUUCUUUGAGAGUUUAGAUUUGAAUAAUAUUGUUUACUUUUUAAAUCACUUUCCCGACACUCUUUACAAGAAGAAGAAAAUUCUAAUGGAAAGUGCUUAUUUAUGCAAUUGUUAACUCUCUUUUCUUUUAAUUUUUUUCUUUUUUUUGUUUGGUGGAAAAGUUAAAUAUAAUUGUAGUUUGAGCCGAAGAGCAGAAUUUGAAGAGGAAGAGCGGCAAUGUAAAUCGGCUAUGGAGCUUGCCAGGUUUCUAAUUAGAAGGGAUACUUCAUGGGAGAUUACUGAUUCAAUCCAAGACCAGAGCAAGCCUAAAAUUCAUAGAUAUGGGGCAAAUCCUAAUGCCUCAUCCGUUGAUCAGAAAGGGAUUGGAGAAAGCACCGCUAUCGAUAAUGCUGAAACCCCUCUGUUUCUAGCAACAAAAUCUGGAUGUCUAGAGAUUGUUAAAGAAAUAUUCAAUGUAUACCCCCAAGCAGUUGAGCAUAUUGAUGAUGAAGGAAGAAAUAUAUUGCAUGUAGCUAUCAAGUAUCGGCAGUUAGAGAUUUUUGAGCUUGUAAUCCAAAUGGAAGUGCCAAUGCGAAGGCUAGUCCGGAAAAUUGACAACGGUGGCAACACUUUACUGCACAUGACCGGAAUCAAAAGAAGUGAUUAUGUACCUGAAAAGAUGGAAGGCCCGGCUCUAGUCUUGCAGGAAGAAUUGCUUUGGUACGAGGUACGAUUUCACUAAUCCCAUUCACUUAAGCUCUUGGUAAGUUUAGAUUGUCAGGAAAAGAUCCUAAUUUUGCUAUUAACAAACUUUGUUGGUUCUGGUGUGUAUUGCAGCGUGUAGAGGAAGUGAGCAUGCCCCAUUUCAGGAAUCACCGGAACAACAUGGGGUUCACCCCGGAAGAGUUGUUUGCUACUGCAAAUAAUGAGCUUCGCGCUCAAUCAAAAGAAUGGUUAAUACACACAGCAGAAGGAUGCUCAGUGGUGGCAGUUCUCAUCGCUACCGUGGCCUUUGCCGCUGCAUACACUGUACCAGGAGGCGCAAAUGAGGAAACCGGCUAUCCAAUCCUUCUUCGUCAUCCUUUCUUUGUGACUUUCACUGUCUCCGACGUUCUAUCUCUCACAUUCUCUUUGGCUGCAGUGGUUACGUUUCUCUCAAUCCUCUCAUCCCCAUUUAGAUUACAAGAUUUCAAGCAGUCUCUUCCGAAUAAGUUGACAAUGGGCUUCGCAUUUCUGUUUCUUUCUGUGUGCCUUAUGAUGGUAGCAUUUGCAGCAACGAUACUGCUCAUGAUUAAAAAUAAGGAACAUUGGGCAAAAGUCUUGCUGUACACUUGCUCUUUUAUCCCAGUGGGAAUCUUUGCACUAUCCUAUUUCCCUAUUUAUAUAACAAAAUCGAUUGCUAGAUCGUGCAAGAAAUUCAGCAGCAAGACAGGGCUGCUGGUUCCUCAGUGUUUUGCCUCUCUUCUGAAGAGGAUCUUUUGCUUCUCCGAAUGUUUGAACGACAAAAGCACCAGCUCUUCCAUUCCAUGAGCUUCGACGGUUAAAUCUGAAUGGGCAGUGUGCGAAAUUGUUAAUCUUGGUCAUUUGACUCCUUGUUAUCAGGAGUCUGUGUGUCUUAAGUUAUUACCGGAUUCUAUUGAUUUGAAUAAAGAUGAUGCAUUGUGUUGGCAAAUGUUUAUAGUCAUUGUAGUAAAAAUGUGAGUGCACGAGGCAUCAUUGAAAGAAUCGAAUUGCUUGAGUAAUUUCAUAUUCUUCAAAAACACCCACGAUCAAUUUAGGUUAAUUGUACAUAUCCCAGGCGGGGGAAUUUAGGACUAAUAAAAAUGAAUGAUUAGAAUCAUCUCCAAGUGUUUUUUUCUGCUAUUCUCUUAAUUUUUCAAAAUUAAUUAAAAAAGUUGGUUUAAUUGUAAAUAAAUAAAUAAAAUUAGUUUGAUUGUCAUUUGUCAACAUCAAAAUUUAAAAUUAAAUUUUAGUCACUUAUUUCACUAGGAGAGAUUAAAAGAGAAAAAAGAAUAGGAGUUAUUGAAUGUUGUCUUUAUUUGAAUUUGAAUUUAUGUGUAAGAAGCGUUGCAUAUCAAGGAAUCCGAUGAUAAGUCAAUCAUUAUGAACAAUGUGGUGCAAAUGUUAUGACAUGUUAGUUAGAUAAUGUAACAUUUGAAGACGAGCCGUUUUUAUGUACGGGCAACCUUGUGCAUUUUGUCCAAAAAAAUUUAAUUUUCAAAACUCCCACGAAAACUAGAAAUGGCAAAAAAUUAUGGGCCUGACCCGGCCUGUAAAGGGUCCAUCAAGACCCGCGGACUUUAGGCCCAGGCCGCAACAAAUGAGCCUAAUCUUGGACUGAAAAUUUAAAAGCUCAUAGUGGAUGAGUCUGGAUAUGGGCUCAUGGGAAAAGCUCUUUGGAUGACAGGGAUGCGUAACAACAAUAGGGAGACUGCUCUGUUUCGUUCUGCACAUUAUGGUAAAGCUGAUAUACUUAACUUUCUUGUUGGUUAUAAUCAACCAGUAAGCAGCCGUUUCCUCGGAAGAAUGACCACUCCACUAUUCUUUACAUGGCUAUUAUUUCUCAACACUUCGGUAAAUUCGUACUUAAGUAUUAUUUUAUUUUUUUAUUGUAUCGUUCAAUCUUUUUGCAUAUCCUCAUCCUUCCAAGCAUACAACUAUCAUGCUGUUAGUGUGCAAAGGUCAUUCAUUAAUAGGCAUGGCAAAAAUCCCCAUGGGGACGGGCCCCUCGAGGAUUUUUUUUUUCCAUUUGAAGAGGGUAUGAAGACAGUUUUAUACCUAAAUUCUUAUUGGGAAAAGGGAUGAUUUUUUACCCAAUUUAUUUUUUGGGGAAGGGCAUGGAUAAGCUUGAAUCCCCAUCUCUCCCCCCACCAAAAUUCCCCAUUUUCCAAACUUAAUUUUUAAUUCUAAUUUCAUUUUUUUAGAAAUAAUAAUGAAUAAAUAAAAAAAUUAAAUGAUAAAAUAUUAAAUAUUAGUAUAAAUAACAAAUAUCAAUAUAUUUAUACAAAUAUACUAUGAAAUUUUUAGGUCCAACUAACAAACUGGAGUCUUAAAUUACUAUUUGAUCAUAUCUUAUUUAAAAGGCCUUGGGGCAAAAAUUUUUUAAAUUUAACUUUUAUCUAAUAAAACAAACUAAAGCAAAAGCUAAAGUUAUAAUAUCCAAACUUUACUAAGAUAUAUUGUCAAACUUUACUUUUAUUUAAAAUUUUUAUUUUAAUAGAUUAAAUCAAAUUUAGAAACUAAAAAUCUAAUGGUUAUUUAGGGGUUUUUCGGGAACCUUCGGGGAUCCCUUUUAUUAUUCGAGUGGGGGACGGAAAUUUCUUUAAACAAUUCUGAUGGGGAUGAGGAAGAGAUUGAGACAUAUGCAAAAUAUCGGAGAUAGAUAUGGGGAUAUCAGUCUCCUCCCCAUUGCCAGCCCUAUUCGUUAACGGGAAAAAUCACGACAAAAGUUGUAAAAAUAACUUAAAUUAAGGUCAAUGUAGGAAAAUAACAGCUCUACUGAAGAAGAUCUCAUGUCUUUCCAAUAGUACUCGAGCUCGAUCUUCUAGUUCUUCCUUUAUUCCAUGAAUUAUGUACACAUGCCAUGCUGAAAUUGUGCCUAUUAAAAUAAGUUUCUUGCAAUAAUGAGUUUGCAAGUCUUUAUUGUCUUCUAGAAAUUCUGCUUGUAUAUUGAAUUCAAAUGCACUUAAAAAGUACGUCGCUUGAAUUCCUCCAUUUUUAAUGGCUUUGACAAUAUUGAUUUCGCCUUUGGGGUCGGAGAUGAAGUAAAAUCUAAGCCGAAUAAGCUUCAUUGGGGAUUUCAAUGCCAGGAUUCAAUUUGCAGUAGAAGCGACACAAACUCUUUUUUAUUUUCUAUUGAUCCCUUUUUCUUUUUGGUGAAUGAUGCAAAGAGUGAUUCCAAUUCAUAUUAUUAAGUGUAUAAGCUGAGGCUGCUGAGCUGGCUAAUGACGUACUAAGCUGGAUUGGGUGGUUAUUUGGUUUUGAUUUUAGUUGUAACAAUUUGUCCAGCUGGCACGUUAUGAUUGGAAGGCUUAUUAGUUAGUUAACGUUGCAGCUUUGAGCUCUGUUUUUUGUAAUCAGUUUUCACUGUAACUAUAAAUAGUGGUUAACAUAAUCAUAACAGAAUUUUCUCAGCUAAAGUUUUCUUUCAUUUUCUCAUUUACCAAACACCUUUAUUGAUUUUAAUAUGGUAUCAGAGCAAACACUUAUGUCUGGAUCCAAUCAUAUAGCUUCUUCCUCACUCUCAUUUCAUUUUGUUCAACCUGUAAAGCUCGACAGAUCAAACUAUCUGGUGUGGAAGGCUCAAGUUAGAACAUCAAUCAUUGUUAAUGGACUUGAAAGCUUCAUCAAUGGUGAGAAUGUGUGUCCAGAACGUUAUCUCACUAAAUCAACUCAAGAACUUCGAAGAUCUGGAGCUGAAGCUUCACAGAAACAAAAGAAUCCAGAUUAUGCCUUAUGGAUGAAAACCGAUAAGCUUCUGCAGAGCUAGAUGCUGUCGUCAAUGGUGGAUAACGUGUUAAUCAUGGUGAUCAACUGUGAAACUUCACUUGAGCUUCGGGAGAUGCUUGCUGAAAUCUUCAUAUCACAAUCUAAAGCAAGGUAUUUGCCUUUGAAAAUGCAACUUCAAUCAACAAAGAAAUGAUCACUCUCAAUAAGUGAUUAUUUUAAUAAGAUGAAGAAAAUUGCUGAUAGUUUGACCAUUGGAGGUAAUUCAGUUACUUCAAAUGACUUGAUUAUGCACUUGCUCACUGGAUUAGAUGAUAACUAUGAAUCUUUAGUUACAAAUAUACUUACUAGGCUGGAAAAAGAGAAACUCACUGUUGAGGAGGUGUAUUCAAUGAUGCUUAAUCACGAAACUAGGCUUGAAAUGAGCAAAGGAAAGUCUCAUAAUGAAUCUCUACAUGAUAUGACAGCAAAUUUUGCUCAGAAGAGCCAAGGUUAUAAUAGAUCUGGAUAUAAUCAGAAAAAUGUAGGUGCUGGUGGUUUUGGUGCUUAUGAUAAUAGUCAGAACAGUAGUACUGGUCCUGGAAAAGAUGUGUGUCAAAUCUGUUUCAUUCCAGGCCAUGUAGCUUAUAAGUGUAAACACAGGUUCAAUCAAGGUUUUAUUCCGAGAAAUAGAGGUUUUGAUGCUUUUAGGCCAAGAGGUGGAGGUCAGAAUUAUAGAGGAUUUUCUGGAAACAAUCAAAAUUAUUUUGGCAGAGGGUCUGGGUAUAAUGGUUUUGGGUACAAUGGUUCUGGUUUUGGUUAUGGAUUCAGGCCAAAUUUUCCUAGACAAGCUGGACCUUUCUUUGGCUAUAUUGCUUAUCAGAAUCCAGGUAUCAUGAAUCCUCAAGGUGCUUUUGACUUUCAAAGUGCAAAUGGUGCAUAUAAUGGGACUCAAACGGCAAACAUGUAUGCUGGAAAUAUUGGUAUUCCUCACAAUGUACCUCCCUCUGCACAAUUGGCAAACUAUAGCAGUGUAGCUGAUACAACCUGGUACAUUGACUCUGGAGCAACUAAUCACAUUGCUCAAGAUGCAGGUAUAUUAUCUAAAUACUCAACUUACCAUGGCUGUGAAAAACUGCAUGUUGGAAAUGGUAUGGGAUUGCCUAUUCAUAAUGUUGGAUCUGUUGCUAUUAAAACCUUGUCUACAUAACCUAUUUACCUGAAUCAUGUUUUACAUGUACCUGUAAUUACUAAAAACCUUAUCAGUGUUUCCAAAUUGCUUGCUGAUAACAAUGUUUUAGUUGAAUUUUACAACCAUGUCUGUUUUGUUAAGGACAAGAACUCAAGGAUCACAUUGCUCAAGGGGAUUGCUAGAGGAGGUCUUUAUCAAGUUUCAAGUUUAAAUGCAGUCUGUGAUAACUCAAGUUUUGUUAUUCCAGUGUCCACCUCAUCUGAGUCUGUUUUCAAUCCAAUAAGUCCAUUGUCAGCAAUACCAGUGUCUAUGUUUACUCAAUUGAAUUCAUUUGAUACUGAAACUUCUCCUCUUCAGGCUGUAAAUAGUUCUCAAUUAAAUAAGAAUGCCUAUGAUCCCACAAUUCAUGCCUUAAAACAAAUUGUGAAAUGCUUGGAUUCAACUUUUGUUCUUUCUAAAGACUCAAAAUUACAGUUUUGUGAUGCUUGUCAACUAGGCAAGUGUCAUAUGCAGCAUUUUCCUUCAAUAGAAACCUUAACCACUCAACAUGCCUUAAAACAAAUUGUGAAAUGCUUGGAUUCAACUUUUGUUCUUUCUAAAGACUCAAAAUUACAGUUUUGUGAUGCUUGUCAACUAGGCAAGUGUCAUAUGCAGCAUUUUCCUUCAAUAGAAACCUCAACCACUCAGCCCCUUGAAUUGUUACAUGCUGAUCUUUGGGGACCAGCUCCCAUUACCUCUUCCCAAGGAUAUUCUUAUUAUCUAUCUAUCCUGGAUGACUACACCCGAUACACUUGGAUAUUUCCUCUUACUGCAAAAUCCAAAACUCUGUCAGCCUUUAUUAACUUCAAAACCAUGAUUGAAAAUUGUCUGAAUUUAAGAAUCAAAUGCUUACAAUCUGAUUGGGGUGGGGAAUUCAGGCCUUUUGUAUCAUAUCUUUCUGAACAAGGCAUACAAUUCAGACAUCCAUGCCCUUAUAUACAUCACCAAAAUGGGAAAAUAGAGAGAAAACAUAGACAUAUUGUUGAAACAGGCCUUACCCUUCUUGCCCAAGCUCACUUGCCACUCAAAUUCUGGUGGAAUGCAUUUCAUACAGCCACAUAUCUCAUUAACAGACUUCCUACACCCAUUCUCAAUAAUAAAUCACCAUUUGAGAAACUAUUUCACAAACCACCAGAUUAUACAUUGAUGAAAGUUUUUUGUUGUUCCUGUUACCCUUAUCUCAGACCUUACAAUCAUCAUAAGCUCCAGUUCAGAAGUGAAAUGUGUGUCUUCUCUGGCUAUAGCUCCCUUCACAAAGGUUAUCAGUGUCUACAUCCCUCUGGAAGGGUCUAUAUAAGUAAUCAUGUUAUCUUUGAUGAGUUCUCUUUUCCAUUUAAGUCAGCUGCAAAAUUUUCUACAAAGUCAUGUUCUGAUUCUUCACAUGAGUCUCCUUCUUCCAACCCUCUUGUCUCAUUUACAUGAUCACAGACUGCUGCACAACUUGAUAGGUCUUUCUCUCAAUCUGCACCUUCAGCAACUGUUUUACCUUCCACCUCAAACUUGUCUAGUUCAGAAAACCAAUUGCUGUCUCAUACUUCUAGUCCUAUAAAUCAGCAAUCAUCUUCUCAACCUAUUCAUCAUCUAUCUCCACCUUCAUAACCCAUAAUUGGACAUUCCAUGACUACUCGAUCUAAAAAUGGAGUCUUCAAACUAAAAAAGACCUACCUAGUUGAAUGUAAUCCUAAGCCAACAGAACCACUUACAGUUUCAGCUGCUCUCAGUGAUCCAAAGUGGCUUCAAGCAAUGCAAGAAGAGUAUCAAGCCUUAGUUAAAAAUCAGACUUGGACACUUGUUUAGCCUACAUCACUUGUCAAAGUUGUAGGAAACAAGUGGGUAUUUCGAAUUAAACACAAUGCAGAUGGUAGUGUUUCCAGGUAUAAAGCCCGACUUGUAGCAAAGGGUUUCCAUCAAACUCAAGGUGUUGAUUAUAAUGAAACUUUUAGUCCAGUGGUGAAGGCUUCUACAGUUAAGCUUAUUUUAAGUUUGGCUGUUCUUAAUCACUGGUCACUAAGACAAGUCGACAUAAACAAUGCUUUCCUCCAUGGCUAUCUUACUGAAGAGGUGUAUAUGCCGCAACCUCCAGGCUUUGUGGAUCAAUCCAAACCUACUCACAUCUGUAAACUUCAAAAGGCAUUAUAUGGUCUUAAACAAGCCCCUAGAGCUUGGUUUGAUAGACUAGGAACAAUGUUGACUAAUCAAUGGGGCUUCAAGAAUUCCAAGUCUGAUAACUCUCUGUUUUUCCAGAGAAUUCAAGGUCAUCUCUUGUUGGUAUUAGUCUAUGUUGAUGACAUCAUUGUAACAGGUUCAGAUUCUACACAGAUUCAACAAGUUAUCACUAAUCUGCAGACUACCUUUGCUCUCAAAGACCUUAGAGAAUUACAUUAUUUUCUUGGUAUUCAAGUUACCAAAACUGCCACAGGGUUACAUCUCUCUCAGACAAAGUAUAUAGCAGAUCUUCUCAACAAAGUUAAGAUGCAAGAUUGUACUCCUUACUCUACUCCCAUGGCUGCCAAUGUUCCACUUACCAAAACUAACAGUGACUUAUUUGCUGAUGCAACUUUAUAUAGAAGCACAAUUGGAGCUCUUCAGUAUGCUACCUUGACCAGACCUGAGAUAGCAUUUCCAGUCAACAAACUCAGCCAAUUUCUAGCUGCACCAACAACCAAUCACUGGCAAGCAUGCAAAAGGAUUCUUCGAUAUCUAAAGGGUACAUUGCAUAUGGGAUUACAGUAUUCCAAUCAAGGGCCCUUACAUAUAGAUUGUUUCACUUAUGCAGACUGGGUAGCUGAUAGAGAUGAUCGAAAAUCAAUUGCUGGAUACUGUGUUUACUUUGGUCAUAAUCUGAUCUCUUGGUGUUCAAAGAAACAAGGGGUGGUUUCCAGGUCUAGUACUGAGUCUGAGUAUCGAGCUCUAGCAAUGGCAGCAUCUGAAGUUUUGUGGCUUAAGUCCUUGCUGACUGAAAUUGGUAUUUCUCUUGCCUCUACUCCUGUCAUUUGGUGUGAUAACUAGAGUGCUGCUGCCUUAGCAAGUAAUCCCAAAUUCCACUCCCGAACUAAGCACAUAGAACUUGAUGUUCAUUUCUUGCGAGAAAAGAUUGCUAAUAAGAGCUUCCAAGUUAGUUAUGUUCCCAGUUCCCAUAACUCAACUGAUAUCCUCACUAAAGCUUUAGCUUAUCACCCUUUUCAUUAUCUAAGAGACAAGCUCACCCUUACCAAUCCAGGUUGAGCUUGAGGGGGGAUGUUAAGUGUAUAAGCUGAGGCUGCUGAGCUGGCUGAUGACGUACUGAGCUGCUGAGCUGGAUUGGGUGGUUAUUUGGUUUUGAUUUUAGUUGUAACAAUUUGUCCAGCUGGCACGUUAUGAUUGGAAGGCUUAUUAGUUAGUUAACGUUGCAGCUUUGAGCUCUGUUUUUUGUAAUCAGUUUUCACUGUAACUAUAAAUAGUGGUUAACAUAAUCAUAACGAUGUAAUUCAAGAUUCUAAUCAAUAAGAAUUUUCUUAGCUAAAGUUUUCUUUCAUUUUCUCAUUUACCAAACACCUUUAUUGAUUUUAAUACAUAUCUAUUUUAUUCUCUAUGAAGCCACUCUUCACCGGUUUCAUAGUGAUGCCAGUUAGCAAAUUUUGUGCCUUUCACAUUGAAGCCACAGGAAUCGGUCACCUGCUUGCACCUUCAACUUUAUCUUAACAGGUAACUUAAUAGUUAAAUUUCGAACUUGUUCUUUUUCUCCCAAUUAAAUAGCAGUUAUAUAGAACUGUUAAUUAUUCUUUCAAUCAAAGUUGUGCGGGAAUGGGACAACACUUCAUUUCUGUUUUAUUUUAAUCCGACCAAUUGAUGUUAAAGCUUCAAUCUUAUGGGGAUAGGAAUGGUGCAAACUCUAUCGAGUUCACUAUUAAGGCUUCCACUAUGAAUGUGACUCACGCCAAUAAAAGCUAGAAUAUCAUAAUACAAAGUUUUAUUCGGUAAGUACUCAGUCCUGUAUCAUAUCUACUGUACUAAAGACCUUUCCCCGUCAACAAGCAAUUUAAACCCAACAUAUAUAAUAUAAACUAAUUAAGCCAAAGCCUCACAAAAACCAAUUAGUACAUUAUCCUAACCUCCCUCAAAUUUUAAACUGCUCAGCCUUCAAAUGUCUUCCAUAGGCAUAGAAGAUACUGAUGCUAAACUUAAAAUCAACUCAGAGCUUUAUAAUGCUCUGAUGAUCAAAAAAGAUGAGCAGAAGGUGAUUGAACUCUACAGAAAAGUCCCUGAUCAUGCAUUGUACGUGUUUACAAUACAUGACGACACAGUACUGCUUAUGGCUACUUACACCAAGAAGAUACAUGACGACACAGUACUGCUUAUGGCUACUUACACCAAGAAGAGUGACUUGGUGAUAAAGCUACUUGACGAAUUACCUGACCAGUCUCUCGACAAAAUGACACGACAAAACAAAGCAGGAAACACUAUUCAACAUGAGACUGCCACCAGUAACCAUGCUCUCCCUGUCGCAGACAAAGUGUUAAGGAAGGCUAGUUCGAAAAAUAGACUACAAUGGCAACACCAUAUUGCACAUGGCCGAGAUCAAAAGAAAAGAUUAUGUAUCUGAAAAGAUGGAAGGCCCUGCUAUACUUUUGGGGGACGAGUUGCUCUGGUACGAUGUGAGAUUUAUCAUAUCUGUAAUAUAUAUACUGAUUUAUUAUGUGUUUUUGCAGCAAGUGAAAAGUGUGACAAUGGCCCAUUCCCUGAACCACGGGAACAACAUGGGGUUCACCCCGGAAGAGUUAUUUGCAACAGCAAAUAAUGAGCUUCGUGCUCAAUCGAAAGAAUGGUUGAUACGCACAACAGAAGGAUGCCCAGUGGUGGCCUUUGCUGCUGCAUACACGGUACCAGGAGGCUCAGAUGAGAACACUGGCUAUCCAAUCCUCAUUAAUCAUCUUUUCUUUGUUGCUUUCACCGUCUCCGAUGUUCUAUCUCUCACAUUUUCUUUGGCGGCUGUGGUUCCAUUUCUCUCAAUGCUCACAUCCCCUUUCAGAUUGGAAGACUGUAAGCACUCGCUUCCUAAUAAAAUGAUCCUGGGCUUCACAUUUCUGCUUCUGUCUGUGUGCCUUAUGAUGGUAGCAUUUAUAGCAACAAUUCUGCUUAUGAUAAAGAGCGAGGAAAGUUGGGCUAAAAUUAUGCUGUACACUUGCACUUUCAUCCCAGUUGGAGUUUUUGCACUCUCAUAUUUUCCUCUAUACAUAACAAAAUCAGUGACAAGAGGUCUUAAUUAUUUACGCGACAAGGCAAAAAUAUUUCUCCCUCAGUGGCUUGUAAACAUAUUUUGCUUCUCAUCCAACAGUUUUAAGGUGAAAGCUACAAGUUCUUCCAUCCCUUGAAAUUUUGGACUUCAGCAUGCAGUCUUCUUAUGUUAGAAUUGAAUAUAUCACACAUUGAUUUGGGUUUCAUUAUUUAGGAACUUUGAGCUGAAUUUGUAGUUUUCAAUUUGUAAAUUUUCCUUUUUUGUGUGGUGUUAAUUCACUGUGACUUGUUAUCAUUGAUGUCUUAUCUAUAUAUAUAUAAUCAUUUUCAACAUUUUUUUAAAUGCAGAAACACUUUUAAAUCGUGCGGUUUAAAAGAGUCAGUUAUUGAAUUAACUAUAAAACCAUGCGAUUUAAAAAAAUUAAAAACUAACACUUUUAACCUUAUGAAAACAAAAUGAGGGCACGUGUGUGUAUAUAUAUAUAUACAUAUAUGUGUGUGUGUGUUAAAAAACACCAUCAAUAAAAGUGAGUCCCUACAAAUUAAUCUUUCGAAUUUUCUUUACUCUUCUUUGCAUGCGUGAACUAUUUGUGUUGGUUUAUCCUAAACAAAAAAGAGUCGUUACUAUUCCAAGCUAGAAAAAAAGUUAAAAAAGGAAAAUAAAAAGAGAUAAAAAAGAGAGAGAUGAAAGCCAAGUACCAAAUUUUGGAAGCUAAAAUAAGGCAAGACAAUGAUAGGCUUGCGGCGUUGGCAUAUUUUGUUUUUCUGUCAAGCAAUUGGGAAGAAAAUUAUGUAGGACACAUUUUUUUCAACUUUUGAUUGCAAGUUUCUUUAUUUUCGAUGUUGAGGGCAAGUAUAUCUUCCUUAUGCGGGGAUAGAAGUCUCAUUCCUGAAUUACUGUUUAUGUUGAGAUAUUAAACUCCUUUAUCUUGUCACUAAGUACAUUAUAAAUAUAAUGGAAUUUUUUUACUCAUAUUUGAAUGUGGUCUCACCUACAGUAAGUGAGCUAGAAACAAAAGACUUGCAGUUCAAUAGUUAGAGUGUUACUUGAUGGUUUUAAAGUUUUGGUUCAAAUCCCAAUAACCACAUUAUUUUUUGUUUUUAUUUCACUAAUCUACAGAUAAGGGGGUCCUGCCUAAUCCCCUCACCUUGGAGUGGAUAUGGCCAAUGGGUCGGGUCGGUAUCCACAGGUAAGGGGGUCCCGACUAAUCACCUCACCCUCGGGCAGAGAUGGCCAAUGGGCCGUGACGGCACCAAAGCAAGGCCCAUGUGUGCUCGUGCCCGUGCCACGCCGUGCAUAAAUAUUUUUUAUUUAGGCCUGGCCCGUCACACAUACCGUGCUCAUACGUGUCGUGCCUAAGAAAAAGUUCACUAACCUUUUUUCUUCUUUUUUAAUUUUUUAACAGCGCAUACUAAGCUGUUGGCGUAUUUUUUUUCAAGUUUAUGUAUUUUUCUUAGGUCUAUGACUUUAUUCAAAUUUAAUAAAAUCAAAAAUUCAAAACUCAAGUCCAUAUUCAACAAUAAUAAACUAAUAAUAGUAAGAAAAUGUAAUAUUAUUACUAAAUUUGACCUUAUAGUAUUAGAAUUUUUUUAAUACUUAAUAAUAAUAAUAAUAAAUAAUAAAUAAUUUUUCUUAAGGGUUAGCUUAAUUGUUAACUUAGAGUUCCCUAGAGUCAUAGAUCAUAAUUCACAAUAAUAUUAAUGCAUAUUUAUAAAGUCAUGAUAUUUAUAAUUUUAUUCCUUAAAAUCAUGAUAUCAAUUAUUUAUUUAAUAAAUUAUAAAUAUAAAUCAAUUAUAGUAUUUUGUUUGAAACUAAGAAUUAAAUGAAUUUAAAAAAUUCAACUUCAAGUUAUUUGUAAAAUCAUAAAAUUUUAAGUUUAUUUUCAUUAAAAAAAUAAAAUGUGCUUAUUGUGGGUUUUUUCAUCGUGUCGUGCUUAGCCCAUCUCUAAUCGUACCGUACUUUUAAGGCCCACGUGUCUAAACUUCUAAGACCGGCCCAGCCCACGUACGUGUCGUGCCGUGCCGUGUCGCGUGCCUCAUUGAAACAUACUCAUGUCGUGCCGUGCUGUACGGACAUGUGUCAUGCCCAUGCUGUCCGGCCCAUUGGCCAUCUCUACCUUUGGGUGGUUUAUAAUAAUAAUAAAAAAGUGAGCUAGAUAAAUUAGGUCAAACCUAUAAAAUUUCUCUUAUUUUUCAUUAAAUCUUAACUUAUGAAAUUGUUUCUCAUUUUUCCUCUUGGCUAUAAGAGAUUCAUCUAGUGGAUGACUAUAGUAUUGGUAUUAGAAUAUUGGCAGAUUACCAAUUUCUACUCUAUUGAGAUCAAUAUAGACCACUUACCUCAUAUUAUUUUCAUAAUAUCUAAAAACCCUCUUGAUAUAAGAAGUUUAUUAGAAAAUAGGCUUGAUACUUUAUUUUAGAAAUAUAAAAUAAUAGUUAUUACAAAAAAUAUUUAAAAAAUACGAAAAUACCUUAUUAUUAAUUUUUUUAUUCACAUCAAAACCUAUAUUUUUUUAUGUUUAGUACAUAAAAUUUUAUUUAUAUAAUUUAUUUAAUUUAUAAUCAAUAUAAAUAAAAGUGUAUUGAAGAAUAAAGGUAAUACUAUGUAAUGAAAGUCAUUGGAUAUCACAAAAACAGUAAGAAGAGAGGAUAAGUGGUAUAUAUUAAUUUCAAUAGAAAAAAAAAUUAAUAAUUUCCCUCGAUAGUUUUAAACUUUGCAUGGUUGAUGGCCCUCUUAAGCCUUUUCAUAGACAACGAUUCUUUUCUUUUCUUUUUCUCCUUUUUUGCUUUUUAAGUUGAAGUUGUACAGAAUAAUGCCACUCAUCAAUAAUUUAUUCUAUAAAUAGUCAUUUGCCAAUUUUAACCUAGAAAAGCUCUCUGCAUGUUUUUCACGUUGAAGUUGCCGAAAUCAAACAACUUUGCCUUAGUGCGAACUGACCUUUGUUUAUGGUUAAUUAAACUCUCAAACAAUGGCACAUGCAGCAUGCAGCAAUUACAGAGCAAUAAUCGUGAUGGUUUUUCUGUAAAAGUUGGUGGGGUUAUAUGUUCUUUUGACAAAUUAAAGAAAUUCAAUCCUAUCAAGAUAGGAAUAGUAUAAACUUUGUUGGGUUGAGUUGCACCUCAUCAUAUCAACUUUAGCAAAAAGAAAAUGGUGAAUUAAUUCAAUAACCUGAACAGGUUACAUUCCUAUUAGAAUCUAAUAAUUAGAUACGUGUGGUUUAUCCAUCACACAGAAAGGUUGCGUUUAUUUUAUUUUUAUCUGAAAUUUAAGUUAAUUUAAAUUUUAAAUAGAUUUAAAUGUUUUUAAUGUGAAUUAUAUAUUUAUUUUUUGUCUGAAUUUCAGAAAAUAAGUAUUAAAUUGUUGUUUUUUUAAUUUUAAAAAAACUAAAAACAUGUACUUUUACAUUUGUAUUCUUAUUAAAUUUGAAUUUCAAAUAAAUAAUAUAUAUAUCCUAAAGAACAUAAAUACCAUAAUAUUUUAAUAUAUAUAAGCAAAACCACAUUCAAUUGAAUACAAAAUGAUUUUGUAAUUAUAAUAUAUAAAAUAGCAUAAGUUUCAAAUUUCAUCACAAUUCUCAAUAAUGUACAUACGGGUGGGCAUAAACCUACAACCUAGACCAAAUUAAAUGGUUUGGGUUGGGUAAAUUAUGAAAAUAAGUUAGAAGUGAGUUUCAUAUAAAAAAAUCAUUUCAUUAUGGGUUGGGCAUGGUUUACCCAUGGGUCAUGUAUAAAACCCCAAUACUCUAACUUGUCAAAUGAAAUAAAUGAAAACAAAUCAAUGAAAGCUCGCUAUUAAAUUGUUCACGCGUGAUCAAUUGUCAAUAGUUGGAAAAGAAAAGCAACAUGUAAAAAUAAAUCAAAAAAUUAAAUAAAUGGACCAUUUGCCAAUCUGAACUCAAAAUAGCUACCUUUCAACCUGCAACUUCUCCUUUCUAAAACCAAGACACAAAAAUUCUCAAAUGGUGUUUGUUCGUUCAUUGUCCUCAGUUGAAAUUGCAGAAUCUUAUUUGUUUUCAUUUAUUUGUUGUUUUGAUUUGUAUUACAAGUUCCUGAAUUGAGCCAAUAAAAUUCAAAAUCAGUUUUUUUUAAAAAAAAAACUUUUAUUUUUCAUUUAAUAUUUAUAUAUUUGUUGGUGAAUGAGCAUACUCUGUUAAUCGUGGAAUCUCUUGAUUAAAAUACUGCGGAUGGGAAUGAUUAUGACGGAUUGCUUUGACACUUGAGUUGGGAUGUCUUAUCUUGUUUUGAUUUGUAUGGAUAUUGUUAGAGUUUGUGUUGUAAUAGGGUUAAUACUUAAUACUACUAGUUUUUUUUUCCUUCUUUAAAUUUACUUAUUGAUGUCUUUUUUCCUUCUUUAAAUUUACUUAUUGAUGUCAUGUUUGUGAAGGCUUAUUAUUAGAGUUUACGUUCUCAUUUAUUGAGAAAUAAUGAUUUUUGUGAUUAAACUUUAUUUUAAUUUUCUAGUAUUCUUUAAUUUAAGGAUGAAGUUAUUGUAAAAUUUAUUAUUUAUACUUUUUAUCCACUAUAUUUUUUCAUAUUUUAAUAUUAAUUUAAUAAUUAAUAAUUAUUAUAUAAUUAAAUUUAUCAAAAUAAAAAAAUAUUUUGAUAAUAAAAUUCAAACCAAACCCAAAUGGAUUAGUUUGGGUUGAAACCAAGCUUUUAUGGUUUAAUUUGAGUUGACUUAAAACCCAACUCAAAGCAACCUAUGCCCACCCAUAAAUAUACAUAAUAUAAGAUGAGAUUAUUAGUGGGUAAAUGUUUAUGGGUGAAUUUUGGAAUAGGCAUGAAGAUAAUUUAUAAAAUAUUGGUCUUUUUGACACUAGAUAUUAGUUGGCUUAUUCAGAUUUCUCUAUUCAGUAAAAAGUUAAAAAAAAUUAUUAUUUUAUUAAGUCAAAAUUAUCUAAAAUUUCCCAUUAAGUUAUAAAAAUAAACACCUCUACUUAAUUAAUUAAGUUAAGUCACUUUAAAUCAUUAAUUUAAAAAACAAACAACCUCUAAGUUUUUGUUUUUUAAUAUGAGGUCAAGUAAUUAGUCGAUAAAACUAAUUUAUUCUACCGAUGAAUAUUUUCUAUUUAUAAGACUCAGUGAUUCUCAUUAUUACAGUUAAUAUGAGACAUGAUUCAUCGUUACUAUGGCAUAGCCUCUAGGUUUUUUUUCCCCUCCAAUUUUUUUAGUAUUAUAUGUCCCAAAUUAUUUAUUAUGAUUUGUCAAUUAAUUCAUUAUAUUUUAAGAAAUUCAUAAAUAAGAUGCAUAGAAUUUAGAAAUUGCAAUAAGAACUCAAAAAAAAAAUAAUGAAAAUUUUGAUUACCAUUCGGCGAUGCAUUUGAAUACAUUAAAUAACAACAUAUUAUUUAAUUGUUAUAUGAUUGACAUGAUUUUUUUAAAACCACAUGAGAUUUUCACAGUAAAACAUAUGCAUGCAAGAAGCAAACUAGCAGAAUUUUAUCAAACAAGUGUACUCUAGUUGAGUACUAAUAUACUUUCGCCAUGUUAACAAGCAAAUUGUCAACAUAUAAACCAAUUAAUUUGCAAGCUUGUUAGUCGUAAUUAAUAAUCUUUCACAUCACAGGCUUCUUUAGGCUUCUUCUUCUCCGACUCAACUCUUCUUAUUAAAAGGCAAGAAAGUAAUGUUUAUUCAUAUAUUACCGUCCAUUCUACAAUGAUAUAAAUACACAAGAAGCUAUUGUAACAAUUACAAGGAGAAACUUAAAAGGAAAAAUAAACGAAGAGGGUAGUUGUUGUCUGGUGGGUUGGUGGCAGUUAUCAUUAUGUCUAUUGCAUUCCAAAAGUCAUCGUUGCAUGUCAAGAAUCUUGGAUGUCAUCAUUGCAUUUUUGCAUGUGCCUCUGUUAAUGAUGUGCUCUGUUAUAGAAGAUACUGGUUCUAAACACAAGAUCAACGCAGAGCUUUACAAUGCUCUGCUGAUCAGAGAAGAUGAGCAGAAGGUAAUAGAGCUUUGCCGAAAAGUUCCCGAUCAUGCCUUGUACAUUUUAACAAUCCACCAUGACACAGUUCUGCAUAUGGCUACUUAUUCCAAAAAAAGAAACUUAGUGCUCAAGCUUCUCGAUGAGUUACCAGACCAAUAUCUCGACAAAAUGACUCGACAGAAUCAAGCAGGAAACACCAUUCUACAUGAAACUGCCACAAGCAACCUUGCGAUUCCUGUGGCGGAGAAGCUGUUAAAGAAGGAGCCGGGGCUGCUAGGCAUGCGCAACAACAAUGGAGAGACUGCUCUACUUCGUGCUGCCCGAUACGGCAAAGCUGAUAUAUUCAACUUUCUUGCUCGUAGAGUUUCUGGGUACGAUCUCGGCACUAAGCUGCCAUUUCUUCACAGAAAUGAUAAGACUAAUGUUCUUCACAUUGCCAUUCUUUCUCAGCACUUCGGUAAGUUUUCAAAAUUAUUGCCUAGUACCCUGGUUUGAUGAUCAAAUUAAAUUUUGAGUGUCCGUAUGUAUUUCUAUCCUUGUUUAUAACUGUAUUCAUCUUUUUGAAACAGAUUUGGCCCUGCAAAUUGCUCAUGAUUACUGGUACUUGAUUGAAGAGCAAGAUGUGGAUGGGAUGACUGCUCUUCAGCUUCUGGCAUGCAAGCUUGAAGCUUUUGAUCGCAAACGGGCCGAAGGGUUUUUCAAUAAACUAAUCUAUUGUGGUGAGGUUUUCUUAAUAAAAACUGAAUAUAAUUUUCGUUUUUGCCUCCGUUUUUCCGGGAAACAUUGAAUUAUUCAUUGCUUCUGAUUUGCCUUUUAUUUUCCUAUUGGUUUUGAAAUUAAAAUAAGAUAUUGUUAAAAGAUGGUAACAAAAUAAUUCCUUGUUUGACAGCUUAGAUUUGAAUAACCUUGUUUGCUUUUUAAAUCACUUUCCCGAGACUCUUUACAAGAAGAAGAAAAUUCUAAUGGAAAGUGCUUAUUUAUACAAUUGUUAACUCUUUUUCUUUUUUUUUUUGGUGGAAAAGUUAAAUAUAAAUGUAGUUGCUUAUUUAUACAAUUGUUAACUCUUUUUCUUUUUUUUUUUGGUGGAAAAGUUAAAUAUAAAUGUAGUUUGAGCCGAAGAGCAGAAUUUGAAGGGGAAGAGCGACAAUAUGAAUCAGCUAUGGAGCUUGCCAGGUUUCUAAUUAGAAGGGAUACUUCAUGGGAGAUUACUGAUUCAUUCCAGGACCAGAGUAAGCCUAAAAUUCAUAGAUAUGGGGCAAAUCCCAAUGCCUCAUCCGUUGACCAGAAAGGGAUUGGAGAAAGCUCUGCUAACGAUAAUGCUGAAACCCCUCUGUUUCUAGCAACAAAAUCUGGAUGUACAGAGAUUGUUAAAGAAAUAUUCAAUGUAUACCCCCAAGCAGUUGAGCAUAUUGAUGAUGAAGGAAGAAAUAUAUUGCAUGUAGCUAUCAAGUAUCGGCAGUUAGAGAUUUUUGAGCUUGUAGUCCAAAUGGAAGUGCCAAUGCGAAGGCUAGUCCGGAAAAUUGACAACGGUGGCAACACUUUACUGCACAUGACCGGAAUCAAAAGAAGUGAUUAUGUACCUGAAAAGAUGGAAGGCCCAGCUCUAGUCUUGCAGGAAGAAUUGCUUUGGUACGAGGUACGAUUUCACUAAUCCUAUUUACUUAAGGUUUUGGUAAGUUUAGAUUAUCAGGAGAGGAUCCUAAUUUUGCUAUUAACAAACUUUGUUGGUUCUGGUGUGUAUUGCAGCGUGUAGAGGAAGUGAGCAUACCCCAUUUCAGGAACCACCGGAACAACAUGGGGUUCACCCCGGAAGAGUUAUUUGCUACUGCAAAUAAUGAGCUUCGUACUCAAUCAAAAGAAUGGUUAAAACACACAGCAGAUCGAUGCUUAGCGGUGGCAAUUUUCGUCGGUACCGUGGCCUUCUUCGCUGCAUACACUGUACCAGGAGGUGCUAAUGUGGGAACUGGCUAUCCAAUCCUCCUUCAUCAUCCUUUCUUUGCGACUUUCGCUGUCUCCAACGUUCUAUCUCUCACAUUCGCUUUGGCUGCAGGGUUUACGUUUCUCUCAAUCCUCUCAUCCCCAUAUAGAUUACAAGAUUUCAAGCAGUCUCUUCCGAAUAAGUUGACACUGGGGUUCACAUUUCUGUUUCUUUCUGCGUGCCUUAUGACGGUAGCAUUUGCGGCAACGAUUCUGCUCAUGAUUAAAAAUAAGGAACAUUGGGCAAAAAUCUUGCUCUACACUUGUUCUAUUAUCCCAGUGGGAAUUUUUACGCUAUCGUAUUUCUCUAAUUACGUAACAAAAUCGAUUGCUAGAUCGUGCAAGAAAUUCUGCAGCAAGACAGGGCUGCCGGUUCCUCAGUUUUUUGUCUCUCUUCUGAAGAGGAUCUUUUGUUUCUCCAAAUGUUUGAACGACAAAACCACCGGCUCUUCCAUUCCAUGAGCUUCAACUUUUAAAUCUGAAUAGGCAGUGUGCGAAAUUGUUAAUCUUGGUCGUUUGACUCCUUGUUAUCAGGAGUCUGUGUGUCUUAAGUUAUUACGGGAUUGUAUUGAUUUGAAUGAAGAUGACGCAUUGUGUUGGCAAAUGUUUAUAGUAAUUGUAAUAAAAAUGUGAGUACACAAGGCAUCAUUGAAAGAAUCGAAUUGUUUGAGUAAUUUCAUAUUGUUCAAAAACACCCACAAACAAUUUAGGUUAAUUGUACAUAUCACAGGCGGGGGAAUUUAGGACUAAUAAUGAAACUUUGAUGGCCUUCAGCUUUGAGCUCACGUGAGGUGAGAAAAUUCAAAUGUACACCCACAGUUUCAUUUGUGAUUAAAUUUGAAAUAUUAUUGAAUGUUGUCUCUCUUUCUCGAGGGAAUUUGAAUUUAUGUGUAAGAAGGGUAGCAUACCAAGGAAUCGGAUGAUAAGUCAGUCAUUAUGAACAAUAUGGCACAAAUGGUACGACAUGUCGGUUAGAUAAUUUAACAUUUGAAGACGAGCCGUUUUUAUGUCUGGGCUACCACGUGCAUUUCGUCCAAAAAAAAAUUAAUUUCCAAAAAACUCCCCAGGCAAAACGCCUCUUGUAAUCCUAGUGAUAAUAACAUCUGGAUCCAUGUAUUUUUACACUUUCUCAAGUAAUUUAAUAGUUGUCCAUGUAUAUCGAACAAGGCUCCGCCUUAAGGUAAAUGACUGCGAUACCCUUUAUUGUCAAGUCACAUAAUGCUAAAAAAUUAAGGGUGACCAUAGUGACUCAAGCCAAACCCACCAAACAAACCCAAACCGAAUCGAUCCACCUCGAAAUUCAGUUUAAUUUUACUGUAAAAAUUUCAAAUUGAUAGACUUUGAUUCGAUUUAAGUUUUUAAAGUUAAAUUAAAAGACGAAAAAGAAAAACUAAUUUUUAUCCUUUAAAAAGUUCACUAUUAUAAGGAUAAUUUAGUUAUAGUAUCCAUAGGGCUCUAUGUCGUUGAGUAAGACAAAGUAAAAAAGAUCGAAAUAAAAGGUAAAAAUUAUCCACUCGUUAUUUCUCUUCCCCUUGCAAAUUGCAAUCCAUCACUCGGUAGACAAAAAUGUCAUUUCAGUAAUUUCACUACAAAACCCUAGCUAUAUAAUCCCCAAUUUCACUAAGCACCAAUUCUCUCCACUCGCUAUCUCCAAACCCUAACCCUAAUCUGUCAUCUUCCUUCCCACCCAAAGAAGACAAGAAUGCCGCCCAAAUUCGACCCGUCCCAGGUGGUGGAUGUGUACGUUCGGGUCACGGGUGGCGAAGUCGGAGCCGCCAGUUCACUGGCUCCAAAAAUCGGACCACUCGGUCUCUCCCCCAAGAAAAUCGGAGAAGACAUCGCCAAAGAAACCGCAAAAGACUGGAAGGGCCUCCGCGUCACCGUCAAGUUGACCGUACAGAACCGUCAGGCCAAAGUCGCGGUGGUCCCGUCGGCGGCGGCGCUCGUUAUCAAAGCCCUCAAGGAGCCCGAAAGAGACAGAAAGAAGACAAAAAACAUUAAGCAUAACGGGAACAUAACGCUUGACGACGUCAUCGAGAUUGCUAAAAUCAUGAGGCCGAGGUCCAUGGCUAAGGAACUGAGUGGGACCGUGAAGGAGAUUCUGGGUACGUGCGUGUCUGUUGGGUGUACGGUAGACGGGAAGGACCCCAAGGAUUUGCAGCAAGAGAUUAAUGAUGGUGACGUGGAGAUUCCCCUCGAUUGAGAUAAAGGUUGCCUGUUUAUUUUGCUUCUUCAGUGAGAAGUUUAAAGCGACUUAUCAUUGUUGUUUUAUUUGGUUAUUGUUGGAUUUUGGAUAAAUUUGAGGAUGUUAUUUUUGGUUGAGGUAAUUAGAAAUGGUUCUGUUGAAAUUUCAAUUUUUGGAGGAUGAUAGUUAAUUUUUCUUUUUUAUUUUUAUUGUUUUGUUCGUUUGCUGAUUGAUGCCGUGUGGUGGUGAAUAUCUUAGGUUUAUUGCAUUUUUUUUUCAGUUGUUUUAAAUUACUGUCCGGAAUUGACAAAGAAAAUUAUAGGUGCCAUUUUCAUCUUAGGUUUGUCAAUCUGUUAGACAGGACAUCGUACAGAGGUUUUUGUUGAAAUUGUUUUCAAAAUGAAUCUACAAUAUGCUAUGUGUGACUUUAAUAAUUCUGUUUAGAUUGCUACUCUCUUUUUUCCCCUUUAAAUCAGCGCCCUCUGAAUCUUUUUGUUUCACGGACCAUUCAAGAUAUUUGCUCAUUAUGAUUCUGUUUAGAUUAUUUUGUCUUCUUGUUAGCACUACAGACCUUAUGGAGUCAUGUUUGCCUAUAUCCAUUUCAUCUCAUCUCCUAACGUUAAUCCUCAGCAGUUUGAUUACUCUCUGUCAAAUGCGGUUUUUGGCUCUGUAAUGUCUGGUGUUAUUAACAGCACAUUCUUUAAACUAAACAACAUUUUUGCUUAACAGUGGUACUUAUAAGAAAUUUUGUUAAUCUCUAUUUAAUAAAGCUGGAUGGUUUAGACGCGUAUUAGUUACCACCUAGAGAAAUGUCAUAGCUGCAAACUUGAAAUAAGUUCACUAUUUGCAAAAUUUUCACUGUACUAAACUGCAUUGUUUUUUGUUUGACUAUAUUGGACGACUUGUGAUUACUGAGCUUUCACCUAUUCAUGUCAUUUCACAAGAUGUGCACCUUGGUAGAGAGGUGGCACAGCAUACGUGACUAUUGUUCCAAGUACUGUCAAUUUUGUUUCUCUUUCUGCAAAGGUGCAAGAUGUUUGUGUUGUUUGCUUUUGCACUAAUUAUGUAACUAAUUGAUCGAGGAUACUUGAUAUUAGGGCUUUGUAAAUCAAAAUAAAUUCCACCAUUUUCUAUUGAUCUUUGAGAUGGGAUAAGAAUUCUGAGAGUUGUAAUGCCAGAUGGAUAAGGCAUCGAUGUGGUUUUAGUUUUUUGAAUCUUUAUGCUGAUUGAUACUUAACCCUGUGGUUUUAUUGCCAGGCAAAGUAGAAUUUAUAACAAUGGCCGCUUUUCGAGAAUGUUUGGUUAUAGGUUGUGUUUAAAUACUGGAGAAUGAUGGACUUACAUCUUAACGAAAGCUGAACCUAUGGAUAAGUUUUCUGUCAUUUGCUUGUUGGUGUAAUCAUCAUAUAUAUGUGAAAAGCAUAAUCUUCAGCUUCGAGUAAACAGUUGUGUCGGUUGAUUUGUCAUCCAAUAUCUUUUUAUAAUGGAGGGAUUAUUUAGCUACUAAUGCUAUUGCUAGGGCUGGUCAUUGGAUCAGAUUUGGAUCAGAUUUGGAUGGAUUGGAUUGGGAUGUGGUUGAAAAUCUGAUUGGACAUAAUUUCUGCCAUCCGAUAGGAUUAUGGCGUGUUUACUUUCUAAAUUAGGGAGUUACCGACGAUGUUUAUUUUAAAAAAAUAGAGGCAGGAAUCGAAACAUAGGGUCCAUUCAAAUUUGGGAAUGAGGAACGUAGGAGAUUGAUUCCAAAGGGUGGUGAGAAUCGAUCUCCUAUCUUGAGAUUGGCAAUCCUCCCCCUUAAAUGCUAAUUUUGCCCCUAGUUAAAAAAUAAUUAAUUAAUUAAUUAAUAUAUUAUAAUUAAUUAAUAUUAUUAUAAUUAGUCUAUAAUUAUUAAUAUAUUUUUAUUUUUUAUUAUUACGGUACAGCAGCAGUUAAUUAAUAUAUUAUUAACAAAAAUUAAUAAUAAUAAUUUUAAAUAAAUAAUCACAAUAAUUAAAUUUAAAAAAAUUAUGAUAAUAGUUUAUUAAGUCUUUUUUAAUAAUUUAAUACAAUCUAACUCGUUUCGAUUUUAAUUCUUAUAAUUUAAGAAAAUAAUUUAUUUUAAUAUUUAUUUUUUAAUUUUCAUUCUAACUAUCCUUAUUCCUGUUUAUUUUUAUUUUUAUUUAUUUUUAUUUUAAUAUAAUAAACACACCAUUAAUUCGACAAAAGUCGAUAUCCCAAAUCGAAAACGUAAUCCCAAAAAAUCAGCAACGACAUCUAAGGCUUUGAGCUCGGCCAAGCGUCCACGAUGCCAAGAAAUGAAUUAAUUGAUGUCUUUUCCUCGUACAUUAAUCAACUUUGUCUUGUUUUAUUUUCACUGUUUAAGACGCGGCUCCAUCAAUGUAUGUUUGUAUGUAUUUGGCUCCUAUGUUGUGACGGACAAUUUGAUUUCCCACUUGACAGGUUUGAUAUUUGAGGGGCUAAUGUGCCAGGCCAGGCUUUACACUUGCAACAGUUUGAUUUGAUACGUGGAUGGUGACAGAGAAGUCGAGCUUGGUUAAUGUAUUUUGUGUGGACAUUAGAGCGACACCACCACUAUUCCAACCUUUCGUGAUAUGACGCGGUGAUCUAAACAUUUCAGUUGAGCAAGUUGUUCAGAUCAUCAGCGACUUACCUCCCCAAAAUUACUAGCACAGGGCCCUGCUCAGGUGUUGGUCAAUUUGGUUGACCGGAUUUUUUCUGUACACCUCCAAACAAUAUAAAGUUGUUAAUUAAUGCUAACAAAAACAGGACGAUUCCCCACCGUUCAUUUAUUAAAAGUUGGUUUGUUUGUGUUCGUCUAUUUUGAUACAACUCUAAUAAUACUAGAGUUGGUCCAUAAUUUUCUCUUGGCUUUUUCUGUCCACAGGAGCAUCGACAGAUUCUAUAUAAACCGUUCACUUCUGAUAUCCUUCAAAUCAAACCAUUUCCAAAUUCUUCUCUGAAAUUUACCUUUCAGCUGCUGCUACUCUCUUUCUCAGGUGAGACCAAGGAGAAAGAGGGACAUCGUAUUAAUUAGACCACUUUCUUCUAAUUAUACCAAUAUUAACUUUGCCGCUGAUUACUUUUCAUAAUCACAAUUGCACUGAUGGCUAAGGAUCUCAGGCACAGAAUGAAGCCCUGGAUUGAGGUUGCACCAUCGCUUAUUGCUUUCCCCACGAAGUCUUCCAGCACUCCUACACUGGAGACAAUUAGGGAAGAGAGAGCUGAAGAUUACGAAGAUGAUGACGACGGUAACGAUUAGUGUAUUGUUUUUCCAUGUGCUUCGGGUAUUUUUAGUCACAGUUUUCCGUCGGUGCUCUAGGGACCAACUCAGUGACAUGAAGCUCAAUUUCGUGUUUCAGAGAUGUUGAUAAAAUGUAUGUUAUAUUCAUCACCCGAUGAAUUUGGUCUCGUUCUACUUGUAUAUAUAUGUUAAUGGAAACAUAGCGAAUUUUAUGCCUGUACGGUAUCUUCGUCUGCAAAUACUUUCUAUGCACUUCUUGCAUGCUCUUGCACAGGCUACUAUCAUUCUAUGAAAUAAUUAGGCUCUGCACUUGCGAUUCUUUGUUAAAAAUAAUUGCUAAAGUUGUUGUUAUAAAUUUAGAACUGUCCAUUUUAGUUAUACGAUUGCUCCUUAAUUAGGCUACAAGUUCUUCUCUUAAUUAAGUUAUCCCCGUAAGUUAUCCCCGUCUAUUCUUCCACAUUUCUGUGAUUUAAGGAAUUGCUAGGUCCAUGCAUGAAUUGACAUACGUUCCGUUAUAAAAAACUCUUUGUUAAAUUAGUAGUAUUAUAAAUUACGAUAAAGAGCAGGCAGUAGUACCACAUGGACAAAACACAGUAAGAAGCGGGCAAGCCCGUAUCUUUAUAAACAAUUGCUGAAGGUGAAUGAAAGCUACGGAGCCGCGCGGUGAGCACAGAGCGAACUAUUCUUUCGCCUUUUACUAAAGAAUACCGUGUGCUCGCCGCUUUUAAGCGGCAUACGCCAAUUUUUUUAGGGGCGUUCCUCUGCGAACGCUCCCAUCAAUCCUUAGUCCAAUAUUACACAUCUGUGUUUAAUCUUCGAUUGAUAGAGUUGUGUACCAACUUUUUGUUAUUUUCUCACAAUUGAGCUUUAUUUCAUAAAUAAGCAGACGACGUGUCGUGCAAAAUGUGCCUGAUUUACAAUUCUUCAUGUCACAGCCUUCGUUUUUUUUAACACUAGCAGUGCCUUAAUUAAUCUUAUGGUUUGCUGUGUAUGUUUUAUCUUAACUGUCAUUAGAGCUGGCAAAAUUUGACACGACCUAAUUACCCAACACGAACACGACAUAAAUAAAUGGGUAUGGGUCGUCAAAUUUAACAGGAUUAUUAAAUGGGUCGGGUCUGGGUCAACACGAUUUUUUUCCGUGUCGGGUUAGGGUUAAAAUUUCUGACCCAUUUACCCGAUCAAUGACUCGAUUAUAUUUUCUAUUUUAUGAUAUAUAAUAUUAUAUAUAUAUAUAUAUAUAUAUAUAAUAUUAAAACCUCAAUAAUGUAAAUGUGUAAUAUAUUGGUAGAUAUGUAUAUUUUAUAAUAUCGAUAAAUUAUGUAUGUAUGUAUGUACAUACAUAUGUAUGAUAGUGUGUAAAUAUUUGAUGUAACUUUUGUUCAAUAUAUAGAUAUUAAAUGAGUUAUUGGGUAACCCGAUUAUUUUUUCGUGUCGGGUUUGGGUAUCAAUAUUUUGACACGAUUAUUAAAUGGGUCGGGUUUGGAUCGACCUAAAUUUAACACGACAUGAACCUAACACGACACGAACACGAUCCGAUGACCCGUUUUGCCAGCUCUAACUGUCAUCAAUGCUUAUCUUGGUCCAGCCUUCAAUCAUUGAUUGGGCAUAAAAAAUGAGUUAAUAUCCCACUUGAAUCUUUUGAUAUUUGGGUUGUUUAUGAACCUUUUAUGUCAACAGGGCUACUUAUUGCUGGGCUUUAUACCAUGGGCCAUAAUUUCCAUGUGUUCCGCUGAUUGUGACCUUUAGAAAGCAAGUGCGAGUGAUUGGUAUAUUUUGUGUGGACAAUGGAUCGACAACACAUCAAUACUUAACCACACACAUGAUGCAAUGAUCUGGCAUUUCAACAACUAAACGGAGUUGUUCAUUUCAUGUGAAAGGGCUCUUGAUCAGAUUAUCACUCUCUUAGCUCCGGCAAGUUACUUCGUUCUAGGUUUAUGGUCAAUUUGGACGGCCAGAUUUUUUUCGAAAACGUCCAGGCAAUAUUAAGAUCUCAAUUAAUGCUAACGAUAAGAAGAUGCUUCUCCACCGUUCAUUUCCUAGGAGUCAGUUUGUUUGUUGUCGACUACUUCGACACGACUCCUAUAAAACCAGGGCCAGUCCAUAAUUUCCUCUUGGCUUUUCCUGUAUAUAGGCUCAUUAACAGAUCCUAUACAAGCAUCCCACUUCUGAUAUCCCUCAAUUCAGAUAAUUUCAACAUUAAUUAUUCUCCGAAAUUUACCACUGACCCUCUUACUCCUGUCUUCUCAGCUAGCAUUUUAAUUACUUUCCACAAUUGCAACGAUGGCAAAGGGUUUUAGGCACGGAAUGAAGCCUUGGAUUGAGGUUGCACCAUCUCUUCUUGAUUUUCCCACAAAGAUUUCCAGCGCCCCUAAGCUGGAGACUAUCAGGGAAGAGAGCGCUAAAGAUUUUGGCAAUGACGAUGACGACAACUAGUUGUUUCCGUUUGUAUGUUCUCCGUCCGUGUUCAAAUGAACAGACUCGGUGACGUGAAGUUCAAAUCAGUUCAACGAAGGUGUUUAAAACUGUACAUCAGUACAUCGCCCGAUGAAUUUUAAUCCUGUUCUACUUCUACUUUUGUACAUAUAUCUAUUAAUGGAUACAUAGGAAUUUUGCAUCAAUACUGUGUGAAUGCAUCUUCAUAUAUUUGAUCAUAGUUCAGUGAUCUAAAGAAUUGCUGGGUCCAUGCAUAAAUUGACAGCCUUUCUGUUGAAGAACUCAUGGAGUAACAAAUAUGAAAUGACCAAGCAGUCCCACAUUGAUUAGAAACAGCAUGAAGCACCCAAGCCUGUGUCCUUAUAAACAAUUGCUAAAUUUGACUACCAUCACGGAGCCGUGCGGUGAGCACAGAGCGAACUAUUCUUUCGCCUUUUACUAAAGAAUACCGUGUGCUCGCCGCUUAUAAGCGGCAUACGCCAAUUUUUUGAGGGAGUGUUCCUCUGCGAACGCCCCCCAUCAAGUCUUACUUGAAAGUCUUUAUAUUGAUCAUUGAUUCACCAUACCUGGCCAUUUCAACUUCUUCUUUUUGUUUAGAGGUUGGCGCGUAAAAGUCGGCCAUAUUUGAAUCUUGUUUAGAGGUUGGCCGGUAUGCAAGUCUGGCAUUUUAAAUGUUUGGCCGAAGAACUAGUUGGGAUUUCGGGCUUGUAAAGUGUUGGUGUGAAUAUGAAAAAAGCCCAAAUGCAUUUUUUUGUUUCUAACGUUGGGCUGGGUAGAUCCUAUCUGCCCAAGUGUAUGAGCGAAAACUCUUAUCUAUUGUGCCCCCUUCCAAUACCUCUUAAACCCCUCUCCCCUUUUUUAAUUAAUCCCAUUAAAAUAUUUUAAAAUACUAAAAAUUCUUUUAGCACUCCAUUGACGAUGAAGCACCCUCUUACUGGGCAAGACCUCCAUUACCACCACAAAAUGCAUUCAGAAAAGCUUCCAAAUAUGCCAUAGCUUUGAAUACAACAACCACCUCACCAAGAGCAACAAUGCAACAUCAUAAAAACCAUACCUAUUCGGUGAAGACCGCAAAACCCACGUAAUCAUAAACCAACAAAUGCAGGCUCAUCCCUUUGUAACACACAGCAGCCAAUUCAUCAAAGGUUGAUUGGACGUCUCGAUGACCAGCAAACCUCACCAGUCGCUAGAUUUUCAAACAUAGACACAUAGUAAUCAACCAGUAAACUACAUCCAAAGAAAUCAUGAUCAACACUUAUUGGCAUAAAGAACACAACAGCAACACAUAGGAGUUCAGAAGAUACUAGGUGUUAAAUGUUUUAUAUAUAUACUUUUUUUUUAUAAAAAAAAAAGUGCGUUUAAAAAAUUUAUAACAGAAAAUUUAUUUAACUUUUGGGUGGGGUUUAAUUAAGAAUUGUCCUCUUAUGUAAUUUUAAUAAAAAUUAUUGUAAAGUAUCUAUUAUCUAAAAGAAUUUUAAGAGGUAUUAAGUUGGUUGCCAAUAGUCCAAAUCUAAAAGCUUCAGAAUUUAAGCCAUACUGUAUAAACAUUAACAAUUUAUCUUGGUCCAACAGCCCUGUUUUAUAGUAAGUGUUAGUCAGAAAAUAUAUCUAGUUUAUGACAUAAGGGAAAAUUGUUUUAUGGUAUACUACCGAUAUGAUUUAAUAUUGUUACUUCUAAGGAUUUGACUGAAUAUUUUUAAAUUUUUUUUUAAUUGAUCAUUUAAGUUCAAAUGUUAAAAAAAUAGGGGUUAAAAAAAAUAAUUUGAGGUCUGUUUACACUCACCUUUUGCAUAAUAAGAAAAAAAAAAAAAGAGUUCUACUAUUAUUAGGCGAUAGAAAAGAAGGAAAAGAAUACACAAGUAUUUUGUGCGAAUUUUGAAAAAAUGGGCCAAAAUACUUGGUUGAUUUUGUUUCUUAAAAAAAAAAAAAGAAAGAAAGAAAGUUCGCUUGGUUGUCAUAGGUGCAAUUAACCUGUCAUCAUACUUAAAAAUAUUGUUUAUCCAAAAAUUCUAGGUCUAAAAAUAGGAAACAACGUUUAAUUUAUUUUUAUUUUCAAUUUGACUGAAUAUUUUGCCAUUUCCGUAAAAGCCAAAGCCAAGAGCUGAACUUAGCAACUCAUUCUCCCCACCGCCAAUUUUCAAACCGUGCAUGGUAAAAUAAAACGACAGCUUCUCCGUAAUUUUCUCUUAACAGAGCAGUUCCCGAUUAUCUGAGGCAUUAUAUAAAUCCUCUGUUUGCUUCAGCUAUUUCAUCAUCAAUAAUCACACACACUCUCUUUCUCGUUAAGUUAAUCCAAAUCAAGGAGAAAGAGAGAGAGAGAGAGAGAGAGAGAGAUCAAAUCAAAAUUCUAAAUUCUAAUCACUCCUUGUAAUCUAAUUUGAAGGAAUUGCAUCAUUCAUAAAAUAAAUUCACAUUAGUCUAUUCGCAAAUGGCAAAGCAACAACAUAGACAUAAUAAUUCGAUGAAGCAUUGGCUCGAGGUUGCCCCGUCAGUUCUUGAUUUCCCAUGGACGCCUUCCACUACUAGCAAAUUUCCCAAACUGGAACCAAUUUUGGAAGACAAUGCUGAAGAAUAUGCAGAUGAUGACGAGGACGAGGACUAAAAGUUUCGAUUUGUUACGUUGUUUGUAAGAACAGCUUUAUUUCCUUCCAUGUUUGAAAUGAAGCUACUCAGAGACGUAUGAUGGUUACCUCAUUGUGUAAAUUAUUGUAAACACAACAAAUUCAAUAUAAAUUAGUGUUGCUUUCACAUAUUUAUUACGAUUCUAAAUUCUACUCUAUCUAAAUUAAAGACAAUAUUUUGAAAAUGGAUUAGGAUUCAGUGCUGAUUAAGUUUUUGUUGAGCACCGAAUUAAUGAAUAAAAAUUUUUUUUUUUAAUUUUUUUAUUUAUCUUAUCUAACUACCAUUAAUUCAGUACUCAAUAAAAACUCAGAUCAGCACUGAAUUUUUAUCCUUUGAAUGAAUAUACAUACGCUCAUAGCUCACCGACACCAUUCCUUACGAAUUCAGUAACACAUUUUGCAUAUAACUUAACCAAUCCCCCUGACACGAGAGGAAAACACAGUGGCCAGAUCCAUCUCAUCCCUGAAAAUUUCUUAUAGAGCCAGCGAAGUUGUCAAAUUCUUUUUUAACAAAAUAAUUUUGACCUUUCCGAUGUUUAUCAUUUCAUUUGCACCAGUUCAGUCUAAUUAUUUUCAUGGGUAAUGUUUUCAAGUUCGUUGAGUAAAACGAUUUUCCUUAAUUAUCCAAUUCCAACCAUAUUAUUUCAGAUUAUUGUGGUUCAACGUAAUUUUGAAAGUACGACUUUUAAAGUAUUUGAUAAACACUCAUUUUAACUUGACCUGUAAUGUUUAUUGAUUACCUGUUUACUUGAUAUACAAUGAAUUCAUCCAACAACUCUAGAUUAAAAGCCAAACAACAGCUCAAUCCCGAACAUAUAUACUAAUUCGUCCAUAAUUUGAGCCAAUUGUUAAAUUAGUCUUAUAUAGCAAACGUGUAGAAGUAAAUUGAAAUUAAGCUUGAUAUCAGCAACUUCGUCUACCACAAGUUUUACAUGGUAAAGUCUUUGUAAUAGGAUUCUGUUCAUCUUGAUAGGCCAAUAAACAAUUUAACAAUUUGAUGUUCCUUAUUUAGAACAAAUGUUUAACAAAACUUCCUGAAAAUAUCUAGAAACAAUAUAUCAAACCAAAGAAGUACUAUUGUUAAUUAACAAAAUUUCUCCGCACCCUAUAUUUUGUGGUAGUUAGUUUUUUGACCUUUUCAGUUAUCUUUUAUUAUUGAAACAUCCUUAAUAUAACUAUCAACUAGAUUUGGUCUAUUAACUAGAUUUGGGCCAUUAACUUCUCCUGGCUAUUCCUCUAUAUAAAAAGCACUUGCCCAUUUCUCUUAAAUCGAACUUAAAAAUAAUUUUUGUUUGAUUGCCUCCAAUCUCCAUUCAACCUCUCUCUCUCUUUUUCAGAAAAAGGCAGAGAGAAAGAGAGGCACAUAUUCAAGUACCCAAAAGCUUAAGCUAUUGAGGGUCCAACAUUAGUAUAAACAACAAGUCUCAGCAAUUACGUACUUUCCAUAAUCCAUUGCAAUGGCAAAGGUUCGCAGGCAUUUGGUGAAGCCCUGGCUCGAGGUAGCCCCAUCUCUUAUUGAUCUGCCGUUGAAAUGUUCUUGUGCUCCUAAUUUGGAGACGAUUAGAGAAGAUAUAUCAGAAGAAUAUGAAGAUGGCGAUGAUGAUGAUUAGCGAAUUUGGUUCCUAUAUGGAGUUUUAAUUAGUGGCCAGUUAUAUUUAAGCUAAGGUUUAUGUCCCAGUUCAAAAGAACGAACUCGGAGAUGUGAUUAGAAACAUUAUUAUUGGAUUUUUGCUACGCAUACACACACACACACCUCUUACAUUGUUUUUUGAGAUGCAUGCAUAGCAAAAAUGUAGUGAAUAAAUGCAUAUAUACUAAAAAGAAGUUCUACUUUAUAUGUGUUCUUUGGUAAUUUUAUAUUGCCAAAAGCCAAACAAAUGCAGAGUUAUAUUUGAUUAUACUAUACCAAGCAAAAUUCAUGGUAAAAUUUCCACAACCAUCAUCGCUUAAUUGAAAGACUCAAAACUGAGACCAAAUAAAAUAAUUACUAUCUUGAUUCUUAUAAUUAAAAAAAAAAAACUCUACCUAAUCUCUUUAAGUUGACUUUACAAAUAAAGAUUAUGAUAUAUGAUUAAAUUAGAUUAUUUUCUUUUUCUUUUUCUAUCAUUUGAAAUUUUGAUUUGAAUGUAGUAAAAGUCUAAUCUCUAGAGAAUUCAUUUCCUUUCUGUUAUAAAAUUACUUAUUAAUUUUCUAUCUUUGUCUCUUUCUCAAAUAACUUUGAAUUUAAUUUUUUUAAUGCAAACGCUCACAUGUUUUAAAAUUUAAGGUUAGCGUACACAAUUUAAUGGUGUAUAUAUUGGUGCUAAUCAUUGAUCUAACAUGUAAUUGAACAAAAUUUUAUGACUAAAAAAAAAAUGCAUCAGUUGAUGAGUGUGCUGCAUUGACUUAUUGGAUGCAUUUACCAUUUGGGACAUUUAUUUUCCCGUGUGCAACAAAAUCUGGAAACCCUUAAAAUUUCACCAUUUGGGUCAUUUAUUUUCCUAAUAUGCAACGAAAUUCAGAAAACCCUCGAGAUCAAAUUUUAAACGCAUGCUACAUUUGUCUACGUCCUUGCUAGUGUUUAUAAUUAUGAAUUAUCAAUCAGCAGCCCCUAUCAAAAAUACGUUUUUAAUCUACGUACUGACAUUUAUGUGACCUAAUUUGUGGGGUUUGAAAAUUCCAAAAAAGAAAAAAGGGCCACCGGCCAAUUACCGAAGAAACUUUUUUUAAUGACAAUGUUGCUCUCCUCUGAUAGCUGAUGUCUGGACACGUGGUUCUUUUGCAGCCAUAAUUGGGAGUCCACAAAGCGACAAUUGCUAGUGACUUACCAGUUUCCAGCCACAAGAAGAACAAAAGCAACGGAGGAAAAAAAAAAAAAAAGAAAAGAAUUAAUUAAGCAAUUAAUUAACCAUGCCAAUUAAUUAUAUUAUCAAUUGGAAGAAUUGGUUUAGAUUAAUAAUAUAUAUAUGAGGUAAACGUUACAGUAUGUACAAUGAGAGGGCCAAGAGCGAAGGAAAUAAAAGGUGGUGGUUGGUUCAAUUCAAUAUAUAUAAAAAACCGGCGUUUCACAAUUAUACAAAUGUUCUACACUGUGGUGUUGGUCGGUUUUAUAAUACAUCUUUUCUAUACAAUUUUUUGUCUAAAAUUAUUAAAAAAAUGAAUAAUGGUUAACUAAUUAGAUGCGUCACAAAAUGAUAAUCUAAUAUUCUAUAAAUUUAUAAAUAUUCAGUUAAUUAUGGUACAUGUCACUAUAAUUAGUAGAGGAUACGAUAAACUUACCAUUAUUUAUUCAGACCAUAUAUAUGAUAACAAAUAUCGAUUCAUCUUCUUAGUAAUUGCAUGAUAAAAUUAAGAAAAUGACUACCUUACAGCAUCAGUAAGGUGCAACCCUCUCACAUAAACAAUAUUCGGUCAAAAUUGUGAGAGAGUUACACCUUAGAGAUACUACAAUUAAUGGUUAAUAUAAUGAUGCCAGAAAUCAAUUCAUAAAUUUUAACCAAACAAAAAAAAUAUAAAAUAUUUUUUCACCGUCCGAACUUUGGAAUCACUUUUUACAAACGCAAAAACACUUGUUACCCGUAUCAAAUAUUUCGUAUUUUCCUUGAGCUAUUAACAAAAGUUUUGUAAGUAACUUCAAUAUGCAGCCAUAAGUAAUCUUUGCUUGGAAUAAAAAACUUUCACGUAGAUAAUAUAAUAAUCCUGAUCAUCCUGCCACCAAAAUCGCUUAGCUUUAAUUUUACCUUCAAAUUUAAUCAUAUAUUUCUUUCCAUAAAAGAUUCUGGAGCUGAAAAAACAACAACAUUACAGCGCUUCGUAAUCCAAAAUUAUAUAAACUAGAUCGCUUUAUUGUCACAGCCUCAUAGUUGCAGAGUGGUGGCCAAUGCCACCAGAUAUUUGCUACAUUUUUUUUUCUUCCUGUUUUUAUAUUUAAUAUAUUAGCUUUUAGGUGAUCGUCCAGAUAAGUUCAACCGGCAACCUAUCAUCAGCCGACAAAUAGGACAACACUUACUGCCUAUACUAUAAUCCCUUUAAUUAUCGUGGAAUUAAUUAGAGUUUUACUUUUUUUUUUCCAAUUUUAUAAUUAUUGGAUAACAUAUGAUAAUGGCUUAUUAAAGCUGGAGUGCUCGCUCAGGUAAUGAGGAUGGCUUUUUUAGGGUUUACGGAAAUUUAGCUAAUAUUAAAUUGAAACCCCACCCACCAUUAAGGAACAAGAAUAAAAAGGAAAAAAAAAAAAAAUUAAAGGUUGUUUCUUUAAAACGCCUUGUUGAUCUUCGUCGAAUGUCACAAGUUCUUUUGCUGGAAAGAUAGUGACGAAAUUACAUCUACUUAAUGUAGACCUUUUGGGAAAUUAAUUAAAACAACUUAAUUUUCUAUACCUUGAUUAUUUUUCAAUUCAUGAAGUUUUUUUCAAUUUUUUUUUAACUUGUUAUUUGUUUAGCUUGAGUGUUGCCAACGCUACACUCCAUUUAUAAUUUUUUCUUUUUUUUAAAAAAGGAAAGAAACAUUGUAGUUGUGCUUUCUUUUUAUGCAUAAGAAACUCUGGAACUGUCAUUACCUCAUAUAAUUGAAUUAAUAACAAUUGAUCUUUCUUAAAAUAAUUGUAGUAGAUUCACCAAAUCUGGAAUAAUAUAUUGUAACAUAUAAAUAAAAUUUUAUUUUUUACAAGCCUUGUUAUUAUUAUUGUGAGUCUUGCUAUUAUUUUUUUUAUACACUAUUUCCCUUAAAACUUUGAGCAUAAGCAUCAUGCAUCAUGCAUUAACACAAUUAAGAGAACAAAAAUAAUUCUUCAAGAAACAACACCUAAAAAUAAUGAUAAUAAUAAUAAUAACAACAACAAAUUAACAUAUAUAUACAUAUAGAUGAGCAAAGCUAAUAAUGGUGGGACCCAAGGUUGAAAAAAGAAAUUCAAAAAAUCAAAGGUAAUGGACGGCUAAUAUUUAUCUCAAAAUAUGUCAUUAUACGCAUCCUCUUUCUUAAUCAUUCAGCACUUAAUAAAUAGGCCACUCUCUACAUCCUUCCCCAUUCACCCAUCAUUAAACUCUGUAGCAAACACAACAGUCGUAGCUCUUGUUUCUCCCUCUCGUUUAAUUAACAAAACAAAAAUAAAAGGGAAAAAAUGGGGAAGGAUGUUGAAGUUGCUGAGCAGCAAGGCGGCGGCGGCGAGUUCUCAGCCAAGGACUACCACGACCCCCCUCCGGCGCCG